rnacentral:lncRNA from 1 species
AAAAAAAAAAAAAAAAAAAAGGAAAAAAAGUAAACCGAGUCAGCAGUGGCCAGUGAGCACCACAUUAAUCAGAGUGGAGAUUCCAAUUGUUUUUCUAAACCUGGCUAUCCCAAUUUGUAAUUUUAUUUAUUUUUAUUUUAUAUAUAUAUUUUUUCUGGAGCCACUGCUGCAAGCAAGAUUUGAGUGCCAAGAGUGUGAAGAGGAAAAAGAAGAGGUGGUUGAUGUCUUCCUUGGAAAAAGAAUUCUAAGAAAAAGACAGCGGUGGUGGCCGGUGGGGGCGAUGAGCGGUUGGAAGGUUUUUGUGUGAGAGAGUGUGUGUGUGUGUUUGAGGAUGAGCAAUGGGAGUGAAGAAUUGAGGUUGCGGUGUGGUGGUGGAGCAGGGAUUGGACUGGUUGGGAGACCAUUUGCUAGGGUUUUUUCGGAGUGGAAUCUGGAGGAGAUGGUGAGAGUUUGAAUUCAAGGUUGGAGUUUCAUAAUUCUGAGGGAAAUCAGUGGGCGAAUAUGAUAUCCGGCGGGGUUAAUUUGGUGAUGACAGUGAUUGGAUUCGCGGUGAGUACGAUGUUCAUCGUUUUCGUCUGCACGCGCCUCGUUUGCGCCCGAAUCCAGUUGAACGCGUCGCGGAGAUCGUUUCCUGUUGCUUCCAGAUCUGAUCUUAGUAUUGUGAGCAUUUUUUCUUAUCUCUUUUUGUCCUCAGUGGUUCCCUGUUUGGUUACUGCAAAAGCAUGGGACUGCAGAAUGGAAAACAUAGUUUUGAAUCUUUUGUUUCCAAAUAAUUGACACCAUCUCUACCGAGCUUAUUUUUUCUUCCAAGUUUUCUUAGCGGCCAAACAGAGGAUAAUGUUUCAUUUUUUCCCCUCUGUAAUUAAAACAGAGGAUAAUGUUACAAUUGUGCCGCUAGCGCUCUUUUACCUUCUCAUCCCUUCUUUUCUUCUCUUGCUAUUAAUGUGUUUUGGCAUUUGUUUGACUAAAAUUUAAUGGUUAUGAUAUCAUUUUAGCAUUAGGAAGGGGUUUGCAUUUUUUAUCUUGUAUAUGGCCUUUCAGGUUUUUCUAUUUGAAUUACACUCGGUUUUCUCUUAAAAUAGGAAUAUCAUAAAUUAUUUAUUUAUUCCUUUGAUCUUCUGAUAUGCCCUUCUUGUGUCUCUCUGUUUUGUACUUCUAACUACCAUCACUUUGAUCUAGAUAAAUUGAUCAUAGUUUUUCUUUUUUCUUUUUUGAACCCCUUUUAGUACCUUAUACCGUUCUUUGCUGGUUUGGACUGGUAGGUAUUGAUCUAUUGCUUCUGGGUUUGGGGUUUACUUUUAUGGGCCUCGCCGGUCCUUUUGUUUGCUCUCAUGUAUUUGAAAUGCAAUAACUAGGAAGACAGUUUUAAAUACCACACAUAAGUUACCUGGCAUGCCAGUUUGGUGCAGCUCUUUAUUGUGUUUGCUAGUAGUUUUCCUAAUAAGAAAGAAAAACAAGUGAAGGAACAUGCUUUAGUAAGAGGAAAACCUUCUACUUCUUAAUGGAUAUUUGGGUAUUGGAUGUAAAUUUUUUUAGAGUAUAUGAUGCUCUAAUUUGAUGCACACCUUCUCACCUUUAGAAGAUUUGAUUUAUGUUCUCUGGAGCACUCAAUUGUUGUUCACUUUUUAUGGUACAGUUGGAGCGAGGUUUGCAUGGCCUUGAGCCUGCUGUUGUAGCCAACUUUCCAACAAAGAAGUUUGCUGAUGAGUUUUUCUCCCCUGCAGAGGAUGCUCAGUAAGUCCUUUUCCUUGUGCUAUUCUUAGUAUGCUAGCUGUUUUGCAUUGUCACUCGUCUGGACUAGACUUGUGGGGUGAGAUUCUACACAUCCUCCUUUGUAGUGAUAUUUUGAUAUAAACCAUUAAGAUAUCUGCUUCCUAUGAUAGAGAGAAGAUAAAAAAUCAAAUCAUUUGAUUUCUAUAGGAAGUUAUCCCAUUAGAAUUUUCUGUCUGUGUGGCAUUGAAGUUUGGUCUUACAUUGGAACACACACUAGUCAUUUGGAGUCAAUCAUUUGAACUGAUGGAACUGAUCAUCAGAUGCAAAACUGAGGAGACAGUAGGAGUUUUCUUUUGUGUAAACCUCUGCUAUCUCUAUUAUUUGUUGCUGUCCCAAGGGGGAAGAAUAUGAGAGGGGGACAUGGAAAAAAAAUGGAAAUUGAGCGGUACAAUUUUUUCAUUUGUUCUAAUGCAAUUUUGUCACUGCAAUAUGUUUUAUGUUAAGUUUCUGUGUGGUUGCUAAAAAUUAUAAGAUCCAAAAUUUCCCUAAACCAGUUAGAAAGAGUCAACCCAUUUCAGAAGUCUUUUCAGACUACAGAUUUUAUCUGCAUAGUUUUUGGGUAAUGCUUAUGCCCUUUUAGUGCCUUUGGAUCAACCCUUUCCGGGUAAUGUUCGCUGGAUUGUGAAACUUCAGGGCUUUCCUGAUUACUUCCUUCUGUGUUCAUCUUUGUGAUGGCUGAUUCUGGGGCCACCUGAGUUUGAGCAUAAAAAAUCUGUUUCUACUUGAAACUGUCAUAUGAUGUAUCUGGGGCUUAACAUUUGCAAAAGAAAUUAUCAAUUUUGUGAAAGUAGUAAGAUAAAUGCAUAUUUGGAGACUGACAAAAUCUUAAGGCUUCUCUUUGAGAGCUUGUCAUCAGAAUAUUAUUUCUAUGCAGAGCUUCCAUGACUGAGAGUUGGAGGGAUUGAUGUUCUUCCAAAGGCUUUUCCACGAGGUUUUCUAGGGAUAUGGAUGUUAUUUUGGUUUGGAAAAAGAAAUUAGGAUUGGAAAUUCGUGGUCAGAUCAUAUUAUUAGGUUUUUCAUGAACACAAGGGAGGGUUCUCAUGUGGUAGGCUGCUCUUGUGUUUACAAAAAAAAAGGUGGCUUUCUUAUUUUGAUUGGUGGAUAGGGAUUGAUGGAUAGGAUUGAUGCUUGAGGGUAGACAAUUUGAUCAAAUGGGAAUUGGUCUGCUCUAAAUAGAGGCAUUAAGUGAAACAGUGAAUGCAAAUCGUGGAAUUGCAAAGUGACUUUACAUUGUUAGACCUUAUUGUUCUUGCUUUUCAAUGUCCAAUGCAUUCUCCCUUGGUUGGUCUUCUGCAUUUUGUAGGCAAGGAACAAAAUCUUGAUAGUGAUGGCCAUCUGAGAAAGAUAUCAACAAUUCUUUAAUACUGGUUUCAUCUUGGAAUAAAUGACAGAAAUUAAUACCAAAAAAUGAAAUUAAAAAUAAAAUCUUCAGGAAUUGCUGAUAGAUAUGAUAAAAACAUAACACACACACAAACACAAGAUGUUUUGGUUCAGGAGAUACAAGCAUGGUAUACGAUAUGGAAAUCUUAUUUUGAUCCACUAUUAUCUUGGAUAAGAGAACAAGAUAAAUUAUCAUUGCCACAUCUAUAUCCCUUGGUUGUGGGAUAUGAAAAACAUAUUAUAUAAGGAAGAUGGGAUUUUCAUAUCCCACAAACGAAAACAUAGAGAUUUGUGACAGAACUUUUUGAUGUACUUAAGGUCUUGUUUGGAAUCCUGAUAUCAAUAUAUUAGUUUUGCUUCCACAAGGAGUCCAUCUUUAUUGAAUCUUUUCAUUAUCUAAUUGCUUUACCUGCUUUACCAAAGUGUGAGGAGCCAAUUUUGUACACUUCAUUCUUGAAACUAUUCUGUCCUCUGAAAUAUGCAAGAAGCCCAUCUUGUUUAGUCAUCCGAUUCUUUAAGUUACACCACUCUCUCAAUUUGACAGUAAGGAGUUCAUCUCUUCUCUCUAAUUAACAUCACCACAGCUUCUUGAUAAAGACUUUGACUAGCUUCCUAAUCAAAAUCCACAUGGAUGAAUGUCUCCUUUCUCAUUGUCAUCAUAUUAUUUAGAUGUUUAGUUCAAGUGUAAUCAUCAAAUGCUGAGAUUUCACUCUCUUGACCACUGAAGGAAACUAUCAAAUUCAAACCUUACUCGAACCAUUAACCAGACACUAGAAUCAGCUAUUAAACUCUUUGCAUGUCCAGAUAUAUAUAUAUAUAUAUAUAUAUAUAUAUAUAUAUAUAUAUAUAUAUAUAAUAUCCUGUAAAUAUGUAUAUCUAUCAGACUGAAUAAUCUAUAAACCAAACUUGGCCAUUGAAGUUUGUAUCAUAAGGUUUACAAGUUCAUGGAUGAAAACCCAAAAUUGCAGAAAGAAAUAUUUACUUACAAGGAAACUAAAAGGGAUUUUGUAAAUAUGAAAAGAGUGUCAGACAACAAGACUGUAGAAAGUUGCAGAUAAAAAGGGCUGCCACAAGGUGCUAAAGAAGGCUGCAUUUGGAAGCCAACAAUGCUGUUGUACUGAGAUCUUUGAGUUCAUGGCAAUAUUUCUGAGACCAGCAAUGUCAGGGGAAAGAAAAAGGUGAUGAAAAGGAAUACCAAGAUCUUGGUAGUUCUCUAUUAGAAAAGGCAUGCUUGAGACUGAGUUUUCUUACCACUUACCAAGAUAUGAGAUCUCUCCAUUCCGAAUGAGAUUUUGGUCCAUGGUUAUAUGGUUGACAGUGUUUUGGGUUGCGACCUCUUUAAAGGAAAAAGUUUAGAAGCUGUUAGGUUUUUAUGGUACACUUCUUGGGUUUUACCCAGCAUGUACAUGAGUUUUGCGACUUCUUCCCUGAUUUCUUUGUACGCAUUCUUUUUUAUCCUAAAGAGAAAAAGGAAUGGUUUACUAUUUUGCUGCAUAUGUGAUAAGUUUGCUGAAAUAUUUGUCUUCAAUGCAGGCAAGCAAGCUAUUUGACACUGUAUUUAGAUAGUCUGAUGUUUUCUGUAACUAGGUAGGUCAGAAUUAGCCACUUUGUGAUGAUGUAGAUUGGUGCAUGGAGUUAGAAUUUCUUCUUAGUAAAGUUCUUGUCCUUCUCUGUUCAAAGUUUCAAGUCAUUCUGAUUCCUCUCUUUAGUCUUAUUCAUUACCACAAUUGGACCAUGAGGGGAGGAGAUGCAUGGAUAUACCUCAUCCAUGCAUAUAUUGCCUACAUUACCUCAAUAAUGUAGGACAAUCUUGAGGUGAUUACCUACAACCAAACAAAAUGGGAUAGGAUUUCGUUUAGAAUUCAAGGAGAGGAACCUUGAUUAAAGAUUGUGGCAGCAAGGAAAGAUAAAAUAAAAAGCAGAAAAAAGAAGAAAAUAAAUGGAGAAAAGAAAAAGGGAAAUCUUUGGUGGAAGGAAAAUGUAGGAACACCAAUUUGGAGCUUUUAGAAUUUUCUGAAUAAAGUACAAAAGGUCUUCAGAAAGAGUUGAAAACACGAAGGUGAAUAGAUUACUUAACACAUUUCAUGGACCACAAUAUAAAAGAAAUAUGAAUAUUACAACUUUCUUUUUUUGUUUUUUGCAAACUGUGCUAGGUUUACACUUUUUUGUCUUUCUCUUUAUACUCACUUGAAACACCUUUUACCCAAAGCGUAAAAGGAAUGGUCAAUGAUGAUUUUGUUUAUAUUUGAAAUCAAAUACUAUCUUAGAAGUAUUAUCAUUACUUUAGGUUGUAUUGAGUAUUUUGUUUCAUUCAUUAAACUAUUUUUUAUCAUGAUUGGAUAUAUUUUGUAUUAGAGACUAAUUUACUUUAGUAGAUUAAAGUGUUUACACAACAAAUCAAUUUCUUUGUUGAUUAUAGCAUAUUAGAACCUUUACAACAAUAUUUUAAAAUAAAAAAUAAAGCUAAGAAAACGCAAUUACCUAACUGUAAUUUCAUUCUUUUCCCUAUUUUUCACCUUAGUAAAAAUUUAAUACCAAACAUGAUUUUACAGUUUCAUUUUAUAAAAACUGUGUUUUUUUCUUUCAACCAAAUGGAUUUUCAAAAAGGAAAAAAUGAGAAAUGAAAAUUGUUUUCAAAAAACAAAAUAGAAAACGAAAACUAAAAACCAUUUUGCUAACCAAAUGCAACUUGAGAGUCCCAGUAUCAGAAAUUGUAAUGUAUGAAAAAAAAAAUUGAUAAUAUUUGUCAUCAUUUGGUUCUCAACAAUUUGACUAUUUAUAGACAUUAGAAAACCCAAGAAGACCUAACAAACUAUACAAAAAGAAACCUAAUCUAUAUAUUAACUUAUUAGAACUCCUAAUUCUUUCCUAAAACUAUAAACCUUCCACUUAAAAAAAAAAAACGGAAAAUUGAAAUUUUUAGAAAAUACUUUUUUAGAAAAUGGAAGCUUCUACAAAAUAAACACUUUUAAAAACUUGCCUUAUCCUAUUGGCUUAAAGUUCUAUUAAGAAAAAAGAAACCUUUUAAUAAAAUAGAAACUUUAGAAAAGCAAAACUUUCAGAAAAUAGAAGGUUUAAAAAUAUAGAAACUUCUUUGCCUCAAAUUCUAAAUGAGACUUAAAUGACCAACUAUUUACUAAUUAUGACUAUAAAGAUCCUUAAUAAGCAGAAUUUUCCUUUGAGUGCUUUUUCCUUUUCUGAGUAAAUCUUGAAGAACCUGAUCUGUGAAUGCUUGGACUUGGUUAUAUCAAUCAAUCUUCACUAUAUAUCCUAAUGCUAAGUGUCGAAACUUCCUUGACUUUUCUUUUUAAUUAAACAAACUCCCUCAACUUUUCUAAGCCUUUUUUCAAUUAUUUUGAGGCAUGCAUUCAAUUGUGUAUGCUCCUUUUCUACUCUAAUACAUUGAGUCUUACUUAUCAAAAAAAAUAAAAAAAUAUUUCUAGAACAUUUCUUGAAGGCAAAUGGAUCUCAUAUGUAGCAUGCUCUUAGGCUUUGAAGUUUGCUUAGGUGAGGUCCAAAAUUCUCAUCAUUGAAUUGUCUUGAAGAUCAGUUUCUCUUUGUUUUAUAUUUGGUUUGUUUAAUCUAAAAUUGAGGCUCUCUCUCCUCCUCUAUAUCCUCUUCUUCCACCCCUCCCCUCCCCCCCACCCCCCCUCUCUCUCUCAUAUCUUAUGUCACUCCCUCUCUCCCUUUCUCUCUCUCUCUCUCUCUCUCUCUCUAUUUAUAGUUUAUAUUUCUGAACUUUUUAUUUUCUAAAAAAUUCUUCUUCUCUCAAGUUUCUAUUUGAAAACUUGUUAGAAACUACUAGAAAAUCUUCAUUUUUAAUUCUAAAAGGAAAGUUUCUAUUUUCUUUUGAAUUAUAUUUUUUUGAAGACUCGAGAGUUUUAGAAAAGAAAUAAGAGUAUCAUAUUAUUUCGAUGACUUGAGAGUUUUACAAAAGAAAUAAGGGUAUCAUUUUAUUUUGAAGACUUGAGAGGUUUACAAAAGAAAUAAGAGUACUAAAAAGUUUCAUAGAAGUUAGAUUUCUUUUUUCAUAAUUUUAUUCAAGUUUUAUAGUUUUCUAAAGCCCAUAAAUAAGGCUAAUUAAUAUAAAAUGAAAUUAAUUAUCGAUGAUUAAUGAUAUUAAUUUUUUUCAUACCUUGCAAUUUUCAAUGGUGAGACUCUUAUAUGGUCUUAUUGAGACUUCUAAGGUUUUUUUUAUAUUGCUUCUCUAUGUUUUCUUUUCUUAUCUUUUGUUUAUUUUAUUUCUGCUGCUAUAAUUUUAUUUUUGUUUCUUUUGUUAAAUCUUAAAAGAUUGGAAUCCUAGCCCAUCUUAUUUGAUUAUAUAAAACCAUUCUAUGGUUGAUUCUACAUCACUCUCUCCCUUUCCUCUCCCCUUCUCCCUUUCUCUCUCUCUCUCAAGCAUGCACACACAAAUAGGGGACCUCUGGGUAUGGCUAUAUCAAUAUAUAUGAAACAAUCGUUGAAGGUUUUAAUAUGUUUUUGGAACCAAAUUCUUGAGUCAAUAUGAAUUGAUACACCAUUUUGUGAUACAUGCAAACAAAUACCAUUAUAGUUUGUGGAUUGCACCUAGAUAUCACUGCCUGUAAAGUGGUAUUUUUCACUUGCGGCUUCUUGUAGCAGUGGUUUGGAUGUGGGAUUUUGCUCAUUCAUUGUUGUCAUUAUUUAUGCUUCAUGAUUUUCCUGCUAAUGGUACUGGAAAAUAUCAUAAAUGGUAGGUGCACAGUUUGCCUAGUAGAAUACCAAGCUGAAGAUAUAUUGCGUAUUCUCCCUUACUGCGGCCACUUCUUCCAUGUUACAUGCAUAGACAUAUGGCUGCAGCAGCAUUCCACAUGUCCUGUGUGUCGAAUUUCAUUGUGGGAGUUUCCUGAGAGAAAAUGCUUGAUGCAACCCAUGUUCAGUUCAGCUGUUCGAUCACAUUUUGGCAUGGAAUCCCGCAACACACAUUCAUACAACUGUUUGUCAACUGGCCGUGGGUUUUCAUCGAGAUCUCACGACAACCACAGGAUGGACCCCAUUCAAGAGGAUCAGUUUGGGCCAGGAGGUGACGGAGCUGAAGCUCAGGAGAGCACCCUCCCCUUGACCGAUGCUAAUCAGCCUGCAAAGGACUCUGAAAAUAAGCACAUAGAAAGCCCAUCAAAUCCAUGAAAUCCUUCGUUUCUUGGAAUCCUGGCUGCAUUCAUCGUGCUUUCCGAUAGAAUCAAAUUGGAAUUGAAAUUUAUUAAAACCAUCUCCUUGGAAUGCUCUUUUUUUUUUUUAAUUUAUUUUUGUGACUCACUGUAUAUAUACGCAAAAAGUUAUUCCCAGUUUUCCCCUUAGACAGUAGCUUAUUGGUGGGCAUUUUUGUUAGUUCAGUUGUAAAAUUGAAUUCCUUAAAGCUUGCUGGAGUCUCCUUAGAGGCAUGUCCCAUGCAGCAUUUCCACAUCCGUUCGGGUCCAUCCCAGAGCGAGUAUUCAUUGUGAGUUAUUAUCUAAUAAUAUGCAAAUGUACGCCUCCGGAUUCCUUACUAUUAUUUUGACUUUGUGCCCACUACUCGGUGACCAGUCCUUUUCUCAUUCCUGUCAAUGUCCAGGAAAGGAUUAGUAGUACAAGAAAAAGAAAAAGUGGGAAGGACUGAGUCAUGGAGGAAUAGCAUACAUGCAUUUAUACAGUUGGAGUAAAAAUCAGAGUGAAAAAGAGUUAUCCCUGAGGGAUGGUUUGAUUUGUACUCUUCUCCCCCGUCACCAAGGGAUGCAUUGCUACAAAUGCUUUUCUUAUGAAAUACGCAGUCAUUUCCCAGAUAGUACUUUUUACUAAAAAUAAAAAUUUAUUAAUCCUCACAGCCAUUGAAGGAGUUGUUUCCAUUUCUAUAUCGAGUCAUUGUGUGUGGACCUGUUUGGUUCGCCAUAAAUAAAACUGCAGAGAGGGUGAGGGACGAGGGAUGUCUUGCAUGUGAGGUAUUUUGAUGGACUCCCUGUGGGCCUUCAAGACAUUGGCAGUUCAAUGGACUUCAUCAAUUCAUUACAGCAACUCCACCCGCCCAACAACUUUUCUUUAUUAUACCAUGUCCUCCCCGUCACUCCCUCUCUUCUUUAUUUUCAAAUCUGUCAGAGCAUGUUGUGUUGGAGCCACAUGUUUGGGAAAUGAUAAUACUUUUUACUAAAAAUAAAAAUUUAUUACAUUCUCAUUUUCAACCUAAUAAUAAGUCUAUUUAUAAUAAACUAAUUACUAGGAUUUUCCUAUUAAACCAAAAGUCCUAAUCAAUAUAGAAAACCUAAAUAAAUAACAAUUUCUAAUAUUUUUCAAAAUUUUAAAAUUCUUCUAAUUUGACUUUAAGUCAUAUUAUAAUUUUAACAUCUUCCCUUAAUUUGAGUUGUAAAGUCAAUCAUACCAAGCAUCAUCUUAAACUUCUCAAACACAUUUGUCUUUAGUGGCUUUAUAAAUAUAUUUGUAACUUGAUCUUCUGAUUUACAAAACUCAAGUUCGAUCUCUUGAUUUUUCAUGAGUUCCUAAUAUAAUGAAAUUUGAUGUUUAUGUGUUUGCUUCUACCGUAAAACAUCAUAUUCUUUGUCAAUGUAAUAGUAGACUUAUUAUUACAUAAAAUCUUUGUAAGACCCUUUUGUUUAUAUUUCAAUUCACCAAGCAUCCUACGAAACCAAAUUGCUUGAUAUGCUACGGAAGUAACUGUCAUGUAUUCAACUUCUAUAGUUAAUAAUGCUAUAACUUGUUGCUUCUUUGAUGACUAUUAGAAUGCUCAUGUUCCAAGAUAAAAAACAUAUCUAGCAGUACUUUUUCUAAUCUCUACAUCACUUCCUUAGUUACUAUUUGUGUAGCCCAUUAAACUGAAAUUGUUUGAGUAGGAGUAGAAAAUUCCAUGAUCACAAGUACCACUUACAUACCUCAAAAUUCGUUUUGUUGCUUGCAAGUGUGAUUGAUACAGUUUUUCCAUAAAUCGACUAAUAAUUCUCACUCCUUAAACAAUAUAUGGUCUAAUAGAAGUUAAAUAACGAAGACUUCCUACUAUGCCCUUGAAAUAUGUGGGAUUUGCUAAUUUUCUAGUGUUUUUUUUUUUUUCAUCUUUAGUCGCUCUAUAAUAGGAGUAUGGAUUGUUGAUGAUGAUUCCAUCUUGAAUCACUUUAGAAUGUUUGUCAUGUACUUUUUUGUGAGAUAAAGAUACCAUCAUCUAUUUGUUGGACUUUAAUUCCAAGAAAAUAGGACAUUAAUCCCAAAUCUAUCAUUUCGAAUUGUUGUUUCAUUGCCUCAUUGAAAUCUUUAAACAUCUAUUGGCAAUUUCCUAUAAAAAUUAAAUCAUCUACAUAGACACAUACAACAAUUAUAUCACCAUUAAGAAUUUUAUUUGAUAUAAAGUGUAUGCUUAAAAGAACUCUUUUGAAAUUCAUGCCAUAAUAGAUGAGUAUCAAUCUACGUGUACCAAGCACGUGGUGCCUACUUUAACCUAUACAAUGCCUUUUUGAGUUUGUGAACUUGUUUCUGUUACCCUUCCUUAAUAUACCCUGGUGGUUGUUCAACAAAAACUUCUUAUUCAAGUACACCAUUAAGAAAAGUUGACUUCACAUCCAUUUGGUGAAUUGUCCACCUUUUUUUGAGCUUUAAGUGCAAUUAUCAUGUGAAUGGUAUCUAAUUUAGCAACUGGUGUAAAAACUUCAAAAUAAUCAAUAUCUGGCUUUUUUUUAUAGCCUUUUACAACCAAUAUUGCCUUGAAAUCGAUCAACAUUACCAUCAGGUUUAUAUUUUGUCUUAUAAGCCCAUUUAACACCUAUAGGCUUCUUUCUAACUGGAAGAGUAGUUAACUCCCAUGUAUUGUUCUUCUCUAUGGAUUGAAUUUCUUCAUUCAUUCCUUGAAUCCACUUCUCAUCGCUUGCUUCUUCAUAUAAAUAGGAUCACAAUCUACAAAUAGACAAAAGUUAACUAAACCUUCAUCGAUGAGUUUGAUAUCUUUCAUGACUUCAUAAUCCCUUAGAUGUGUAGGCAUAAUGCGAGAAUGUUUUGGGCAACCUUGUGAUUCAAUUUUUUGCCUUAUUUUUGUUUACAUUGGAGAACUUCUAAUAGGAGAAUGCAUAUUUGAAAUAGAUUUAUCUGUAAUAGAAUCCUUCAGAUUCUCGUUGUCUUCCACAAAGUUUUCUUCAAGGACAACUCUUUUUUCUUCAUUUUGUGUUUGAGUCCAUUUCCACCUCUUGUUCUCUAGGAAUUGAACAUCUCUAUUCACAAUCAACUUCCCUAUUUCUAGAUCAUAUAGUUUGUAACCUUUAGUUACAUCACUAUAACAAAUGAAAAUACACUUCUCAUUUUUAUCAUCAUUUUUUUUCUGUGCUCCUUUGGUAUAUGGGAAUAUGUAAUACAUCCAAAAAUUUGCAAAAAAGAAACUUCUAGUUUAUGACCACUCUGAGCUUUCUCAGGUGUUCUUCCAAAGACUAUUUUAGCGAGACAUUUAUUCAAUAAGAACACUACACGAGUAACAACUUUUGCCAAAAAAGUUUUUGGAAGAGACUUUGCCUUCAACAUGCUUCUUGUCAUUUCAACAAUGGUUUUGUUAUUCCUUUUAGCUAUACCAUUUUGUUAAUGUGUAUAACUAGCUGUCAAUUUUUGUUGAAUACCCUGACUUUUGCAAUAAUUAUACAACUCAUUGGAGGUGAACUCUCUAUUAGAAACCUCAGACCCCUCCAUUCUCAUGCCUUAGAUCUCAUAGGGUGCAUAAAAAUUUAUCCUAGACUCUUUAAAUCUAUUGCAACAGAAAACUAGGUAUUUAAAAACCAAUAUUGAUACUACAAAAAUCAUAGAUCUAGGAAAUAAAGCCACAUACCUUUGAUCCAGAUGUUCCCAAAUUGAUUUCAAUCGAUGUAAAUAACUCCAAAGUCCUAAUGAAUCUCGUAAACACCAUGAUCUUCUGCUUGAUGACUCUUCAUUGUGUCUAAGCAUUGGGAUAGUUGAGAUCUCGAGGGUGGAGGCUAGGGUUUUUUUUUAGACUAUAGGGAGAAAAUGGCAAGACAUGGAAACCCUAACCCUUAAGGGGGUAUUUAUAUGUUUCCUACUAAGUUUAAGUAACUUAAACCCACCAUGGUCUUGGGUCACUUAAUCAAGCCCAAAAAGGUUGCUAAUUGAUUAAUUAACCAUACAAGGUCCUAAUUAAUCAAUUAGCCUAGUCUAGAGAUACCACUCACUUAUUCUCAUGCAACCUUGUGUAAUUACCAAAACGCCUUUAUGCACAAAAGUAAACUAAAAACCCAUCAACCCUCAUAAAUCGUGCCACCAAGGAAUGAGUUCAGAGCGGGGACUAUUAAGACCCAUAAGAGUACUGGCUCCUUGAGAAUCAAAUUCUAAAACUGACUCAACAUCCCACUAUAGAGAGUCAAUUACACUCCAGUACCCUAUGUACAUUACAACGAUACACCAAGUGCUUGAGUUCGUGACCUAUUAUCCAUUGCAUGCAGACUCUUCAUGAACCGAUACCCAUAAUCUAAUAAGGUAGUUUUAUCACUUAUCAAGAUUACCUAUUAAAUCCUUGAGUUAUAGAUCUCACUUAUUAUGUUAUUAACUAACAUACUUUAUCUCUAAGGAGCAUAUAUCAAAUUACGCUAAUGGAAUUAUUGUGACCAUAAAUUUCAUGAUCACAUGUCUUUUGGAUCGACAUACUAUCGUAAUUCCAUGAGAUAUCAUGGUGUUUCCAUUGAGAAUGCCUGUUGCCACUAACCUCCAUCAAUAGUGACCCAAUCCAUAGGGAUAUAUGACCACUUUAGGGUCUCAUUUAUAGGUCAAAGUCUUGUGUUGAUUUUGAUAUAGACUCAAUAUCCUCUCAAGGUUGAGAGUCCAUGCAGUAUAAUAGUUUGGUGAAUCAUGACAAUUGAUAGCCUUGCGUCAUGAUUCACCAUAGGUUUUGUCUAGUGUGUAUUACAUACACUAGUGUACUCACUAUGGGAAACCCAUCCCAAUAGCCAAGAUAAGUCAUUCCUCCAAUUAGGAAGUUGUGCACUACAAUCUCUACUAGAUUAUCCAAAUCCAUGAAUUGACUAUGGACAACUUAUUUACUUACAAGGAACCUAUGACUUGUAUCUUCUAUGUAACUCUUAAUGCACCCAAGUCAUAUACAAUGUAAGAGAUAUGAGCUAAAUGCUCAAAUCAAUGUCAAUACACCAAAAUGAUAGCAAUGAGAUAAUUAAGUCUAAUUUUGUUACAUCAUGUCUUGCUUUUAGGGGCUCAUCCCAAUACUCUCCUCUUAUAUCAUAUCUUAAUAUCUUAAUAUUACAACCACUUUGUCUUUCAAUAGGAACUUUGAAUUCUUUAAACUUGUUAAAAGCCUUAGAUUUUUCUUUUAACAAAUAAAUCCAAUUUUUUUUUUUGUAAAACCAUCUAUAAAGGUCUGAAUAUAUUUGUUGUGACUAAGAGAUCUUUUACCACCGAGAUCACAUAUAUAUGUAUGCACCGACUCCAAAGGUUAUUUACCUCUUUUGAAUCUUCCAAUUGGAAAAGAAUUCUUAUGUUGUUUCCUAAUGAGAUAUCUUUAACAUGCAUGAUCUAGAAUAUCAAUCAUAAGUAAUCCUAUUACCAUAUUUUUUUUGCACUAACAACUUCAACCCAUGAAAAUUGAAAUGACCCAAUCGAAGAAGUAAAAGCCAAUUGCUAUUUCCACUAUUGCCUUCAAACUGAAUAAAGUUUCUGCUUGAAGAAACAUAAGAAACAUCUUAUUCUUUGUCAUCUGCAUAUUGAUUACUACUCAAAAAGUACUAUUUCAUAGCUUGUAAUUAACUCUUUUAAACACUUUUGAGUAGUAGUUAUCACCUUUUAACCCAAUUAACAUAUUAAGGACCAUUGCAAUCAAUUCUAAUCAAAUUGUGUUAAGUUUUGGUGUUUUGAUAGCUUUUUGAUCACCAAAGCAAUCCGAGAUUGAGGAGAGUUCUUUGGAAUCCUUAAGCAAAUCCAGAAUACAAGGAGUAUGGGAUCCUGCACAUUCCACCCGGGAAGGAAUUCCAUCCGGUUGCCGCCACUUUACACCCGGCUGACGCCGCCAUUCCAUCCGGCUGCCGCCACUUUCCACCUGGAUGUAUCACAUCCGAAAAUCUGCUACCACCAUUCCACCUAGAUGUUUCACAUCCGGAAUUCUGGCCGGGUGACGCUCCACAUUCUCCGGAUGUUUCACAUCCGGCAGACAUAUCUGGAUGGGAGAAUAGAGCGUUUCAACUUCCACGAUCAGGCAUAUCCGGAUCCGCCGACAGCGCUCGCCCGGAGAGUUUCGCAGCCAAUUUUGCACAGUGCCGCGGUGUUCUCCUGAAGCUUCCCAAUAUGUGCCACUGACAUUUUGAGAUAUUUUGGGAUAUUUUGAGAUAUUUUUGCUUUAGAUAUUUGUUGUCUAAAUCCCCAAAAUCUCCUUGUAACCCACCAAUUAUAGGAUUCCUUAGUUAUUAAGUUUGGAAAAAGGAUGAAUAACCUUGUAGAUAUUAUUAUUGUAAUUUUCAUAUAAAUAUAUCUCGGGAGCCUGUUCUCGAGGGGAACGCAACUUUUGUAUAGUUUUCAAAGGAAGAAAAAUACAGAGCUUUGCUCUGCUUUUACCUUCUCAUUUUGAUUGUAUUUUUCUUACUAACCAAACAACCUUUGAAGAUGUUUUCCCAGAGGAUGAGAGGCUAAACCUUUGGUUUCUUAGAGUGAAGGAAGCUGGGUGAAAAGUCUAGAUGCAAAAGUGGAAAACUCUCGUGCUUUAAAUACAGGUAGUUGGAGUUCAUAAAUGACUUUUAAAUUUAAAGUUUUGCUUUAAAUCCCUUAUAAUCACUUUGAAUGGCCAAUACAUGAUAAGCUUUUAGGUCUCUGUGGAUACUUAUUGCUAGAUCCACAUAAGACCAUUAGUUAUCAUGUACGAGCCAUUGGAAAGUGGCUCAAGGUAAAGACCCAUAGUGUCUAAAGCCAUUAAUAGAACUUGACUAUCAUUUCUAUUGACUUUUUAUGGAUUAAAUCUUCAUUGUUAAACCUAUACCGGUUCGGGAAACAACCAUCCUUUAUGUUGUUGUCCCCAAUACGAGGAGAAAAAUCCGGAAUUUCCCACUUUGCAUUCUGAACUUGAUCCUAGCAACCUUUAGCUCCGGGAGACUUUCUUUCUUCCAUUUUUACCUAGUUCUAUGUUAGUUUAGUUUCAAACACCACUUUCAAAACAAAUUUUAUUUUCUUUUAAACUUUAAGUUUUUGACAAAGGAAAUCAUUAGAUUCAAUUUCUAAUCUUGAGUCUAUCACUGGUAGAGUGAAAACCCAUCCCAGAGUUCGACCCUAGAGCUGCUAUACUAUAGUAGCUUUGCUACGCUAGUAUGAGGUCAUAGGAUUUAGAAAUAUUUUUGAUUAAAAUACCCGGCUGGGCACGAAUCACAUAUUUUCAAUCAUUUUCUUAUUUUUAUAACUAAGGGUACAACCUCCAUUAGAGAUAUUAAUGAUAUGCCAUUUUUCUUUUAAUUGUCUUAUGCUUAACAAAUUCUAAAAAAGAUCCGGAACAAAAAAUACAUUUUCUAUAUUAACAUUAGUGUCAUCUUUAGAACAUAUUUUAACAUUACCUUUGUCUAUGAUUGAAACUUUGGAUUUGUUUCCAAAAUUAACUUCAUCUCAGACUGAUUCAUUUAAUUGUGAAAACAAUUCCUUUUUAUCGCACAUGUGAUUGCUACAUCUUGCAUCAAGAUGCCAAAAAUCUUGGCAGUUUACAUUUGAUGUUGCUACAUAGCAAGCUAAUACCAAAUUUUGCUGUACCUUGGUGGUGUUUGCCUACUCAUCUUGUUCAUUAUGCAAUUUUGUUCGACAUUUUGUCUUAUAAUGUCCAUGUUUUAUACAUUUGAAACAUUGCAUAUGUGACUUGUCUUUAGAUCUAGAAGUGUUGCCUCUUCCUUUAGAAGAAUUUGUGUCACCAUCUCCAUUUUUUUUUGUUAAAGUUGUUGUGUCCUCCUUUACUUCUACCACAACCAAAGCCUUUGCCACAAGGCUUGCUCCAAAUUUGUAAAGUUGAUUCUUUAAUUCAUUCGUUGUUUGUGCAAACACAAUGGACUCAUUUUGCUUCCACUGUGAGAGUGAAAAUUUCGUUUCUUUUUUCAAUUGUUGCAAUAGCAUAGUCAAAACUUCCACUUAAAGAUCUUAUCAUUUUCUCUACUAUUCAUUGAUCAUUAAGUUUCUCACCAUUAACCUGCAUUUGGUUAACAAUGGUUUGUACAUAAUCAAAGUAACAUGAGAUGGAUUCAAAGUCAUUCAUGCGAAGAGACUCAAAUUCACCUCUUAAUGUUUGCAACUUCAUUUGCUUAACACGUUCAUCACCUUUGUAUAAUUUUUGUAGAGUAACAUAUACCUCUUUUGCCGUUUCUAACUGAGAGAUUUUCUUAAAUAUUGCAUGGAGUGAUUUUUUAUUUUUUAUUUCGAGAAUCUUUCAAUGAUUCUUUCUACUAUUUUGAUAGUACCUUAAAUUCUUUUGAAUUGAUCAUUUUGUUGUAACCACUAUUCAUUAGAUCCCAUAAAUCUUGAGAUCUAAAUAAGACACGCAUCUGAAUGCACCAAUUAUUAAAAUUCUUACCUGUGAAUUUGGGAGUUGAUGAUGAAUUAAGUUAUUGUUUAUAGCCAUAAUUUCACCAACAAAAUUGCAAAUUUCUUGUGAUUUUGCACAUUCCUUAUUAUUCUAGCUCUUAUAUGACAUUUCACUUUCCUUGAUCUUUUGGCUUUGAUACCAAUUGUUGGAGCCCACACGAUUAGGAAUUGAUAAUACUUUUGCUAAAAAUAAAAAUUUAUUCCAUUCUUAUUUUCAACAUAAUAACAAGUCUAUUUAUAAUAAACUAAUUAUAUUUGUACUAGGACUCCAAUUCCUAUUAAACCAAAAGUCUUAAUUAACAUAGGAAAGCUAAAUAAAAUAACAAUUUCUAAUAUUUCUCAAAUGACUAAAAUUUUUCAAAUUUGACAUUAAGUCGGAUUAUAAUUUCAACAUGUUGGCUAAGGGAAUACUUCUCAUUGUGAUAACAAUUUUUUAAAACAAUGGAUUAAUAUUUUCUAAAAUAAAAAUCUAUUUGAAAUCUUGAAAUAUUCUUAACUUUUUUUUUUAUAUAUUUUUAAAUAUUUCUUACAAAUAACUUUUAUGGUUAGAGUUUUAUUUUCAAUUAUUUUUCACAUUUUUACAAUUAUUUUUUAAAAUAAUCAUUAGAAAACAAAUGCUAAUAAUAAAAACAAUUAUAAUAUGUUAUCAUAAAAUAUCCUAUUUUCAAAAUAAAUUAUCAAAAAACUAUUUUCUAUCAAAAUUUAUGAAGCAUAAUUAUCCUUGGCUUUCAUAUGAAUCAAUAUAUAUAUAUAUAUAUAUAUAUAUAUUGAUUCAUAUGAAAGCCAAGGAUCAUUAGGUGAAUAUAAUUUUAUUAAUACCAAUUUUUUCUUAAUUUUUCAUCAAAAUUAAACAUGUAAAUGGAUACAUAUUUCUUCUAUUUUUUUUUCUUUUCUCAUGGAUAUUUUUGAAAUCCCAUCAAAGGCAAAAUGCUUUUAAAUUAUCAAAUUUCUAUUAUAAUUUAUUUGUGAAAUGUUUCUUACAUGCUUUUCUAGGUGCUUAAUAAUUAGUGGUUGCAACAUAAAAAUAUUUUCAUAAUGAUAUAAAGUUCUAAUGGAAACAAACGACCCCAUAUAUCCUAAAAAUAUGCAACAUAUAUUAAUAUUAUAGCACAACAAAAUAUUCCCACCAUGCGGUUGAAAUUGUUGUGACAACAACAAUUUUAAUGCAAAACAAUAUUGGUUCAAGAACACUGAUAAAAUAAUCUACAUAAACAUAAACAAAGUUUUAGCAUGGUUCAGUCAAUUAUAUUUGCAUUUACGAAUAAAAGAAAAUUAUUAUAUUAUAUUAUAGAAAAUAUUAUAUAAGAUAGAAAUAGAUACAAUUCUACAAACCCCUUACUUCAUUAGGUAUCUCCCAUUUUUCCUAACAUCUCUAUCCACUUUUACAAUUGUUACAAAUCUAUCUCCAUCUAAAAUAUUUUAUAUAAUAUUCUUUACAAAAAAAGAAAUAUAUACUAAUUUAUAAUAUUCCUUACAAAGAAGAAAUAUAUACUAAUUAGAAAUUUGUGAUACUUUCCAACAAAAACAUGUAAGAGACCACCUCAACAUUAUUUUCCCUAGAAUUUACUUUAUGGUUUAGUAAUGUACCUUUUAUGUUUAGUUGGAAUUGCAAUUUAAUUGAAUAUAAAAGGACUUAAAAAAAUUUAAGCCCAGUAAAUUACACUUCCCCUUAAAUUUUUUUUAUAAUUAUAUUUUUCAAAAGUUCCCAAAAAUAAUAUAACCUUCUUUGUUAGAGUUUUUAUCCUAAGACAUAAAAUAAAAAUUAUGAAAAGCAAAAAUUUUGUUUUAUACAUUAAACUUAUUUAUAGUGGGAAAAAAUUCAAUCAAAUAAAGCUCUUUUAAGCCUCCAACAAUGCAUUAGGAUUAACUUUUUAAAAAUUAUAAGUUAUUUUUUAAACUAUAUGUGAGUUUUCAUAUUUAUUUAACUAUUUUUUUUUAUCAAAAAAAUUAUGAUUUAAAAAAUUUUUAAUAUAAAAAAAAUAUUACUUAAAAUUCUGUUUUAACUUAUAAAAAAUUUAAUAAUAUUAAUAUUAUGUUUUUUAAACCUAUAGCUUUUAAGUAGUUUUUUUUUUAAAAAAAUUUUUUUUACUUCCAACUAGAAUUAAAAUUUUAAAAACUUUCCGAAAGAAUGUCAUAUUAUACAAUUUUUGCACACAUGAACAAAUUUAAUGUUAUCUAAUUCAAUUUUCUCAUUUAAAAAUGCAAUCAUGAGAUGACCUUUCCUAAAGGAAUUUAAAUUAAGUGAAAAAAACAUAAAAACAAAAAAAGUCAUGUUCCCAUGAUUGAACCUAUAAAAUUGAGGAAGAUAAAUGCAUCCCAUAAAUAACACUCAUUGUAGUAAACAACCAUGGUUGUGGGGCCAUACCUUAUGAUGUUGUGCUCCUCAAAUAAAUAAAUUAAAAGAAAACAUAAAAUUAAUUUUCAUGACCACAAGCACCAAAGUAAAGAAGGCAUCCAUUGAAAGUUUAGGAAAAACAAUUAUAUUUGCAUCCACAAUAAAUAUACAUUCUUGUUCUUCUUGUUCAUCAUCAUCCUCUAUUUCUUCUCUUCUAAUAUUUCUAUAAUGCUAAUAAUUUUUUCAAGAAAGUUAUGUUUAAAUAAGCUAAUAAUAAUCUCUAAUAAUAUUAAAAGUGCAUAUGUAUACUUAUUACAAUAUAUUUAUUUAUUUUUCAUUUUUUGAGCUAGAAAAAAAAGUGUUCAGAGUUGCAACGUUGAAUGAAUUACAACUAUUCAACAUUGUAUUUCUAGACAUUCUUAGAAUGACAUAAAGAAGAUAUGAGAGGAUUUUGUGGACAAAAAAUUACAAUUACUUUUACUUGUAAAAGAAGUAAAGUAUAGAGAGAUUCAAUGAAGAAUAAUAUCGAAUAUAAGAGUAAAAAGAAAGGGAAAAAAAGAUUAGGAAGGAUAAAGAAAUAUGAAUGUCAUAUACUCUUAAAGGUAUGAAGUUGCCAACAAAUGAUAAUUGGAUAUUGGUUGUUAAAUAUGGAAGACAUAAUCAUGUUGGAGCACAAUAUCUCAAAGGAUAUUUUUUUCGUGAUUAUUUAAGUCAAGAAGAAAUGAGUAUCUUAGUUAAUAUGUCAAAAAGUAACAUCAAGCCAAAAGAGAUUGAAUAGUUUGAAGCAAAGAAGUAACCUUAAUUGUAACACAUUGAGGACAAGAUACAAUGUAUAGUAUAAACACAUAAAGUAAGGGAAUAUGGUGAGAGGCCACAAAUGCAACAAUUGAUGCACAAAUUAAUGGAGUUGAAUUACAUUAAAUGACAUAGAAGGGAUGAACAAAAUGAUUGUAUUAGAGACUUGAUGUUCAUCCACCCAAGAUCCAUUGAUUAAUUUAUUGUUAGCAUUUUCACUAGUGUUAAUCAUGGAUUGCACUUACCAGCCGUAUAGUUAUAAGAUGCCUUUACUCAAAAUAGUUGGUGUAACAUCAACAUAUAGGACAUUUUCUAUUACAUUUUCAUAUCUUAAGGGUGAAAAAAAAAAUAGGCAUUACACAUGAGCCUUACAAAAUUUGAAAAGUUUGAUUCAUAAAAACUUCAUUCCAAGAGUACUUGUAAUUAAUGGAGAAUUUGCUCUUAUGAAUGAGUUACAUAAUGUGUUCUCAACCUCUUCACAUCUUCUAAGUGGCUUAUAUUGAAAAAUAUUUUCACAAAUUGUAAGAAAUGCUUUGAGUAAAAAACAAGGCGGGAGGCUUUUAUUUUCAUGUGGAAUGUUUGAUGUUUGCCAUUUAGAAAAGGCAUGUGAGUACCAUCUUACUACCUUUGACAGGCAAAACCAAAGGUACACAACAACAACUAAAUAUUGCAAAGUUCAAUAGUUAAUUUCACCUAAAGAGAAGUUUGUAGCAGUUUGGAUAGAUAAACUCAUGCAUUUUGAUAAUACAAUAAAACAUAGGUAUAAUUAUUUUUUACUUUUUUUUUUUCGAAUAAUGUGUUUUAAUAUGUAAUAUAUAUUAAGUUCAAAUUUUCUUCAAUAUUAAUCAUGGUAGAAAGUUCACAUGUCUAGUCGAAGAGACAAUUAGGCACACCUCAGAUGAUUUUGAGGGCUUUUGAUUCAAAGUCCAUGCCAUGUUAGAGUUAUAACACAUGAAAAUAAAGACAUCAUUUGAGAUGAGUGUAAUUAGUGUCCAAUACAACAUGAAAAGUCAUUUGUUUAGUGAAUUAAGGGGUAGGAUUUCCAAAUUUGCACCAAGUGUUUUGGCUGAUGAAGGAAAAUGAUUUGAAAAUGUUGGAGUGAAUGUAUUUGCAUGUGGAUGUGCAUAUAGAUAGACUCAUGGACUGUGCAUAUGAGAUCUCUUUAUAUAAAAUUAAAGCUUGACCAAUCCUUUUAGCAUCAUUAGAUCUUCAUUUGAGGAAACUCAAUUUAGUUCCUAUUAAGAAUUGAAAGACAAAGGAAAUGGGUUAUGAAACUAAUAUGGGACACUUCCAUAAAUAGUUCUUAAGCAAUAAUCCAAUUGAUAGGAAAAAAUUGCUAUAGGAGGUGAUGGAAUUAGCUACUCCAAAAAUCACAUCUAUAACAUCCCUACCCACACUAGAAGAAGAUGAGAUAAAAAAGAAGGUCAUCAUCUUCUAAGAAGAAUGAUUCAUUAACUCGUAGGGAUCCAUCUUUAUUGGAGUAUGUCUCACAAAAUGGGAUGAGAAAAUGAUUAUUGUUACUACAUCAUCAUAAUAAAAGAGAAGGUUAAAGGAGAUAAUAAGAUGAUCAUGUAGGACUAGCUACAUUUGCAGGCUAUUUGCAACCUUAUAUCAUGCAUGUAAAAGAUAUGGGAACAUAUCAUAGUUGUAGAUAUUGAGCUAGAGCUUCUACUUUAGGAAUGAGUGAUGAUGGUUGGCCACAUGAUAAGCAAGACAUGUUUUGAGAGUUUCCACUUAUCAUAUAGAGUUUGAUGAGUCGUUUUAGGGAUAACUUGCAAGUUGAUGAGCUCCUUCAUGCCUUAAAUUUCUUUUACAACCUUGUUGUGGUUAACAGAUGGAUGACCAUGACCAAUAUGAGGCACACUAUAGCUUCCAAAUACAAUGUUGUACUUGUCCAUAUAUCGAUGCAGUAGUGUCUUACCUUUUUUUUUUUUUUUUCAAUCGAUGCCAUAUCUAUACUUAUGCGAAAGAUUAUAUCAAUUAGUUUUAUUAAUGAAAAUCAUGUUGUGGAGGUAAUUUCAUGAAUACUAAUAUAUUUUAUUUACAAUACCCUAUGCUUACUUAAUGAAAUAAUUUUCCAUAUUCUAAAAUUUUUUCUAGGUUUUAAUGCAACCUAAAACCCUAAUGAAACCUAUUACUAGUAGUUUGCAUAUGAGUUGAUAUCAUUGUGCUAAGGGUUCCACAACUCCAUAUGUACCUUCCAUUAUGAUGCUUUGCUGUUGAAUUUCUAACAAUAUUAUCACAUAAGAUAUUAUAGAUUUAGGUGAUAAUUAUGAUGUAUUGUAUUAUUAAUAUGGUAUAAUGAUUUAGAUGUUUAUGUCAAUUUCAUUAUAGAUGGUAAUGCUUAUAAUACAACACCUCUAGGAAUUUGCAAUAGAUCAAUAUGUAUAAAAGGUAUCCAACACUAUACCUAUGAUAGGAUAGCCACUAACCUCGAUCUAAUUUUCUACAUAGACAAGUACGAGACCUGUCUAUGUCACUACAUAUAAUCAGGUGCACACUCUGAUGGAUAUGUCACACGAAUAGCAUUCAUUGUAGCUUGUGCACUAAAACAUUAGAUAUAGGUCCUAUAAUGAAUACAUUGUUGGAUAAACCACUAGAUCUAAUAAUAAUGAAAGCAAAAUUAUGCACUAAAACAUUAGAUAUAGGUCCUAUAAAAACCAUAUCUUUGGAUUUGGAUGUUCUUAUAUUCCACUCUAGAUGAUACAGAGAUCUAAAAAACCUUGUGAUCUUCUACCCAAUCACUCCUUUAAUUCUUGACACUUGUAUAGAGUGGCUACACACCUUAAGAGGGAACAAGAUGGAAUUUGGGGUUUUUGAAAGACAUUUGAUUUAAAAAUUAAAGUCUAACCCUAAAACUUAAGAGGUUCAUAUAAACUCUCCUAUGGGCUUAAGUGACUUAGACUAACUUAGGUUUGGGUCACUUAAUCUAACCUAAUAGGUUCUAAUUAAUCAAUUACCUUAAUAAUCUCUAACUAAUAAACUAGUCUAAUCCAAAAAACUUAAAAUAAAUAAAAGUUGUUGUGCAACCUUGCACUUUAGCACAAUGCUAUUAUGCACACAUGAUUAAAUCUUUUAUUUUUCUCAAGCCUUUGUAUCAAUAAAGAAUAUGAGCUCGAGAGGGGGCCAUUGGGACCCAUAGGAAAAUAUUGAACCCCUUAUAAUCCAAUUCUAAAGUUGAUUCAACACUUUACUGAAGAAAUUCAAUUGCACUUUAGUAGCCUAUGAAAUUACAUUAAGAUUAAAAUUGAUUAAAUUGGAUUUAAUCAAUUUCUCAAGUGCAUGACCUACUAUCAACCACAUGCAGGCUCUCCAUGAACUUGUGUAUAUAAUCUAACGAGGUAAAAGUUAUUGACCUCUCAAGAGAUAAUAUUAUAAUAGCCUCAGAUGGAUUGCCUAAGUCUAUAAAUUGUUUGUGAACAAUUCAUAAACUUGCAAAGAACCCAUGAUUUCGAUUAUUUAUAUAACUCUUAAUGCACUUAAGUCAUGUACAAGUGAUGUAAGCUUAAAUGCUAAGAUAAAAUAUUAAUGCAAACAUGGAAAAAAAGUGGAGUUAUAUGGUUUAAAUAUAUAAUAUUUUAAUCAAAUCUCAUUUUAUUACAUCAUGUUAUGAUUUUAAAGUAUCUAUCCCUUAUGGGAGCCCUGGAUUUUAUAGGUACAUGCAAUCUACCCUUGGCCUUUAGAUCUUAUGCAACGAAAGUGAAAAAUAGUAAUUUUAAUAAUCAAGGAUCUAGAUUAAAAGCUUUAGAAAAUAAUACCUUUGAUUUGGAUAUUCUUAAAUCAAAUCCUAUCAGAGAAGAUCAAAUCUGAAAGUAUUGAAGGUCUCGUACACCCAAAAUUUUCCUCCCAAUGGCUCUAACUUGAUCUUGACCCUCAAUUGGUGGGGAGGUAUGAGAUGAUGGAGGUUAUGACUUUUUUCUUCUUUGGAGGUAGAAAACAACUCUAUGGAAACCCUAAUACAUAAAGGAGUAUUUAUAAGGUUCCUUAAUUGGGCUUAAGCCAAGGGCUUAGGUCACUUAAUCUAUCCUAAAAUGGGUCCUAAUUAAUUAAUUAACCACACAAGGUCAUUUAAUUAAUCAAUUAACCCAAUCUAGAGACCUUGUUCAUUAUCCCUUAUGCAACUUUAUGUAAUUAUCAAAAUGCCCUUAUGCAUAAAAGUGAAGCCAAUUUAUCUUUUACAAACCAUGCCAUCAAGGUAUAUGAGCUCGAGCAAGGACCAUUGAGACCCAUUGGAAUACUGAUAAUUGUGGAUAUUUACCUUGCUUUAGUUUUAUAAUUGAUGAUAAAAAUUGGUUAUGACACUCAUGUUUUAGAUAUUUAAAUUUUAAAAGUCUAAAAUUUCUUUGAUACUAAGAAGAUGACUUUGUUAAUUCUCCAAAUGAGGUUUGUGAAACAUGUGUUUUGGGAAAUAAGUAUAAAUACCAUUUUCCUGUAGGAAAAUUAUGGAGAGCAAGGAAGCCUCUUGAAUUGAUUCAUUCAAAUCAAUGUUUAAUGGAGGCUCCAUCAAAGAAAGAUCACAUAUACUUUAUAAUCUUUAUUGAUGAUUUUAGUUAAAAGGUUUGGGUUUAUUUUUUAAAACAAAAGGGAGAUACAUAAAAAAAUUUCAAAAUUUUUAAAGCUUAUGUGGAAAACAAAGUGGACAUGCCAUUAAAAUUUUGAGAACAAAUAAGGGUACUAAAUAUGUUGAUUAUGAUGUUUUAUUGAAAAAAAAAAGUGGUAUUGAGCAUCAAUUGACUGCACGGUACACUCCAUAAUAAAAUGAAUUUGCAAAGAGAAAAAAAUAGAACAAUUAUGCAUAUGGUGAGGUCCAUAUUGCACUUAAGACAAUUGGCUAAAAUGUUUUAGGUCAAAGUAGUUUCUUGUGCAUUUUAUUUAUUGCAUAGGUACCCUACUAAAAGUGUUUAUGGAAAGACCCACAAGAAGCUUGACAUCAUAGGAAGCCUAAUAUCAAUCAUCUAAUUAAGGGUGUUUGGUUGCAUAUCAUAUGCUCAUGUGUUUGAUGCAUUGCGAAAAAAAAAAUUGAUGAUAAAGGUGAAAAGUGUUUAUUGGUUAUAUUCAAGUGGCAAAAGGUUAUAAAUUAUAUAAUCUACAAACCAAGAAAGUUAUUGUUAGUCGUGAUUUGAGUUUUGAUGAACAAGCAGUAUGAGAAUGGUCUUUUAAUGAAAAAUGACCAUCAAGUAUUUACAUUCAUCUUGAAGAGCAAGGUGAAGAUCAAAGUACGCAGCCUACUAGUGCACAAAUUAUGACUCCAUGUUCAAUAGCAUCACCAAGGCAUCUACAACGUCUCUAUGUUUUACUUGCACACUUACAACAUUCUAUAGUUGAUGAUGAUAGUAAUCCAACAAAUGAAGAAUUGAUUAUUUUUUCUUUAUUUACAUAUUGUGAUCUAUUAAGUUAUAAGGAAGUUGCUCAAGAUGGUUAUUGGCUUAAAGCUAUGGACAAAGAAAUUCAUACAAUUGAGAAAAAUAAUACAUAAGAUCUUACUAAUCUCCCUAAUUCUAAUAAGCCAAUUGUUGUCAAAUGAGUGUACAAACCAAGCACAAGACAAAUGGAGAAGUCAACCCCUUCAAGGCAAGAUUGGUGGCAAAAUGUUACAAGCAAAAACCAAGUAUUGAUUAUUUUAAAGUAUUUGCACUUGUUGCUAGAUUGAUACUGUUCGUAUGAUUAUCUCUCUUGCUACAUAAAACAAUUGAAAAAAAUUUCAAAUGGAUAAAUUAGCUUUCUUGAAUGACAACUAAGAGAAGAGGCUCAUGUCAAAUACCUCAAGGAUAUAUUAUAAAAGGGUUAGAAGAAAAGGUUUAUUAGCUAAAAAAUGCCCUAUAAAGCACGCACCAAGAGCAUUAUACACAUGUAUUAAUACCUAUUUCAUAAAGAAUAAAUUUUAAAUAUGUCUUUAUAAACACACUUUAUAUAUCAAAUUUAAUUUGUAAGGUGACAUUCUUAUCGUGUGUUUAUAUAUAAAUGAAUCAUUCGUAAUAAUUUGAAGAUGAUUGAAGAAUUCAAAGAAAUAAUGAUUAAUCAAUUUGAGAUGAUAGAUAUGGGAUUGAUGUCCUAUUUUUCAGGAUUGAAGUAAUUCAAGUAUAAAGGUAUCUUUAUUUUUUAGAAGAAGCAUGUAAGUGAUAUUCUUGAAAAAUUGAAGAUGGAAUCAUGCAAUCUUAUUCUAACUCCAGUUGAAGAAAUACUGAAAUAAGGAAAAGAUAACUAAGGUAAGUUAGUUGAUCUAACAAACUUUAAAAGAAUGAUUGGGAGUUUGUAAUAUUUGACUUCUAUAAAACAUGAUAUUGUAUUUAGAAUUGAACCUGUAAGUAGAUUCAUUGAGUCUCCACACCAAUCUAACUUGCAAGCAACAAAUUGUAUCUUACGAUACAUUAAAGGUACACAAAGUGAUAGUAUUUUUUAUGCAUAUGAUAACAUGAUUGAGCUUGUUGGAUACACAUAUAGUUAGUGAGUGGGUGAUGUAGAAAAGCAAAAAAAAAAAAAAAAAAAUUACUUUCAACUAUGCAUUUAAUCUUGGUUUGGAAGUUUUUUUCCUGGUCAUCAAAGAAACAACAUAUAGUUGUUUUGUCAACAACAUAAGUUGUGUCUAUUGCAGCUACUAGUGGUACAUGCUACUCAAGCGAUAUGGUUUCAUAAAAUGCCUUUUGGCUUAAAGCAUACUCAAGAAGUUCCCACAAUUUUUAUUUUUAUUUUUUAUUUUUUUUGUGAUAAUAAAUUAGCAAUAGCAUUGAUCAAGAAUCCAAUUUUUUCAUGGAAGAAUUAAACACAUUGACAUAUAAUUUCAUUAUAUUUGUGAUUUGGUGAAAGACAAAGAAAUUAUACUUGAGUUCUGUUCUUCAAAAAUCCAAGUUGCAAACAUUUUUAUAAAGUCAAUCAAGGGGAAAACAUUGCCCAAGUUGAAGAAGAUGACGAGUAUGAUGAAAUUUAAACAUUAUUGUUUUUUUUUCUUUUUUGAGAAAUUAUUUUAUGCUAGAAAGAUUAUUUUUGGUUGCUCACAGCUACUCAUGACACAAUGCCAUAUUCAAGAAAUUAUAUAUAUAUAUAUAUAUAUUAAUUUUCAUUUCUUAAAAAACUCUUUUAAAAAUUUGUUGUAAUAAAUAAAGGAAAGCCAGCGUGGCAUAGAAAACCUUUGCCUUUGCAAUCAAAAUUAUAUAUAUAUUUUCAUUCUUCCAUGUUUCUCUUAAAUCUUUCAGAGACGGAUAGAAAACAGUAAAAAUAAUUUGAUAAAUAUAAAAUAAAACUAUUAUGUUAACCAUGUUAUAAGAAGAUGAUGGUAAAGCUACCAUAUUUUGAUGUACUUAAAAGGAAAGAAAUAGAUAAAAUAAGGCUUCCUUUACACUUCUUGUAUUUUUUUUUUCAAUAACUUUUAUAUAAAUAUAUUUUUUUUUAUUUUUAUGAAAGUAUAAAUUUAUAUUAUGUGUUUAAAAAUUACUUUAAAAUUUUUUUAAAUGUCUGAAACAAUAAAUUUAUAUCAAUUUUAAAAAAUUAUCAUAUUUUCAAUGUAACCUUUUUAAGAGUUAAUUCAUAUGUAAGUUACUAUUAAUUUUUGUUUUUGAAAAAUAAAAAAAUAAUAUGUGAAUCAUAAAGAAACUAUGGACCUGUUUGGAAAUUGUUUUUUGAAACAAUUUUCUAUUCUUUAGAACAAAAAAAAAUAGAAAAAUACAUUUGAUAAUUAAAAAACUUUUUUUUAUUUUUUAUUCUUAAGAAUAGAAAAUAAGGUGUUUUCAAAGUAUAUCUUUUAGUUGUUUUCCAUUGUUUUCACUUAUUUUAAAAAAAAAAACAUUAUACAAACAUGCAGAAUGAUUAAAAAUAAAGUACUAGAUAUAAAAAUUAUUUUUAAAAUAUAUUUUAAAAUAUUAAAAACAUUUUAGGUUCCCAAAACAAAUUUUAGUUUUACAAAACAUUAGAAAAACUAUUUUUUAAAAUCAUUAAUUACCAAACAUGCCCUAAAUAUCCGUUUCGAUACAUCUCUUAUUUCUUUUUAAAUAGAAUCAUAAACAUUUAAAAGUAUAAUAUAUUGUACAAAAAAUUUGAAAAUUUGAGAUACCAAAAAGAUUUUUGUUACCUCAAAAUUUUUAAGUAGUUUUUAAAAGCAUUUUUUUUAACAUAAGUUUUUAAAAGUUUUUAUAUCUUAUAUAAAAUUUAUUAUUAGUUUCUAAUUUUAAAAAAUAAAAAACAAAAAAACAUAUCUAAACGAAACUAAAUUAAGGGUUUUUCAUUUAUAAAUUUUGAAAAGGUUAGGUGAAUUGAAGCUUAUGAGGAGUUUAGACAAACGCUCUCAUUAAUUGUUGAUAGAGGUGUUUGGUGAUUUUAAAGUUAAACCACCUAAUAUUUGUGAUUGAGAGGUUACUCCAAGGCAAUUGAAUCUUACAAAUUCCCAACCAUUAGAUUUAAGUCAUUGGCCCACAUUACCCACAUUACUGACUCCACCUCCCAGGAUUCAUAUAUGCAUUAAAUGAAGAGAGAAUUAUGUUUUGGGGGUAGAUGACCCCCGAAUUAACAAAAGGUCUAUGUAACUCUUUAAAUUGAGCUCAAGACCCAAUGAAAGUAUGAAAAUUGAGUUGAAGGAUAUCAUCCUUCAGUAUUUCCAAAAAUGUCAUUUGUUGAUUUUGAGAAAAAAAUUAAUAUUUUUGAAAAAUACUUUUAUUUAAUUUAAUAUUUUUGAUUUAAUUUAAUAUUUUUAAAAAAUACUUUUAUGUAAUUUAAUAUUUUUUAAAAUACUUUUAUUUAAUUUAAUAUUUUUUAAAAUACUUUUAUUUAAUUUAAUAUUUUUUAAAAAUAAAUUUAUUUAAUUUAAUAUUUUUUUAAAAUAAAAUUAUUUAAUUUAAUAUUUAAAAAAAUUAUUUAAUUUAAUAUUUUUUUAAAUACUUUAAUUUAAUUUAAUAUUUUUGAAAAAAAAAUUUAAUUUAAUAUUUUUGAAAAAAAAAUUAUUUAAUUUAAUAUUUUUGAAAACUACUUUUAUUUAAUUUAGUAUUUUUGAAAAAAAAAAUUAUUGAAAAACAAUUAUUUAACUUAAUUUUAUAAAAUAUUUUAUAUGUGUUUUUAAAGGGUCUUGUAGACCUCCUCAACAGCAGCAGGUUUCUUUUUUUUAGAUUAUUAUUUUAUUCCCCUUUCUUUUGCUUUGUUUUUUUCGCUCUCUUCUUCAGAACCCGAGAAUGAGCUGGGGGUGGUAGCCAAAACAGGGCGGCCAUAGGACGAGAUGGGCAGGUUUUUUUACGGCGAGAGGGGACGGGGGUACGAAGAUGGCUGGGAGGGGAAGCUAAGAAAAAAAAAAGAGGAAAAAGAGAGGAGAUAUCUCGUGAGAGGGGGGAAGCUGAGGAGAAACACGGGCCUGCAGGCUGGGAAGAGAGCCGGGGUGGGAAUUUCGGGUCCGAAGCUUGAGGAGAAGAGGUUUGAAGAAGUGACAAGAGAGAGAUUUGCGAGAUGGUAGAAAUGGGCGUCUCAAGCUGAGUUGAGGAGGAGUUUGAAGCUUAGGUCCAGGUAAGAUUUCUGCAUGUUUUAUAUACCUCAUUUUAGUUUGCUUUAUUCUAUUUCUUGUUAAUUUCGGUUCCUGCUUGGUGUUUAUUAUAUGGAUGGCGAGGCAUAUGAUGCGUUAGAGAGUGUGUGUAUUGGAUUGAGAUCAAUUAAAGGGGUGGAAAAGAUGUCUAAUUAUAUGAUUAGUAGUGGGUUUGGUCCGGAUGAGUAUUUGGGGAACAAGUUCUUGUUGAUGCAAGUAAAAUACGGGAUGAGGAUUGAUGCACAUGGACUGUUUGAUGAAAUGCCAAUAAAGAACAUUUUAUGUUUUUUUUAACACCCCUGCACAUGAUUCUCCCAUUCAUAUUAUAUUUGCUUCAAAUCCUGGAAGCGACCCCCACUAGCGACGUUGAGCCGAAGCUCCUUGCCGGCGACGACGAGGAGAAUGACAGGUUGCAAGCUUGCAUGGGGAGGUGCCUACAGCUGCUAUUGGUCUUGGAGGUUUGGGCCCCCAUGAUAGUGGAUUUGGGCCUGAGGUGAAGCCCCAAACCCAAAUAUGAUGGUGAAAAGGCUUGAGUCCUUUUGCUAACGGAUGUGGGCUUGGGAUGAAGCCCAAAUCCGAGCUUGAUGAUGGAAGGCCCCCAUGAUUUGUCCAUCCACUUUAGGACCGGCCCAUACUUAUUUCAAGCUGGCCCAUCUGGUUGUUUCCACCUUAUAUAUUUCACCUUCUCUAAAUCACUCAUUUCUCAAUAAACUCUUUAAUUUCUAAUUUCCAAGCCCAACUUACAAAAAUUCAAUCUCCAAAUGACACUUCAAAAUUCAGAUUUUUAAUGUUUAAUUCCGAUUUCCGAAUUCUCAUAUUCCCAUUAAUUUAUUUGAUCAUUAGUAUUUCAUUUAUUUAUUUCAAAGCUCCAUUCUAAAUCAAAUUCUUCUAAAACUUCUGAUUACCGAAUUAAAUUCAAAAAAUUCCAAUAUUCGCAUUAAUUUAUUAUUGUUAUUUUAUUUAUUUAUUCUAAAAUUCCAUUUUAAACAAUUCAUUAAAAUUUCCGACUUUCGAAUUAAAUUUCUAUUUCUGAAAAUUCCAAUAUUCACAUUAAUUUAUUUAAUUAUUAUUAUUUUAUUUAUUUAUUCUAAAAUUCUAUUUUAAACAAUUCAUUUAAAAUUUUCAACUUCCAAUUUUAAUUUCUAAUUCUGAAAAUUCCAAUAUUCACAUUAAUUUAUUUAAUUAUUAUUAAUUUAUUUAUUUAUUCUAAAAUUCCAUUUUAAACAAUUCAUUAAAAUUUCCACUUCCGAUUUUAAUUUCUAAUUCUGAAAAUUCCAAUAUUCACAUUAAUUUAUUUAAUUAUUAUUAUUUUAUUUAUUUAUUCUAAAAUUCUAUUUUAAACAAUUCAUUUAAAAUUNNNNNNNNNNNNNNNNNNNNNNNNNNNNNNNNNNNNNNNNNNNNNNNNNNNNNNNNNNNNNNNNNNNNNNNNNNNNNNNNNNNNNNNNNNNNNNNNNNNNNNNNCCAUUUUUAAACAAUUCAUUAAAAUUUCCACUUCCACUAAUUCCAAAAUUCCAACAUUCACAUUAACCUAUUUAAUUAUUAUUAUUUUAUUUAUUUAUUCUAAAAUUUCAUUUUAAACAAUUCAUUAAAAUUUCCGACUCUCGAUUUAAUUUCUAAUUCCAAAAUUCAUAUUAAUCUAUUUAAUUAUUAUUAUUUUAGUUAUUUAUUUUGAAAUUCCAUUUUAAACAAUUCUUCAAAAUUCCAAUUUCUGAACUUAAUUUCUGAUCUCCAAAAUUCUAAUUUCUUUCAAAUUUAAUAUCCAAAAUUCUAAUUCUUAAAUUUAAUUUUUCAAGACUCCAAUCUUCAAAUAAUUUUCGAGGCUCUAAUUUCCAAAUAAAUUUCAAAAAUCCAGUUUUCUCUCGAAUAGCUUUAAUUCCACUCCGAUUUUUAAAUAAUGUUCUAUUUCUUUUGAUUUUUACACAAGCAAGAAUGAUGAAUCUUCAUCAAUUGCCAUGUCAACUUCAUUCUAUUAGUAGAGACCCGACUUUAGGGACUUAGAGGGGUGCUACGGUCUUCACCGUACCUUCCCGAUAAGUAACCUGACCUCCGAACCCGAUCCGGUUUUUCGUAGAUCACCUUUUCCAAAUAAGGAGUCACACUUAGGGUUUUUCUUUCUUAUUUGUUUACCCUUUAAAAAUAAAACAAAAAUAAGUGGCGACUCCAAAUCAUUUUUCUUAAUCAAAUAAAAAUCAAAUUUUCAAAUAAAAAUCGAGGUCGCCAUCGAGUGGGAAACGCAUGAGCAGAAAUGCGGGGUCCACAAAAUGGCGACUCCGCUGGGGAUCUUUUAGAGGGUCAAGCUUGAACUUAAAGUGAAGCAAACGUGGCGUUUGGUGAGUCGAUCAGUGGGUACUCAUCUCUUGAUUGCACAUCGAGAGUUCCCGAGCUUUCACUUGGGACGUUGACAUGUUGAUCAUGUUGGUUGAUUAUUUUGGUUGGGGAUUCUAAUAUAGCUAGUUUCUUAAUGCUUCAUUGAUAUAUUUGUAUGAGAUAUUUGACAUGCUGAUUAUGAGAUUGAUUAUCUUGAUUGAGGAUUUUGAUUUUUUUUUUUGUGCUUCAUUGCCAUGUUUGUUGAGUACAUUGACAUGCUGAUUAUAUUGAUUGAUCAUCUUGCCUUGCUUAGCAUAGUCAUUCUGAUUUUGCCAUGUUUGUUCUGAUUACCUCACAUGUAUAGACUCACCAUUGUAUAUCAUUUGAUUUGACAUGAUUGAUUCUCUCAGUUAUAUAUUAUCUUAUCAUAGAGCAUGCUAUCAUUUGUCACAUAUUCUUCUUGAUUGGCUUGUGUGUAGAUUUGGAUGAUAUAUACCUGUUUUGCAUGACUGUCUGUUGCAUGACUCUUCUCAUCCUGAUGCGACUGCAUGAGUCGUGUGUCUAUGUGGAACACAAACUUAUCCUUUUAUUUCCAAGUCCCUAGUCUCGGUCGACAUAGUUUUCCUUGCUCUCAUAUUUGAUACGAGACUUGUUGCCUUGUNNNNNNNNNNNNNNNNNNNNNNNNNNNNNNNNNNNNNNNNNNNNNNNNNNNNNNNNNNNNNNNNNNNNNNNNNNNNNNNNNNNNNNNNNNNNNNNNNNNNCUCUCAUAUUUGAUACGAGACUUGUUGCCUUGUUUGCUCUUCGACCGAGCUAGUGAUUAGGAAUAGGGUCUAGCGACGGGCUAUAUCUAUGUUUGGGAGCAUUCUGGAGGUGGUCAACAUAUUGAUGUUGAUUGGAGUCUGAACUUUGAAGACUUGUAUAGCCCAGAGCUAGAUUUCAGGAUAUUUGUAUGGUCAGUGUGUUUUCUUUUAGUUUCUUAGGGUUUUCAGAUGCACCCACACCACCCACUGUGGACUUUAGUCGAUUACUGAGUGCUGAGAGUUGUGAGAGCUUUCACCAUAGGAAACCCCCUGGGAUGUCGAGGUAGUGCAUGUGUGGAGGUGAUGACCACCUUGCAUGGAAGCGCCCCGUCUCUUCGGAGACGUGCAGAGGGUUGCGUACCGCCGGAGGGUAUGAUCGCUUCUGCUAGGGAUCCUUUAAAGUCCACCCAUACCCAUUUAGAGCCACCUUGACUUUGUAGGUUGAGCCGUAGAUCCUUCGAUUAGGACUCCCUUCCUACACGUGGGUGCAUCUGAGGGCCUUCAGAGCCUCUUUAGUUACAGUUCGGAUCCAGUAUUCCCUCUUUUUAGUCUCCAGUUGAGAGUGCUCGAAGAUCGGUAUGGGUUUGAGUAUCGGUUGGAUCACUUUUCGUCUGAUCGCCUUAGUUUGUGUUUUUCACUUGACGAGUUUAACAUGUUUUCUCGUUAGGGUUUUCGUUCUCAUUUCUUGGCUCGACACACCCCUUCACUUUGAUUAUCACUCACUCGAUACUUUGGGAUAUGUUCAUUGAUCAUCUUUUUACACUGCACACCUAUCACGGGCUCAGUACCUCAUUCUUUGUUUGAUCCUUGGUUCGAUUUUCGACCGAUGUGAUGACAGGACCAGUCACUGUUUUUGUUUUUGUUUGUUUAGUCUUGUUUUACUUUUGACUUUUAGAGACUAUAACUCGAUUCUUGAGUAUUGUCUUUGUUAUCCUUCUUUUGCAUGAUAUACUCAUCGGUUAUCCCAUUGGAUGUCUUUUUCUUUAUGGACAUAUGCUUGUGUUUUGUGAUAUGAUGUGUUGUUCUUUUUACUUGAGGCAUCUCUUCACUUACACAUUGUGAUCUUGAGGCUUGACCUAUCAUGGAGGAUAUUGAGCCUAUUAGCCUAGAAUCAGAGAUUUGACUCAGGAAGUUCGAGACUGUGACGCAUCUUCUUAUGAUCAGAGUAGUGCCUUGCUCACUUCCCGCAAUUUGACUCUGUUUUGACCUACAUCCAUCCAUUGUGAGCUUUGCACAGCACUACCCUUGAGACCAUUAUAUGACCUUCUCAUCCUCUAUUUUUUCUAGCUUUACACAUUCCCCCUCUAGUCCGACCAGGUAGAGAACGAGGAGUUUGACCCUAGGGUUGAUCUCACAUGACGAGGGUUAGCUUAUGAUCUUUGGGUGGUUUACGAUAUGAGGAUUGGUCGAUUGCUUGAUGAGACUGUCACUUAUUUUUUCGUGAGUACAAAGGUUGAUGUUGUAUGAUGAGAGUUGGCUUAUGAUGGGCAGUCGUGCCUGAUGAGAUCACCAUUCACUUUGCUUUGAGAGGAUCAUCUUUGAGAUUAUUAUGGAGCAUUCGGAGUAUGGUUGAUACAUGAUCCUAGAGGGAAGUUCAGACCCAACUGGAGCGGACCUUAUUUCAUCAGGGAGUUGACCCCAGAGGGCGCUGCAUGGUUGAUGGAUUUAGAUGGAAACCGAUUCUCAGAGCCAACCAACAUGGAUCAGCUAAAGAGGUACUAUGUUGGAGACCAUGGUCGCAGGAUGGGUGGCCAUCAUUUCGGUUAGCCAUAUGCCUUGUUAUUCCCUUUUUUGAUAUAUAGUCUGUUGCUAGCCCAUUGAGCCUCGCAUGCGAAUUAUAGCCUUUCUUUCUUAUCGCCUUGCUCACAUUUUCACACCGGGAUAGGGGCCCUUUAAUGUAUGCAUGCAUUGUUUGGUAGUUUCAUGAGCCUUGGACCUAGGGGCAUGUUUUUCUCAUUAUCUUUUCCUAUCACUGCACCUCUGCAUUUUCAUCUCAUCUUAUUGGUUAUGUUAUUUAUCUCUUCUUCCUUAUCCUAUCUACUAUUUGUUUGUUUCAUAUUUCUCUUCACCCUGGGUGGUGAUCCUCCUCAGUUCAUCACAUGGAGGAUAGUCACAUCAUUUCCACCAUCUAUCUCGCGGACACUGGUUUAGAGAUCCUUAGUUUGAGAAGGUCAUCUUGUUAGAGAGAGUUUGUUUGUUACCUUAGUACUUGGGGGUAUGUCCAUUUGUCAUUGAUAUCAUCUUUGGGGUUCAUUUGUUCACGUUCAGGGUACGUGUAUUUGCAUAUAUGUAAAAAAAAAAAAAAAAAAAAAAAAAAAAAAAAAAAAAAAAAAAAGAGAAAGAAAAAAAAAAGAAAAAGAUCAUUAUUAUUAUUAGCACAUGUGUGUAUGUGCAUAGUGUUCUCGAUCAUUGAGUAUGUAUAUUGAUGUCUGGGGGUCAUUUUUAUCGAGUAUGUUCGUUAUUGGGAGUUCGUAUGUGAGCUCUCUGAAAUCCCNNNNNNNNNNNNNNNNNNNNNNNNNNNNNNNNNNNNNNNNNNNNNNNNNNNNNNNNNNNNNNNNNNNNNNNNNNNNNNNNNNNNNNNNNNNNNNNNNNNNAGGACUCUGAGUCAUUGUCCUUUCCAUCAUUACAUUCAUUAUUGAUGUGACUUCACUUCAUGUUUGAUCUUAGUCGAUCACCAUCUUUCUUCAUAUAUUCAUUGUUCCGGUGUCAUUUUUAUCGUCACUUGUGUUUCACCUCAUUCACUUCACGUCUUAUUCUCUCCUUACAGCAACCCAUCUCGGGUUCGAUACUCACUUCGCAUCAUCGUUACACAUAUCACCAUCAGUUCAUUUUGUUUCAUUUGUCUCCUUACCGACAUCAUAUUCACGUUAGGCAUCCUCAGGUCCAUGGCUCAUGGGAUUCACUAUACAUGUUGCAUUUCAUAUAUGAGGGCAUGUUUUUCUGAUCAUUGGGUAUUUGGGCCUAGUUUCCUUUCAUUUCUGUUACCUUAUCACCUCAGCCUACGUUACGUCCUGUGUCUUAAGACCACCUUGAGGCCGUGGGAUCAGAUGUCGUCUUUGACAGCCUCUACUUGGAUAGGUGAUUGAGAUCUGAUUGACAUUUAGAUAUCGUCAUGCUUCUUCUUCUGGGAGUCACCUCUUUGAUGUGUAGGACUGAUUCAAUUGUGUUCGGAUUACCGGGAUCGUGAGUUUGAUGAUGAUUGACUUGGUGUCACCUGAUUUUUUUUGACCUGUCGUACCUCUGGUGCCACACUGCGGCAUAUCCCAUUUCAUUUGGAGGUUUAUGGAUCCUCACAGAUUUGCACGUUCAUUAUCACUUACUGGAUGCUCAUUGAGACGUGGACAUGAUCAUUACCUUACGGAGCCCCUGAGAUCCAUCCAGCUAGUUCCGCACUUCUCGACGCUUGGAUGCCAUCAUGCCUCUCCAUCUGGGAGGACAUCUUGGAUAUGUGUGCAUGAUUCAGUUAUGGAUUCGGAUGACCAGUGUUACAUGUGCGACGAUAGAUGAUUUCAUGACAUUUGUCAUUUGGACCCGUCGCGCACUUGAUGUCAUACUGAGGCAUAUUUCCCGUUUCAGAUGUGAUUUAUGGAUCUUCACUUAUGUUGCAUGAUCGAUGAUAGAUGAUUUCGUGUCGCCCGAUUUCUGACCUGUCGCGCACUUGAUGUCAUACUGGGGCAUAUUUCCUUUUCGAUUGAGAUUUACGAAUCCUCAUGGAGUUGCACGCUCAUCCCCACUUAUGAGGUACACAUUGACAUGAUGUUUCCACCAUGAAGCCUCUCGGGAGUUACCCAGUUAGGCCUGCACUUCGCGACGCUUCGAUGUCAUCAUGCUUUCCUUCCGAGAGACGCCCCUUUGAUCUAUGGGUCUGAUUCAGUUGUACACGUGGAUGACUUGGAUCGCGCAUUCGAUGAUGGGUGAUCUGAGCUCAUUUGGUUCUUUUGACCCAUCAUGCAUUGUGUUUGAUAGCUCUUAUGUGAGCGGUACUUGGGAUUGAUUCGAGAGCAUUCUGAUUGUGAUGGACCGGGAGUUAUGGUAUGACCUUACACUGGGGCAUAGCCAUCUCAGAGAGUUUUAUUAUCGGAUGACCAUUAUGUCGAGGCAUACUCUUCUCAGUCGAUGACGGAUUUUUGAGCCAUGUCCUUUCCUGGGAGGAUAUCAGAUGUCCUUUUUCACAUUGGAGCAUGAGACAUGAUUGGCGCGUUUCAUCUGGUGUAUUUUACACAGGGGCAUACCCCUUUCGGUCCAUGAUGGUUUUUAGGCAUAGUUGUUCCUUGGAGGCGAUUAGAUUCAUUUUACAUUGGAGUAUGAGAUAUGAUUGGGUGAUAUGUUUGAUGUGAUCACAAGAGCAUAGCCUUCUCAUCAUUGUUGACAUAUUUUUUAGAUGAUUGGAUCAGGACACAGACACUUAUGAGAGCAUGCAGCGGAGUUUAGUCAUUUCAGGGUUUGCCCUAUAUUGGGGCAUAACCCUUUCAUUGGCGGUUGAUCUUAGAGAUAUCAGUUCACAUUGGGACAUGCUCUUUAUUUGGGGGAGGUUAGAUAUUCUCUUCACAUUACCACGAUGGCUUUGAUGAGCAGAUGUUCAUUUUGAUCAGAUGAUGUAUGAUUGGUUGUACUCCUCUCAUUGAUGUUUGAUUCAGAGAUGCUUACACCGGGGCAUAGCCCACUCAUCGAUGAUGAUUUUGUGAGAUGACAGUUUAGGCCAGACACAUACUUCCCAGGGUUUAUCUUGCACUGAGAACUUAUCCAUUUUGAGAUGAUGCAUUCAUACUGGGGGCGUACCUACCUUGCUGAUUUUGACAUUGAGACUCCACUUCCUGUUUAUGAUCGCUGCUCUCGAUGGAUUAUAGUCAUUGGCACCCUGGGUUCAAUCUUCUUAACGUACUUGGUCCGACUUGGGUACCCACUUUCCUUUGUUACACACCCAUCCAUCCUACAUUGAACACCGUUAUACUUGCACCCAUCUUAUCAGAGCCUUACAUCUUUUGAGCCUACAUAUUUCAUCAUCUUACCUGACUUUAUCCCUUUCUCUUGAUCAGAGGAAGGUGUAGACUAGUCUUGAGCUUUCUGGUUGAGUUUUCACAUGCCUUUGGACAUUAGGUUCAACAUCUCUUAUGAUGGUAGGACCUAUCAGAUUUGUUGAUGCNNNNNNNNNNNNNNNNNNNNNNNNNNNNNNNNNNNNNNNNNNNNNNNNNNNNNNNNNNNNNNNNNNNNNNNNNNNNNNNNNNNNNNNNNNNNNNNNNNNNNNNNNNNNNNNNNNNNNNNNNNNNNNNNNNNNNNNNNNNNNNNNNNNNNNNNNNNNNNNNNNNNNNNNNNNNNNNNNNNNNNNNNNNNNNNNNNNNNNNNNNNNNNNNNNNNNNNNNNNNNNNNNNNNNNNNNNNNNNNNNNNNNNNNNNNNNNNNNNNNNNNNNNNNNNNNNNNNNNNNNNNNNNNNNNNNNNNNNNNNNNNNNNNNNNNNNNNNNNNNNNNNNNNNNNNNNNNNNNNNNNNNNNNNNNNNNNNNNNNNNNNNNNNNNNNNNNNNNNNNNNNNNNNNNNNNNNNNNNNNNNNNNNNNNNNNNNNNNNNNNNNNNNNNNNNNNNNNNNNNNNNNNNNNNNNNNNNNNNNNNNNNNNNNNNNNNNNNNNNNNNNNNNNNNNNNNNNNNNNNNNNNNNNNNNNNNNNNNNNNNNNNNNNNNNNNNNNNNNNNNNNNNNNNNNNNNNNNNNNNNNNNNNNNNNNNNNNNNNNNNNNNNNNNNNNNNNNNNNNNNNNNNNNNNNNNNNNNNNNNNNNNNNNNNNNNNNNNNNNNNNNNNNNNNNNNNNNNNNNNNNNNNNNNNNNNNNNNNNNNNNNNNNNNNNNNNNNNNNNNNNNNNNNNNNNNNNNNNNNNNNNNNNNNNNNNNNNNNNNNNNNNNNNNNNNNNNNNNNNNNNNNNNNNNNNNNNNNNNNNNNNNNNNNNNNNNNNNNNNNNNNNNNNNNNNNNNNNNNNNNNNNNNNNNNNNNNNNNNNNNNNNNNNNNNNNNNNNNNNNNNNNNNNNNNNNNNNNNNNNNNNNNNNNNNNNNNNNNNNNNNNNNNNNNNNNNNNNNNNNNNNNNNNNNNNNNNNNNNNNNNNNNNNNNNNNNNNNNNNNNNNNNNNNNNNNNNNNNNNNNNNNNNNNNNNNNNNNNNNNNNNNNNNNNNNNNNNNNNNNNNNNNNNNNNNNNNNNNNNNNNNNNNNNNNNNNNNNNNNNNNNNNNNNNNNNNNNNNNNNNNNNNNNNNNNNNNNNNNNNNNNNNNNNNNNNNNNNNNNNNNNNNNNNNNNNNNNNNNNNNNNNNNNNNNNNNNNNNNNNNNNNNNNNNNNNNNNNNGUACUGGGGCAUACCGCCUUUAGCGCUUUUCAACUGGAGCAUACCCCCUCUCUCUUUGGGUUUACCGUGUCUCGUGUUGAUUUCAUGGUUGUCAGACCCAUUUUGUCGAUCUUUACGAGUUAUCACCUAGGGCAUUCCCCUUACCGUCAGUUUGUUUAGGGCAUCCCCCUAUUGUCGUCUCGUUUGGGGCAUCCCCCACUGUCAUUUACGUUUGGGGCAUCCCCCCACUGUCAUUUACGUUUGGGGCAUCCCCCACUGUCAUUUCGUUUGGGGCAUCCCCCCACUGUCAUUUACAUUUGGGGCAUCCCCCCACUGUCAUUUCGUUUGGGGCAUCCCCCCACUGUCAUUUACGUUUGGGGCAUCCUCCCACUGUCAUUUCGUUUGGGGCAUCCCCCCACUGUCAUUUCGUUUGGGGCAUCCCCCCAUUAUCAUUUUGUUUGGGGCAUCCCCCCACUGUCAUUUCAUUUGGGGCAUCCCCCCACUGUCAUUUACGUUUGGGGCAUUCCCCCACUGUCAUCUCGUUUGGGGCAUCCCCCCACUUUCAUCUUGGUUAGGGGGUAUUUCCAUUUUGUUUAGGGCAUCCCCCUUUAUUUUAGUUUUAUCACCACCAUGGAUUUUCAUCCUUGGGCUUUCAGUUAUUUCACCACCAUAGAUCGGACAUCUAUGGACUUUGAUCAGUUUGUCACCACCAUGGAUUUUCAUCCUUGGGCUUUCAGUUAUUUCACCACCAUAGAUCGGACAUCUAUGGGCUUUGAUAAGUUUUUCACCAUCAUAGAUUUUCAUCUAUGAGCAUUUAUUUCAGUUAUAUCACCACCAUAGAUCGGGCAUCUAUGGGAUCUAUGGGCAUUUCAGUUUUCACCACCAUGGAUUUCCAUCCUUGAACUUUCGAGAUUAUCACCACCAUGGAUUUUUAUCUGUGGGCAUUUGGGAGUUUCACUACCAUAGAUUGGCAUCUAUGGACUUUUUUUAUUGUAUCAUCGUCAUAGAUUUUUAUCUGUGGGCUUUCGAGAUUAUCACCACCUUAGAUCGGACAUCUAUGGGCAUUUUUAUUGAAUCACCACCGUGGGUCUCCACCUAUGGUCCUUCUAGUUUAGUGUUUAGAAUUAGCUUUAUGGUUUGGCUUCCAGAACUAUUAUUUUCUAGUUUAGUGUUUAGAGUUAGCUUUUCGGUUUGGCUUCCAAAGCUAUUAUUUUCUAGUUUAGUGUUUAGAAUUAGUUUAUUGGUUUGGCUUCCAAAGCUAUUAUUUUCUCAAUUUGACGUUCAGAGUCAUCAUCAUCACUUCUCAGCUUCGGCGUUCAGAGCCAUCAUCACUUUUUAGUUUCGGCGUUCAGAGCCAUCACCGUGUUUUCAGAUCGACAUUCAGAGUCGCAUCCUCGGUUUCGGCGUUCAGAUUCGUUAUCACUUCUCGGCUUGACGUUCAGAGUCAUCAUCAUCACUUCUCAGUUUCGGCGUUUAGAGCCAUCAUCACUUUUUAGUUUCGGCGUUCAGAGCCAUCACCGUGUUUUCAGUUCGGCGUUCGGCGUUCAGAGCCAUCAUCGGUUUUCAGAUCGACAUUCAGAGCCAUUCUCAUCACAUUUUCAGUCUCGGCGUUCAGAGCCAUCGUCACUCCUCAGUUUGACGUUUAGAGUCGUAUUCCUAGUUUCGGCGUUCAGAGCCAUCAUUAUCGUUUCUCAGUUUCAGCGUUCAGAGCCAUUAUUACUCCUCAGUUUGACCUUCAGAGUCGCAUUCCUGGUUUUGGCGUUUAGAGCCAUCACCGCAUCUUCGUUCGGCGUUCCGAGCCAUCACUUCUCAGUUUGGCGUUCAGAGCCAUCUUCGUUCUCAGUUUUGGCGUUCAGAGCCAUCACUAUUUUCAGUCUGGCGUUCAGAGUCGUCAUCACUUCUCAGUUUGGCGUUCAGAGUCAUCAUCGUUCUCAGUUUUGGCGUUCAGAGCCAUCACCGCAUCUUCGUUCGGCGUUCCGAGCCAUCACUUCUCAGUUUGGCAUUCAAAGCCAUCAUCGUUCUCAGUUUUGGUGUUCAGAGCCAUCAUCGCUUUUCAGUUUUGGCGUUCAGAGCCAUCACUAUUUUCAGUUUGGCGUUCAGAGCCUUCAUCACUUCUCAUUUUUGGCGUUCAAAGCCAUCAUCGCUUCUCAGUUUUGGCAUUCAUAGCCAUCAUCGCUUUUCAGUUUUGGCUUUCAGGAGCCUUCAUAGCUUUUCGGUUUCGGCGUUCAGAGCCAUCAUCAUCACUUCUCAGUUCUGCGUUCAGAGCCUUUCUCAUCGCUUCUUAGUUUCGACAUUCAAAAAUCAUCACCGUUCACAUUCAGGCGUUCAAAGCUAUCAUCCACAUUCAGAGUCACAGCUCCUAGUAUUCAUGUUCGCUAGCAUUACGCAUCCUGUCUUCACGAUUUUUACAUUCGUCCUCAUUUUCCUUACCUCGUUACCCUAUGCUCAUCGCUCAUUCAUCAUGCUCUUCUAGACCUCUCUUCCCUCUACUUUAGGGCAUCCUCUUACCUUUAUUUUGUUAGGGCUUCCCCAUACUUUUAGUUUGUUCAGGGCAUUCCCCUUUCUCGUCACUUUGUUUAGGGCAUCCCCUUACUGUCGCUUCGUUUAGGGCAUCCCCCUACUGUCGCUUUUGUUUAGGGCAUCCCCCUACCUUUAGUUCGUUUAAGGCAUCCCCCUACUUUCAGUUUGUUUAGGGCACCCCCCUUUCCUGUCGCCUUGUUUGGGGCAUCCCUCUUGUUUACUUUGUUUAAGGCAUCCGCCCACCGUAGGUCUUCACCUAUGGGCCUCCUAGUUUAGCUUUUAUAGUUAGCCUUUUGGUUUGGCUUCCAGAGCUAUUAUUUUCUAGUUUAGCGUUUAGAGUUAGCUUUUUGGUUUGGCUCCCAAAGCCGUUGUUUUUCUCAGUUUAGCGUUUAGAGUCAGUCCCAUCAUUCAGAGUUACAGCUCCUAGCAUUCAUAUUCACUGGCAUUGCACAUCUUACCUUCAAGGUUUUGCGUUCGUCCGCGGUUUUCCUCACUUCGUUACGCGGUGCUUAUCGCAUAUUCAUCUCGUACUCUAGGGUGAUUUGACCGUUACUCAUCUUUGAUAUGGUUUUUCGAGUCAUUUUUGGAGACGUCUUAGAGGGAGCCUAGGUCCUUAAUGUAGCUUUAGAGGCGCUUUGGGACAUCUUUUUCUCUGUUAGGGUUAGAGCCUUUGUGUUCAUCUGUUGGCUUGAGUGAGUUCUUAUUUUACUAGUGUCACUAUGGGGGUCUCCUUGGUUCUUCGGUAGAGUUCACUUCAUUCCACUCACUAUUCACAAUUUCUUUUCACUCUAGUGUUCAUAUUCCUUGCACUCGUGAACUCUAUCAAAGAGGGGCAUAUUUGUAGACCCCCUCAGUAGCAGCAGGUUUCUUUUUUUUAGAUUAUUAUUUUAUUCCCCUUUCUUUUGCUUUGUUUUUUUCGCUCUCUUCUUCAGAACCCGAGAAUGAGCUGGGGGUGGCAGCCAAAACAGGGCGGCCAUAGGACGAGAUGGGCAGGUUUUUUUACGGCGAGAGGGGACGGGGGUACGAAGAUGGUUGGGAGGGGAAGUUAAGAAAAAAAAAAAGAGGAAAAAGAGAGGAGAUAUCUCGUGAAAGGGGGGAAGCUGAGGAGAAACACGGGCCUGCAGGCUGGGAAGAGAGCCGGGGUGGGAAUUUCGGGUCCGAAGCUUGAGGAGAAGAGGUUUGAAGAAGUGACAAGAGAGAGAUUUGCGAGAGGGUAGAAAUGGGCGUCUCAAGCUGAGUUGAGGAGGAGUUUGAAGCUUCGGUCCAGGUAAGAUUUCUGCAUGUUUUAUAUACCUCAUUUUAGUUUGCUUUUUUCUAUUUCUUGUUAAUUUCGGUUCCUGCUUGGUGUUUAUUAUAUGGAUGGCGAGGCAUAUGAUGCGUUAGAGAGUGUGUGUAUUGGAUUGAGAUCAAUUAAAAGGGUGGAAAAGAUGUCUAAUUAUAUGAUUAGUAGUGGGUUUGGUCCGGAUGAGUAUUUGGGGAACAAGUUCUUGUUGAUGCAAGUAAAAUACGGGAUGAGGAUUGAUGCACAUGGAUUGUUUGAUGAAAUGCCAAUAAAGAACAUUUUAUGUUUUUUUUAACACCCCUGCACAUGAUUCUCCCAUUCAUAUUAUAUUUGCUUCAAAUCCCGGAAGCGACCCCCACUAGCGACGUUGAGCCGAAGCUCCUUGCCGGCGGCGACGAAGAGAAUGACAGGUUGCAAGCUUGCAUGGGGAGGUGCCUACAGCUGCUAUUGGUCUUGGAGGUUUGGGCCCCCAUGAUAGUGGAUUUGGGCCUGAGGUGAAGCCCCAAACCCAAAUAUGAUGGUGAAAAGGCUUGAGUCCUUUUGCUAACGGAUGUGGGCUUGGGAUGAAGCCCAAAUCCGAGCUUGAUGAUGGAAGGCCCCCAUGAUUUGUCCAUCCACUUUAAGACCGACCCAUACUUAUUUCAAGCUGGCCCAUCUGGUUGUUUCCACCUUAUAUAUUUCACCUUCUCUAAAUCACUCAUUUCUCAAUAAACUCUUUAAUUUCUAAUUUCCAAGCCCAACUUACAAAAAUUCAAUCUCCAAAUGACACUUCAAAAUUCAGAUUUUUAAUGUUUAAUUCCGAUUUCCGAAUUCUCAUAUUCCCAUUAAUUUAUUUGAUCAUUAGUAUUUCAUUUAUUUAUUUCAAAGCUCCAUUCUAAAUCAAAUUCUUCUAAAACUUCUGAUUACCGAAUUAAAUUCAAAAAAUUCCAAUAUUCGCAUUAAUUUAUUAUUGUUAUUUUAUUUAUUUAUUCUAAAAUUCCAUUUUAAACAAUUCAUUAAAAUUUCCGACUUUCGAAUUAAAUUUCUAUUUCUGAAAAUUCCAAUAUUCACAUUAAUUUAUUUAAUUAUUAUUAUUUUAUUUAUUUAUUCUAAAAUUCUAUUUUAAACAAUUCAUUUAAAAUUUUCAACUUCCAAUUUUAAUUUCUAAUUCUGAAAAUUCCAAUAUUCACAUUAAUUUAUUUAAUUAUUAUUAAUUUAUUUAUUUAUUCUAAAAUUCCAUUUUAAACAAUUCAUUAAAAUUUCCACUUCCGAUUUUAAUUUCUAAUUCUGAAAAUUCCAAUAUUCACAUUAAUUUAUUUAAUUAUUAUUAUUUUAUUUAUUUAUUCUAAAAUUCUAUUUUAAACAAUUCAUUUAAAAUUUUCAACUUCCAAUUUUAAUUUCUAAUUCUGAAAAUUCCAAUAUUCACAUUAAUUUAUUUAAUUAUUAUUAUUUUAUUUAUUUAUUCUAAAAUUCCAUUUUAAACAAUUCAUUAAAAUUUCCACUUCCGAUUUUAAUUUCUAAUUCCAAAAAUUCCAAUAUUCACAUUAAUCUAUUUAAUUAUUUUAUUCUAUUUAUUUAUUCUAAAAUUCCGUUUUAAACGGUUCAUUUAAAACUUUCGAUUUUCGAAUUAAAUUUCUAUUUCUGAAAAUUCUAAUAUUCACAUUAAUUUAUUUAAUUAUUAUUAUUUUAUUUAUUUAUUCUAAAAUUCCAUUUUUAAACAAUUCAUUAAAAUUUCCACUUCCACUAAUUCCAAAAUUCCAACAUUCACAUUAACCUAUUUAAUUAUUAUUAUUUUAUUUAUUUAUUCUAAAAUUUCAUUUUAAACAAUUCAUUAAAAUUUCCGACUCUCGAUUUAAUUUCUAAUUCCAAAAUUCAUAUUAAUCUAUUUAAUUAUUAUUAUUUUAGUUAUUUAUUUUGAAAUUCCAUUUUAAACAAUUCUUCAAAAUUCCAAUUUCUGAACUUAAUUUCUGAUCUCCAAAAUUCUAAUUUCUUUCAAAUUUAAUAUCCAAAAUUCUAAUUCUUAAAUUUAAUUUUUCAAGACUCCAAUCUUCAAAUAAUUUUCGAGGCUCUAAUUUCCAAAUAAAUUUCAAAAAUCCAGUUUUCUCUCGAAUAGCUUUAAUUCCACUCCGAUUUUUAAAUAAUGUUCUAUUUCUUUUGAUUUUUACACAAGCAAGAAUGAUGAAUCUUCAUAAUUCCGAAAUAAUGGGAUUCGUGAGAUUAAUUCGUGCAAUAUAAAUCGGGCUUUGGUGGGGCCCCACAUAUUUGAUUUUAUGACUGACUGAUUGAUUAAUUGAUUUAUUUACCAUGCUUGUUUGAUUUAUUUUGUUCCUUGAUAUGCACGUAAUUAUAUCUAUUCAUUGUUCACUAACCUUGUUUUAUGAUAGCGCAUGGUGGCUCACUGCCCAGGUACAUAUCUAUUCCCAUUCUGGUAUUUCUAUAUGCGUGCUUUGAUUCUCAUAUGUGCAUGAUAGUUCCGGGUAUUCAUUGAUUUCUUCAUCAAUUGCCAUGUCAACUUCAUUCUAUUAGUAGAGACCCGACUUUAGGGACUUAGAGGGGUGCUACGGUCUUCACCGUACCUUCCCGAUAAGUAACCUGACCUCCGAACCCGAUCCGGUUUUUCGUAGAUCACCUUUUCCAAAUAAGGAGUCAAACUUAGGGUUUUUCUUUCUUAUUUUGUUUACCCUUUAAAAAUAAAACAAAAAUAAGUGGCGACUCCAAAUCAUUUUUCUUAAUCAAAUAAAAAUCAAUUUUUCAAAUAAAAAUCGAGCUCGCCAUCGAGUGGGAAACGCAUGAACCGAAAUGCGGGGUCCACAGGUAUAUUUAUCCGUUACUAUUUCAUAUCCUUCAACUCAAUUUGAAGAGUUAUAGGGACCUUUUGUUAAUUUGGGGUCCAUCUACUCCAAAAGAUAAUUCUCUCUCAAAUGAAAAACCUACUUAAUAGCCCAACCCCAACCCUAGAGAGAUUUAAAACAAUCUCAUCCUUAGAUUAUGAAUAUAUAUCAACUUGAUUCUUUCACAGACAUGAAAUAAUAUUAUUUUUUUCCUUAGAAAAACAUUAUCAAUUUUUUUAUCCUCACUCCUAAUUAUUAUUUUUACAAAAUGCCCCCUUAUAUGUUUCAUUAAAUGGAAAUAACGAGAAGAAAUUAAUAAUAAGAAAUGAAUGGAAAAUUAGAGAAAAAUCAAGAAAAUCAUUUUUUUUUUAAAAGAAAAAGUUAUUAUAAAAAUACAUAGAAAGUGUUGAUGUCAUAUUAUCAGGUUCAGAGUUGUUUAUGUCACAAUGCCACUCUUCACAUGCUAUUGUUAGGUUUAUGGUUGUAGUGGCUUAUACAUGACCCAUCAAUUGACUUCGAUUUUGUUUCUUUAUUAUACCUAUAUCCUUGAAGAAAAAGUCUUAAUAGUGUGUUCCCUAUUCACUUUUCGGACGACAUGACAUGAAAUAUUAUAAUUUAUGUCAAACAACAAACAAACAAACAAGGUUAUAUUUAAAGUAUUUAAAGAGUGCAGGCUAUUUUUUUUCAAAUUCAGAAUUAACUUCAACUUCCCCACUUAACCAAAAUUUCCUGAAUAUAAAUAAAAAUUAUAAACUUGGAUAAAAAUAAAGUGAGGGUAGGAGAGGCCCCCUAAAAUUAAAGGCAGUGUCUGUGUGAGUGGUGGGCCUUGACAGCUGUGGACAUAAACAUCCUGUGAAUUUCUUGGCUGUUUUAUUGAUUAAAGAUGACCCAACUGGGGCUUGUUGGAUCACACAUUCAUUGUUUCCCAUCCUCAAUUUUUAUCACUCACCUCAUAUUCCAAAACAAAUCACAAAUCAAAAGUCAAUUCUCUUAAUGGGAUUGCCGGAUUGGACUCUCUUGUGUAAUGGUUUUCUUUUCAACCACCCAGUACUCAUUUCCAUUAUUAGCUCUUACCAAUUUUCGGGUCAUUUUUCUUCUGCUUACCCCUUCCAAAUAUUUCCAACUCAAAGUCAUGAAGAAGUCAGGACCCCUUUCUAGUUUGUCCUUGAACUUUGUCUCAGAGACAAAAAAAGAAAAUAACAAUAACAAUGUCUCUCAUAUAUUCUGAAACCUGAAAACCACCACGCAUUGAAACCCUAGUUUCACGAGGACUAUGAAGAAGAAAUAAACCAAAAAAAUAAGCAAGUGAACAUAGAUAGAUAAUACAUAUAUAUAUAUAAAGCCAUAUUAUUGCUAAUCCGCAUGCAUCAAUUUCAUACCCUAGGCUUAAUCUUGGCCCUUAGAGGGUUCUUCAUCACCACUGUGAAUUCCAACUUUUCACUAAAAUCAAUCUUACUGUUUUCAGGGUAUGCGCUCCACUCGAAGUCCUGCACCAUCCUUGCCAGCAUUAGGUUCACAUGCACGGUGGCCAUGCUCAAACCAGGGCAUAUCCUUCGCCCUACUCCGAAUGGCAUCAUUUUUACGCCGGUCACUCCGGUUAUAUCGGCGUCUUCACCGCCCAAGAAAAAGCGGUCGGGGUCGAACUUUUCGGGAUUCUUCCAUAGCUUGGGGUCCUCGGAGAUGGGUGGCAAGAAGAACUCGACAUUUGCGUCUGUGGGUAUGUCGUAGCCUGCCAACUUCGCUGGCUCUGUGACUGCAUGAGUUAGGGAAAAGUAGGUGGGAGGGUGUUUACGUAGUAGUUCUUUUGAAACUGCGUUUAGGUAAGGCAUCUUCUCCAUGUCUUUCUCUUGAACCUUACGAUCACCCACUGUUGUUUUGAUCUCUUCGUAUAGUUUUGACUGAAUCUCGGGGUUCUCGAUCAUUCGGGCAAUUGCCCACUCGACCGCCGUCCCUGUUGUGUCGGUGCCGCCAUUGAGGAACUCGGAGCAGAGUGUGACGAGCUCGGGGUUGGUUGGAGAUGAUUUACGCCCCUCGAUUUUGAGAUCGAAGAUCGUGUCGAGGUAGGAAAAUGAAGCCGCGGUUUUAUCUGAUCCUGGGUUUUCAAGCGCCGCACGCCGCCUCUCGAUGAAGGGGACAACAGUUUUGAUCUGCCUCUUCCGCACUUCCGUGGCGGCUUUCCUCUGCUUUGAGAAGAAUGGGCUUAGAAGUGGGAGAUAGUCAUCAAGUCUUGGAUCAAGAGUGAUUAGAACAGUUUUCAUCAGAUCAUCCAUCACCUCAAUGGUCUCCUCAUCCAUUUCGACUCCAAAACACAUAGACAAAAGGAUGCAAAAAACAGCAAAUCGAGCAUUCUUCAGAACCCAAACAGCUCCAUCAUUAGCCUCAGCCUCGCUCCGUAGCCUGUCAAUGAGCUUAUCCAUGGACACAUCUCUCAAAUUGCUGAACUCCCUAAUCUUGCUUGCACUGAGCAUGUUUUGCACCAUGUUCCUCCGCAGCGACCGCCAGACAGGGCCGUAGACGGCAGCGUUCACCGUGAACUUGUUGCAGCUGAACACGGUGCGCGUAGGGUUUUCUCGAGGCCUGCUAGCGAAAGACUGGCCCUUUUCGAUGAGAGCUUCGUGCGCCAAUUCUGCACUGCUUAUUAUGAUCAUGGUUCUAUUCCCCAUCUUCAAAGUGAAAAUUGGGCCAUAUUUUGGCCUAAGCUCUCUCACAUACUGAAAAAAUUGCUUCCCAGAGCGAGCAAAUUGGAAGAGGUUUCCAACAAUAGGCCAACCAGGGGGUCCCGGAGGAAGGUUUAGCUUCUUUGACUUGGUUUUACGUGACAGCAAGACGAUCAGACCUGAUAUGAGGAAGGCUAAAGCAGUGAAGAAGAUGUGGUAGUAAGGAGAAUAAGUCGAAGAAGCAGCAGCAAAAGCAGGAGCCAUGGAGAUGGUGUUGAGACAGAGAAAGAGAGAAGGCAGGAGGAGAAGAGGAGAUGAAGUAAUGGAGGAAGGUUGGAGAGGGGUAUAAAAUGGAGAGGGCGUGAAAUUGCAGGUGGGGUUCAAUUAAGGCUCUUCAAGUCUUCUACCAACGCACAACUGGUUGUGUUAAAUGCUAAAGAGAGAGAGAGAGAGAGAGAGAGAGAGAGAGAGAUGGGGUUUUGAGAAAUAUGGAAAACCAGUGACACUGACGCCCCUCAUGCAAGCAAUGUCUUUAUGGCCACAAAUUUCUUAUUGUCUCUCAAAUUUGAACUAAAAAAUUAGACUAAAUUAAGAGUUUUGGUAAGGUUGAAGAAAUUUAUGGUGGCCCUCUGAAUCUGGUGUGCCAAGCCUUUGAUUGGGAUUCAUUGAAUAAAAACGGUUCAUAAAUGAACUCUACCCUUGAGUCGGAGGCCACUACUGGAUGGAGCAUUUCACAGUAAGAAAAAAAAAACAGAAAAUAAAUGGAGUUGGGGUUGGAAAAUGGUGAGUUACAGUCUUUUAGUACUUGCAUCUACUGCUGAAACUUGACCUCAAAAGGAUUAAUUGAUUCAUGAGAGUAGGAGGUGUAGACUACAGAGUCUGUCAUGGUUCACAGUUCAAAGAGAUUGAAAUAUCGAGGAAGAGAAUGAAAAGAGAGUCAGUGAUGAGUUAGUUGAGUAGGAUCAGAGCCACCUGUACAAUAAUACCAUGUAGACCAGCACUGCGACGGGACUGAGAUUCAUCUCAUCUGUCACUAGUCAGUCAUGGUACAUUAGCUUAUUUUGAUUUAAACUGCUUUACGUGUUCCAGGUUCGUACACCAUUUUGCCUUAUUUGGAGCCCAUGGUUUGCUUUAAAGAAUUGAUUUUCUCUUUAAUUCUCCUCUUAAUAUGCCUUAAAGAGUGCCAAAAAAAUAAAAAAAAUUCACUAACCUUUUCUCUCAAAAAACGGUUUCUCAAAACAGUUUUUAAAAACAUUCUCUCAUGUUUUUUUUUGUUAACACAAAAAAUUGUCCCAAACCGAAAAUAUUCUUAAUAUAUUUUGUAUGUUUUCAUAUAUUUCUUAAAGGUAAUUAUUUUUGUUAAAGUUUGGUUAUUUGAAUUCUAUUUGAUCAAACUUGAAAAGCCCGUGGUACGAUACAUAUGAUGAAAUUAUAAUUAUGAGAUUUUUUUGGAGUUUUAUAAUAGUAAUAGAGAAAUUAAGAGAGUGUUUGAUACUAAUUCUAUGAAGUAUUUUUAAUCUUUUUAAUAUAUAAAUUUUUUUAUCUUUUAAGUAUUAAAAAAAAGUAGAAAGAUAUUCUAAAAUCAUUAUCAAACAUACUUUAAGUGUGGGAUAAUGUAAUUUUAGAAUUAUGAUGAUUAUGCUUUUUUGUAAUUGCUCCCAAUCUUAUGAUACUUUUUUGAUAUAAUGAAUUUUUUUUAUUUUGUUUAUGAUUUUUCUUGUUUAGAGUUUUUCACAUAAAUUUAUAUAUUUUUAUUCUAUUUUUAACUACCUAUUCUCAUUAUUGUGGAACAUUUUUUAUUUUUAAAAAUAAAAAAUAUAUAUAUUUUUAAAAGAAGCUCGCAAAGAGGAUUGUCAAAUUCAGUGAAAAUUGAAUUCCAAGUGGGGAGAAGGCAUCCAUCCAGCACAGUAAGAGUCCAAUAAAUGGCACCCAUGACAAAGGGCAUAGGGUCGGAAGGAUUGUGAUUGAAGAUGGGGAUUAUUUUCUUCUUUUAAAAAUAAACUGACUGACAAGAAACUCAACAGUUGCAAGUACUUCUACUACUUCUUUCCUGAAAUAUAAAAAUAGGUUUGUUUGUCUGCAUAGUUUUUUAAUUUACUGUUGAAAACAAAUUUUAAAAUUAUUUUCUGACUGAAUCAAUUUCAGAAGACUUGUCACGAUGAUUCAAAGAUUGCAAGGACUUCUACCAUUGAAACAUCCGAAAACAAUAUGAUGGUCCUUUCUCUUUUGCCUUCGAAAAUAGUUAAAGAUAUGUUAUUUUAAAAAAAAAUAAAAUUAUGUUUAUUUUCAUUGACAAAAUUAAUAGACCCAAAAUAUUAGAAUUAUUAGUAUAUACUUAUACUUGGGCAUAAGUUUUGUCCAACGAAAUGUUGAAAAAGAAUCCUCCAUGCUCACAUUAAAAUCCCAAAGAAAAUACCUCAUGAUAAGAAGAAAAUUGUUAGUUAGAUUACUUAUAAUUUUUUUUAAAAAUAAUUUUAAGAAAAAUCUUGAGGGUAAUAGAAAGGAGGGGAAAUCAUGCAACCAUCCAUUAUCUAAAAAAAAAAAAUUGCUUUUUAAUAUAGACUUCAUCGAUCACCUACAAAACUAAGCUUUAUAGCACAUACUUCAUAGUAUAUAAAGGAAAAGCUAAUCAUAUUUAAUAGAAGAGGUUGAAAGAAUUUUCCAUUUAAACAAACAUCCAAGAUAAUAUUCUCAAUUCUUGAUUCAUAAUAAGAUGGUAUAUAAUAUUAAUUAAUUUGUGAGCUUCCACAAAGAUAUUAUGUUUGUUAGUGUGUGUAUUACAUUGCCUAUGAUUAACAAUUUGAAUACAUAUAUAUCCUGAGAUCUAGUCAUUAGUGGGAUCCAUUCCUGCUAAGGUUCUAUGUAUUGCUCAUCUUGGGUUUGUUUGUGAGCUCUUGUCUAGAGUGAAGUAUAGAUUAAUUAAUACAAUUUUUUCAUAUUUUGUUUUGAAAAUAUAUUAUUUUUAAAAUUAAAUAAAGAUAUUUUUCAGUGUUUUUUUAAAGUAACGUUAUAAAGAAUAUUUUGAACAAUUUUAGAUUGUAAAUAAAUACAUUAUAGCUUUAUAGAAUGUAAGCUGAAAAUAAUAAUUUUUAUAUUUAAAUUCUCAAAUAGAAUUUUAUUCUUAAAGAUAAUUGAAAAUUGUUUUUAAAAAAUGUCUUUCAAUAUGUUUUACACACAAUUUUUUCUUCAAGAAAAAUCAUGCUCAGUGGAAUUGGAUUUUUAUUGAUUUGUAGAAUGAUAUUGGAAUAAUCUUUAAAUUUUUCAUAUUUAAAUUCUUAACAAAAUUUUAUUUCUCAAGAAAAUUGAGAAUUGUUUUUAAAUAGUGUUUUUAGAUAAUUGGUCAAGUUGGAUUUUUAUUAAUUUGAAAAAUGAUAUAGCUAGAAUUUUUAUUUUGUUCUCCAAUUCUUCAUUUCCUAGUUGUUAAUCAAGGACCAAAAAAUGUUUGAUUUAGAAUAGCUUAAACCUAAUUUAGACCUUGACUUAAUUUAAUUUUGAGUCUUGACUUAACAUAGAUUCCGACUUAAUUUGGAUAUUGAUCGAAUUCGAACCUAUGUUUAACUUAGGUUUUGGUGUAACUAGGACCUUGGCCAAACUUGAGUUUUGGCUUGACUUAAACAACAUCAAGGACUUUGAGUAGUUUGAUCUCAAAUUGUAGAAGCCUUUUGUAGAUUUUCAUUUUAAAAGUUGAAACUUAAGACUUUGAAGAUCUUAACAAUUCAAAGAUACUUUAAAAAAAAUUGAAGACUUAUAUCUCAUUUUAAUUUUGAAAUAGUGUUGAAUCUCCCAUAAAGAGUUUCCUCUAACUCUUAUCUUCUAAAUUGUCUUUAAAUUACCUUGUCAAUGCUUUGCAGUUGGUUUAAGUUACAUGGAUUAGAAAAAAUCAUAUUUAGAUCAUUUUUUAUUUUUUAUAAAUAUUAUUUCUUAAUUAAAAUAAAUAUAUAAGGAGAUUUGAAGGACUAUAUUGGAUAGUUUCAACAUUUUAAAAUAUUAUUCUUUAAAUUAAAAAUAAUAUCUAAGCUAAAUUGAAAGACUAUAUUUGAUAACAUUCAAUUUAUUUCUUAGUAAAACUUGAUAAUUAUUUUUUCGAUUAUCAAUUUACUAUUUCUAUUAAUUCUAAUAACUUUUCUUUUCUUUCGGUUUUUCUUUUUUUUUUUGGAGAUUCAUGCUAACUUUUUCAUGGAUUGAAAAUUUAUUUCAUGUGAUCACUUAUAAUUAACCACAAUAUAAAUCAAUUAUGAACAUUUGAUUUUUCUUGUGAAUUAUAAUUAACUUAAUUUGAGUAUAUAAUAAAAAGUUGUUCAUAAACACAAGUGUACACACAAAUUUUCGCGAAUUGUCUACAAUCUCUGUGAUAAUAUUCUUUACAAAAGAAUAUAUCCCUCUGGUUCUUUCACUUUGAUCACAAUUUGGAAGACGACAAUGAUGUUUUCUUGAUUUCGAAGAUCAGUUAAGGGUCAUAAGUGACUUAUUCUCGAAUGAACUUGUUGAAUGACAAAGCUCGCGUGUGUAGAACUUUUAUCGUUUCUUGAAAGGGAGAUUUUUGUGAAACCCUUUUUUUUAUGAAGCAUCUUUUCCCCUAUAGAGUAGUUUUUUGCCAAUCUAAAGAAGUCCAUACGUCGAAGGAAAUCACCCAUUUUUAUAGGUGAAAAUAGGAAAUCAAAAUUUGGAAUUCCCUAAGAUGUAGUUGCUUGAUUUUAACAACUUGUCUUCUCCAUUAAGGAAAUUUGUCAACAAGAGAAUAUAUAUAUAUAUAUAUAUAUAUAUAUAUAUUUUGACUUCAAGAGGAAUAUUUGUUUCUUUAAAAAAAAAAAAUUGUCAAUUAGAGAAUAUUUAUUUAUUUAUUUUUUAUUUUCUUUUGACAAUAAUUUGGAAGAUUUGAUUUUAUUUGGAAGACUAAAUUUUGUAGUCUUCCAAAUUGGUCCACAUGCCACCUUUUUAACAUAUGCCAAGUGUCAAAUAUGUGUAAGACCAAUCAUGUGUAGAUCCCAUAUUUUGUUGAAUCGAGGAGUCACAUUUUUUUUAAGAUCAAUUUAAUGAUAAUUUAUUUCACUAAAAAUUUUUAUGUCUACAAAUGCUCCCACUUCAAGACAUAUCACGUACAUGCCUUGCAAUGUAUAUGGUGGGUCUUGAAGUUACUCUUCAAAAUUUUUCUUUUCAAAGAAAUAUUUUUAAUAGGAAGUUUCCUAUUUAAAAUAUCUCUUUCCCACUUUUCUGAAAUAUUAUUUUAUUUCAUUUCUUUCUUUCCAUUUGGCAUCAAAGGAAGGUUUUGUGUUAAUAGGAAAGUUUCUAUUUUGACUAUCCACUUUCACUUCCCAUCCUUUCCAAUUUACCCCCUUUAUAUAUAUAUAUAUAUAAAGGGGGUAAAAAUUUGAGAAAUCCAAAUCGAACUCUCUUGAAGAAUUUUCUCAAUCUUUGGACAGUCUUCAACCCAAUUUGAAAAAUCUGACUUGAAUUCUUUCACGAGAAGUCUUUCACCUUAAGCCAAUUUCCAAACCCGUAAGUUGUAUUUUAUUUUAUUUUUAUUUUUAUUUAUUUUUACCUUUAAGGACUUCUAUCGUGGGAACGUGGAGAUUUAACAAUAGUAGUGUGGACUAGUAUCAUGUGAUGGAGUAGCAUGUUUUGGGAGUGAACGAAGACAAUAUCAUGUUGUGGGUUAUGCAGAAGCAACCAACAUAUACAUAUAUGUAUACGUACAUAUGAAUGGCUAACAGUGGGAACAAACAAAGAAAGCAAUUGAAAUAUAUAUAAAUAAAUAUAUAUAUAUAUAUAUAUAUAUAUAUAUAUAUAUAUAUAUAUAUAUAUAUAUAUAUAUAUAUAUAUAUAUAUUGGAAUCUUCCUAGAAAUUGGUUGACACGUGAUCUCCUUAUUCGUUUUUCUUUUCUUUUCCUUACUUUUUUUUCUUUUUUUUUUCUUUUUUUUUUAGGAAGGAAAAGUUCCACGAUCCCAAAGACGUGUCAAUCUCCAUCGCUUUGCAAAGAUGAAUUUGGCUUUAGAUAUUUUAUAUAUAUAUAUAUAUAUAUUUUAAUUACCUUAACACUUGAGGAAGAAUUUUUUUGGUAAACUUAAAUAUCCAUAAGAAUUUAUGAAUAUUUAAAACUUGAUCCUCAUGUAAUCAAGUUGUAGUCCUUAUGUGAAGCAGUGUUGUAUUUUGACAUUUAUAUGCUAAAGUCUUCACCCAUGCAGAUUGCCUUGACUUAAAUGUAUAGUGGUGUUCAAGUUUUAAUAUUUAAUUAAAACUAUAACAAUAUUUGACACAUGCAAACAAGUUAUGGCCCUAACAUCAUGCAAUGUUAUACUUUCGGCACUUAAUGCGGCUUAGGUGCUAAGGUUUUUACUCAUGCAGAUUGACUCGACUUGAAUGCAUAAUGGUAUUCAAGUUUUAAUAUUUAAUUAAAACCAAAAUAAUAUUUGACACCUAUGCAGACAAGUUGUCUUUAUGCUACGUGUGUUGUACUUUCAAUACUUAGUACGAGAUAAGUGUUAAGGUCUUCACUCAUGCGAAUUGGAGUAACUUGGAUGUAUAAUGGUGUUUAACUUCUAAAAAAAUUAGACCCACAUUUUAUUUUAUUUAUUUUAUUAUUAUUAUUUUUUUGCAGGAUAAUAUUCUUCAAGUAUUUCAAGGAAAAGACUGUGACCAUUCUCAAGGAUGAUAGUGAAGAUUUUUAGGAGAGAACUACCCUGUCAGUGCAUAAGUCACUUACUGACCUUCAAUCCUUGUUGGUGCUAGUGACAAAGGAUCCAUUACACAUUUCUUCUUGGUCUCGAGUAGCAUCUUGCAAGCUUACUGAUUCGUGCCCACUUGGUGUGUCAGCUGAUUCAUGUCCAGCUGGUGCUUCUUGAUUGAGGGAGUAAUCAACAAAAUUUAUAACCUAUUACACCAUGAACUAGGGUAGCAAAGACAAAGCUACUAUAGCAUAGUGGCUCUAGGAUCGUUCACUGGGAUGAGAUUUCACUCCAUAAUUGAUAUUAAUUCAAAGAUGAAUUGGUGCCUUUUCAUUUCAAGGUUAGCUUUAAAAGAAAACAUAAAGAUGUUUGAAAAAGGAUUGGUUUUAAGCUAACCAAAAAUAAUAACUGAUUUUACUUACAAAGAAAAGUGUUUCUUGGAGUUAAGAUCACUGGGUUCAGAUUCCUCAUAUAAAAAGGAGAGUUCCAGUCACUUGUUUAUUUUCCUCGCAUUGAGGAUUUAACCUAUAGUUAUUUCCCGAACCGGUGUGGUACAGAUGCUUCCCAUUAAUGGGUUCAAACACUAAAUCCCUCUCACUGAUGCAACUUGCAAUGACUCAUACCUCUCACCUAACACUUGCCAUUCAAGGUGAUCUUUAACCUUGGAUUACCCGUCAAAAGCUCGCAAGAGAUAACUAAUGGAUGUCUCCUUUAAGUCCAAAAGCUUACCAAGUGUUGGCUAUUCUAGAAAAUCCUACCUUCAAACCACCUCCCAAAGGCUCGCAAGAGAUAAACUAGUGCAUCUCAAUGGAUGGAGAUCACUUGCCUUACCAAGUGUUGGCCCAGGUGAUUUAAAGGCGUUUUAAGUUAACUAAAAAGAUAAAAACCAUUAACGAGUCACACUUUCUCUUCAUUAAAAACUAAAACAACAAAACUUCCAAUUUAUGUAUGUGGAAACUUACCCGGCUUUCUUUACUCCAAGAGACAAAGAGCCUAGCCUCUCAUCCUCUGAGAAAAAAUCCUCAGAGUUUGAUUGGCUAGAAAGAAAAAGAAUAAGAAAACAAAAAUAUAUAUGAAAAACAGAGCAAGUGCUCUGUAUUUUACUUCCUUGCAAAACUGUACAAAGGAUGCGUCUCUGAGAACAAGCUCCCAGAUUUUUCAUACCUCUAAGAACAAGCUCCCAGAGAUUACAUACAUUUUCUAAAGAAGAUUACAAACUAUCUAUAAGGGGUUAUUCACCCUUUGUUUUUACUUAAAGACUAAGGAAUCCUAUGAUAGGUGGGUUACAAGGAGACUUUGGGGAUUUAGACAUCAAAUAUCUAAAGCAAAAUAUCUCAAAAUGUCGGUCGCACAUAUCGGGAAUUUAGACAUUAAAUAUCUAAAGCAAAAUAUCUCAAAAUGUCAGUCGCACAUAUCGGGAAGCUUCAGGAGAACACAGCGGCACUGUACAAAAUGGCUGUGAAACUCUCCGGGUAAGGGCUAUCAGAUGAUCCGGAUAUGUCCAUCCGGGGAAGUUGAAACGCCCUCCUUUCCCAUCCGGCGUCAGGCGCCGGAUGUGAAACAUCCGGAGAAGGUGGCACGUCACCCGGACAUAAUUCCGGAUGUGGGAUAUCCGAAGAAGAUGGAACGUCGCAAGGGUGACCGUUCACGUGUGCAUGGUGUAGGGACCCAUCCGGAGCAACUCCAUCCGGAUUCCCCAAGAGGAUACGCAGCGCGCUCCCUUAUCCGGACUCCCUCAGGGAGAAGCACGUGGCACUCGUGAUCAUCACACCCAGAUGAUAGCAUAUCUUAUCUGGAUAUGUUGUCCGGAUCAUUGACUUAAGUGCACAAGCCUUGCUACGUCAUUCCGACAGCCUGCCACAGCCCAUGUUUCGCCGCCCUCUGAUGAUGUGUCCGAAUGCCCAUACUCCUUGCAUUCCGGAUUUGCUUAUGGCAAAGGACUUCAAAGCUUCGGCUCUUCAUGUUUCUGAGCUUUCCUUUGCUUUGCCAUGGAUUCCAAAGAAUUCUCCUCAAUCUCGAAUUUGAUUUGGUGAUCAAAAAGCUAUCAAAACACCAAAACUUAACACAAUUUGAUUAGAAUUGAUUGCAAGGGUCCUUAAUAUGUUAAUUGGGUUAAAAGGUGAUAACUACUACUCAAAAGUGUUUAAAAGAGUUAAUUACAAGCUAUGAAAUAGCACUUUUUGAGUAGUAAUCACUUACAAACAUUAAUAAUUCAAAAUUCAACAAAGUAAAACUUGUUUCUAAUGUUAUACUAUUGAAUUCUUCUCACCUAACCACUACUGAAACUCAAAGUGAAUUUGGAUUGUUGGGAUCUCAUGUUCAUGAUGGAGAAGUCGAAUGAGGAACCUCCUUUAAGGUGCUUGGGGAAUCUUUUUUUAUUGAAGGAUAUUGGGAAUGGGUAGAAGAUAUGUUUGGUUAACAGAGAAAACUUCUUAAAGAAAACAAACUUUACGAAGAUAUAUUUGCUUCUUUGUUUAGCUAUGAUCAUCAUACUUCUAUUAUCAGAGUUUUUUUGCAAACAUUGAUGUCCUUCAACUAAUACCUUGCAUAAUUCUAUUGGAGAGGUUUUCAUCUCCCUUUGGGACUUAUAUCGCAUUGUUGGGCUACAUAUCAUUGGAUAUUUUUAUGAUGAAAUGGUAUUGACUACAGAAAGGCUAUCAAAGUCCUCACUCUCACCAAGUUGUCAAAACUUGUUCCUUGCAUAUCAUCAAAUUUGCUUUGAGAUGAAGAGGAAGUUUUUAGUUAAGAUAGCCUCUUGGGUGUUGUUUUGGUUCAAAGACUCUAUGAAGUAUGCAAAAUCCCUAAAGAAUAGUACAAGGAACAAGACACAGAGACUUAAGGAGACUCAUAAUCCUUUUGGGAAUGUUGAUCCUCUUGAAUCUUAUAAUUAGUCAGAGAUGAAGGUGUUUGACGACCUUGGUAUGGCUAAGGUAAAUAUUGAGGAAACCUAUUUUACGAUACGACUUUCCUUGUAUGUUGGUUAUGCAAGUUUGUUCUUCUUAGGGAGGGUGUGAAUUUGAUUCGUCAUGGAGUCUUCAAGGAAGCUAGUAGAAUGGCUCAAGGUGAGACAUUAACCUUGUUAUUCCGGUGUUAGCAAGCAUUUACAAUGGCUUGAAUGAAAUUGUUUGUUCCUCAAAGCCUAGGACUAAUGCAUCUAUUUUCCUUAUUCACUAUUUAUAUGGAUAGUUAGGCGAAAAUUUUGAUACCCAUUUCUUCUUUUCUUCUUGGAAUCAUUCUCCACGGAUGACUUGUUAUGUCAAUGAGUUUUUUGCUAAGUCUUUUGAAGAUUCACAAGCGUGGGCUUUGAUAAUAUCUUGCAAAGGUGUAAAGUUGAACCACUUGGUAUUGCAGUACAAAGAGCACAUGUAUUGGAUUGAUAAUGAGUCUAUUACUACUACCCAAACUUCUUAUCUCUUAAGUCUUCGCUUUACCUAUUUAUCUUUACGAAAAGGUAACCAUUGAGUAAUUCAACUGUAUUAUCCUCGCCGAUUUUGUAGACAAUUUGGGCAUCCUCAAGAUGUUCCUAGGGGUUUACUAGAGGUUUUUCGCACUAGAACUUUAGAGGUGGUGUAUAAACAUUGGAAGUCAUGCACUAGGCUUGGCACCCACUCCAAAAUUACUAUGCCAAAUUAUCAUAGUCUUGACGAGUUCUCAAUCACCAAGGCUUAUGCAGAUUGGUGGAUUGGAAUGUGUAAUCUUGAGAAGAACAUGCUUACUAUUACUUGUAUAGAGCCCCCUCAUGUUCUUCUCUACAAAUACCCUCAAAAUCUUUGGAGAGUAGAACAUGCAAGAUCAACCCAAGUGUUUCUACUAAGAGCAAUGUUGGGGACAACAUUGAGGGAAACUUUGAUAAUUUACCUAAUGACUUAAGAGUUUCUUCUAAGCACUCAAUGGGUGGUCAUCAAACUAAUGUUUUCACACACUUGGAACAUGAAGGAAUUAUCUUUUAUGGUGGUAAUGCUCACUAUCACCAAACUUUUAAGCAAAUCAACAAUGCAGAGGUUCUUCAUGUAUCUAGUGACGGCUCCAAGGAUAUAAGUGAAUGUCAUUUCAAACAUCGAAAGACUAGACCCUCCCUUAUGUACUAUGAUGAGACUAACUCUCAUGCAGAUGUUUUCUUUGCUGAUGCUCCAUCUUCUACUCAACCAAUGGAACUUAGUGGUGAAAAAGGUUUUUUGUUUUUGUUUUUUUUUUUUAACACGUCGAUGUUAACAAAAAAAAAAAAAAAUCGCCUUAGGAUGAAGAUGACAAUCAGCUUAUCGGUGAGGAUAAUGAUUCUUUUCUUAAAGGCCAGUUUGAAAAUGUUGAUAGCACUAAGGUUCUAUGUAUUGCACAUCUUGGGUUUGUUUGUGAGCUCUUGUCUAGAGUGAAGUAUAGAUUAAUUAAUACAAUUUUUUCAUAUUUUGUUUUGAAAAUAUAUUAUUUUUAAAUUAAAUAAAGAUAUUUUUGAGUGUUUUUUUAAGUAAUGUUUUGAACAAUUUUAGAUUGUACAUGAAUACAUUAUAGCUUUAUAAAGUGUAAACUGAAAAUAAUAAUUUUUAUAUUUAAAUUCUCAAAUAGAAUUUUAUUCUUAAAGAUAACUAAAAAUUGUUUUUAAAAAAUGUCUUUCAAUAUGUUUUACAUACAAUUUUUUCUUCAAGAAAAAUCAGGCUCAGUGGAAUUGGACUUUUAUUGAUUUGUAGAAUGAUAUUGGAAUAAUCUUUAUAUUUUUCAUAUUUAAAUUCUUAACAAAAUUUUAUUCCUCAAGAAAAUUGAGAAUUAUUUUUAAAUAGUGUUUUUAGAUAAUUGGUCAAGUUGGAUUUUUAUUAAUUUGAAAAAUGAUAUAGCUAGAAUUUUUAUUUUGUUCUCCAAUUAUUCCUUUCCUAGUUGUUAAUCAAGGACCUAAAAAAGUUUGAUUUAGAAUAGCUUAAACCUAAUUUAGACCUUGACUUAAUUUAAUUUUGAGUCUUGACUUAACAUAGAUUCCGACUUAAUUUGGAUAUUGAUCUUAUUUGAAUCUUGGUUCAACUUAGGUUUUGGUGUAACUAGGACCUUGGCCAAACUUGAGUUUUGGCUUGACUUAAACAACUUUGAUCUCAAAUUGUAGAAGCCUUCUUCAGAUUUUCAUUUUAAAAGUUGAAACCUAAGACUUUGAAGAUCUUAACAAUUCAAAGAUACUUUAAAAAAAAUUGAAGACUUAUAUCUCAUUUUAAAAUUUGAAAUCGUGUUGAAUCUCCCAUAAAGAGUUUCCUCUAACUCUUAUCUUCUAAAUUGUCUUUAAAUUACCUUGUCAAUGCUUUGCAGUUGGUUUAAGUUACAUGGAUUAGAAAAAUCAUAUUUAGAUCAUUUUUUGAUUUUUUAUAAAUAUUAUUUAUUAAUUAAAAUAUAUAUAUAUAUAUAUAUAUAUAUAUAUAUAAGGAGAUUUGAAGGAUUAUAUUGGAUAGUUUUAACAUUUUAAAAUAUUAUUCUUUAAAUUAAAAAUAUUAUCUAAGCCUAGGACUAAUGCAUCUAUUUUCCCUAUUCACUAUUUAUAUGGAUGGUUAGGAGAAAAUUUUGAUACCAAUUUCCUCUCUCCUUCCUAGAAUCAUUCUCCACGGAUGACUUAUUAUGUCGAUGAGUUUUCUGCUAAGUCUUUUGAAGAUUCACAAGUGCGGGCUUUGAUAAUGUCUUGCAAAGGUGUAAAGUUGACCACUUGGUAUUACAGUACAAAGAGCGCAUGUAUUGGAUUGAUAAUGAGUCUAUUACUACUACCUAAGCCUUUUAUCUCUUAAGUCUUUGCUUUACCUAUUUAUCUUUACGACAAGGUAACCAUCGAGUAAUCCAACCAUAUUAUCCUCAUUGAUUUUGUAGACAAUUUGGGUAUCCUCAAGAUGUUCUCGGGGGUUUACCAGAGGUUUUUGCACUAGAACUUUAGAGGCGGUGUAUAAACAUUGGAAGUCAUGCUCUAGGCUUGGCACCCACUCCAAAAUUACUAUGCCAAAUUAUCAUAGUCUUGAAGAGUUCUCAAUCACCAAGGCUUAUGCAAAUUGGUGGAUUGGAGUGUGUAAUCUUAAGAAGAACAUGCUUAGUAUUGCUUGUAUAGAGCCCCCUCAUGAUUCUUCUCUACAAAUACCCUCAAAAUCUUUGGAGAGUAGAACAUGCAAGAUCAACCCAAGUGUUUCUACUAAGAGCAAUGUUGGGGACAACAUUGAGGGAAACUUUGAUAAUUUACCUAAUGACUCAAGAGUUUCUUCUAAGCGCUCAAUGGAUGGUCAUCAAACUAAUGUUUUCACACACUUAGAACAUGAAGGUACUAUCUAUUAUGGUGGUAAUGAUCACUAUCACCAAACUUUUAAGCAAAUCAACAAUGCAUAGGUUCUUCAUGUAUCUAAUGAUGGCUCCAAGGAUAUAAGUGAAUGUCAUUUCAAACAUCGAAAGACUAGACCCUCCCUUAUGUACUAUGAUGAGACUAACUCUCAUGCAGACGUUUUCUUUGCUGAUGCUCCAUCUUCUACUCAACCAAUGGAACUUAGUGGUGAAAAGGUUUUUUGUGUUUGUUUUUUUUUUUAAAACAUCGAUGUUAACAAAAAAAAAAAUCGCCUUAGGAUGAAGAUGACAAUCGACUUAUUGGUGAUGGCGAUGAUACUUUUCUUAAAGGCCAGUUUGAAAAUGUUGAUAGGACUAAGGGGUUGACGUCCUUCAACUAAACUAUCCAAUGAGAAGAUCAUUUUAUCAUUCCAACACCCUUACCCCAUUUUCAUUUGGGUGAUGAAGGUAUUACUAACAUUUCAAGUAAUGUUUUGAUUGAAUCUUGAUGUUAAGAGGCCACCAUUGAAAAUACCAUAUAUGAUGAAUUGACACUUUUAACUAUUGCAGGUUUAAUUGCUAAACAACAAUCCCCAUACUCUGAUACACCUCCUAUGGCCCCUUCUGAUUUUAUUCACAUAUUUGAUAUGGAAUAAAUUGUCUUUGAUGCACAAUGUUAAGCAACACGCAUGAUAAGAGAGAGCAUUAAGAAAAUGAUUCUAAAAAAUUCCAUUGAUCAUUUCUCAUUACUGAAAGGAAAAAUUGAUGAGCUUUUUAGGGCUAUUAUGAAGACCGACGUAGACUCUUCACCAUUAAAGUCUUAGAUUCAGAAGUACAUGAAAAGUAUAGAUCACUUUGUUGCAGUGCAAUGUGCCAACUCUACUAAGAUAUCAUUUGAAGUAAAAAACGAGCGUUUGAUUAUUAUUGCAUCUCAGAUUGCUAAUGCUUUAAACUCUGAAACUGUGGAGGCAAGGCAUUGUGAAUUAUUAAAGACUGACUUAGUUACUCUUGAUGCUAAGCAAGACGCGCUUAAGAAGGAGUUGGAACAACUAGGUAUACAAAGAGAGUGCCUUUAUAACUCAAUUUUGGAGACUGAUGAGAAUUUAGUCAAUAAGUAGAAUGAUAUUUCUCGUUUGAGGCAAGAACACGUUGCUAUCGCCCAAAACCCUUGUGCUUACUGAUGUCGAUGUCAAGACCUUAGAGACACUUUAAGAAACCUUAAAAACUCAACGUGAUGAGCUCGAAUGCUUGGUGUGGGUGUGAUUGUUGUGCCUUUAGUUCCACCAUCCAUUUUCUUCUUUCAUUUUUAUUGAAAUGUAAUAAGUUUAGCAUUUGCUAUCCAAACUUAUUUAUAAAAUGAGGUUUUUUUUUGUUUUUUUUUUUUGUUUAAGUGAUUCAACUUAGGUAGUUUCCCCAAGUUGCCUACGUAACCUUCAAAGAGAAGAGAUCAAGUCAAAUGUAGUUCAUUUUAUUAUUAUUAUUAUUAUUAUUACGCUUUAACUUUUGAUAAGACUAAAAGAGAGUUUUAAUCUUGCGAGCAUCUGUCUUAACUUUUGCCUAAGUCACCUUUUCAGGUUUUCAACUUAGCGGACCUUUUUUUUUUUUUUUUAUUGUGUCGUAUGUAGUUUAAGUUCAUGUAGAGUAGGAAUAACACUUGUCUUGAGUUUGAUCGAAGGGUGAUAAAUUCAUGUCCUUGGAAAAAAAUUUAAUUGAGGGUCAAAGAGGACUUAUUCUCAACCAAACUUGUGAAAACCUUUCUUAAGCAUUUCAGAGAACAAAAUAAGGUCAUUUUGAAUUCAUGUUGAUUUUUUUCAACCUUAAACGUGGAUGAAUGGCAGUUUCGUAUUGUGUUUGAUAUUCUUCCAUAGGCUUGUUGAAGAAUGUGUUGAGCUUGGACUUGAUUUUAAUUUAAGAGUGAUAAACACGUGUUAUUGGAGCAAAGUUUAAUUGAGGGUCAAUGAUGACUUGAUUUCAAGUAAACUUAUCAAUAAUUUCAUUAACUGUUUUGAGAAACCUAACCUUGUUUUCUUUAGCUUUGAAGGUGGAUGAAUGACCCUUUUGUUUGUAUUUGGUAUUCUUCCACGAGCUUGUUGAAGAAUGUUUGGAAUUUGAUCUUAACUUUUAAAGCUCCAUUUUUGGAUUUAGCUUCUAGGUUGCAUAUUUCUUUUGAGAGCGCUUCAUGCUGAAAGAUAAUAACACUUGUAUUUAGAGAAGUUAGAGAUUUUAGUUUAGAAUCUCCGAAUUUGACUUUUUUUAAUACAAAGAGUUUGUUCCUUAGUUUAAGAAGUUUGGCAAUAUAUAUAUAUAUAUAUAUAUAUAUAUAUAUAUAUAUAUAUAUUUGCAUAAGUUUGAUUUGUUUUUUUUUUGUUACUACAAUUUAAGCUCUUUUAGGAUAGAAGAAUAUGCAGUUCAAGCUCAUGCUUUAAGAAGCAUCAGCGGAGUGCUGAGGUUUGAAAAUAAUUAUAAUAAAAUUUGAUGUCACACUCUCUUCAUUGUCACUGGUGAAAAUGAUGGUUGCACAACAAGUCACACAAUUGUGGCCUUUGUCCCUAAAUUGUUUUGCCCCUUUUAUUUUUAUGGCAUAGGGUGAUGAAUUCUUAAGUGCUUGAAUCAAUGCAAUUCAUGUUUCCUUAGGAAGUUGUAACAUUUCAUGGAUAUUGAAGAGUGAGGGUAAGCAUUAUAGGUUUGCUACUACCUCAUCAUCUUUCUUGGUUUUGCUCAACUAUUCACCAAUAGCAUUUUCUUCAUCUUUCUUAGGUCAUCUUCUUUUGAAGUCUCAAGAUAAGAGAUCAUAUGAGUUGAUGUCACUAUCCCUCUAUUAAAAACUCUGGAAUGAAGUAUUCUCCUAAAGUGAUAGAGGUGAUGAGCUUUUGUACCAAAAUGUCAUCAACCUGUAUAAUCAUUUGUUUUUUUCGAGUUUGUUUUCUUCUUUCUUCUUCAAAUGUCGAUAGAUAUUUUGCUUAUGUUGCUCUUUCAUAGGAAGAUUUGGGUAUGAAUGAGAUUUUUUAUUCUUGUGAGGUUUCUUUUAUGUUACCAAUGUCCAACUAUCUUCACUAUAUGACAUUGAUUCAUUAUCAAAGCAAAGGUAAAGAAGGCUAUCUUGACAUGAAACUUGUGCUUGCUUUGGUUUCAAUGACUCACAUUGAAUAGUAUUGGUGCAUGCCCCCAGUUUUGUAGGUGGAACAUGUAACAAAACAGGAUUGAAUGACCCAAAUGUGACCAUAGUAUGAUUUGACUUUACCACUUCAUCCAAAUCCAAAUAAAUUUUUCCUUGUUUUGCAAGUUUCAUUAUGAGAUCUUUUAAGAUGAAACAUUUAUUCAUCGAGUGACUGACGAUUCAAUGGUAAUGAUAGUAGUUUGGAUCAUUAAUACGACCCAUUUCUUUUACACGCUUACACUUAAUUAGCUCAAUAACAUUUUUUCUAGAGCAGAUCUUCCAACAUGUUAGGCACAUCAAAGUUAGGAAAAAGAUACUUCUUCUCCUCCAGUUCCUUUAAGGUGAAUCGACGCCUCUCAUUUUCCUGGGUUAGUUCGGUCUUUUUUACUUUUUAUUUUUAUUUUUUAUCUCUUGCUAAGAUUUUGAUAAGACCUGUAUUUACCAUCAUUGACUCCUGGAUGGGUUUUAUUGAGGUUUUAUCACUUGUUUUCCCAUCGUGUCUCUCUAUUUGUCAGUCAACGAUAAGGUCAUUCUUAGCACCAUGGUUGGCUAAGUUGAGCUAACUCUUCAAAGGUGCGAGAUCGUACCUCUUGAAGGAUAUACAAAAGACCCCAAUGCAUUCCUUGUAUGCACAUCUCCACAGCUAACACCUCGAAUAAUCUAUCUUUACAGUCCAAGUUUAAGGAACACCAAUGAUUGAUGUAGUCUACGACUGGCUCAUCUUUCCAUUGUUUAGUAUUAGUAAACUCUAUCAUGCGUACAAUUCGUUGGGUGCUACAGAAAUGGUUGAAGAAUUUGCGCUCCAUUUAGUCCCAACUAUUGAUACACUCAAGUGCAAGAUCUUGGUACCAAUCGAAAGCAUUCCCUCGGAGAGAAAAAACGAAUUGUUUGACUAACAAGUCACUAUAUGUGCCUGUAUUAUUACAAGUUUCAACGAAAUGGGCAACAUGUUGUUUUGGAUUUUUCUUCCCGUCAAAUGAUUGAAACUUUGGAGGUUGAUAACCCACAUACAUACGUAGGUGAUUAAUCCUCUUAGUGUAAGGUUUAGAGUACAUGAGGGUAUUCUAUGAGGGUCCACCAUACUGUGCUCUAAUGGUGUUAGUUAUCAUGUCUUGAAGUUGCUGGACAGAUAAUGACACCACUGAUUACUACUCAAAAAGUGCUAUUUGAUAGCUUAUAAUUAAUCCUUUUAAACACUUUUGAGUAGUAGUUUUGGCCUUUUAACUCAAUUGGCAUGUUAAGGACCCUUGAAAGCAAUUUUAAUCACUUUGUAUAAGUUUUGGUGUUUUUGUUAGUAAUUUGAUCACCAAAGCAAUUCAAGAUUGAGGAGAAUUAUGAGGAAUCUUGGGCAAAUCUUGGAAGUCAUUUGCCAAGAGUAAAUCCGGAAUGCAAGGAGAAAAAGUAAAGAGAAUCUGCCAUGAAGCAUAUUCUUGAUGACAGUCGUAGCAGCCACUUUUGGAGCACUUUCUGGAGUCCAAUUGAUGCAUGUUAUAUACCAUUUCAAAGCUCAGGAAUUCAAAAAUCCAAUGCUUCAAACGGUGCGCAAUUCGGAGUUGAAACGAAGAAGUUGCAGCCAUUGCAAGCCAAUCACUCCAAGCUGAAGGAAGCAUUUUACAAAGUGUUGCGAAAUCACCCUUUUGUUGCGAAAUGAUUUCGCAGCCUUUUUGUACAGUAGGGUGUAUUUCCUUCUGAAGUUGCCCAAUAUAUGCCGCAAGCUGGAAGCUGAGAACAUCAAGGUGGAAGCCAACUUCACAGCCCUGCGAGAAUAGCUUUUUGCUGCGAAGUGAUUUCGCAGCCCUUCUUGAGUGUCUGCGAAAUCUCGCAGACACCAUUUUCUCUUACGAAAUGGUUCCUGGAGCAUCCCGAUAUUUGCUACCGACAUUGGGAGAUAUUUUGCAUCGGAUUUUUGUUGUCUAAAUCCCAAAAUACUCCUUGUAAGCCACCAAUUACAAGAUUCCUUAGCUUUUAAGUUAGUAAAAAGAGAAAAUAUCCAUGUAAUAAUUAGUUUUAUAUUAUGUUCAUAUAAAGACCUCUUGGGAGCCUGGUAUCAGAGGAGAUCCUUUUGUAAAGUUUUGGGAAAGCAAGUAAAGUUCAGGCCCUUUGUUUUGCCUUACCUUCUCACUUUGUAUUUUUUUUUUCUUACUAAGUUAUGAACUCUCUGAGGAGUUUUCCCCAGAGAAUGAGUAACUAAACCUCUAAUUCCUUGGAGUUAAGGUUGUCGGGGAAGGUUCCAAGUGUAAGAAUGCAAAGCUUUGUGGUUUUAGCAAGUAAUGAAGAGGAAGUGAAAUCCUUUAGUGAUUUCUAUGUUUUUAGUUAACUUAAAACACCUUAGAGUCACCUGGGCCAACACUUGGUAAGGCAAGUGAUUUCCAACCAUGGAGAUGCACUAGUUUACCCCUUACGAGCCUCUGGGAGGUGACUUUAAGGUAGGAUUUUCUGGAAUUGCCAACACUUGGUAAGCUUUUGGACUCCAAGGAGACAUCCAUUAGUUAUCUCUUGCGAGCUUGAGAAGGGAAGUCCAAGGUUAAAGAUCACCUUGAAUGGUUAAGGCUUAGUGAGAGGCUUAAACCAUUGCAAGUUGCAUCAGUGAGAGAAUUAAAGUUGAAAUCUAAUUAAAGGAUGUAUCUGUACAACGCCGGUUAGAGAAUUGACUAUAUGUUGAAUCUCUAACACGAGGAAAUGAACCAUCUGACCGGAGCUAUGUCUUUUGCAUGAGGAACCACCCCAGUGAACCUGACUCUCCAAGGAAUGCUUUUCUUCCUAAGUAAUUCCCAUUGCUUGUUUUGUUGGUUAAUUCAAAUCUAAAUCUUUACCAAUCAAAGUUUGUGUUUUAUUUCUUAAGCUAACCUUGAAAUGAAAUAAGACCAAUUCACUUUGAAUUGGUAUCAUUGAUAGCUUGCUAAUCCUUCCCAGUGAACGAUCCUAGAGCCGUUAUAUUAUAGUAGCUUUUUCUUUGCUACCCUAGUAUAUGGUGUUAUAGGUUAUAAAUUUUGUUGAUUACUCCCUCAAUCAAGGAGCACUAGCUGGACAUGAAUAAGCUGAGACACCAAUUGGGCAUGAAUCAAAUGGCGCCAUUGCCGAGGAUCGAACCCGGGUCACCCGCGUGAUAGGCGGGAAUACUCACCACUAUACUACAACAACGAGGUAGAUUUCGUUGUUUGUCUUUCGACUUGCACUGUCCUAGAUGCAUGUGGUGCAUCAUCAAGAGGAGAUGCAACAUUCAGAAGAUGGUUGAGUCAUUGACUUGACUCACCCAUAUUUUGUACUUGUGCCUCAACCUUGUUUAUGAGGAUGACUAUCUGCAUAUCCUUCUUCUCGAUUGUCUUGGUGAGUUUAGCGACGACAUAAGCCAUCUCUGUCGAUUGUUCCUUUACAAAUGUAAUGCCAAUUUCCAUUACUGACAUAAUCAUUAAGAAGUGAAAAGUAAAAGAGUCGAAACAAUUGGAGUAGUUUUCCUCAUUUGACAUUCCAGUUGGCAAUUCGAAGUGUGAGCCAGUGUUGGAUUUGGUAUCGGUAAUAGAGCAAGAUGACUUAUCCCUAAAGUCCUGUAGUGUUGAAGGAAGUUUUCCUUUGCUACGAGGACUAUGGUUUUUUACCUCCAGAGAAGCUAAAGUGAUGCAUGAUUGGUGCUCAUUAUGUGUCCUUAUCGGUUUUAACAAACAAGUAGACUCACUUAUUUGUUUUGUUGAAAGUGAAGAUGUUGAUUUCGCUUUGCUACGAGUCAUGAGGCCUAUAGCGGUGUUGUGUGUCAAUUACGCAAUGACGAUCUAGUCAUUGCCUUUGUUGACAUCUACAACUUGAGUUCUUUUGGAUGUCAUCGACGUAGUGGUGAUCAAUUUUUUAAUGAAAGAGAUGAGAGACAAAGAGGUCCCACCGGGCAUGUCAGAAAUUUGUACACACAAAUUUCGCGAAUAGUCCUACGAUGUAAGCAAAACUAUAGGAAAAAAUAAUGUGAAACAAAAUAUUUUAUUAAAAUUAAAAAUAUUGUGGGCUGCAAUCUUUGUGGUAAUAUUUUUUUACAAAAGAAUAUAUUUCUCUUAUUCUUUCACUUUGAUCACAAUUUGGAAGACAACGAUGAUGUUGUCAUGAUUUCGAAGAUCAGUCGAGGGCCAUAAGUGACUUAUUCUCAAAUGAACUCAUUGAAUGACAAAGAUUGGGUGUAUAGAACUUUUAUUGUUUCUUGGACUUGUAGGGAGAUUUUUGUGAAACCGUUUUUUUUGUGAAGCCGAUAUUCCCUUGUAGAGUAGUUUUUUGCCAAUCCGAAGAAGUCCCCCCCCGUUGGAGGAAGUCACCCACAUUUAUAGGUGAAAAUAGGAAAUCAAAUUUUGGAAUUCCCUAAGAUGUAGAUACUUGAUUUUAGCAACUUAUCUUCUCCAUUAAGGAAAUUUGUCUAUUAAAGUAUUUAUUUAUUUAUUUUCUUUUGACAAUAAUUUGGAAGAUUUGAUUUUAUUUGGAAGACUAAAUUUUGUAGUCUUCCAAAUUUGGCCACGUGUCACCUUUUUAACAUAUGCCACGUGUUAAAUGUGCGUAGGACCAAUCAUGUGUCGAUCCCAAAUUUUGUCGAAUCGAGGAGUCACAUUUUUUUAAAGGCCAAUUUAAUGAUAAUUUAUUUCACUAAAAAUUUUGAUGUCUACAACAGGUUAAAUAUAUAGAGUAAACAAUUUGAUGGGAGUAGAUUACUAUUCCCUUGUACCAAUAAGAUUAAAGAAAUAAUGGAAUUCUUAACUAAAGAGUUAACUUUGCAAAAGAGUUGUGUAGCUUGUACUUUUCUUAGGGUCAUGAGACCAAAUUUUAUCUAAAAUGUGGCAAAUUUGAUGGGAGUAGAUUAUGAACAUUUAACUCCUUGUUUGCUAAAUGAACUUUUCUUAAUCUCCAUAUAUUUUAAAUCUUUAAUUUGAUAAAGAGAGAGAUAAGAGGUAAAGAUGGUCCCAUUGGGCAUGCUAAAAAAUUGUGCAUACAAAUUUUCCUUGAAGAUGAAUUAUUUGUGAUUAAAUUAGAAUUUUAUUGAUUUGAAGAAUAAUGUAAUUGUAACUUUUAUUUUUCAUUUAAUUCUUCUUUUCUAGUUCUUAAUCAAGGACUUAAAAGAAGUUUGGUCUUAAAUGACUUGAGUUUAAUUUGAACCUUUUUGAUUUAGUCUUGGAUCUUGAGUCAUGGCGUAACUUCGACCUUACUAUGACUUGAGCUUUGAUUUGAUUUGGAUCUUGAUUUGAUUUAAAUAACAUUGAUUGAUGGCUUGAGUAGCUUAAUUUUAUAUCAAAUAGGUUUUUGGUUUCUUUUUUCCUUUUAUAUAUUUUAAUCUUAAAAAGUUGAAACUUAAGGUUCUAAAGAUCUUAUCAAUUAGAAGAUACUUUAGAAGAAAUUGAAAAUUGGUUAGUCUCAUUUUAAGAUUGAAGAAAGAUUGAAUCUUCUUUAAAGAGUUAUCCUUAGGGAUCAUAAUGGAAUAGCCCGAAUCAUCCCCAUCUCAACCCAUUCAAUUUAUUUACAAAGGAUAAGAUUGGUGUAAGAAAUUCUCAUGCUUGCUCUAUCUUGCCUCGUUUAAUUUUGUUCAAUUUUUUUCUAUAAAAGUUUUAAAUUCUAUACAAAAUAAAUACAAUUUAUAAAUAAAUAAAUAUUCACAAUUUAUUUUUAUAAAAAAUAUUUAUAUACAUUUAAAAAAUUAAAAAACCAAUUAAAAUAAUUUUUUGUUGAAUAUAACAUAUAAUUAGGAUAGAUGAGUUGGGACAAAACAAAGUCAUUUCUGAACUAACCUGAACUUGUUUAUAUUUAUCCAAAACCCAUCCCAUUAGGAGUAGGUAUAAAAAAAAAACUUGUUUUCUUAUCAUCCCUAACUCGUCUAUUUUCUUCUAAUCUUUUGAAUUAUCUCAUAUUAUUUUAAAAAAAAAAACGUGUCUUAAAAGCUUUGGAAUUAACAUGUCUUAUAAGAAUUGGAAGCAUCAUAUUUGUUGGGUUUCCCCUUAUGUGAGGGAAUCGGCCCCAUAUGCUUGGGGACCAAGUUAGUUGCAUUGGAAAAAAACAAUGAAUCAAGAAAAAAAAACUGAGAGAAGAGAAAAGAAAUAGAAAAAAAAAAACGCAUCUCACUGUCUAGAUUUCAUCAACGAGUUGAUCCUAUUUCAUAUGUGGUCCGAUCGAGUUGAAAUUUGGAGGAAAGGUUUGAAACUCAAGUAACUACAAUCUGAAAGAUGGAUAUCGGAUUUUAAGCUCGGGAACUGAUGUUACUACCCAUAAACUGUAACAGCGUUUUUUAUAUACUUUCUUUAAUUUUCUUUGUUUUUGCCAAGAGAGAUUGUAUAAUCCAAGACUAUAUGUGUUCUUGAUGUAUUUGGCAACCUCUAGAGAUUAUUCUAGAAAAAAAAAAAGUGUAACCCAUUAUUGUUGAUAGUGGAAGUUUGAACUAGACUAGGUCCUGUGGUUUUUUCCUUUGCAUUAAGGGUUUUUCACGUAAAAAUUCUGGUGUCUGAUUUAUUUUCUGUUGCAUGACUUUAUUUAUUUAUUAUUGCUAGUUGAUAUUACCUAUUUAGUUUUGCACAAAGAAAAUGUAGAAAAAUUAUGGCGUUUGUUGGAAUAUUGUGAAUUCACCCUAACAAGUGGUAUUAGAGCCAGAUUGAUUAUCAGUGGGAUCUCUUGUGUAAAUUAAAUGAAGGAGGCUGACAGUAGAAUGAUUAAACUCAUAGUUUCCAAUUAUUCAAUUUGGAAUACUAGGAUGGAGAUAUUCUAUGUUGCAAAGAGUUGUUUGAGCCCAUUGAAUGCAGAGGUUACAAGCCAAUUACUAUGAUUGAGGAUGAGUGAAAUAAAUUAAAUAGGAAAACCAUUAGACAUAUUAGGCAGUGGAUUGAUCAGAGUGUCUUCCAUUAUGUAGCCAAGAAAGUUGAUGCAUAUAGCCUUUGGCAUAAAUUAGAGUCUUUAUGAAAGAAAGACUACACAGAACAAAACCUUUAUGAUAAGAAGGCUUGUGAAUUUAAAGUACAAUGAUGGUAGUAGUGUUGCAAAGUAUCUUAGUAAUUUUCAAGGACAAUUGAAUGAAUUGUCUACCAUGAAGCUUGAGCUAGAUGAUGAGGUACAGACUUUACUAUUAUUGAGUUCCUUACCAGACAAUUGGGAAACUUUAGUGGCAUCCUUGAGUAAUUCAGCCCCAAAUGGUGUGACAACUGUCAAUAUGGUAAAAGACAGCAUGUUUAAUGAAGAGACAAGAAGAAAAGAGUUAAGUAUUUCCUUUAAUACAAAAACACUUGUUAUAGAGAAGUGGGAGAGAAGUAAAAAUAGAAAACCUUCCAGUGAUUAUAACCAUGACAAGUCAAGAGGAAAGUCAAAGUCCAGAAAAGAGAUAAAGCGUUUUUAUUGUGGCAAACCAAGGCACAUUGAGAGAGUGUAGAAAAUUCAGAAGAGAACAGUUUAAAGGAAAAGGUGAAGAACAAGAAAAAGGACAAAGACAUUGCAACAAUUGCAUUUGAUGGUGAUACAAUCAUUGUUUGUGAUGAUGCAUGUGUAAACCUUGCAUGCUAGGAUUCUACUAGGGUGGUUGAUACAGCAACGUCGUUUCAUAUCACUACACAUAAAGAUUUCUUCUCUUCCUACACCAGUGGCAGUUUUGGUUAGGUUAAGAUGAGAAAUGAAGCAAAAUGUGAAAUUGUUGGCAUAGGAGAUGUAAAGCUAGAAACUAGCAUUGGGUGCAAAUUGGUUCUGAAAGAUGUCAGACAUAUUCUUGAAAUGCGCUUUAGUUUGAUCUCUGUUGGGAAGCUUGAUGAUGAGGGCUACCAUAGUCACCUUGGAGAGGGUAAGUGGAAGCUUACUAAGGGUUCUCUUGUUUUAGCUAGGGGAAAGAAAAACAAUACUCUCUACAAAACAGAAGUGAGACUAGUUAAGGGAGAGGUGAACAUUGUUACGAAUGAAGCCUCUACUGAGCUAUGACAUAAGCGGCUUAGUCACAUAAGUGAAAAAGGACUUCAAGUUCUUGCUUGAAAGAAGCUUCUACCAAUUAAAGGUACGUCACUAUUACCUUGUACACAUUUUAUGUCUGAAAAGCAAAAUAGAGAUGUAUUUCGUAGAUUUCCUUCACGUAGAAAACCAGAUAUUCUUGAUUUAGUUCACACUGAUGUUUGUACUAUGCAAAGUAAUACUCUUGGUGGUAUACUUUAUUAUGUGACUUUUAUUGAUGAUCAUUCAAGAAAGGUGUGGGCAUAUGCUUUGAAAUCCAAAGACCAAGUACUUGAUGUAUUCAAAUAUUUUCAUGUGAAGGUUGAGAGGAAAAUUGACAAGUAGUUAGAAUAUGUCAAAGUAGACAAUGGUGGUGAAUAUAGGGGGUCAUUUAAGCAAUACUACAGAAGUCAUGGCAUCAGGCUUGAGAAGACGAUUCCUAAGACCUCGUAGCAAAAUGGUGUAGUUGAGAGAAUGAAUAGAACCAUAUGUGAUAGAAUCGGGUGUAUGCUCUCUCAUGCAAAAUUGCCUAAGUCUUUUUGAGGUGAGGCCAUGAGAACAAUCGUUGAUUUGAUUAAUCUGUCUCCAUCAUAUCCUUUAGAGGGUGAUAUUCUAGAGAGGGUUUGGACAGGAAAAUGUGUUUCCUUUGAGCACUUGAGAGUGUUUGGUUCUAGGAUAUUUGUUCAUGUUCCUAGAGAUGAGUAAUCCAAGCUUGACAGCAAGACUAAACAGUGUAUCUUCUGAUUCGUGCCCAGUCGGGUAUUUUAAUAAAAAAUAUUUAUAAAUCCUAUGAUCUUAUACUAGCGUAGCAAAGCUACUAUAGUAUAGCAGCUCUAGGGUCGAACUCUGGGAUGGGUUUUCACUCUACCAGUGAUAGACUCAAGAUUAGAAAUUGAAUCUGAUGAUUUCCUUUGUCAAAAACUUAAAGUUUAAAAGAAAAUGAAAUUUGUUUUGAAAGUGGUGUUUGAAACUAAACUAACAUAGAACUAGGUAAAAAUGGAAGAAAGAAAGUCUCCCGGAGCUAAAGGUUGCUAGGAUCAAGUUCAGAAUGCAAAGUGGGAAAUUCCGGAUUUUUCUCCUCGUAUUGGGGACAACAACAUAAAGGAUGGUUGUUUCCCGAACUGAUAUAGGUUUAACAAUGAAGAUUUAAUCCAUAAAAAGUCAAUAGAAAUGGUAGUCAAGUUCCAUUAAUGGCUUUAGACACUAUGGGUCUUCACCUUAAGCCACUUUCCAAUGGCUCGUACAUGAUAACUAAUGGUCUUAAGUGGAUCUAGCAAUAAGUAUCUACAGAGAUCUAAAAGCUUAUCAUGUAUUGGUCAUUCAAAGUGAUUCUAAGGGAUUUAAAGCAAAACUUUAUAUUUAAAAGCCAUUUAUGAACUCCAACUACCUGUAUUUAAAGCACGAGAGUUUUCCACUUUUGCAUCUGGACUUUUCACCUAACUUCCUUCACUCCAAGAAACCAAAGGUUUAGCCUCUCAUCCUCUGGGAAAACAUCCUCAGAGGUUGUUUGGCUUCCAAGAAAAAUACAAUCAAAAUGAGAAGGUAAAAGCAGAGCAGAACUCUGUAUUUUUCUUCCUUUGAAAACUAUACAAAAGUUGCGUCCCCUCGAGAACAAGCUCCUGAGAGAUAUUUAUAUGAAAAUUACAAUAAUAAUAUCUACAAGGUUAUUCAUCCUUUUUCCUAACUUAAUAACUAAGGAAUCCUAUAAUUGAUGGGUUACAAGGAGAGUUUGGGGAUUUAGACAUCAAAUAUCUAAAGCAAAAUAUCUAAAGAUAAAUAUCUAAAGAAAAAUAUCUAAAGAUGUCUGUCGCACAUAUCGGGAAGCUUCAGGAGAACACUGCGGCACUGUGCAAAAUUGCUGCGAAAUCCUCCGGGUGAGCGCUAUCGGCGGAUCCGGAUAUGUCUGAUCGUGGAAGUUGAAACGCUCUCCUCUCCUAUCAGGCGUCAUAAUUCCGGAUGCAAUACAUCCGGGUGGAAUGGUGGCAGCAGAUUUCCAGAUGUAAUACAUCCGGGUGGAAGCGGCGACAGCCGGAUGUAAAGUGGCGGCAGCCGGAUGUAAAGUGGAGGCAUAGCCGAGUGGAAAGUGGCCGCAGUCGGGUGGAAUUCCUACCCGGGUGGAAUGUGCAGGAUCCCAUACUCCUUGUAUUCUGGAUUUGCUUAAGGAUUCCAAAGAACUCUUCUCAAUCUCGGAUUGCUUUGGUGAUCAAAAAGCUAUCAAAACACCAAAACUUAACACAAUUUGAUUAGAAUUGAUUGUAAGGGUCCUUAAUAUGUUAAUUGGGUUAAAAGGUGAUAACUACUACUCAAAAGUGUUUAAAAGAGUUAAUUACAAGCUAUGAAAUAGUACUUUUUGAGUAGUAAUCAUCUUCCUAGGUUAUUCAAAUGAAAAGUUUAGGUACAAGUUAUGAGAUCUAGCUACCAAAAAAAUUAUAAAAAGUAGAGAUGUUGUCUUCUUCGAAGAUCAAACCAUUGAAGACUUGGAUCAAGUUAAGAAGUUAAAGCCUUUUAGUGAAGAACAUGUUGAUUUGGGUCCAGUCUCUCCUAACUCUGUGAGACAUAAUGAACAUAAGGAAGUUGUGCAAGAAGAACAUGUUGAUACAGUUGAUAGAAAUGAUGAGUCUACAGUUGAUGAUGUAAAGAAAAUUCUAUAGUUGAGAAUGAUGACCUAGAACAGCAACAAGAACAAGCUACUUCAGAGUUGCCUACUAAAACACAAUUAAGAAGAUCUACUAGAGAGCGUCAACCUUCUAGAAGGUAUACUAGUGAUGAGUAUUUGUUGCUUUCUGACGGGAGAGAGCCAGAAAAUUAUCAAGAGGUUUUACUACAUGACGAGAAAAAAAGUGGUUGAGAGCUAUGCAUGAAGAAAUGAAAUCCUUGCAUAAGAACAACACUUAAUGAAUUGAUGGAGUUGCCUAAGGGUAAGAGAGCAUUGAAGAAUAGAUGGGUACUGAAAAGGAAGCCUGAACCAAACAAAUCAUAGCCAAGGUACAAGGCAAGAUUAGUUGUGAAGGGUUUUAGUCUGAAGAAAGGCAUUGACUUUGAAGAGAUUUUCUCGCUUGUGGUUAAGAUGUCUUCGAUUCGAGUUGUGUUAGGCUUGGCUGCCAGUAUGAAUCUAAAGAUUGAACAACUUAAUGUGAAGAUUGCUUCCCUCCAUGGCGACUUAGUGGAGGAAAUAUAUAUGGAGCAUCCAGAAAGGUUUACAAUCAAAGGCAAGGAAUACUUAGUGUGUCGACUGAAUAAGAGCUUAUAUAGUCUCAAGCAUGCAUCGAGACAUUGGUACAAGAAGUUUGAUUCCUUCAUGGUUGAGCAUGGUUAUGAUAGAAAUGCUUCUGACCAUUGUGUGUUUGUGAAGAAAUUCUCUUAUGGAAAAUUUAUUAUUCUCUUGCAUAUAUGGAUGAUAUGCUGAUUGUUGGUCGUGAUAUUGGUAAAAUUGAUAAGCUGAAAAAGGAGUUGAGCAAGUGCUUUGAAAUGAAGGACUUGAGGUUUGCAAGUCAGAUUCUUGGUAUAAAGAUUUCUUGAGAUAUGACAAAUGGAAAAUUGUGGCUAUCUCAAGAAAGCUAUAUGAAGAAGGUUUUAGACAAGUUCAACACAGGCAAGGCAAAACUAGUGAGCUGUCCACUUGGAAGUCAUCUAAAGCUAAGUUCCAAACAAAGUCCUUCAAGUGAGAAAGAAAAAGAAGAAAUGCAAAAGGUGCCUUAUGCAUCAGUCGUGGGUAGCUUGAUGUAUGUCAUGGUGUGCACGAGGCAUGAUAUUGCUCAUGUGUUGGAGUUGUCAGCAGGUUCCUUUCUAAUCCUAAUAAAGAACAUUGGGCUACAGUGAAAUGAAUUCUCAGGUAUCUGAGGGGUACUUCUAAUACAUGUUUAUGUUUUAGGACUAACAAACCUGUGCUUGUAGGAUGCACAAAUGCAAAUAUGACUGGGGAUGUUGAUUCUAAAAAUUCUACUUCUGGUUAUUUGAUCACUUUUUUAGGGGAAGUAGUGUCAUGACAAUCAAGGUUGCAUAAAUGUGUUGCUUUGUUGACCACAGAGGUUGAGUAUAUUGUUAUCACUGUAGCUAACAAGGAGUUAUUGUGGAUGAAGAAGUUCCUACAAGAAUUGGGUCUACAACAAGAAAGGUAUCUACUCUACUGUGAUAGUCAAAGUGCUAUUCAUCUCAGUAAGAAUCCAACUUUUCACUCUAGAUCCAAGCAUAUUGAUGUGAUAUAUCAUUUGGAUUCGUGAUGCACUAGAUAUGAAAUUGUUUUGUCUUGAGAAAAUCCAUAUUGAUGAGAAUGGAUCAAAUAUGAUGACAAAACCAAUAUUUACAGAAAAGCUACAAUUUUGUAGAAAGCAAGUGGGCUUAGUAAAGCCUCUCACAUAGUCAGAAGAGGGCCCCAUAUGCUUGGGGACCAAGUCAGUUGCAUUGAAAAAAAAAAAAAGGAAUCGGGAAAAAAAAUAGAGAAAAGAGAAGAAAGAGAGAGAAAAAACGCAUCUCACUACCUAGAUUUCAUCAAUGAGCCGUUAUCACUUCAUCUAUGGUCCGAUUGAGUUGAAAUUUGGAGAAGAGGUUUGAAACUCAAGUAGCUACAAUCUGAACGGUGGAGAUCAAAUUUUAAGCUUAGGAACUGAUAUUACUGCCCAUGAACAAAAACAACAUUUUUUAUAUACUUUCUCUAAUUUUCUUUGUUUUUGCCAAGAGAGAUUGUAUAAUCCAAGACUAUAUGUGUUUUUUUUUAUUUAUGUAUUUGGUAGCCUCUAGAAAUUAUUCUAAAAAAAAAUAGGUGUAACCUAUUAUUGUUGAUAGUGAAAGUUUGAACUGAACUAGAUCCCGUGGUUUUUCCUUUCACAUUAGGGGUUUUCCACGUAAAAAUUCUGGUGUCUAGUUUAUUUUUCUGUUGUAUGAGUUUAUUUAUUUAUUGUUGCUAGUUGAUAUUACCUAUUUGAUUUUGCACAAAAAAAUGAUAGAAAAAUUUUAGUGUUUGUUGGAAUAUUAUGAAUUCAUCCAAACAAGUCAUAUUACAUAUAAUAUUAUUUUAAUAAUAAAACAUUUAUGUCAUGUGAUUGUUUUUAAUUCAUCAUAAUUUAAAUUAAAUAUAAAAAAUUUAUUUUUAAUUAAUUAUUAUAAGAGUAUAUAAUAAAUCGUAAAAGUUAAAAAUUUGAAUUUUACCUCUCAACAAACUGUGGUCAAAGUCGUUCCCAAAUAGACCUAUAGGCUCCUAUUUCUCUUUAUUAUGUUAGGUACAACAGCCACAUAGUGCGGACAUUCGCCCACGGCAAUGGCACGAAAAUGGUUGCCACUUGUGGUUGAUCUUGAGACUUUGAGACUUGAGAGGAGCCCUCCGUCCCUCUCUAGGCAAAUAUUUUGGCAUUAUGAAUAAAGCAGAGAAGUUAGCUCUGACACUCUAAUUAAGGUGACGACAGAUUGUAUCCUAGGUACGUUUCGUAAUUGUUUAGAAAAUAGCUUUAAAAUCCAAUUUUUUAAAAUAAUUUUUAUAUAAUACUUUAUUUUUAAUCAUUUUUAAUAUUUUUAUAAUUCUUUCUUUAAAACAAUAAUAUAAAUAUAUAUUUUUACUUUUAAUUAUUAAAUACCCAUUUAAUCAUAUUUUUUAAAAAUUUGUUUUUAAAAACUAUUUUUUAUUUUUUAACUUAAAAAUAAGUUUUAAAAAAAUAUAAACCAAUGAGUAUAUGUUUUGUUUUUGUUUUUAAAAAUGAGUAAAAACAACUUUUAUUUAUUUUUAAAAAUACUUUAUUUGUAAAAAUUAUUUCCAAAAAUAAGAAAUUAUUACCAAACAUUUUCUUCUCCCCCUUAUGAAUAGAAAACACCCAUCAAAACAUUUAUUAGAGUAAAAUGUUUAGAUACACCAUCACAAGAAGUAUACCUACUUCCUCCGUUGCCUUACAUAUGCCUCAAUGCCUAGAUGUUUCACAUUGCAUAUGAGCUUGAGUUGGACCAUGGUCCUAAAAAGUUCAAUUGGGUUGCUUGUAUAUUUCAGUCAUCUCAUUUUUAAUAGACUGCGACCUCACCAUCAACAUUUACAUCAUAUACCAUGCAGCACACCCCUAUUUUUACUGCUAAUUUACCAUGCUUUUUGAUGGCUAAAUGUAAAGAAAAAUAUAUCAAAUUAUAUUAGGUAUAAAAUAUAUUUUUGUUCAUUCAAUCUCGAGUCACAACUUGUAUCUACAAAAAGGUAAUAAAAAAAAAAAUUAUUUGUUAAUAGAAUUAAAUGCAGUAGCAAUGCAUACCAGGCAACUAUCAACCACCUUGUCAACAACCACAUGUUUGUGUUUUUUUUUUGGUUAAUUUUUAUAACAUUGGGCAUGGCUUCGAGCCUUCAACUACCUGAUUCAAAGGAUUCACAGUCUAUAUUCCCAAAAUCAUCAAAACCCAUACUAGGAAACCCCCUCAAAGUCUUGGCCCAACUUUAUGGCUAUAAUAAAUACGAAGGCAGUCUAUUUAUAAGCAUAGUAUCAAACACCUCAUCUUCGUAAAACUUCAAAUUCUUUGUAGGCAACAACUUGAGUCACAAGGCUGCGAUUUCCAUGCAUGUUGAAAAGUCCCAAUAUGUUAACUCAAUUAAUUUGUGUGUCCUUUUUGGUGUUGCACUUGGAUCGGCUGCCUAAUUUUGUUGGCUUGGCUAUUAACUUUAGUUCUAGAUGUGUUCUAUGUGAUUACUUUGCAUUUAUUUUAAAGUUUCUUUUCCAUGCUAUUAUGAUCACCCACUUGUGUCUUUUGCAAACCAAUUUACACAAGUAGGAUGUAUUAGCAAUAUCAAGUUGGUAUCAUUUGUAUAUUCAUAUAUACAUGUAACAUAAGUAGAAUGUCUUAGCAUCAUAAAAUGUGAUAUUUUAUUUAUUAAAUAAAGGAAUAAAAUAAGUUAUUUUAUUUACUACAUUGGCACAGUAUUUCUAUUCAAAGUGUUUUUAAUAAAAGUAUUUUCCCUAAAAAUAUUUUUAAGAAAAUUACAUAUAAAAUGUUUUUCUAAAAAACUCUAUACAUGAUUUUUCAAUAUCAUAAGUGAUUUUUUAAAUUUUUAAAAGUGUUUCAUAAAAGUAGUCAAACACUUAAUUUUUUUAAAAACACUUUUUAAAAUAAAAACACUUCCUAAAAUUAUUGUUAAAUGAACUCAAAGUGUUCUUAGAAAAAUCAUUUAUAAAGUGUUUCUCCAUAAAAUAUUAUCAGAGCUCGUUUUAUAGUGAUUCUAGAAAGUACUUUUAAUAUUUCUAAUAUUUUAAAAUUUUAUCAUUUAAGUAUUAGAAAUAUUAAAAACAUUUUUUAGAAUCACUCCCAAACAUACUUUAUUAUAAGUGAAUUUUCGGAUUUUUAAAAAUAUUUCCCAAAUUUUGCUAUGCACCUAAUUUUUUUUUUUUUAACAAAAAUUCAAGUUGAAAGGACUUCCUAAAUUUUUAAACAUUGUCAAAUGAGAAAUAAAAUAAUAUUGCUAUUUAUUAAAUUAAUAGUCGUGUUUAAUCAUAUUAUUUAUCUAAAUGACAUUCUAAGAUGUCGUAAUUUUUACUUGAAGUUAUGUUAUUUUUCGUUUUACUUUUAUCAUAUUAUUCUAGUAUCUACUUAAUUACAAAAUAAAUAAUAAUUACAACUCAAAACAUUUCCGUAUUUAAUACAAAAUAACAAAUUUUUAAUACAUUUUCACUAUCUCUUCACUUGGUAAAAGAGUACAAAAAAAAAAAUAAUGAGAAAAUUAUUUUUACUUGGAGUAGUGGUUUUUUUUUUUUACUAUUUUUAUCUUAUUUUUUAGGACCUAUUUACGAAAUAAAUAUUUAUUGAAACUUAAAACAUUUUUUGUAUUAAUUUGAUACAUAUUAAUCAUUUUCUAGUACAUUUUCAUUUGUUACGUGUACUUAGGGAAAGAAUGUGAUAAAAAAGGUAUUGAGAAAAAUACUAUUAUUGUUUUAUUUGAUUUGGACAAAUGUGAUGUGGUGUGUCAAGUCGUGAUUGAUGGUUACGUUUAGUUACGACAAAGUACUCAAAAAUAAAUAAAAAAUAUUAAAAAAUUAUUUCCUUAUAUUUAAUUUUAUUAUAAAAAAAAUGAUUAAAAUUAAUAAGAAAUUUAUAUAUUUUUAAUUUUUUUUAAAAAUUAAAUAAAUAAAAUGAAUUUAAAAUAAUAUAUAAAAUUAAUUUAAUAAUUUUAAAUCUAUUUUUCUUUUUAUCUGUCUUUUUCAAAUCACAAUCCGAGUGAGUUUGAAUACAUUUAUUUCUUCAUUGUGAAACAACCUAUGAUUGAAGAAUGCGUGGAGUGACAAGUAUUUAUAAAAUAUUUUCUCCAUGGAAUUAAAUAUGAAUGGACCAAAUUGGAAAAAGUGUAGCAUCACUUUCGUUUUCAAAUUUCCUCUGCCGGGUUUCAUAAUCAUAGUUUAUGAGCCGAAAGUGGGCUAAGUCUCUUUUCAACCUUAACUAAAAUCCUGUCUGCCACGUGACCUCGGGGAGACAUAUUAUUAUAUUUUGAGAAAAUGAUAAAAAAAAUAUAUAUAUAUAUAUAUAUAUUAAUCAGAGAGAUUAUCAAUUUUCUAAAAAAAAUAUUAAUUAUUUAACCUUUUUUUUAAAAAAAUCACCUUCUUAGGUGGGAGGAAAUUAAAUUAAUAAAUAAACUUUAUAUUUGAGUAGGCCAAUGGAUACGUUCUUAACCAGGCCAUUUAAAAGACAGAUUGUUAUGGUUUGAUUUUGGGCUGGAUUUAAGCCCACAUCUACAAAUUGGCCGGCCCAUUUUAUGGGCCAGCAGUAUGGAAAUAAAGCCCAUAGAUCCUACUCUGCCCAAAACACACUCACAAGUAUCUCAAUGCUUUACAGGCGAUGAUUAGGGUUGCAAUUCAAGCCAAGCCCAAUCUUAUUUCUUUGUCAAAUGGGUUUAGGUGGAUAAGUAAUUAAUUAUCUUUUAAUUUAUAUCCUUAAAAUUAACUACUACAUUAUUUAUAAAGAUGAUUAAUUAAGUAUGCCUAAAAAAAUAUAGUAUAGUAUGUUUUCCAAGAUUAGAAAUAUUUAAUCAACAUAGUGAAAAAAUGGAAUAGAAAAAACUUAAUGGAAAUUACGAAUUCUUAUCAUGUUUGUGUUCAAUACCGACAUUGCUCCAUUUUUUAUUUUAAAUUUUGUGUUAUUCACUUUAUUUUUUAAUUAAUAUAUUGGUUGCAUUAGAAGUAAAGGCAAUGCACUUGUAUGAAUCUCACUUGAAUGGGAUAGAAUGUGAAGAAUUUGAUAUUUGAAAGCAAGUGUAAAACUUCAAUUAUGGUAAAAAUAGAAUAAAAGUAUUUUAUAUAUUUAUAAUUAAUUUAUUAAGUCAAAAUCACUUGAUAUGUAAUUUAUAGCUUUAAAUAAUUUUUAUCACUAGAAUUUAUGGGACUGAAUAUAAUUAUCCAUUUUGCACAUGUGUUUGUAGGGAAGAUAUUGCUAAGAGCUAUAUUGACAUUGUAUCUUGGAGUGACUAUUAAUUAUCAGUACCCAUGUAUAGGGAUAUGAUAAUAGCUUUAAAACAAUGUAUCUGCAUGUGCAUUUCCAAAAUAGGUUAACUUUCUUAUCUCUAGUUAUAUUAUUUAUUUUCAAUAUUGAUUUAUCAUUUUAUUUGUGUGAGUUAAAAAAUUUGUGUUUUUUAUAUUUUCUCUCUCUCUCUCUCUCUCUCUCUCCCUUUUCCUCUCUCUCUUUCACACCAUACCCCUGACUCCCACACCACUAUCACCAUCCAUGGUGAAGCUCACCACAAGUGACUAUUGUCAGCUCAACGUCACCAAUGACAUUUCUCCACCAUGACACCCAUUCCUUCCAUUGUCAUUUCAAAAGUUUAAAAAAUGGUAAGUCUUCCAUUUUUUUUCUUUCUUUAAAUAUUCAUAGUGCAUUGUUUGGAGACUUGGGUAUUGUCUAUUGGGCUUUGGAUUUUGUUUAUGGGCUUUGAAAAUAUUAGGCUUGCAUGGUUGUUGAUUUUGGCUGCUAAUUUGUGUGAUUCGGGUUUGUGUAUUUAUUGGAUAUUAAAUUAGGCUUGAGUUGUUGGAUAUUGUUGUUGGGCCUACUUGAAUUUAUUUGAUCUUUGUUGAUGGGGUUUGCUUAUAUUUGGGCUGAUUUGGCAUUGCAUCAAGGAUAGGAAGAGGCAAAUUUGGUGCAUAGUGUAUUAGUUAGAGGCGGUUAGAGUAAUUGGAGACAAGGUAUGGACAUGGGCAAAAAGAUGGUGGGACUUGAUUUGGGAUAAAAAGAGGGAUUAAAGCAAGAGGAAGAGAUGAAGGACAACCUUUUAGAUUUUUCUCUACUCUCUUUGUAUUUUCUAUGAGUUUUUUUUGUGAGAGAUUGAGAUGUUUUUAGCAUUUCUGGCUUUUUUUGGGAACCUAUGGAGAGCUAGUAGACUUGGGAUUGCAUUGUAAAAGGUACAACUGUUUAUCCUUGUUCUUAUUUUAAGUGUAUUUGUUUUGUUAUUCAUUAUCUUGUACAUAUGUUAUUUCAUUUAUUUUGAUAUCCAAUAAAUAUACGUCAUCUAUUAGUUUUGUUGUUGUUGAUGCCUUUAUUUAUAUAAUCUAUUUUUUUGUUUGUGGAAUGAACCUAUAAUAAAAUAUUGUUUCAAAAGUUAUUUUUUAAUAAACGUUUUUUUUAAUAAACCACAAUUUCUUUUUGGAAUGAAAAUUUAUUUAUUUUUUUAAUAAAUGGAUUUUUUUUUUUGUUUUUUUGUUUUUUGUUUUUGUUUAGAAUUAUCUUGUUUUAUGAUAUGAUUUUUUUUUAUUUGAUUUGAUUUUCUUUUUCCUUUUUUGGGUAAGAUCAUUUUAUUUAUUUAUUAUUUAUUAUUAUUAUUAUUUAUUUCUUUAUACACAAAUAAAGAACUUUUUAAAACAAAUUGUAAAACCAUUUUUUUAUAUAAAAGUAAAAAAGAAACAUUUUUAUAAUACAAUUGAAAAGAAAAAAUUAUUUUAAAAAUAUUUUUUUCUAAUAAAAUGGAAUUUCUAUUUUUUAAGAAAUUGAGAUUAUCUUUUAAUAAAUUUCUUUAAAUUUUUUUUUUAAAAAUAAAAUCUAUUAUCAUGUUGUUAACAAAUUUGAAAAUUUUUUUAAUAUAAUAAAAAUGUGUUAGAGAGUAAUUUUAGAAAAUGUUUCUAGCAUUUUUAACACUUAAAUGAUAACAAAUUUUAGGUGUUAGAAAUGUUAAAAACGUUUUUUAAAAUCACUACCAAAUAGGCUCUAAGUUUGAAAUAAUUAAAUAAGUAUUUUCUAAUUAUAUGAAAUAAAAAUCACUAUUUUUUCACAAUAAAAAGUGCAUCUCGUCGUUCAAGUGGGGAGACACGUGAAAAUGCAGGUCCAUAAAAUGUUGACUCCAUUAGGGAUGUUUAAAGGUCAAGUUUGAAGUCGAGUUGAGGGAAAUGCGGCGUUUGAUUAAUCGAUUAGUAGAUAUCUUCUCAUGAUGCCUUUGUAAUAUAUUUGUAUAUUUUAGGGCACAUGAGGGUUGACAUAAUGAUUAUUUUGUGUAUAUGUUGCCUGUGCCUUACUAUGUAUUGAUUAUUGUUAUCAUGUGUAUUUGUAUAUAUCUGUUUUGCAUGUUUGUGCUAUAUGACCACCCUUUUUCUGCAUGAUGCAUACUUGGUUGUUAUGUUCAUUUGCGAUAUUAAUAUGUUGAUUACAUCGAUUGAUUCUCUUGCCAUGAUUGCCCUGCUCACUUUGACAUGUUUAUUCUCAUUCGUCUCGAUGUGAUUGAUUCUCUUUAUUGUAUAUUAUUUUGUCCAUCUCAACAGAUUGUCUAUCUUUGUUGUAUACUCAUCUUGUUUAUCCUAUUUCCUUAGCUUGUUUUUAGAUUUGAAUGAUAUACCUACUCUUUGUAUGACUGUAUGUUGCAUGACUACUCUUCUUCUACUUGAUGCAUGUAUCUCUUGUCAAUGUGGGACACACAUGUGUCCCUUUAUCUCCAAUCCCCUAGUCUCAAUCAACCAUGUUUCCCUUGAUCUCAUAUUUGGUAUGAGACUUGUUGCUUUGUUUGCUCUCUGAUCGAGUUGGUGAUUCGAAGUAGGGUCUAGCGAUGGACUAUAUCUAUGUUUAGGAGCAUUUUGGAGGAGGCCGACACAUUGAUCCUGACUGGAGUCCGAUCAUUGGACUUGUAUAGCUUAGAGCUAGAUUUCAUGGAUAUUCAUGUGACCAAUGUGUUUUCUUUCUUGUUUUAACUUUAUAGGUUUAUCAAAUGCACUUAUACCACUCACUAUGCACCUUAGAUCGUUGCUAAUGACCAGAGUUGUGAGAUGCACCAACAAUUAGGAGAUACUACACCAUAGAAAGCCCCUUGGGAUGCGAGAUAGUGCUUGUGUGGAGGUGAUGACCACCUUGCAUGGAAGCGCCCUAUCUGGUCGAAGGCGUGUAGGAGGUUGCAUAUUGUUGAAGGGUGUGAUCGGUUUUUCUAGAGAUCCUUUAAAGUCCACCCCUACACCCCACGUGUGAGCCUUAAAUCCCUUUAUUAAGAUUCAUUUCUCACACGUGGGUGCAUCUGAGAGCCUUUGGGGCUACUUUAGUCAUAGCAUGGAUCUAGUACUCAUUUUUUUGGUCUCCAGUUGAGUAUGCUCAAAGAUUAGUGCAAGUUUGUGUAUUAGUUGGACCAUUAUUUGUCAUGUUGCAUUAGAUUCUUUAUUUCGCUUGUUGAGUUUGACAUGUUUUCUCUCUAAGGCUUUAGUUAGUCUUACUUUCUUAUCUUAACACAUUUUUUCAAUUUGUUAUUGCAUUGUUUGCUUGAUACUUUAGGAUAAGUUCAUCGAUCAUGAUCACCUUUUUGCAAUGUACACUUGUCAUGGUCAAGGUACCACAUUCUUUAUUUGAUGCUUGAUUCCAUUUUCACCUCGAUGCUCAUAUUUUCAUUACAAAAAGGUGAAGAACAUGUUUUCACAUUCACACUUUUUUUUAGAGAUUCUCCUUUAUCAUCUUAUGAUUUUCCUUUAUAGAGCUCAAUUUGGAAGUUGAGUCAGGUGGAUCCUAUUAUAGAUGGAGCAUUGAUUUUGUGAUAGCACUGUUCUACACAUCUCUUAUAUCUUAGAUUAUUGAUAUGAAUUCUCUAGUCACAUUUGUAGCCAUCUCAUAGAGGACACCUUUAUGACUCUUUAGCUCCUAUCAUACAUCUAGAUUUUGCAUUUCCACCUUAGGAGCAUGUGUUUGCAUGUCACAUUGUUGCCUUUAGAGUCUUCUUUUGUGUCCCAUGUCCAUUUUGAUUAUUUUGCAUUGUAGGGAAUCAACCUAGGAGUUGGUUGAGUAUGAAAUUGUAGCCUUGGAGGAGGGUUGGAGGCCAAUUGAUCAUAUCAGAUUCAUAUCAAAGUUCAGAUAGUUCACUUGAGAUGUCAGACGAGUUAGCUUCUACACUUGCUUCUAUUCAAGAGUUCAUGGCUAGGAUGAGUAAAUGUUUAGAUCAAAUAGAGAGAUCACGCUAGAAUUACCAGCUAAUGGCAUGGGUACAAAUGAGACAACUUCUCAUGCAUCUCAAACAACAUAGGUUCUUCCACCCAGGGCUUCACAUGGCAUUCCAUUCCAUUUAUCAGAUCAUUGUGAGACUACUCCACCAUCCGAUGUCAUAAUGUCGCCUCCUAUUGUACUUGUUAUUGAUGACAUUGAUUAGUUGAGCAGGAGGGCAAGAUUGAGAGGCUUGAGUCCAGGAUGAGAUAGAUCAAAUUGUAGAAUGGAGGUUUGACCUAGAAUGACAGAGAUGACAUAUUGGCGGCUAGCUUGCCCACCAAGUUUCGCAUGCAAGACAUCGAUCACUACAGUAGAGUUGGUUGUCCAAAGAUCCAUCUGACUCUCUACAGCACAAUCAUGAGAGCACACAGGUUAGAUGAUGCACAAUUAAUGGCUUUCUUCUUCAUGUCACUUAGUGGGGCAACUCAGAUAUGGUUUGCCUUAGUUGAGCCUUCAAGACUUUGCACUUGGGAGGAUAAGACUCAUGAGUUCUUGACUCAGUUCGCCUCCAGUGCCGACAAUGAUGUCUCCAAACGAAAGCUAGGGGCUUAAAUAGAAACCAAAAGAUUUUAUUUCUUCAUUUGUUAGUCGUUAGGGGGCAAAUGUGGUUGGUAUGGUAGAUUGGCCUAAGGAGCAAGAUCAUAUUGAUAUGGUUCUUCAGAACCUACAUUUGAGGUUUGUUAGAUGCCUCAUGAGCAUUCUAUUCCAAGAUCUCAAGAGUUUGGUUUAGACUAUUUUCAGUGUUGAGGAGGCCAUUGCUUGAGAAUUAUGGAUAAAUAUUGUUUUUUCCCCUGACAGUAAGGAGAAGAAGUCGAUUGGAUCAUCUGGGAAGACUGGAGAGGUUAACACCAUUAGUUGUUAGCAUCAGAGGCCUACUUGCCACUCAUAUUAUAGGUUUCCUACAACUAGAGCUCAUUUCUAUCAUCCGUAAUAUCAAUAUCAAUCGGUUUAUGUUCAACAACCUUUCAUUACUCAAGCUAGUGUACAGUUGUGACAUCACCUCUAAGAGCUACUACUCGCCAGCUACCUAGACUAUAUGAAUAGAGGCAUGUGAGACAAUUCACUCCAUUAGGCAUGACUUUGACUAGAGCUUUUGAGAAGCUUAGAAACGUUGGCUUAAUUGUUCCUUUGGCACUAUGCCCCUUGCCACAUCCUAUUCCUCCUUACUUUCACCUACAUAAGCACUGUGUGUUUCAUCAGACUUAGGGACAUGCUACUGAUUAUUGCUCAACACAUUGCAACUUGUCAAGACCAAGUGUGAUCACCAAUUCCUUGCCUACACAUUUUGUACAUGUUAUUCCCUCACCUUCUAGUCUUUAAUAGAGCAUUGUGGAUGUUGAUGAUAUUCGGGGAUCGCCUGCCACUUUGAGAUUUUUCUUAGUUGAGGCUUUCUUUCAAUUGAUAUGGGUGCAUCACUUUAUAGAGUUUUAGUAUAAAGUGUACAUUGGUUUGGUUGUGGAAGUCAUUAGAGUCUUUUUUUUUUUUUUUUGUUUAGUCUAGUUUUUGUUCAAAGUCACAAUUUAUAGUUCAUGUUAAGAGUUUAGUUGUUCGUAGUCUUUUACGUUACACACAUAAUGUAUUCAUUGGUUCAUUUAGUGAUAUGAUCUUUUUAUUAUGAGUAUAUUUUCUUUUCUUUCUUAUGAGUAUAUUUUACAUUUUUUGUAUUGAUGUGUUGCGUUGUUUAUAUGCGACAUUUUUCACUUGCAUAUCAUGGUUACUUGGGCCAAAUUUAUCAUGAUGGAUAUUAAGCUUUCUUACCUAGGUGUGGACCCCGCAUUUUGAUCGAUGCGUUCCCACUCGAUGGCGAAAACUCGUUUUUUUUUUUAUUAUGCUUAAUAAACAAUAGAUUGUAUAAAGAAAAAGAGAUGAAGAACACCACCUAUGAGAUACGAUAGAAUGCAAUAAUGUGAUGGUAGGAAAAAAUGAUGAGAGAAAGAUGCACCUGUAGGUCCAAGACUCACGAGACUCGCAAACAAUGCGUGCAUACACUAAAGGGCCCCUAUCCCGGUGUAGAAAUAUGAACAAGGCUAUCACAAAAGAAAUGCUAUAAUACNNNNNNNNNNNNNNNNNNNNNNNNNNNNNNNNNNNNNNNNNNNNNNNNNNNNNNNNNNNNNNNNNNNNNNNNNNNNNNNNNNNNNNNNNNNNNNNNNNNNUUUUCUUUUUCUAUUUUGUCUGGUGACAAUCUGAUUUUUAGAAAAAAACUCGGAGUCGCCACUUAUUUUUAUUUUAUUUCUAAAGGGAAAAACAAAAUAAGAAAGAAAAACCCUAAGUGUGACUCCAAGUAUUUUUCUAAAAAUCAAAUUUUCACCAAACAAAAUAAAAAAGCUAGUUUUCGCCAUCGAAUGGGAAUGCAUCGAGCAAAAUACGGGGUCCACAAAAUGGUGACUCCACUACGGAUUUUUAGAGGGUCAAACUUGAACUCGAGUUGAGGGGAAUGUGGCGUUUGAUUGGUCGAUCAAUGGAUACCCCUCUCUAUGUGUCUUGGUAUGAUUGUUUGUUGAUUACACGUUGAGAGCUUUGAUAUGUUUGUCUAUAAUAUAUGUUUGGCUAUUAUGUUCGUUUGUGAUGUUGACAUGUUGAUUACAUCGAUUGAUUCUCUUGCCUACUUUAGCAUAGUGACUUUUCUUGUUAUAUGAUUAUUUUGCUUUCCUGGACAUGUAUAUUCUCAUUUUUGUAUAUCUUAUUCAUCUUGGCAUGAUUGAUUCUAUUCGUUGUAUAUUAUCUUGACAUAUUGUCUAUUCUUGUUAUAUUCCUAUCUUACUUAUCAUAUUUUUGCCUAGCUUGUGUGUAGAUAUGAGUUAUAUACUUGUUCUUUGCAUGACUGCUUGGUGCAUGACUGCUCUUCCUCUGUGUGAUGCAUGUAUUGUUUGUCUGUGUGAGAUACACAUCUAUCCCCUUACCUCCAACUCCCUAGUUUCGGUCGACCUUGUUUUCCUUGAUCUCGUAUUUGAUAUGAGAUUUGUUGCUUUGUUUGCUCUUCAACUGAGCUAGCGAUUAGGAGUAGGGUCUAGCGAUGGGCUAUAUCGAUGUUUGGGAGCAUUCUGGAGGAGGCCAACACGUUGAUGCUAAUUGGAGUCUGAUCUUUGAAGACUUGUAUAGCCCAGAGCUAGGUUUCAUGGAUAUUUAUGUGAUCAGUGUGUUUCUUUUUCCACUUUAGCUUCAUAGGAUUUUUGGAUGCACCCACACCACUCAUCGUGCACUUUAGUCGACUACUGAGUGUUGAGAGUUUUGAGAUGUUUCACCAUAGGAAACCCCCUAGAAUGUCGAGGUAGUGCAUGUGUGGAGGUGAUGAUCACCUUGCAUGGAAGCACCCCGUCUCUUCGGGGGAGUGCAGAGGGUUGCGUACCGCCGGAGGGUAUGAUCGUUUCUGCUAGGGAUCUUUUAAAGUCCACCCAUAUCCAUUUAAAGCCACCUUGACCUCGUAGGUUGAGCCGUAGAUUCUUCUAUUAGGACUUCCUACCUAUACGUGGGUGCAUUUGAGGGCCUUCAGAGCCUCUUUGGUCAUAGUUGGGAUUCAGUAUUCCCUCUUUUAGUCUCCAAUUGAGAGUGCACAGAGAUCAGUACGGGUUUGAGUACGGUCGGACAAUCCGUUUUCGUUUUUUAUGCCUUGCUCAUUCUAGUUCAUACUAGCAUUUCUUCCAUGUUUUCUCUGUUUUCCCUGUGGCUACCAUUCUCAUGCUUCAUGCUCUUUAGGAUUGGUUCUUCAUUCUCAGUGUGGAUUUGUCAUCUUAGAUCAGAGUAGAGGGAGACUUAGUUCGCUUUUCUGAGAGAUUAGACAUGGAUCAACGGGUUGUCACAGUUGAUUAGUUCACGACCGCUAUGGCUUCUAUUUAGGAGGCUUUGUCCAGUCUCAGACAGGAGAUAGACAGUCAGCAGAGUAAACAGCUUGUAGUUCAGGAUGAGACGCCUUAUGAUUCAUUGCCACCUUAUCUAUUACAUGGUCAUUCUGAGGUUGCCUCACCUGUAGUAGUACAUACCAAAGUCCUUGAGGAUACGCAUGCAUGGAUCGUACUGAGCAGCGUAUCAGGCAAUUGAGGGUAUUUGACAGUUCAUCAGCUUGGGAUGAUCUUGAUAGUAUACUAGUGGCUAAUCUACCAGCCAAGUUUAGGAUUCUUGACAUUGAGAGGUACACGAGCGUUGGCUGUCUAUGUAUUCAUCUUCGACUCUACAGUACUGUGAUGAGGGCCCAUGGGUUAGACAAGUCAUAGAUGAUCACCAUGUUUCCUUUAUCUUUGAGUGGUGCAGUCCACCAUUAGUUUGCAUCUUUGGAGUCUUCGCGACGCAGGAUAUGGGAUGACCUAGCUUAGGAGUUUCUGUGAUAAUUUUCAUUUAGUACUGUUGUAGAUGUGUCGAGGAGAGAGCUUGAGGGUUUCAGAUGGAGAUCAGAUGAUUCCAUGUCUUCCUUCCUCUCCCGCUGGUAGGGGAAGAUAGCAGAGAUUGUUGAUUGACCAUUAUAGAGAGGUGACUUAGUCUUGAGGGUCAUCGGAGGAUUGAUUAGAGAUCCUAGAGGGAAGUUCAGACCUAGCUAGAGUGGACCUUAUUUCAUUAGGGAGUUAACUCCAGAGGGUGUCGCAUGGUUGAUGGAUCUAGAUGGAAACCGAUUCUCAAAGCCGACCAAUGUGGAUUAGCUAAAGAGGUACUAUGUUUGAGACCAUGGUCGUAGGAUAGGUGACCAUCAUUUUGGUUAGCCAUAUACCCUUUCACCCUUUUGAUACAUAGACCGUUGCUAGCCCAUUGAGUCUCGCAUGUGUAUUAUAGCAUUUCUUUCUUAUAGCCUUGCUCAUAUUUCUACACCGGGAUAGGGGCCCUUUAGUGUAUGCACGCAUUGUUUGCGAGUCUCGUGAGUCUUGGACCUACAGGUGCAUCUUUCUCUCAUCAUUUUUUCCUACCAUCACAUUAUUGCAUUCUAUCGUAUCUCAUUGGUUGUGUUCUUCAUCUCUUUUUCUUUAUUCAAUCUGUUGCUUAUUUUGCUUCAUAUUCUUUCCACCCUAAGUAGUGAUCCUCCUCAGUUCAUUAUAUGGGGGAUAGUCACAUCAUUUCCACUAUCUAUCCUACGAACAUUGAUUUAGAGAUCCUUAGUUUGAGAAGGUCAUCUUAUCAGAGAGAGUUUGUUUGUUACCUUAGCACUUGGGAGUGUGUCUAUUUUUUAUUGAUAUCAUUUUUGGGGUUCAUUUGUUUAUGUUCAGGGUAUGUGUAUUUGUAUAUAUGUAAAAAAAAAAAAAAAAAAAAAAAAAAAAAAAAAAAAAAAAAAAAAAAAAAAAAAAAAAAAAAAAAAAAAAAAAAAAAAAAAAAAAUUCUUUAUUACUAUUAUUACCACAUGUGUGUAUGUGCAUAGUGUUCCCAAUCAUUGGGUAUGUAUAUCAAUGUCGGGGGGUCAUUUUUAUCAAGUAUGUUCUUUAUUGGAAUUUCGUAUGUGACCUCCCUAAAAUCCCAUGUUAUUUGUAUUGCUUCCCCAAAUCUAUUUGGGAAAAAAAUAAGUGACCUUCCCCUAAGGACCCCAAGUCAUUGUCCUUUCCAUCAUUACGUUCAUUAUUGAUGUGACUUCAUUUCAUGUUUGAUCUAGGUCAAUCACCACUUUUCUUCACGUAUUCAUUGUAUCCCCAUCGUUUUUAUCGUUGCUUGGGAUUCAUCUCAUUCCCUUCCCAUCUUAUUCUCUCCUUACAGCGACCCAUCUCAGGUUCAAUGCUCAUUUCGCAUCAUCAUUACACAUAUCACUAUCAGUUCAUCCCGUUUCAUUUGUCUCCUUAUCGAUAUCAUAUUCACUUUAGGCAUCCUCAGGUCCAUGGCUCAUGGGGUUCACUAUACAUGUUGCAUUUCAUAUAUGAGGGCAUGGUUUUCUAAUCAUCGGGNNNNNNNNNNNNNNNNNNNNNNNNNNNNNNNNNNNNNNNNNNNNNNNNNNNNGUUCAUUUUUAUUGUAUAUUUUGAGAGCGAGAUGAGUGAUUUAGGAUUUUUCUUUCUUAUUUUGUUUUUCCUUUUAAAAAUAAAACAAAAAUAAGUAGCGACUCCAAGUUUUUUUCUAAAAAUCAAAUUUUCACCAAACAAAAUAAAAAAGAAAGUUUUCGCCAUCGAGUGAGAACGCAUCGAGAAAAAUACAGGGUCAACACUAGGAUUAGGAGGUCAACUGAGGGAGUUUGAGAUUGUGACACAUUUUACCAAUGUUUUAAAAACCGGACCUAACCGGGCGGUCCGACCAGUCGGGCUAUCGACCGGUGACCUUUUUAGUUCAGUUCCUUCUUUUGGGCCGACUAUCAAUUGGACCGGUGUUGAACCGCUUGAGCCGAUUGUUGAACCGUCGAAUUGCUUAGAUCGGGCGAUUCUAGGAAAACUGAACGAUUCAACACCCUCGGCCUUUUUUGACUAAGUGGGCCACUCCUUCACGACCCAACAAUAAUAGUCUACCAUUUUAUUUUUUAUUUUUACAAAAUGGGUUUCUCUCCAUGGCUCAACAUUAAAUACCCCCCCAAUCUUGCAAAAUGGGCCCCCUUACUCAAGUAUCAUGCAAUAAGGCCCACCAACCACUUCGCUUAACCACCUAGCUUCAAUUAGAUGGGAAAAGGUUUAUAAAACACUCUAUUUUUUUUUUCUUACUUUUGAUGUGGGAUAAGGUAAAGGGAUUUAAAAGCAAAAAUCAACUUUGCUCCAAGCUGCAACAAGAGGGUUUGAACCACGAACCACAAGCUCAUAAUGGCAUAACCCCUCUACUAUGUUGUAUCUUUGUUUGUGUUAAUAUUUAACAGAAAAUAACUACAUAGGCUAUUUCAAAAAAUAAUAUAUAUAUAUAUAUAUACAUAUCACUUUUUUUUUCAUUUUCAAUUUGUUUUCAUAUUUAAAUACAAUUUUUUUUAUCAUUUUGAAUAUAUUUUCAUAUUUAAAUAUUGUUAUAUUUUGUUUAAUAAAUUUAAACCAUUAAUACAUUUAUAUAAAAAUGAAUAAAUAAUAUUAUAAACAUUAUUUAAUUUUUAAUUAUAUAAUUUAAAUAUUUUAUAAUUAUUUUUAAUUUUAAUAAAAUGUAAAAUAUAGAUUUAUGACAUUGCUGGUUCGACUAUGAACCGUGAACCAAUAAUUUUUUUGAUUCAAUAUCCGAUCCGGUUCUGAAAACAUUGCAUUUUACCUUCUGAUCAGAGUAGCAUCUUAUACAUAUCCAUACCUUGACUUUUUAGUCUUGAUGACCUACCCAUGUUGAGCCUGGUAUGACACCACCCAUUGGUACCACUAUAUGAUCUUGCAAUCUUUGUCCAUCUUAUCUUAGUAUAGUACCAUUGCGUAUUCUUUUCAUCAUUUCUUUGAUCUGACAAAGUAAAAUCUAAGAUGAUUGGACCUGAGCUGAGCUUUGCAUCUUGAUCAAUGAAUUAUGAUGAGAAAGUGGUUUGACUGCUUGAUGACAUUGUUGACUAUUACAUGGUUGAGAUAGGCAUAGAGUUUUAUUGUAGAGUAUCCAUAUUGAGCUUUGACACAUGCCUUCAGAGGAUAAGCAUGACUUUAGAGGUUUAGCAUGACGAGAGAUAUUGAUUUUAUGAGAUGAUGACGAGUGGCUUGUGUUGAUAGAGUGGGUUGAUUGUCAGAUGACAUUGAUGAUUAUUAUAAAGUAUCAAGAGUUGGAGCUUUCACAUGAUUUCAGUGGAGUUGAUGUGGCUAUGUUAAAUGGAUACUAGUCUUUAGUGUUGAUCAUGUGAGAUCUUGAGAGCACGAUGUUCGAGGUUGUGGUUCAAGGAUGAGUAGCCAUUAUUUCAUGAUCCUAUUUACUUUAUCACUCUCACAUAUAGAGUUACCUAUUGUUGGCCCUUCGAGCCUCACAUGAAUAUUUUAGUUUUUUUUGUCUUAUCACAUCAUUUACUUUUUUUUACCACGUUAGGGACCUUAUCGUGCUUACAUGAUUUGAUAGGAGCCUCAUGAGUUUUGACUUGACAAACGUAUUCAAGUCUUAUCUCUCACUCUUCAUUGUGAUAUUUUCUUCCACUUUGACAUCACCCUCAUCAAUUUUUUUUUUUGCUGAUAUCACAUAUCACCACUUGAGAUAUUCACUCUAUUUCUUUUCCCUCAUCAUUGUCUACUUGACAUUAUCCUUGUUUCACCUUGAUUAGUGGUUUUCCACACAUUGCUACAUGGAAAGGGUCUAACUAUUUAUCUUUAUCCCCAUUUUGCAUGUAUUUGUUUUAUUAUUCAAUACCUUUAACAUAUGUUAUUUCAUUUAUUUUGAUAUCUGUGAACAUGUAUCAUCUAUUAAUUUUGUUGUUGAUGCAUUUAUUUAUAUAAUGUUCAAUUUUUCUGAUUAUGGAACGACCCAUAAUAAUUUUUUUUUCAAAAAUUAUUUUUUAAUAAACUAUUUUGUUUGGAAUGAAAAUUUAAUCUUUUUUAAAAAUAAAUGAUUAUUUUUUAGAACUGUAACUAUUUUGUUUAAUGAUUUGAUUUGAUUUUUUUUGGGUAAGAUCUUUUUAUUUUUUAUUUAUUUAUUUACAAAUAAAGACUUUUUUUAAACAAAUCAUAAAACAAUUUAUAUAUAUAUAUAUAUAUAUAUAUAUAUAUAUAUAUGAAAGUUAAAAAGAAACAUUUUUAGAAUACAAUUGGAAAGAAAAAAAAUAUUUUUAAUUUUUUUUAAUAAAAUAAAUUUUCUCUUUUUUAAGAAAUUGAGAUUUUCUUUUAAUAAAUUUCUUUUUUUAAUAAAUUAUUAUUUUUUUUUAUAAAUAUAUUAUCAUGUUGUUAAAAAAUUUGAACUUUAUAUAUAUAUAUAGAAUAAGUUUGAAAUAAUUAAAUAAGUAUUUUCUAAUUAAAUGAAAUAAAAAAAAUCACUUUUUGGUAAAUAAAUUUGAAUUGGACUGUUAUUGCAAAUAAAAAUGAAAAAAAAAAAUCUUGUUUUUAAUAAAAGACAAGAAAAACUCUAUUUUUAGAUAAAUUUAUUAAAAUCUUCUUCUUCUUUUUUCCUUUUUCUUUUUUUUUAAUAAAAGGCAAAUUUCUCUUCUUAAUAAAAAAAAGUGAGUAAAAGUUCCUUAUUUAAAAUAAAGCUGAAAAAAAUUAUAUUUCUAAAUAAAUUUGUAGAUAAAUAAAAUUGAAUUGAGAUCUUUUUACAUACAAUUGUAAAAAUAUGAAUUUCAUUUUUUAAACAAAAUAUAAAAUUUUGAAGUUCCUUUUUUGAAUCAAAUAUCAAAUUGAACCUCUUUUAUGAAUAAAACUUGAAAAAUCUUUUUUUUUUCUUAUAAAUUAGAAACCUUUAAAUUGAAAUCUCAUUUUGUAGAAUCAAGGAUUAUUUUAUUUUAUUAUUAUUUUUUGUAAGUCCUAAUGAAAUUGAAUAAACCUUCUUUAAAAUCAAACAAAGAUAAGAUUUCUUUUUCAAUAAAUCUUUUUUUUUUUUAUAAAAUCAAAUAAUUAAUCAUUUUUGGUAAAUAAAUGAGGGAUUGAAACCUUUUUUUUUUAAAUAAUUUUUUAAAAACUUAUUUUCCUAUUAAUAAUAUUUUUUGUAUUAAUAAAAUUGGAUUGGAUUUUAAUAUUUUUGCACAUAAAAAUCUUGUUUAUUUAAUUGAAAUAUCUUUUGUAGAUAAAGUUAUAAAAAAAGAAUCAUUUUUCUAAAUAAUUUGUAAAAAACACUUUUCUAAAUAGAAGUUAAAUUGAAAUACAUUUGUAAAUAAAACUGUAAUAAUUCAUUUACUAACAAAGGUAAAUAAAAGUCAUUUUCCUAUUAAUAAAAUCAAUUUUUUUAAUGCAAUUGUUUUUAAGAAAUUCUUUUAGCAACAAUAAGUGUAAAUGACAUUUUUGAAAAUUGAAUACAAAUAAAAUCGAAUCAAUCAUUUGUUGAAAAUAAAUCAAAACUUUUUUAUAAAUAAAUAAAUUGACAUAUUAAUUCGAAAUUGUUUUGAUAAACUCAUUUGAAAUUUCUUGAAAAGGUAAUUUUUGAAAUAUCUUUAAUUUUUUUAAUUAGCUUAAUAAAUCAAUUUGCUUAUUUCUCGUCAUCUAUCUUGUACAUUCUUGCAACCUACUUUUAGGAUUUUUUUUUUCUUGUAUAUUGGUUUGUAUCCUUUAUUUUGGUAUUGAUGAUUAAUUAAUUAAUUGUCACAAUUCCCCCUAUUCAUUUAGUAGAUAUUGUAGGUAUACAGGUUUGGAGGGGUUCUAUGACUUAUCACUAUACAUUCUCGAUAGGUAACUUGACCCUUGAAUCUAGACUCAGUUUUAGAAACAUGUCUUUUCUAAAUAAGGAGUCACAUAGGGUUUUCUUUCUUAUUUUGUUUUUCAUUUUUAAAAAAUCUAAAAUAAGUGGCGACUCCAAGAUUUUUUCAAAAAAAUCAAAUUUUCAAAAAAAAAAAAAAAAAGUUCUCGUUGUUUGAGUGAGGACACAUAUGAAAAAUGGGAGUCCACAAAAUACAGGUUUGUAAAAAACACAAGUUAGUGGUAACGUUAGGCACAACUAGGUUAACCAAACCUUGAUUGAUGAAGUCCUAAAUAGCAUGUUCAAGAGUGAAACAAUGACCUGUCAAAUGCCUUGGAGUAUAGUGGUAAAGAUAGUGCUCAUGUAGUAAAAAAUAAGGAGGAUAUGGUUGCAUCAAUGCUUUGAGGGUUAAACGGAUCAAAAGACUUGCCUUAGAGAGCUUCUGGAAAACUUAACUUAAUGGCAUCCCUAAGUGUCAUAAUUGUCUCAUAGAUCUGGGUAUAAGGGGUUUCCGAUUUUGUGCAUGACGUGGAUCGAGGUCUACCAUUUGGUUUGGGGUUUGAGCUUGCCCAUCGAGAUCAUGCCUAUGUAGUCUGUUUGCACCAAGCUCACCUCAUGGUUUGAUUGAGACACUUAUCUUUCAAUUAUCCUUUACGGCCAUAUAGUCGAAAUUGGUCAGAUUAUUUUGUUUUUGCUUCUCUUAUUGCUAUAUGUUCUGAGAAGGUAUCAAUUUAUGACUUUUCUACUAGUCCUAAAGCCACUAUGGAGUAGAUGUUUAAGUAGUUACAACUUGUUGACAAAGCCCUAGGUUCCUUUACUUCUUCGAAGAUGGCUCUAUCUCCCCUAGAUAGGGGCAACAUAUUUCCUCUACACUUCCCUUGAAAGAUUGAUGAGUACAAGAGUUUGAAUCCUAUUAAGGGUUUCUUUGAUGGAGUAACUCCCAAGGAUGAUUACUGACAUGAGUUAAACCUAUUUACCAUGAUACAAAUGUCAAGAUCAAUUAAGGUGCCAGUAGUGGGGCUGUUUGACUUGUUUGGUGAGAUGACUAUUGAGGGUGUUGUAGAGACAAAUCCAUCAAUUCCCAAGGUCACCCUACCACUUAGAGCUCAACCAAUGGUACCAAAGAUUUUUAUUGCUCCUAUUUUUUAGACUAUUAAUGUAGGCCCUUCUAUUGAGCAAGAUGUUUCUUGUGAUAUUAUAUUAGGAUUUGUCUAUCAUAUUUCUAAUGAUGUACCUAUUCUUUCAUCUAUGGGUAUGAGUUAUUUUAAGUAUUUUCCUGUGUGUUCUAGUUAUGUGCAUGAUUUUUCUCUUAGCUUGUCACAACAUCCAUCUAUUUCAUUUGUUUUCGACAUAGAUGAUGCCUCAAUCACCUGAUUCGAAUUCAAAUACCCUUUUUGGUCAUUCAAGUUACAAAGUAGAGCCUACAGAUGAAGAUUCCAAGAUUAUUGAUUUGGUACCAAGGAUUAACCUUGAGAGCUCUAGAUUGGUACUUCAUUGUCUACAAAUGAGAGGGUCGACCUUAUUUAGUUGCUUAGAGCAUAUUUAGAUGUGUUUGCAUGUUCAUAUAAGGAUAUGCCAGGAUUGGAUCCAUCAAUUGUACAACAUUGCCUACCUUUACUUCCCCAUAUCAUACCAAUUAAGCAGAGAUUGAGGAUUUACUACACCCCUGAUGGAGUCUUCAACUGGAAAAGGAGAUUCAGAAGCAACUUAAUGACAGAUUCUUAUAAAUGGUUGAGUAUCUUGAGUGGCUAGCCAAUGUCAUCCCUACUUCUAAAAAGAAUAGUAAAAGUAGAGUUUGUGUGGACUUUCGAGAUCUUAAUAAGAGUAGUUCUAAGAAUGACUUUUUUCUUCCUUACAUUGACAUGCUAGUUGAUAGUAUUGUAGGUUAUUCGAUGUUAUCCUUCAUUGAUAGUUUUUCUAGCUAUAAUAAAAUCUUGAUGGCUUCGGAGGACAUGAAGAAGACCUUUUUUAUUACUGAGUGGGGUACUUACUCCUAUAUGGUGAUUCCAUUUGGGUUGAAGAAUGCAAAAGCUACUUAUCAAAGAGCAACGACUACAUUUUCCAUGACAUGAUGCAUCAGGAUGUUGAGGUUUAUGUAAACAACAUGAUAGUGAAAUCUCAAGGUAGAGUAGAUCACUUAACAACUUUGGAGAGAUUCUUUGAGAUAAUCAGACAAUUCAGAUUGAGAUUGAAUCCCAAGAAAUGCACUUUCAAGGUGACUUUUGGGAAGUUGGGUUAUAUGGUUAGUGAGAGAGGCGUAGAAGUAGAUUUGGAUAAGAUCAUAACCAUUCUUGACAUGCCUACAUUGAGGACUAAGAGAGAGAUCAUAAGUUUCUUAGGCUUACUUUAGUACAUUAGUAGGUUCAUUACUAGAUUGACAAACAUUUGUGAGCCCAUCUUUAAACUUUUGAGGAAAAGUCAACCUAUUGUUUGGGAUGAUCAAUGCCAGCACCAAUUUGAGUGGAUCAAAGAGUAUUUCUUAUCACCUCUAGUUUUGGUACCUCCUACACCAAUUCGUCUCAUACUCUAAUACAUUUUAGUUUUAUACAUAGCCUUAAGAUGCAUGUUAGCUUAGCUCAAUGAUUUGUGAAAGAAGAAAGCUAUUUAUUAUAUGAACAAGAAGAUGUUAGAUUAUGAGAUGAGGUACAUCAUGAUUAAGUGCCUUUACUCGACAUUAGUUUGAGCUACUUGAAGAUUGAGACAUUACAUGUCAGAGUAUUCAGUACAUCUAAUAUCUUGUUUGGAUCCUCUGAGAUAUUUGUUUGAUAUACUUGUUUUGACUGGUUGACUCAUGAGAUGGUUAGUGCUUCUAACUAAGUUUGAUAUUCAUUAUGUUACAAAAAAAGUCUAUCAGAGGAAGUAUUGUCACAGAUCACUUGGCUUCAUUGUCCAUUUCAGAUGAUAGAGAAAUUAAUGAUGAUUUUCUAGAUGAUGAGGUUGUUGCAAUGGCUAGCCUGUCAAGUUGGCGUAUAUACUUCGAUGGUGUAGCCAACCAUUCUGGAUAUGGAUAGGAAUCUUGUUGAUAUCCUCUCACGGUGAUCAUAUCCCUAGAUCUGUUCGUUUGGCAUUUUCUGAUCGUCCCUCUGCCAUGAAUAACAUUGUUAAGUAUGAAGCUUUUACCCUGGGAUUAGAGACAACUCUCAAGCUUAAGAUUUGAUAGAUGGAGUUGUUUGGUGACUCAAAUUUGGUGCUCAGAUAGAUUCGGGGUGACUAGAAGACUAUAGACGUGAAACUUAGACCGUAUCAUGCAUAUUUAGAGUUACUAGUUAGGGGAUUUAAUGAUUUGAGAUAUACACAUUUGCCUAGAGUACAAAACCAGUUUGUUGAUGCCUUAGCUACUCUAGCUUCCAUGAUUAAUAUUCCUACUAAUACUAUUAUUCGCGUUUUUACUGAUUGAGUCAAGAUCUGUUAUUGCCUAUUGUUGCUUGAUUAAUAAGAUAGAGUUAGAGGACAGCUUGCCCUAGUACCAUGACAUAUAUUAGUUUCUCAAAUUUGGCAUGUAUUAUGAUGUCGCUACAACCAAGGAUAGAAGAGCAUUGGGAUAGUUAGCCACUUAAUUUGUGAUUGUUGGGGAGACAUUGUAUAGACAUUCAGUUGAUGGCAUGUUACUAUUGUGCUUGGAUUGCACCUUUAUUGAUUGAGUGAUGAGAAAGGUUCAUGUAGGGGUUUACAGACCACAUAUGAGAUCACACAUGUUAGCCUAUAAGAUCAUGAGGACCAGACAUUUUUGGUUGACUAUAGAGACAAAUUGUUGCCAUUUUGUUCAGAGAUGUCCAGAAUGCCAGGUGCAUGAGGAUCUCAUUCAUGUGUCACCCUUACAGUUACAUGCAUUGACUUCACCAUGACCAUUUUCAAUUUAGAGUAUAGACAUUAUUAGGAAGAUUUUGCUGAAAUCUUCUAGUGGUCAUGAGUUCAUCCUUAUUGCCAUUGAUUACUUAACCUAAUGGGUAGAGGUUGCCUCAUAUGAGAUAUUAACAUCAAUUAGAGUUGCUAGUUUUGUUAGAUCACAUAUCAUUUAUCGUUAUGGAGUUCCUCAUAAGUUGAUUUCAAAUAGCAAAGGUUGACACCUUGUUAUAGGGAUAUGGUAUCUAGCAUCAUAGAUGUCUAUGUAUAGGUCAUAGACUAAUGAGGUAGUAGAGGCCACAACUAAAAACAUUAAGAGGAUUUUGCGAAGGAUAGUUGAGAUUUCUCGAGAUUGGUCAAAGAAACUCUCUUUUGCAUUGUGGGCGCAUCGUACCUCCUUUCACACUUCUAUAGGAGCCAUACACACGGAGCCAAUGCUACUUGUUAAGAUAAAAAUGAGAUACUUGAGGGUAGUAGAUCAUGUUCAUGCUUAUUAGAGGAAGAUGACUUGUGCUUUCAAAAAAUAGGCCAAGCCUAGAUAGUUUCAAAAUGGUGAUUUGGUGGUAAGGAUUCUUAGAGGAAUGGUUGGAGACCCUCAUGGCAAGUUCAGGCCUAAUUGGAGUGGACCCUACUUUAUUAGAGAGUUGAACCCAUGGAGGGCUGCAUGACUAAUGGAUUUAGACAGAAAAUCGGUUUUUAAAGCCAACUAAUGCAAAUUAUCUGAAGAAGUAUUAUGUUAAGACCAUGGCUAAAGGAUGGGUGGCCCUCCUUUUAGUUAACCAUAUAUCUGAUCACCUUUAGAUUUCAUAUGAUCCUUUGCUAGCCAUUUGAGCCUCACAAAAGUAGUGGCCUUCCAUUUCUUGUCACCUUGACUGCCUUUUUCACACCCAGUUAGGACCCUAUAGUGAGUGAGAUGUGUGGUUAUAGAUUUUAUGGGCGAUUGGAUCUAGAGUGAUGUUGUGUCAUCCUUGGUUCACAUUUCCAUUUCUUAUCUUUCAGCGUAUACUUUUGUAGAGUUAUUGUCGUCAAGUAUUCCUUUUUCUUCCAGGUUUGUUGUCAUUAGCUUUUUUGCUUCCCUAUUUAACAUUUUUCUCAUUUUUCUUCUUUUACUUUUUUUUUUUCAUCACCUAUUGCCAUGGGUUGGCAGUUGUUCACUCAUCUUUGUGUUGAGGAAGAUCAUAUCACUCAUUUCAAUUUCUUAUGAGUUUGAUCUUAAGACUCUAGGGUUUUAUGAGCUCUUCAUAUCCUUGAGAUAGUAUGAUCAUACUAGGGUGAGAGAUGUGAGUUUUUUUUGUUAUGCCUACCUAGUGGAGGAUUCAUGUUGCUUGUUAUACAUACUUGACUAUGAAGAGUGUUAAAAAGAAAGAAAAAAUAAAUAAAUUUUCAUACCAAAAAUAAAUUCCAGUUUAUUAAAAAAUAAUUUUUGAGAUAAGAUUUUAUUAUGGGUUCAGUCUACAAGUAGAAAAAUAGAACAUUAUAUAAAUAAAUGCAUCAACAACAAAACUAACAAAUGAUGUAUAUUCACAAGAUAUAAAAAUAAAUGAAAUAUUCUAUGUAUAGUGCAAUCCCAAAUCUAGUAGCUUUCCACAAGGUCCUCAACAAAGAGAGAAGAGAAAAAUCUAGAAAACCGUUAUCUUUCUCUUUCUUUUAUUCUAAUCCCCCUUUUUUUUUUUUAUCCCAAAUCAAGUCUCACUAGCUUUAUGCACAUGCCCAUAUAUAAUUUGUCUUCAACUACUCCAACUAAUACAUUGUGCACCAAAUUUGCCUUUUCUUGUCCUUAGUGCAAUGCCAAAACACCAACCCAAAUACAAGCAAACCUAAUCAACAAAAAUAAAAUAAAUUCAAGUAGGCCCAACAACAAUAUCCAAUAACUCAAGCCCAAUUUAAUAUCCAAUAAAUAUAUAGACCCAAAUCAUAUCAAUUAGCAGCCCAAAUCAACAACCAUGCAAGCCCAAUAUCUUUAAAGCCCAAAAACAGUACCCAAGUCUCCAAAAAAAUGCACUAUGAAGAUCUAAAGGAAGAAGAAGAGGGGACUUACCAUUUUUGAAACUUUUGAUAUGACAAUGGAAUGAAUGGGUGUCAUGGUGAAGAAAUGGCAUUAUCGACGUCAAACUGACAAUAGCUAGUUAUGGUGAGCUUCACCAUGGAUGGUGAUGGUGGUGCUCAUAGUGGGGUGGUGGUGUGGGAGUCGUGGGUAUGGUAAGUGAGUGAGAGAGAGAGAGACAGAGAGAGAGAAAUAAAAUAAAGAAAAAAGGAAAGAAAAAAAUAAAAUAAAAAGUGGCAGUAGCAUUGCCAAUGGUGAGAGUGGUAGCCAUCAUGGGUAUGAUGGUAUGGAGAAUGAUGGAAAGAAAAAGAAAACAUAAACACGGAAAGAGAAUAAGAAGAAUGAAGGAAGGAAAAGAAUGAGAAAAUAUGUGGUAAAUGGAGUAAAAGGAUGAUUGGGGCUUUUUUCAUAGGUCUUAGGGUUUCUUUUAGGGUGAAUGAUAGUGAUGAAAGAAAAAAAAAAACAGAGGGUCUAGAUUAGUUCCUUAAAAAUGGGUACAAGUGGGCAUGAAAAUGAGCUAAAAUCAAGAGGAUUAUGCUUAAAACUAACUAACCAAAAGUCCUACAAAAAAAGAAAUAAAUAAAAUAAACAAAAGUAAAAAUAAAUAAAUAAAAACAAAAACAAAAUAAAAUAAAUAAAAGUUUGGGACAAAUUUUAAAGUCUACAUAUGUGCUUAUUGGAGUUACAACCAUAUCAUUUUUAAAAUUAUUCAUUUAUUUUGAUCUUGGACAAUUGAUAAUUAAUUUAUUAAGAGAUAAUAAAUUAAUACAAGUUAAGAUAAUAUUAUUUUAUAUUAUAAAAUUUAUGCAAAUAUUUAAUAGAUGAAAAAUAAUUUAAUAAUAUAUAUUUUUAAAAUAAUCCAAAUAGAAUAUUCAAUAAUAUAAUAGAAUAUUUAUUAUUGCUUGCCUUCAUCUUUUUCAAACCCAAUGCCUUGAUUUUUUUCACCUACAUUUUCUUCGUCUUUUCCUCCAUUCCUCUUGUUCAUCUUUUUAUCUUCUCAUUUUCAUUUUUUACAAAAAAGAAAAAGAAAAGAAUGGAAGCAACAUUAAUGGUGAUGCUACCAUGUCUACAUGCUCAUAUAUAGCAAGUGAAGAUUAUGGAGCGGAAAGGUUUAGAAUUUUUAUGUGGGGGUGUGUGGUUAAAGAAGAUGAAGGUAGAUUAGUAAAAAAUUGUAUACCUUUUUUAUAUUUAAAUUAAGGGUUUAAUACAUUUUACCCUCUCAACCUAUCACAUGUUUUGCACAUUACCCUCUUAAGUUUAAAACUGAACAAAUUGUCCUCCAAGCUUCUUAAAGACCAACACUAUGCCUUUUUUGUUGGACAGAAAUGUCAUGUGUUGUGCACAUGACUUAAUAAACGAGGGUAAAAUUGUCAUUUCAAAUAUCUAAAAUCCUAAAACAUCUUCUUCUUCGUUCUUCUUCCUCAGAGAGCCCUAAAUCCCCAAGCCCUAAAAUUUGGUUUUAGUUUUCUACACAUCAUAUCAUUUGGAUUUCCACAGUUGGAUUUUCUCUUAUUAAUCACCAAUUCUAAAUCAUGUGCUCAACAACUAUAACUAAAAAAUAAAUACACAAAAUGAGAGUCCAAAACUUCUAUUUGGUUGCAUAGAAAAAAAUGAGGUUCUUCAUUUUUUGUGAGGAGAGUGAUUGAUGUUCGGGUUAGGGUGUCAGUGGGGUUCCAUAGAGGAACAAAUUAUGUUUUUGAGAGGGUGAUAAUCUUUGAUAGAAUCUUGAGGACUAAGAAUUGCAAUUGUCAUUAACGAAAAAUAGAAUGCAACAGAGGAAAAUCGGAUGAUGUGAUGAGUAGAAAACUGAAACUUUAAAGAAUUUGAGAUAAUCGAAUUUUAGGUUAGGGGAUUUAGGGCUUUGGAAGGAAGAAGAACAAAGAUGGGAGGUUUUAAAGCUUUAGGUAUUUUAAUGACAUUCUAACCCUCGCUUAUUAAGUCAUGUGCACGACACAACAUUUCCAUCAAAUCAAACUAACACUGUUCAACAAAAAAGGUAUAGUGUUGUCUUUAAGAAGUUUGGAGGACAAUUUGUUCAAUUUUAAACUUAAGGGGGCUAUGUGCAAAACACGCAAUAAGUUGAGGGUGUACGGUGUAUUUAACCCUCAAAUUAAAGUUCAAAAUAUUAGGGAUUUCCAACCUCUUAUCACUUCUUAAAAAAAAUAAAAAAAUAAAAGCCUCCCAAGGAUGAGUCACAAAAUUAAAAAAAAAAAAAAAAGAAAAGAAAAAUUAAAGGAUGUUUGAUAAAUUAAUUUAAUGACUUAAUAUGAUAUGUAACAACCUAUUUUAAGUUAUUAAACAAAUUAAGUAUAUAUAAAUUGUUAAAUAAUUUAAUAUCAUAACUUAAAGUUAAAAGUAAUUUUAAAUAUUAAAUAAAAAUCCUUGCUUUAAAUAAAGCAAAUUGGGGUCAAUUUCUCGUACUUGCUCAAUGUGUCCCAUUUCAUCAAGUGCCUUGCCCAGUUCACUGAGUUGUUGGCCUACCAAGCACUUGCCUACUGCUCUUGCUGCCCACCAAACGGGCGGAGCGCUCGAUAUCCUUACUUUUCUAGGGCCCUUCCCAUUGCUCUAAUCAUAAGUUAUGGCAACUCCAAUUGGUAACCAUAGUGGCUCGCCCUAUGAUGCGAGGCCACAAUAGGCUCAAUGGUCUAAUCAGAGUGAGAUAAACUCUUUCUUGACAUGACUCACCCUUCCCACUCUUGACAUGAUGAAAUAAAUAACUAGCACCAUUAAUUCGGGUGAUGCCUAAGGGUCAUCUCUUGCUUCUUUGAGUGAAUUUUUCAUGAACUAGGCCUUUUCAUAGCUCGGAAUAAAUUUCCAAUCAAUUCAUUCUAAAUUUUAUUUUAUUUUUAUUCCAUUUGCUCACAUAUUGACGAGAAUCUCUUUUAUGUCUCUGAUUUUACAUCCACAACUCAUCUUUUAUGGUAAAUAUUUUAUCAUUAUUUCAUGUACAAUAAUAUUUUUAAUAUGGAUAUUUAACAAAUAAAUUUGAAUUUCAAAAGAUAAUUUAAGUCAAUUAUAUCAAAUAACCUUUAUGCUUACACUAAAAAACUAAGAGUAACAUUUAAAUCAAUAAUUUAAUUUAAACUCAAUUUAAAUAUUUAAAUCAUUAAAUAAUAAUAAUAUUAAGUUUUAUCAAACAUAUUCUUUUCAGGACAGGCAAACUAUCGGAUAAUUUCUAAUUUUCAAUUGUCUCAAAAAUUUAGCUUAAAAUUUUGGGAAUUACAAUUCAUUUAAAAAAAAUUAAAAAUAGAAAAAAUGAUUAUGUAAUUCCCUUAUGUAGUCUCUGCAUGAAUCAACUGUUUCAAGGGCAUUAGAAAAGGAGUGCUGCUGCAUUCAAAAUAUUUACAUGGUACCUCAGAGCUUACUUGGAAAGGCAAAUUAUCCUUUCAUUUCAAAUUCUCAAAUGUCAUUAAUUUUGUUCAUGCUUGGAAAGGACCUGGCAUCCACUGAAUUAAAAUUAUAUAUAAGGCACCAUUUGUUUGCAAAGAACAUGAGAAAAUAGUUGAAUGCUUGGAUAUCUGGCUGCCACUGAAGUUGGAGUAGUAGUUGGAAAGCUCCAAAUUUAAUUUCUUUCCUUUUCCUAAGACUUCUUGACAACCAAACAGUCCGGAUGUAGCUGAAAGCAACCUUAGUGAAAAAGACUUGGAACUGGUGAGUAAAAACUUCAUUGAAAAGGGUUCUUUGCCAGUGGAUGUCCUAGGUUGAUAAGUUCAAAUCAUUUGAUUGGAUUUUUGAUAAAGAGCAUAUCAAGACCAAAAACUUUGUACUGCGGACAGCAGUAUUGGAUUCCGAUGAUAACUCAUUUGAAAAAUUUUCACCUCAAUAUGAAUUAUUGAUCUACUGCCUAGGGAAUCAUUUUUCCUUGAACCUUGCUUCUAAACAAUACGAUGGAGAUGUACUUCUCUAAAUACUCCAGAGGAGUUAUCCUUAUCUCCAGAAAACUGAGUAUAUGAUAAACAAGCUUAUAGUAAUAUGUAUUUUACGUAUUCUUUUGUACUUAAGUACUGUAACAGUACUUCUGGAGUCCGGAUGUUGGAUUUACAAAUCAAACUCAUUCCUGGCCAGAUCUUUCAGUUUCUCUACAAUUUGAGGUUUCUGGUUUUUGGGUUUUCAUUGACGAAUUUUCAUGUAAGUUUACUGAAAUGUAUUCAUGCCCAAGAAUAGUUUGGUUUAAGUCAGUGAAAAUUUGCUUUUUCCAUCCCCAGUUAGAUCUAUCACUAGUAGUCUAUUUUAAUACCAACAAUCAAGGAGCCUAAACCCCAAGAAGGCCCCCCAUCUGGUUUAUGCCUCUCCCAACUUGAGUCAACAAGUCUUUCAUCUUCUUCCAUCAACUCAAUCGCCAAUAAUGCUUACUUUUCUGAUUAAACCAAUCAAGUUUCGACACUAAAACUUUCCAUGCUUUAUGAAUUAUUUUGCCAUGAGAACUGAGUGAUAGCCCCAUAGGGUUGCACUGGUAAUCUCAACCAAAUGGCAUCUAGCUUUAAGAAACUCAUCUUCUGUAAAUGCAAGGCUGCAGUACAGUUAUUGAUGGUGCAAUAUUCGCGUUAUAAGCACUGCCUUCUGGAGAGGCGUAUUGAAUGUAUUUGUUUAUAUAUAUAUAAAGAAAAAUGCUAAGAUUUCAAAGCGAUACUUAUAAAACAAAAGAUUUGAACCAUUGAAUAUGUAUGGUGAGAACUUGACAGUUCAAACGUGGGUAUAAGUGAAUGGAACAAAGGUUCAAAAGUGCAAAUAAAUGGGACCAAAAUUAUAACCAAUGAGAUAUGAAAAUAUAUUCGUGAUAUCACUUGAUUGAUGAAGCAUUUUUUUAUAGAUAUCGAUGUCAUUUUUUAUAUAUUCUAUAGAUAUCGGAAAAAAAUACACUUCUAUAUUAUAACCGCAUCAUAUACAAAACCAUAUCUUGUAGUUCCUUUUGUAUUGAUUAAUAAAGAAUGCUGUUAAACUAUUCUUCUUGGCAUGAUUUAAUUAUAUGAUCAAUAGAGAGAAAAAGCAAACAGCAUGAGCCAAUGAGUAAGUCAGUUAGAACAAUGUCAUUGAUCCCCUUUCACUAGGAUGGUUCCAGAGCAUACAAAAGGGAACUGCAGUAUAUUAAUAAUUAUUUUUCGAACAUUUUCCUCUUUCCUCUUGCCUUAGCAAUCAAUUUCACCCAUGGUUCAUACUAAUGUUUACUCACUAGAUUUUUCUGGUGACCAAAUGAACCCCACAAGAUCAAUCGUGCAUGCCAUGAUUGAAACUAUGAUAAAAAAAAGCUUGGAGGGUGAUUUUGAGAAAAAUAAGUACCAUAUUAGUGGCAAAAUAUGGAUACACAAACAAACUUGAAAUAGCUAGAUGGUUGCAAUGUCUAAUUAACCAGGGAUUCCAGUUUUGGGUAUCGUGCAGAGAUGGGAAUGGAAUGCAGACUAUUACAUCUCAGUAUCAUGUCAUGUCAAAGGCAAUCAGAUUUUGUAGUUUGCAGUUGCUUUAGCAAUAAAAUGUUGGCCUGACAGUAAGCAAAACUGAAUCAACUGAUUCAAGGAGAAAAGACUGAGAAGUAGGAAGAAGGGGGACAAAAGGGAAAAUGGUUUACAGAUUGUACCUUUGCUGAUGUUGAUCCCAAUCUCCAGUACUAUGUGUAAGCACUUAAUGUUGGAUUUCUAGCUAGCCAGAUUAAAGCAACCGAGUAAUUAUAUGUCCCUGUUAAUCAAUCAAAAGGGUCAGUGCUCACUGCAUAUAUCAUGAACUUUAUUGAAGGGAAAUUUUUUUUUUACUCCGCCCCUCAUCAGCAGAUGCUUCCUCUCCUUUCUUCUCUUUAUUUUUGCCUUUUGGCCUUUUGGCAGGUCUGCAAAGGGAGGAUUUCAAGACCAAUCCCCUAUAUCCACAGAGAAGCAGGAAAAAGAAGAGGAUGUGUUGAGAAGAAGAAUACCCCUAUCCCCACACAGAAGCGGGAAAACAAAAAAGGAUGUGGAGAUAAGAAGGAGAAGAAGAAGAAGUCUUAAUUAAUUGAGUACCAAUGGAUACAUUGAAUACAGUGGCUUUUCUGUAUAUAAGGAACACUUAGACAUGGAGGAAAAGGCAACCAGAACACAAUUGUUUUUAGGGCAAAGGUGCAUGGUUAAAAUAUUAAAACCCUCUGCCCGUUCAGUAGAAAGAAAGGAACAAGAUGAAGAAGAAGAAAGCCAAGAACAAAAAAAGAAAGGAUAAAAGGAAAAAACAGUGGCCUCAUAAAUGUUGAAGCUUCCACUAAAAGAUUGAAAUCAUCAUUAAUAUAUAUGCCGGCCGUAGUCAGUACUUCCUUACACACACAGAUGGUCCCAUCUCCGAAGAGACACACAUUGCCAUAACUCAUACCUUGUCAUCAGGUUACAUCUAGAUCCCCAGGAAGGGAACACUUGAAAUUCUUACUUGUGCCAGACUUGCUGGUUUUUCCCCAUACUCGGCUUCACACCAUAAUCUUCCCACAAGUGUUCUUCAUCAAGCAGGAUGUUCAAGCAGCUACCAUGCACUGUGGUACCCACGCUGGAGUUAGAAGGUGAAAGAUGAUCCUCACUGUUCUUCUGAAGUCCUACAUUCUCAGAGCCUUGUUUGGCCAUGAUUUCCUGGCCAUGAUAGGGGUCCAGUGGCUGAAAGUAAGUGCAGGUUCUCAAAUUCUCUUUGCGCUUCUUGCUGUGCUCGGUGGUCUUGUUUAAGUAGAUGUUGAUGUUCUCCCAUUUCUGUUUACACCUCAUUGCACUUCGCUCAUAGCCCAAACAACCCAUUCUUGUGGCAAUCUCCUCCCAUAGGCUUUCUUCUGAAUACCCGCUGUCUUGAAAUCUAGAUUCCAUACUGGUCCUCAGAUGUAUCAAACUUGAGAGCUCUUGUUCUGGCCAUCUACUGUAAGUAGUGUCAUCAGGUACUUCAUUUACAAUGUCCUCCAUGCUUUCGUUCUGGUCUUGAAUUUCCUUGUCCAUUAGCCCGUCUGGAGACGACAAUUUUAGUUCUUUCCCUGUAAAUUUCUUCAGAGCCUCCAUGAGUGCAGCAUCUCGGGCUUCAAUCCAUGCUCUCUCACUAGCCCAGAAUUUAUAUUCUCGAUCGAACCGAGCUGCCUCUUGCUUCCUCCAUUCCUCCUCUCUGGACAACCUUUCCUGCUCUUUAUGCUCGAUAGUUGUCAGCAUCUUCUCCAUCCAUGCCUCUUGUGUGUCCAUUAUCUUCUUCAUGUGGAGGCCCACAAAUUCCUUUAUUUUUCCUUUCAAACUCUUCCUGACCCUCCUGUAACUUUGUCCAUCAUCUACCCCUCUUUUCUUCUCCAUGGAAUGGUUCAUCAUGUAGGCAAUAGCUGAAAGAUCAUCAUCAUUGUUUUCUGAAGAUGAAGUCUCAAAUUCAGAUGAGUUAGAGAAACUAUGGCUCUCACAGAACUUGUGGUCUUGCAAAGCUUCUUGAUUUGCUUGGUUAAUGGUGGUGUUGUUUGUAGUCUGAUAAAGAAGAGUAGUGUUCCCAGCAAGAUGGGUUUCUGAAACUGACGCUUGAUUGCUUGUUUCUCCAUAGAGUGCUUCAAGUUGUCGGAAGAACCUAUAGUGCUUCCCAUCCUGUCUUCCGGCUUUACCUUCUUUAGUUUUCUUAUAAUACUUGUACAGGUUCUCAAACUUCUCUCUGCACUUCUUCCCACUUCUCUGGUACCCAUGUUCCUCAGCCAUUAUCCUGCAACAAUUAACGAAACGAAUAAAGGAAGAAAAGUAACCCAAAAAGGGUAAAUAUAUACAUAUAUAUAUAUAUAAACAGACUAGAGAAGAAUAACCCUAGUUUGUAGUUCUUUGGCCUAGUCCCUCUUGGAAUCCUAAAACAGAUAGUCUAAGUAAUUAUAUUCAAGGAUUUUGAUACCCAAUGCAAACCUCAAAUAGUAAUUAAUGCUAUAGAUGAUAGAAAAUGUGUUUUGGUAUCUCUUUUUUGGGCAUUUCGAAAUAAUAAAAUCUUAAAAUACCCAAAACAUUCCUCUAAUCAUCAGUUAGAUGUCAUAAAAUAUUAUUCUUGUUUCUUCUCCCUUUCUGUUUGAUGGGUAUUUUACAUUAAACCAACUAAGUAAGUAGGUUUCUUGAACGACUCGAGAAUGUUGGGAUUUAGAGAAGCUUCUUGGACUGGCCAUAUCACACAAAACCAAUGUAUGAGUACAACAAUUCAGGGGCGCUGUCAGCCAUUUUUCCAGAAUAAAACCUGUUAAAAUAACUAAAAUAACAGCUGGGUCUUCCAGUUAACUCAAAAAGCUUGUCAUUUUGAAGCGCUAAACUCAGUAAACCAAACAUAAAUUCUAUCAAAAGCUUGUCAUUUUUUGCUUUAAUAAAAUAUAUACAACAUAUAUACAUAAAAACCAGUACGAAAGAAGGAAGAGAGUCAUUUUUGCUAAAGAAAAGGAAAUAGGGUUUCUUGAAAAUCUUGGAGAAAUCAUGUGUAUCAAUGAGAGAAAGAAGAAGAAAAACAAAAAAAAAAAACAUGGGUUGAGUGCAAUUCAGUCAUUCAUAUACCUAGAAACUUCAGCCCACAAAGGUCCCUUCUGAUUAGCCUCCUUGAACUUAGGAUCAAGCCGAGAUCUGAUCUCAAGUAGAGUGAGAGUCUCCUGCCUCGGCCAUCUACUAUUUCCACCAUCUCCUCCAACACCACCACACUCCAUCUCCAACCCACCAACACCCACAACGGAAGCAGCAGUGGCAGCAGCAGUUGCAGUAGCAGUAGGAGUAGCUGUGGCAGUAGCAGAAUCACCAUGAAAGUCGACCAACCCACGAGGCACAACCACCUCACCCAUGUGGCUACCCACCAUGAUGGCCUCAUAGUGGUGCAGAUAGGGCUCAGUGGGGUGAGGAACGGCUGGAAAAUGAGAAGGUCUGGCCAUGAAUUGCCUCAGAUCCGGCAGUCCGUACUGGUCUCCCAUCUCCAUCACCAAAGGGAAGCAAAAGAAAAAAAAGAAAAAAAUAACAAAAAAAAGAAAAGGAAGAAGUCCCAGAGAGAGAGAGAGAGAGAGAGAGAGAGAGAAGAGAAGAGAAGAAAGGUGCGGUAGACUCGGAUCAUGUCGCCCAAGGAAAGCUCGAUUUUGUGCUUCAAAGGCCUUGGCCCCAUCUCUCCCUAUGUCCACAGUGACAAGAGAGAGAGGGGAAAUUGAGGGAACGAGAGCUAUACGUAGUUGUAGUUGUCCCUCCAAUGGCUAAGCGACAGAUGUCAAAGCAUAUGACUUUGAUGAAAAUCCAAUUCCACCAUUUUCUGGCUGACGCCUGUACAGUGUCUUUGAUGUGCCUUUUAACCCCCACCCCACUCAUCUUCUCUUUCAAUUUCAAUGCCUCCACCAUCUUUCCUCAAACCCCCAUUCACUUCACUUCACAAUCCACGCUUUCGCAUUAUAUUUCACUGUUGUUCUUUUAUUUGGACAAUAGUAACGUACCCAAUGGGACCUCACCAACACAUCAUAUUCUAACAUAUAUGGUGAGAUUUACAUAGUAAGAUGAAUAUACACAUAAAUGAAAUAAAGUUCUAAAUGAUUGAAAUUGCCAUGAAUGCCAUGAGAUCCAAAUGUGAACACGUGACAUUCUUUCAUUCAUAUUGUCUUAAGUAACUUUAAAUUUUUUAUCAAUAUAAUAUUUAAAAAAUUAAAUUAAAUUAAGACUGAUUAGUUAAUGCCUAUUUCAAUUGAGUAAUAAAUAUAGUAUUACUUAUACAAAAUUUAGAAUAAUUCUUUUCAACAAUGCAGGACAAACCCAUUAAGCCUAUCUAUUUUGAAAGUCAAAACAAAUCAUAGCCUUAUAUUUUCAUUCAACUUAAUUAAUUGGAUGGAAUGUUUGUUGUAUUAUACUCUCCUAUCAUUCCAAGCAGAGUAUUUCGUCACAACUUGACUAUUUCCCUUUUUUGUCAACAAUUUCCGUCAUGAUGAUGAAAAGAUUGAGAGAAGAAAAUUACACUAUUGGUUCUUAUGGAAAUCAUUUUCUAUUUUAUAUGAAAAGGUGAAUAAUAUUUAAUGAAACUUUCAUCUUAACAAGAUUAUCAUUUGAUUUGAUUUUUUUUUUUUAAUCCAUGGCCUUAAUACUCAAAUUUCCUAUCCUAUUAUUGUUUCAUAGGUCUAUGUGGAUUUAUUUUUUCUUUUUUUUUCUAAAUCCAUGGCCUUAAUUUUGUUGAUACUUAAAUUUUCUAUUUCUAUGUAGAUCUAUAAGGAUAUAUGAGACACGUAUCUAGUAUGACAUGAAAGGUUAAUUAUGGGGUACAUCUCUCUGAGGGCAUGUUUGGGUUGCUAAAAUAUUAAAUGAGAAUAAGAAAAUCAUUCCAUUUGUCAUUAUUAUUAUUAUUAUUAUUAUGUUUGGAUUACUUUGGGAAACAAUGAUAAAAAUAAAAAAUUCAUUCUUAUUGGAACUAAACUCACUCUUACCAGUCGCUUCGUACCUCACCAAUAUAUUUUCAAACAUUUGCCUCAACACUUAAUAUUGAGGGAAUGUUAUCGCCUUGAGCAUUUUAUCAUCACAAUGAAUAUUGUAUAUGUUUCACUUAAGAGUACUUGAUGGCAUAAAAUUUAUGCAUUUCAUAUUUGUCUAAAUUGAGAGUAGGGUUCAAAGGAACCCAAGGAUCUACAAUACUUUGGUGGUGGGCUUGAAGUGUCACAUCAUUAUUAAUUAUAUAAAAUAAUUCUAGAGUAUUCGUUUGGUUGCUAGAGUUAGAGAUAGCUGAGACAAAAUCAAUCCAAUUUAUAUUUUAUUAUUUCAAUUGGAUUUAGAGAAGUAGACGGGUAAGUAAGACGCAUCUAAUCAUCACCACUUGCUUUUCUAUUGAUUCAACCAGGCAUGUGCUACUAUGUAAUUGUCUCAUCUCCACAUCACACCAUCUUAUUAAUUUAUGUACAUGUAGAACCAUCUAGUUGGUUCCUAUAGUACCAUUUAGUUGGUUCUUAAUUGGAAAAUUCUACAAAUGGGAUUGAAAUGCCAUAUUUUCUUAGGCUUUAGGAAAUUUGAUCUUUGAAAACUAAUAUCUUCCACCUUAGAAUCCAACUUUUAAGUUUUGUAUUCUAAAAUCUUAUUAAAUGAUAUUGUCAUUUUACUCUUUUUAGGAGAAUGCAUAUGCAAUAUCUUAAUGAAGUCAAACGAAUACCAUAAUAUUGAUUCUCAUGUUGAUUGGCUCAAUCAAUCAGUCAUUUAUUUUAAUCAAUUAGCCACUUGGUUGACAAUACCUUAACAUGCUCAAUUGAAUAAGUAAUUUUCUCUUUGAUUGACUCAAUCCAUUAGUUGAAGUAAAAUUAAUUAGAUAAUUGUUGAUUGCAACAAUCAUGCCUUCCAUAAUGCCUUUUGUUGGAGCUAGUCUAGAAAACCAAUAAAUAGAGUUGUAGUCGAGGCCUUUCAAUAACCUAUCUCAGAGCUUCUCUCUUCUCUUCUUUUCUCCUUUUGUGAGACCUUGAGAGAUCUCUUUUAGUUCUACCCUAGAGUGAUUCUACUCCUUUGUACCAUUCUUCUUGAGUCAUUAGAGGAACAAUGCAUCUAGAUCUUUCAUCUUUUGCUUUGUUGAGGAAUGAACCUCUACAAGCAACAUUGGAUUUUGAGAACCACUAUUUUAAGGAUAAUGCACUAUCAUGUCUUAAUUAACUAAAUUUUGAUAAGUUGUCUAACUUUCAUUUUCAGAAUUUUAUUUUUUUAUUUUUUUUACUUGUAAUCCUACCUCUCUCCCUCUGUAUAUUUCUAAAAACCUUAAUUUAGUUCUAAUAUGGAGGUAGCACUAAUUCACACCAAACUUGAUAUCUCAAAAAUUGAUCCUUUCAAGGGGUUUUUUUUUCUUCUUCUUCUUCCAACCAUAGAUAUUAUGAAUAUAGGACAUGUUUUGACUAAACCCAAAUCAAAAAAUAAUUUAAAAAAUGUACUUACAUGGGAAAAUGGUAAUAACUAAAUUUCCCAUACACUUUUAAUUACUUUGUCAAAUCAAUUAUUUGAUUUGUGUUGCUUUAUUACGCAUGUUAAAGAAAUUUGGGAUAAUAUGAACAAGAAAUACAUCUUAGAAGAUGUCGAGCUUUGAAAAUAUGUCAUAAAUUUUUUUAAAAUUUUAAAAUGGUUGAGAAUAGAGAUGCAUCAUCUCAAAUCCAUAACUAGAAUAUGUUAAUUAGUUACUUAGCCAUGAAGAUAUUUGGCUUCCUAAACUGUUUGUGACUAGGUACAUAACUUAAAUAACUUAGAUUCAAUAUACGACCAAAUUGAAUCUUAAGACCAAUAUUGCAUCCAUAAGUUAGAUUUUUACUUUGUGAAAUAGAUUUCUAAAACCAUUAAGUGAAUGAGAUUAAUUAAUGGUUAAAAGUUUGACUUUUUAACUCUUCCUACUCUUAUACCUUUGUUUUAGGAAUGAUAACGAUAGAAAAAAACAAGAUAACUAAUUAUCAAGAGUUACCAAGAAUCAUUACUAUUAGGUAAUAAUCUUCCAUAUCAUUCCCUAAUAAACCUCACAAGGAUAGGUGAUGGUUAAUUUUGAUUUUCAAUUUUAUACAAUCAAAGCUUACAUUCAUUUUUGUAGAUUUGACCAUUAGAUUCGUUAAUAGUAUAAUCAAAUUAUAGUAACUAGUAAUCAAGGUCUUCCCAAGAAUCACUAGUAUCUUGAUAAGAAUUCUUCGUAAUUUAUCUAGGGUGAUCUCAGAUAGAAGAUUUAUUCCCAUAAAUUAAAUCUUAAAAACCAUAACUUUACUAUGUUCUUUCUACUCUUCUUUGAAUUCUUCACUUUCAAGUUAACAUCUUUGGUUCAAUCAAGUUAGCCAAACAUGGUGAAGGAUUUCUCCUUGUAACCCAUGUUUGCUUGCCAAGAAAAUAAAAUAGAAAAAUUGAAAAAGAAAUAUAAAAGAAAUGAAAAGAAAACCUAAAACUUUAUUAAGAAUUUCAAGAAGAGAGAUCAAUCUCUCUCUCUUUGCGUUUUUUUUUCUAAAUCAAGAACUCCCUAGAAAACCUAAAAAUUGAUUUUUUAUUUUUUUUAUUUUAUAGUUUUCACAAAAAUCCAAGACUUGGCAUGUUCCUAUUGGCCUCUUAUUUUACAAAUACUUGCCUAGAAAAUAAUAAAAUCAUGAUUUCUAAUUGUAUGGGAUCCACUUAGAGUGGAUAAAGUGCCUAGGAUGCAAUUCCAGAUAUCGAGGAAACGAAACAUCAAAGUUUCAAUGUGUGAUUUCAAAAUUGGGGUCAUUUCAAAAUGGAUUUUAAAAUCAUAAGUUGAAUUUCAAAAUGAUUUCAAAAUGGUCCUUUAGCUAUGUGUAGUUUUCAAAUGACCAUAACUUCUUUAUUUUAACUCUAAUUUGCACACCAUUUGAAUGUUAGACUCCUGAAUUCUUAAGUUUCAAAACAAUAUGUGGCUUACCCUAAAAAAAUCAUGGGAAGUACUUCAAAAAUCACAUAAAAUUCAAGGUAUGUGUUGUUGUCAGGUUUGAGUUCUAAAUUUCAUAUUAAGCUUGAUUGCAUUUUAUUCCAACCACCUUUCUCAUGGUUGCUUGUUGUCUAUCUCACUCCAUAACAUUCAUUUCUAGUAUUUCAUUCCUAUGACUCAUUCAUUUCAAAUUUUCUUAGAUUCUUCAUGGUUUACAACUUUUGAGUCUCUCGGUUAUGCAUAUUUAACCAUUUUUACUUCCUUGGUUGAGAAUGAUUUUUGCAUUUAGCAUUCUUUUCAUCUCAUAAAACUUGGAAUUAGGCUCAAAAUAAAUGUUAGAUCCACAACUAGGGUUUGAGUUAAGUUGGAUGACUUGAGCUUUUUAUAUUGUAUAAAUCAUAUCAUAUAUGUGUCAUUGAAGUCUAUAUUUUCGCUCCAAGUAGUAGUUUUAUCAACCUAUCAAGAUUACUUUUUCAAUUAUUAAGUUAUAGACCUACCUAUUAUGUGAUCAACUAACAUACUUUAGCUCGUAAAGAGCAUGUUAAAUUCCACUAAAUAAAUUGUUAUGGUCAUAAUCUUCCUAAACACAGGUCAUUUGGAUCACCCAAGAGAACACAUUGUCUCAAUUCCAUGAAAUAUCAGUGUAUUUAUCAAGAAUACUUAUUGGCACUAACCUUCAUUAACAGUGACCAAAUCUAUAGGGAUAUAUGACCAUAUUAGGGUCUUCCCAUAGAUCAAUACCUCAUGUUGACUUCAACACAGACUCAAAUCUUCUCGAGGUUAAGAGUCCAUGCAAUAUAGUCGCUUGGUGAUUUAUAAAAAUUGAUAGUUUUACAUCAUGACUCACUGUAGGUCCUAUCAAAUGUGUAACCAUGUAUACUAGUGUACUCACUAUGGGACUUGGUAGUCAAUAUAACUCAUCCCUUUAAUUAGACAGUAGUGAACUACAGUCUUUAUUAGAUUGUCUAAAUCUACAAUCCAAUUAUGAACAACUUAUCCAAAAAGGAGCCCAUGAAAGUCAUAUAUGGGUGUGUAUGCUUAGAUAAAAAAUGAAUUCACAAAAGGAAUAAUAAAGAAAAGCCAAAAAAUAUAAAUAAAUAAAUUUAUUAAUAAAUCAACCAUCUAUUACAUCAUGUCAUGUUUUCUAGGACUCUAUCCCAAUAUCUUUGGCACCAUGCUACAUAGUAUUAUCAUAGAAAGAAGAGUGAGAGGUCCACUCCUAAGGCUAAUUUAGCAAAGAAAAAGGUGGUAGUUAUUGUAGCUUUCUUUGAGGUGAAUAUAGUCACUAAUGUGAAUGACUAAGCAAUAGACUUUAAAGCUACAAACCACAUAUGUGGUAACAAAAGUGCAUUUAUCUCUUAUACUAUAAUAAGGGAAGAUGAUGAAUAAAUAUUCAUAGGCAACUCAAGGCCUUUGCCUAUGAUCGAAAAAGGGAAAGUUCUUCUCAAUUUGACAUCAAACAAAGUAUUUGCCCUUAAUGAUGUCUUCCAAACAUGAGAUGUUCAUUGGAUUUGGUAAUAGUUUCUUCACAUUGAAAAAUAGGGGUAAAAUCAUGUUCAAGUAGAAAAAAAUCAUUCUUACCAAGAAUGAUGUUUUUUUUUUUUUUUUAUGAAAGGAUACUAUAAUCAAGGCCCCUUCAUGUUGAAUUUUUUUCUAAAAUUGAUAUAAUAAUAAUAAUAUUGCUUCUACUUUUCCUUGGUUAAUUCUUGUGAUGUGUGGCAUGGUAGACUAAGACAUCUUAACUUUUAAUAUAUAAAGAAAAUGGUUGACAUUGACUCAAUUCCUAAAGUGUCUCCAAAAAAUCAUGGGAAAUGAUUAUGAUGUAUGAAAUCUAAAACCAAUAAGAAAACAUGAAAAACUAUAGAAAAUAAUCAGAAAACUAAGUUUAAUUUAUAAUAACUUAGGAGAUCUUUAAAAUACAAUGAUUUAAGAUAGUAAGAUUUUAAAUAACCUUUAUAGGUGACUACUCAAGGUAUAGAAGUAUAACUCUUUAAAAAGCAAAGAUGAAGUCGAAGAGACUUUCAUAAAAUAUAAAACUAAGGUAGAAAAAUUGCUUAAGAAGAUUAAAAGACUCAACAUUGAUAGGAGAGGAGAAUACGAGUCUAACACUUUCAACACCUUCUAUAAAGAUCAAAUGAUCAUUCACAAUAUUACUCUACCAUAUUUUCAAGAAUCUAAUAGAGUGGUAGAAAGAAAGAAUAUGAUCUUAAAAGACAUGAUGAAUGUCAUGUUAGUAAGUUCAAAAACUCUAUUGAACUUAUGAGGGGAAUCCAUCUUCUCCAUGUGUCAUAUUCAAAAUAAGAAACCCUAUAAGAAAAUUAGUAAAACACCUUACAUGCUAUGCCAUGUACCCAAUAUAACAUACUUCAAAGUGUAAGGGUUUCUUACAAAGGUUUUCCCACUUAAACCUAAAAAAAAAAUCAAAAAAUAAAAACUAGGUCAUAAAACCUUUAAUACGAUGUUUAUAGAAUAUGCUAAAAAUAGUGCAAAAUAUAUAUUCGUAGUCGUCAAAUAUAAGAAUAACCUUGUGGAUGUGAAAACUAUAAUAGAAACAAAGAAUGUUAUUGUUCUUAUUGUUGUUGUUUUUUACACUAUCUUUUCUAUAAGCACUAAUGAAGAAGACUAAGUUCUAAAAUCAGUUAGAAAUGAAUUUAAUGAACAUUCUAAGAUUAAAGUAAAAAAGAAGUAAACAAUAUAAGAAAGAAAGAAACUUUAGAGAUGAUUUCUAUACUUUUCUAAUGGAUAAAAACCUAUAAAGAAGGAACAUUUUCUCUUAAUGCAUCCUUUAGAGAAAAAAAAAUCAUAAAUAAAGAAAUUGAAUCAAUUACUAGAGAAAUGGUGGAUCUAUUCCAUGGUGUAAAUUAAGACAAUAGGUUGUAAAUAGAUAUUUAAAAGAAAAUUAAAACUAGAUGAAUCUAAACAAACAUAUAAGGGAUGAUUUGUUAUCAAAGAAUAUAAACAGAGGAAAGAUGUAGUCUAUGUGACACAUCUGCCCCUAUGUCUAGGAUUUCCUCCAUUAGAGUAUUGUUAUCUCUUUUUUCAUUCAUAAUAUAGAAAUAUGCUAGCUAGAUGGAUAUUGAGAUUGUAUUCUUGAAGCGGGAAUUGAAAAAGGGAAUCUAUAUGGAUCAACUAAAGGGUUGUAUGGUCUUAUAAAUGAGCAAAAUCUAUAUAGGUUAGUUAAAUCCAUGUAUGGAUUAUAAUAAACACCUAAACACCGACACAAGAAGUUUGAUCAUGUGCUGGUAUCUAACUAAUUUUCCAUUAAUGAUGUUGAUAAAUGUAUUUACAAUGAACUUGGGGAUAGCGCACAUAUGUAUCAUCAUCUUCUUGUAUGUAGAUGAUAUGUUGAUUCGUGGAAAUAGCCUAGAGGUCGUUUAUGAGACCAAAAGAUCAUUCCCAAGGUCUAAAUUUGAAAUGAAAAGCUUUGGAGAAUUAGAGCUGAGUCUAGAGAUUAUGAUAAAUAGAUCUAAUGAGCUUAAACUUUCUAAAAAACAUUAUAUUAAGAAAAUCCUAAGGAAGUUUGAAUACUUUGAUUGUAACUUUGUAUCAUAUGUGAAACGUUUUAUUAGCUACUUAUGGCUAAGUGUCUAUCCCUAGGGUACAAAUGGACUAUAUUCUAUAAUGAUUAAGGAUGAAUACAUACUCUUAAUGAAUACAUGCAUAUCCCUUAUAGGUGAUGUGGAUCAUUACAAGACACUUAAUGGGUUGCCUAUAAGAGAGUGGAUGGGGGGGUUGCUUCUUAUAAGAACUUAGGUAGGCCCCCCAGAGUUCUCAUGAAUAUCCAAGUAAGGUGCAUAAUCUAUUCAUGCUAACCCAUUAUAUACAACUUUGAAGCAAAAAACAAAUGUUGAGAAGAGAUUUCCUAUCUCAUAAAAAGAAAUCAUACUUCAUAAAAACAAAUCUUAACUGACAACUUGUCCUAAGAUUAGUUCAUAGCUCAAGAGCAUUAGUUAUGAUACAUUGGAUUCUAGUAUAUUGUUUUUCUAAUCAUGCAUCUUGCAUUAUUUCCUUUAAUCAUGCACUUUAUGGUGAUAUUUGGGGGAAUGCGUGCAUGUAAUUUCUCAAUGGAGUCGAACCAUAUCAUAAUAAUCAAUUGAAUCACAUGUUAAUUAGCUUAAUUAAUCAAUUAAUCAUUAAUUAAACUGAAUUAACUUAUUAGUCAAUAGUGUCUAAUGAGCUAAUUAAUUGAAAUCAAUUAGCUAAUUAAUUACAUCAAAUAAGCAUGUCUUUCAUUAGGCCUUUUGCAUAUAGAAGUAAGUCCAAAGAGCCUAUAAAUAGAGUUGUUGUCCAAGCCUUUCAAUUGUCUCAUCUUAGAGUUCUUCUCAUCCCCUUAUUCUUCUAUAAGACAUUGAGAACUCUCUUCCCAUUCCACCUAGAGUGGUUCUACUCCUUUCUAUACAUAGAGGAACAAAGUAUCCAAAGUUGUUAUCUUUGCUCUACAAAGGAGUGUUCUUUUAUAAACAUUACAAGUUGAAUAAUAGAAGUAGAAUGACUGCUGCUAUUCUAUUGCACUAAGUACAUUCUCAAAGUAGAAUAAAAUUACUUUAAGGAUAAUACCUUGUUACGCCUCAACUAAAUUUCAAUAAGUCAUGUGACUUAAAUUUUCAAAUAUUUCUAGUUUGUACUAGUGUUGUUGUCCAUUUCUUUAUAUUUCUCACAACUCUAACCUCUUCCCUCUCUCACUUCUAUUAUACUCUACUCUUGUUAAUUUUGAACUAUAACAUGACACUCACUAUUUAUGCGACUAACCUCCUCUAACAAGAGAAUUCAAUGUAAAUGAACUUAAUUUUAACUUUAAAUUUUAGUUAAAAUUAAAAAUAAGAAGUAAUGUCAAACAAAACUUUUUAAACUUAUUUUGGUAACAUUAUUAUUUGAAAAUCUUUCUUAUUGAAAUGCAUGUCAAAAACCAAAAAAAAUAUACCAUUAUUAUCACUUAUUUUAAUCAAAAUUUUAUCAUUUGUUAAUAGAUUAAAAAAGUAGCAAUAUGAAUGAAAUAAAUAUAAAUAUAUGUAACCUUGUGGCACUACAUAAGGUAAAGUGUGGUAGAAAGAAAAUAAAUGAAAGUGUAUCAUUUUUUUUUUUUUUUAUAUUCGCAACAAAAGAAUCAUUGGUGAAUGAAGUUAAAAAAUAAAUUAAUUGCUUAUGAUUAUAACAAUUAUAAGGUGCAUGCAGAUACAUCAAUGAAAUGGACAAAAAGGACUGAGGGGAAAAAACAAGAACAAAAGAAAAAAAUGAAAACAAAAAAGGCAUAGAAAAAUAGUAUCACUAAGGGAUCACAAUUCAAUAUAAUUUGUUUAGUAUGUGAAAUAAAGAUUAUAUUAAUAAUUUUGUUCUUUCAUAUUUUUUUAGUUAAGCUAGACCUACACAUAAAUUAGAGCCUUCGUAUUAACAAAAAAUUGCUCAACAUUACAUAUAUCAUUACUAAUUAAAAGGAAAUGACAAAAGAAAUUAAGAUUUUUAUAAGAUAAAAUAAAAUGUGAGACAAAAAUAAAAUUAAGAAGUCUAUGAUUUGUUUUUUUUUUUCCUAAGAUAUUUGUUGAAAGAUUUAAUAAUUAACCAUAUCAGUUAAGUAUGUCCCUUCGAUUUAGUUGAUAGUAAUUAAAGGGAUUAAAUGAAAUUCUAAAAUAGGGAGUGAAUUUAAUUAGUUGCAAAUUUUAGAUAAUUUUUGUUUAAAAUUUAAAUAAAUUUGAGCUUAACUAAAUUUGAAUAUAAUUGAAUAUCAUUAAAUCUUAGGUUUUUUUUUUUUUUUACCAGUAUUAGAAUUUUGUUAAAAAUUAAGCUGUCAAGUUUUUAUUAAUGUAAUAAUAUUCAUUAGUGUUAAAACUACUUAUUUUUACUUAUUAAAAACAUUUAUAAAAUUAAUUAUAACUCUUUGUAUUUUAAUUUGAAGACAACCAAUUUGAAAAAGCAAAAAAAAUAGUAAUUUAACUUAUAUUUUAAUAUCCCAAAAUAUCAAAAUUUAUCAUCAUAAUAAAUUUUUAUGAUGAUUGAUUAUAUAAUUAGUGGAAAAUUGAUAAUUGGAUGGUUAUUGGAAUUUUCAAUUAUAGUUAAUUGAUAAGAAAAUGUUAAAAAUUUAUAAGUUAAGACUUGGUUUUAUCUUAUGUAUCUUUGGAUUUGUUAUUGAAAUAUAUGUUUUAUUAAUUUUCAAAUUUUUAGUUUAGGAAAAAAUGUCAAAUGGUAAACUUUUUAUUUAUCAAAAUAAAUGAGAAUUAUUAAUUUCAAUAAAUUAGAUGGUGGUUUUGGAGUUCUAAUUAAAAAUAAAUAAAAUCAUUAUAAUUGAUGAUUAUUACUCUAUUUAUGUUUUGUCAUACUUUAAAAAGGUUAAAUUUUGAAAAUCUAUACUAAACUUAUUUAUUAUUUUUAAUUUUAUGAUUUUUAUUGUUGUUUGUAUUUGUUUUCACUUUUGAACGAUGAAUUUACAUAAAUGUAUGAAGUUUAAAUUCAUUAAGAAUUAAAUAAAUUAUGGUAACAUGGUUACCUACAAUGGAAUUAUGGUUUUCAUUUUAAAAUUUUAUGAAUUUAUUUUAUAUUAAUUUCUUAUUCGUAUUAAGUAAUUUUUAUAUUGUUGAUUUUUUUUUUUUUAGUAACAACUCACAAAAAAAAUUUAGAACAAACUUAAUUUUUUUAAGAAAAAAAAAUUGAUUAAAACAAAACUUAUUUGAACCAUAUUCAAUAUUUUUUAUGAUAAUUUUACUAAUUUAUAGUAAAUUUGUUUCUCAUCCAAAUGCUACAAAAUUGAGGUAGUAUCCCUUUCUUUAUUAAUCCUUUAUUUAAAAAAGUUUUUUUUGUACUAUAUUUUAUGAAUAGUUGUAUUUUCCUUUCUUUAACAUAGAUCUUUGGAGUAAAUUUAUCCAAAAAAAAUUAAAUGAAUUUGGUUUUAUUUUGUGUGAGAAAUUAAAUUUAAAUAAUAUAAUAACGUUAAAAGUUGAAAAAAAGAAAAGAGAAAUUUGAUUUUUUUUUUUCUAUUAAGAUAAAAGUAGAAAAAAAUUAAAUAUGUAAUGAGUCAAAAAAGAAAAUGACUUAAAAAUGUUUUAAGUCUUAAGCAAAAUUUGUUUUAACAAGCCUUAAGUUAAAAAAUAAAUAAUUCCAUGAUUUAUUUUUUGUUUCAAAAUUAGUAAUGGUGAAAAUCUUUGAAAGCAUUAAAAAACAUUUAAGUAUAAUAUUUUUUAAAAUUUCUAGAGAACCUUCUCAAAAUGUUAUGAUAUUCACAUGGAACUUAUAUUUAAAUAUAUCUUUACAUUUCUUAAUAGAUCUUCACAAUAUUAGGAGCUUAAAAUGUUCAAUUCUUUAUUAAAGCCUAGAUGUGUUACAAGCUACAUGAUAAAUUGUUUGACUAAUAUUAGAUUUAAAAUUAAUAUAUAAGCUCUAAAAUUCAAAUAAUGUUCACCUUUGCUUAUCUUACAAUGUUUGAACAAGAGUAUUUGAUUUAUUCAAUUUUAGUUAAUUUUAGCUUCUUGAUAUCUAAAAUACAUAUGCACUGAUAAUUGUGCAUUAUGAGGCUAUAUACAAGUUAGAAUAUGCCAUCAUUAUUAGUAUUUAGUAACACCGCUUUUAUUAUAAAGUCAUAUAAUUGUUUUUCGCUAAUAUCAACCCCUGUGGGUAUUUCACAUGCAUUUUAAAAUGAAUGAAAGGUCACCUCAACAUGCUAAUUAGGUGGGCUAGAAAAUAUUUCACUACCAACUUCACUUGCUUGUUUCUAGUAGAGAUAUUUAUUUGUCAAAGUAAAAUUUAUUUUUUAUAUUAGAAUUAUUAUCUUUCUUUUUAAGCAUAAGGGUAAAUUAAUCUUUUUCUUUUAUUAAUUUCUUUUGAUUGUAAAUUUAUUUAAACUCUAUUUGUGUUGUACAUAUUUUUUAAGUGAUCCUAAUAAAAAACAUUCGACCUUUCUUUUCACUCUUUGUUUACUAUUCUUUCAAAUCUCAUAUGAUAUUAGAACAAGAUUUAUUUUAAAGGAACUUUUGAUGUAUUAUCUCAUUGAAGAGACUCUAAUCUCAUACAUAGUUUUUUUAGAUCUAACUUUUAUUUAUUUAUUUAUUUAUUUAUUUUUUAUGUUAUGUCUUAUUGUAGAUCUUCGUCGUCAGUGAUCGCAUUAUUUGUUUUGUUUGAUCCUGGUAUUUGAUUUCACAUUUAUUUUCUUUUGUGUGAUAGUUGUUUGUUAAUUAUUUGUCAUAGUUGGUAAAAGAGAUUAUUCCCUUUAAUCUAUUAGUACGAGCUUAGAUGGAAGAGUGAUUAUUCUUAUUAGAGUUAUAUGAUGAAAAUUUUUCUAAAAGGCAAAAGGAUGUGGGGUUAUACUCUUGACACUUUAUGCAAACCUAAGAAUGAAAAGAAUGAAAAAAAUAUAGAAUAGUUAGACAUUUAGGAAGUAAAUAGUUAAAAAAAAAAAAUAUCACUUAGAUCAACAACUCUAUUGAGAAUUUGACAAGUACACAAUUGAUGAAGUAUAAAACUACUAAAGAGAUCUAGGAACAUUUGGAAAUAUUAUAUUUGCAGCCUAAUUUUGCAAAAUAGUAUUAGAUAGAAACUAAUAUUCGAGCCAUUGAAUAGAAGAACAUGAUUAUUCAUGAGUUAUAUGCCAUUAUGACUGAUCUUUGAGACUAGUUAGCUCCUAUGGAAUUAGUAGAGUUUUAGGAUUUUGUGUCUUAUAUUGCCCAUAGAGAGGAGCAAUGAUUAGUUCCAUUUUUUAUGGCCCUUUGUAGUGAUUUUUGAGGCAUUACAUGAGAUAAUUUUGUGUCGUAGCCCAAUCCCAUUUAUUGAUUUAAUGGUUAGUGAAUUGUUGGCUGAAAAAAUACGUCUUAAGUCUCAAACAGGGAAAGGAAUUCUCUUCACACCUCAUACAUCUGUUUUGAUAGUACCUUCUAAGCCACCUUCCAACAAUCAAAAGAAACCUUACUCAAAGGUUGACAUGGAUGAAUGUAGCUAUUAUAAGCGAAAGGGUCAUCAAAAGGCUCAAUGCCCUAAUUUCAAUAGAAUAAUGCAACAAUAGUCUUCUUAACAUUCUUCAUAGAGUCAAUCUAAUAUUAGCUAACAAUGUUCUUACAAGCCUCCACAAUCUAAUACUACAACAAUUGUUCCUCCUUUUGACUCAUUUGGAUUUGGACCCACUCCAUCCUCUAAUCCCACAAUAGUUGCUCUUAUUGAAGGGUUCCAAAAGUUCCUCACCAUACAACCACAUGUUAUGUCUACCUUAUAGGUUUGCUAGUCCCUAGGUUUUUAGGUAUUUUUUUUCCUUUAUAUGGGUUUUAGACUUUAAAGCUUUUUACCAAAUGUCGUCUUAUUCUUUAUUUUUUUUGCUUCUCUAUCUCCUAUGUCUUCUAUGUUUGUCAUGACUACACAUGACACUUCUAUACCCAUAGUUAGUGUUGGUUCUUUUGUUACACCUCACUUAUCUUUUUCUAAUGUUUGUCAUAUUCUCAAUCUUAUGUUGAAUCUUGUCUCUGUUAGUCAAUUAUGUAACUUUGAUUACCUGAUUCUUUUUCUUCUUCUUUUGUGUGUAGGAUUCACAAUCUUAGAAAUUGAUUGGAAUAGACCAUAGCAAGGGGGAUUAUAUAUUUUGGACAAGCUAAAGUACUAGCAAUUGCAACUCCAAAUGUUUAUUUGUCUUACUUUAAUUUGAGUCUUUCUUCAUCUAGUUUUUAUUUAUGGCAUUCUCAUUUGGCACAUGUUUCAACUCCUCGUUUAAAGUAUUUAGUUUCUAUAAUAAUAAUAGGAAAUUUGCAAACACAAGAUAUUUCUAAUUGUAGUGGUCGUAAAUUGGCAAAAAAAAAAAAUUUCUUCCUUUUUAAUAAAAGUGCUUCCUCUUAUUCACCAUUUGAUUUAAUUCAUUCUAAUAUGUGGGUACCUUCUUUAAUUUCUAGAAAAUGAGUUUAUUAAAAUUAUGUUUCUUUCAUUAAUGAUUAUUUGUUAUUGUCGGGUUUAUCUUGUAAACAUCAUUAUGAGUUUUUGAGUUUUUAUAAUAUCUUUCAAGCCUUAGUCAAAACUCAACAUUCUACUAUUAUCAAGUGUUUUAUGUGUGAUUUGGGUUAGGAGUAUACUUCUAAUGCAUUUCGUGAAUUAUUUACUUCACAUGGAACAGUUCAACACACUUCUUGUACUGACACUCCAAAGAAAAAAUUGUGUCACAAAAGAAAACAUUGACACAUUGUUGAAACUACUCAUUCUAUUUUAUUAUCUACGUGUGUUCCUACUGAAUUUUAGGAGGGAGUAGUUCUUACUACAAUUUACUUAGUUAAUAAAAUUUCAUCAUCACACACCUUCAAUAACUAUUCUCCUUAUUACUCUUCCUUAAGAGUCUUUGGUUCUACUUGUUUUGUCCUUCAUUUUCAAGUAGAGCAUAAUAAUUUAUCUUCUCAUUCUACUAUUUGUGUUUUUCUUAGGUAUGGUGAAAGUCAAAAGGGAUAUCAUUGCUUUGAUCCACUGAGCUAUAAAUUAUAUGUAUCUCAUCAUGUUUUCUUCCUUGAGCAUAUACAUUUCUAUUUUAUUACUAUCGAGUUUCAUAAUGUUUCUAAAUUCGAAAUUAUUCACAUUAAUAUUUUCUUAGAUGAUACAAAUAGUUUUCCUAUAGAUACUAGUAACUUGGUUCUUAAUCAUCACGGUUCUUUCUCUCUUCCUAUGGCUACUCCAAUACCUUUUGAGACUAUGGAUCCUCCUCCGCACUACGUACUUCUCAAUGUCUUGGUAAGUCUACUCGAUUACCAAAUUUUGUUUAUGCCUCUUAUUCAAAUUCAUUUACAUCUUUUUUAAUUUCUAUUCACAAUCCUUUUGAGUUCUUACAAAGAAGUCGCUCUUAAUCCUCUUUGACAACAAUCUAUGAUCGAAGGACUUUCUACUCUGCCUAAGAUUGACACUUGGGAUUUGGUACCUUUACCACAUGGGAAGAGUAAAAUUGGUUAUUGUUGGUUCUAUAAAAAUUAAAUUUAAGUAUAAUGGUUCAAUUGAGUAGGACAAAACUUGAUUGGUUGCUAAGGGGUUCUCUCAAUAGUAUGGUGUGGAUUAUGAGGAGACUUUUGCCCAUGUCCUACAAUCAACUACUGUUCAUACUCUUAUUGUGUUACCUCUGUUUGUCAAUGGAAUAUAUCUUAGAUGGAUGCUAAAAUACUUUCUUAAAUGGUAAUCUUCAAGAAUAAGUCUACAUGGUACCCCCUCAUGGUGUUUCUCAUAACCUUGAAGAAGUUUAUAGGCUUAAGAUGAUCUCAAACAAGUACUUUGUUCUUGGUUUGCAAAGUUCUUUGAUGUGCUUACUUGUCAUGGGUUUCAUCUCAAUCAUCAUGAUUUUGUACUCUUUUCUAAAAUGCACCACUAUUGAUCGUAUUAUAUUUUCUUUAUAUGGUGAUGGCAUAAUUAUUAUUAGUGAUGAUGUUAAUAGGAUUGCAAUGUUGAAAUAAGAUUUGACUUCUUGUUUUGAAAUGAAGGAUUUAGGUUUUCUAUGAUAUAUUGUGGGUAUUGAGGUAGCUUCUUCUUCGAAAGUUAUCUUCUCUUGUAAUCAAGUAUAUAGUUGAUAUUCUCAAUCUUGUUCACCUUAUUAACACUAAGAUUGUUAAUAUUCCUCUUGACUUUAGUGUUCAAUAUUCUUCUUCUAAUGGUAAACCCUAGCUAUAUCCUACUUUAUAUUAUAUUAUUGUUGGCAAUUUGAUUUAUCUCGUAUUACAUGUUUGGACAUUGCUUAUGUUGUUCACAUUGUUAGUCACUUUGUUUCUUCUCCUACAAUAUUUCUUUAGGCUUUUGUUCUUUGUAUUUUGCAUAUCCUCAAGGCAUUAUAUUUUAGAGUCUUUGACUUUUGUCCAUUUUUUUUACAGUUAUGUGCAUAUUCUAAUGCUAAUUGCAUCGGUGAUCUUGAAGAUCUCAAGUCUACCAUUGAAUUUUGUAUAUAUAUAUAUACAUAGAUUCUCUUAUUUCUUGGAAAAUCAAGAAAUAGAUUAUUGUUUCUCAGACUUCCACAAAAGUCGUGUAUCAUGCUAUGACAUCUACCACCAAUGACAUAGUUUGGUUACAUUGAUUACUUACUAAUAUGGAUUUUUUUUUGGUCCCAUUUUUAUAUAUUGUGACAAUAAGAGUGAUAUUUAGAUUACACACAAUUUCAUCUUUCAUGAAAUGACCAAACAUAUUAAGAUUGAUUGUCACUUACUCAUUAUCACCUUUAGCAUGACAUUUUUACUUCUUUUUUUUUAUUAUUAUUAUUAUUAUUCAUUUUUUACCAAAGAUUACAAACUUGUUUACUAAGUCAUAUUUGCUUCCCUAUUUUCAAUUUUUUGUUGGCAAACUCUUGAUGCUUCUUGUAGUUAUAUCGUGAGUUUUUAAGGGGAUAUUAGAGAUAUUUAUUUGUUAAGAGUUAUAUUUAUUUCCUAUAUUAAAAAAAAAAAAGUAAAGGUAAGUUAAUUAUUUUCUUUUUUUAUUUAUUUCUUUUAGUUAUAAACCUAUUUUAAUUCCAUUUGUAUUGUAAGUUUGUAACUAUUUUUGAAAUGGUUCUAAUAACAAAACAAAGCUUUUCUUUUCUCCCUUUGUUUAUGAUUCUUUUGAAUCUUAUGGUUUCAAAGGUCACCCUUUGAUUUAUAAUGGAAGAUUUCCUUGAUGGCUGUCUUUGUACCUUUUCAUGGAAGGUUUAGAUUUUUGGGGAAUAAAGAUUCAACCAAGUGUGUUAGAGUUGGAAAAGUAUGAGUUCAACAUACUUUUUAUUUUCUAAACCCUCCAAAAAAAGGUCAUUAUCUGGAAUAUCCUAAAAUAUUUAAUCGCAUAUUUGGUUUUAGAAAAAAAAAUAUGUAUAUAUAUAUAAUAAAAUAAAAUAAAAUAAUAAUGAAAAUAACAAAAAGUAAAAAUACAUCUAAAAUUAAUUUAAAUUAUUUUAUUUAUUUUUUUUAAAAUAAAUAAAUUUACAAUAAUUAUAUAUAUAUAUAUAUAUAUAUAUAUAUAUAUAUAUAUAUAUAUAUAUAUAUAUAUAAGACAAGUGAAAAAAAUAUAAUUUUUAUUAAUUCUUUCUUUUAUAUUUUUUACUAAAACCAAACAUAGAGUAGAUGAAUAAUAGUUGUAUUAGACAUUUUUUAUAUAUAUAUAUAUAUAUUACAAAAAAAAUUCGAAAAGGUAUUAUUUAUUUUUAUUUUGAAUGUAAAACCAAAUAUGGUGAUGGUGAGUUUGUGGCGCAAAGGGGAAGAGAGGGGAGUUGUACUGAAACGAGAAAAUGAGAUUGCGUGAGGUGAAAGAUAGUAUGAUGAAUGAGAUCCCAACCGUCCAUUUGGGUGUAGAAAUUUGAAAAGAAAAGGAGGAAGAAUCUGACCACUGGGCACUAGCAUCUGAUUGCUUACCCCACAAGCCUUCCCCUUCCCCCCAUAUCAUCAUCUCAUCUCCUCCUGCCGUCUGUCAUUUUGUAAUAUAAAAAACAGAAAUGGGUAAAGAAUAAAAUAAAACAUUUUUUGAAACACUUUUAAAAACAGCUUUUUUAAACAGUUCUUUCAUAUUAUUUUUUUAAAUAAUUUUUUUAACAAUUUAGAAUAUUUUUAAACUAUUUUUCAUAUUUUUAAAAUAACUUUUAUUAAUGAUAAUUUAUUUUUAAUUAUUAUACAUACCUAUAUAAUAUUUUUUUAAAUGGUUCGAAAAAAGUUUUUCUAUUUUUAAGAGUAAAAGACUUUUUAAAAAAAUAAUAAUUAAAGGUGUGUGUCAUAUUGAGAAAGGAGGGGAAGAUGAGAUAUGAGGGGGUGAGGGGGUGGUGUGUGUCAGACAUAAUGAAGUGAAUGAUUAAAGGUGAAACGUCAUCGAAGAUUUGUUGGGUAACGGACGGGUAGCAGUAGGGUCCUCAUAGUCGUAUGCUGCUUUUGUCUUUGCCUAAAAAAGGCAUGGUGGGCUCCCGGACCCACCCCUCUUCUCCAGCUGUAAUCAUUUUUCAAUUUUUCCCACCCUCUUGUACACGGACCCCCUCCAUCACCCCCAUCCUCCCAUGGACGGCUCUGAUCGAGGACCAUGAUUUCAUUUCGAGAAGCAGAAAGGUGAGGGCUCUUUCCUCCCUCAUCAUUACGACAUCUUUAUUUUUCCUCCUCUGCUGGUGCGAUCAUGCUAUCAUGCUAUCAUACCAUCAUAUCAUCGUCUUUGAGCCUUGAGGGGAGAUUAGAGGAGCCUUUUUUUCUGUUUGGUGUCAAAUGGACGGCUCUGAUUAUCUCUUACGAUGACAGCGCAUUGUGGAUUACUUUUGCCGACAGUACUAGAUGACUGUUGAACCGGGUCUCUCAUCAUAUUCAUGGGCGACAAAUUUCUAUGCCUCAUUUGUAAAAAGUCGCCUGCUCUGCUUCUGGAGCUGAUGCUCGUAGGUCAGACAUGAGACGUGAAAAAGAUUUUUUCUUUUUUCUUUCCUAAUGCAAAAAGAUUAACAGAGAAUUAUAUAUAUAUUUAAAGAACUGAUUAGCCGUACACCCUCUUAAAUAUAUUUGGAUUUUUGAAUUAUACUGACGUCACAGCGAGGACACACGAUCGAUGUUAACGUUGAAAUACCUUUCUUGUCCCUUUAUAAAAAGUGUUUUAACAAAACCAACAUUUUUAUGCCAUAAUAAAAUUAAAAAUAAAUAAAUAAAUAAAUCUCAUAUUGAGUUGACAACAAUUGUAACACACAUGUACAGACGGAUUUGAAGAUUUUUUUCACCGUACAUUUAUAAAAUUGCACUGUAAUGUAUAGUCAUUGGAAUGGAAGUAAAUAUAAUUGAAAAGAAAAAGACAACUUUAUCAUUCACUAUGACAAAAAGUGAUAUAUGAGCAAUAUAGAUUCACACCAUUAUUUCAUUUUUUUUUUUACUUGUUUGAAUAUUUUUAUUAUAAUUUUAGGCGAUUUUGAACAAAGUUGUGUUGUAUUGAAGUAAUGCAUCUUUUAGAGUUCAAAUCAAUGUAUUGAUGUGAAUACCUAUAAAAAAUUGUUAUAAAUGUUUUGAAAAUAUGAAUGUUAAAGGACGAUUCACUUUAUGGUGUCUAUUGGAAAAACUACUCUUGUUGAUGUUAUGGCCUCGACACAAUCUUUGCAAGUUGGUAGAAGGUCAUGUGUGAUAUAAAUUGGGUCGAAAUGUUAUAGAUUUUGAAGAUGAGGCCAAACAUUCAAUGAAGCCCACUAGGUAUAGGUUCGUUGGUGAUAAAGGCCUAACUACGAUAGGGUGGAGACCUGGUCUAGAAGAUGGUGAUGGCAUAGAGUUUUAGAGUGAUAAGAGGAAACACAACCAUCGAGAUACAGAAGAUUUAAGAUUUAAGGGUAAGGGUGACAAUGUGGAUGCAAUGGGUGAUAAUGUUGGUAAGGACGUCUAUAAAUAUAAUAUUGGCGAGGAUGAAGAAUUUGAUAUCAAUAAUGAGGAUGAUGACACAUAGUGAUGUCCACCAAGUCAUGUAAAUGACCAUUCAUGGAGUAAUGAAUUUAGUUUAUAUAGACAAUGAAGAAUAUAGGUUUCAUAUUAAUGAUGACCUUUUGUAGUAUGAAUCCAUUGAUGACAAUGGGGUUCAAUGUUAUUCUACCUCAAGAAGUAAAAGGUUGGUUACGACAUAGAUGGGGGUAUUAAAGGGAAAACCGUUAGGAUAAACUUUAUAUCAUAGUCACAUGCUAUCUAAUAACCUAAGAAUACUAGAUUUGAUUGUAGCAUAAGCAAAUUAUGAAACAAGGCUAAUUAAUUAAAGGAAAACACUUAAGAGAAUGGGUGAAUUGAGUGAUUAAAAAAGUUUUAAAAAGUUUUAAAAAGUUUCAAAUUAAACAAUAAACAAACAAUAAUUAAUGCAAAAAAUAAAUAGUGAAGGGAAAAAAGAUGUGAAAUUUUUACGGUGGUUUGACAAUCCCACCUAUGUCCCCUUUCCUCAAUCUCCUUUACAAGUGAGAGUUCCACUAAACAAGGUUUCAAACCAAGCCUCCAAUCUUGUACCCUUGAAUUUAUCGCUAUAAUGGACACUGCACUUUGAUCAAAUUCAAUACCAACUUGAAGUCUCAACCACUCAAUCUUUUUGCAAGGAAAAAGGAUUUUAAUACAUUCAAUUCUAGCACAAGUUAGGAUUAAUACAAGGAAAUAGCUAGGAUUAAAUGAAGAGGGUAUACUAAAGGAUUUGCAAAUGAAAGAUUUAAUGUACUUAGGUAGAGAACUUUUAAUGAGAGAAAAUGGUAGGUAAGCAAGUUAAUGUAGUUGUUCUUGUUGAUUUUCGUACAACGAUUCAUAAAAAUUAGAGAAAAACAAAAAAAAAAACACACAGAUUUAACGUAGUUCGGCAGAUUGCUUAUAUACACAGGAAUAAGGAAAAAGACUUUCACUAUAUGUAAAAUUAGAGGUUAUAUAAAAGGUAUUUAUACCAACCCUCAGGUAAUGAAAUUCCAAAAAAUCCCCUGAACCAUACCGUGGGAGGUGGGGUGGGGGCAUUACCCUCCCUCCCCCCUCACCCCCAAACCUAUCGUUCGCCUUUAAUAAUAAAAAUACAAGCUUAAAUGACAAAUGUCGGAGUGGGGCGAAACAGAACAAUGACAUUUGCCCAUGUUUCUCCAUAUAUGUCUUUCCUUCAAUAUGAACCACAUACUAUAAAAGAUCUCUUAUCAAUAAAUGCAUGAGGACUCUCCAAUUUAUAGAGAACAAUCUCUAACACCUAAAACAAUAAAAGUUUGACUAAUCGAGCUCCAAUUUUAUUGUUUGCCUAGUUAUUAGUGUAUUUAAUGUUCAACAAAUAACCAUUUGUUCUUUUCAAAGUUCAACCAACUCUCAACCAAGCCUUGAUCAAUACUCAACCAAGAGAGCUUACAAAUUAAAUAUAAUCAUUGUAGAAUGCAGUAUCACAUUGAUCUAAAAAAUCCAUCAAUUUAAUGGAAAAUAAGUCUUCCCAAAUUGUAUGUUUGGCCAACAUUAUAGUUUAAAAGAAAUAUAUGAAAGCAUAGGUCAAUAUUGGGCAUUAAAGGAUGAGUUCACACAUUUGAUGACCUCUCCUAUUCCUUAUAGUGAUAUUGUCAUACAUACAAUAAUGGAAGUCAAACUAUAACAUCAUUGAAGCUAACAUAUUAGUCAAAUGUAACUUUUAGUACUAAUCCUUCUCAUCAACGAAUUACAAUGAUCAUAGAUGAAUCAAUCAAACUAUAUCUUACAAUUAAUAGAAUUUGAGAGGACAAUAAUAGGAUAACAAUUCUUCAUAAUAGGUAUCAUAUGAAUCACUUCGUAAAUAUAAUAGGAGAAAAAUAGAAAAUUUUAAGGAUAUUAUAUCCUUAAAAAAUUUCUAAUUACAUAAAAAUCAAGAUUAACAACCAUAACCUUAAACCAAGUUGAUAAAUUCAUAAGAAUCAGCAUUAGCAAUUGAUGCUUCGACAUAAUAAAUAUAUUAAAAGCAAUCUUAUUAAUGAUGGUUUUAAACCAUAUUCAAAAUUAUAUUAGAAGUAACAUUGUCGAUAGUAGUUUUGAGCUACAUUAGAACCAACAUUAGCAACUUUGGUGUUACUUAAUAUACUAGGAUUAACAUUUGCUCUUAUAAUUUUAAGCUAUAAUCAAGAUUAUGCUAAAAACCAACAUUGACGACUAUGAUUUAAUAAUGAAUUUUUUUAUUUAAAAAAAAGAAAGAGCAAUAGCUCUUAGCCAUAUGACUGCCCAUUUGGAUGAGAAGCAUGACUUUGCCUAGCAUUUUUGCACUCAACCCAUUCCCACAAUUUUUCUCUCUAAAAGGACCGUUUUUAUUUAUAUUUUUUUUAUUUAUUGAAAUGCCUUUCCCCUCUUAUAAAGAUAUCCAUAUUCAUAAUGGAAAUAUAAAUUAAAAAAAAAUUGAGUUUGCUUAAAAUAAAAAUAAAAAUAUUGAAAAACUUUUUUUUCAUAUAUAUAUUUUUUUAUCCUCAAAAUUAAAUGAAAGCAAUUUUUACUUUCAAAAACUAUUUUAAAGAAUAAAAAAUAAAGAAACUUAUAAAUUUUAAAUAAUGAAAUUAAAUUUGUUGUUUUAAAACAAGUAGCCACAACUUUCACGUUAAGACCGCAUAGCGCAGUGGAUUAGCGCGUUUGACUUCGGAUCAAAAGGUCGUGGGUUCGACUCCCACUGUGGUCGAUUCAUCUUAGUGUGUUUUUUUUUUAUAAAUUCAUUUGAUUCCGUUUUUUCAUAAAAUUUUAUAUUUAAAUUUAAUAUAAAAUAGAAAAUUAUCAAAAUUAAAGUUUGACAGUCCCGUAAUUAACCUCUUUUCGAUUGUAGAAGUCAAACAUUGAAAAAAAUAUAGAAAAGAAUAAUAAAUUUUUCUUGAAAUUUUUUUUAUUCAAAUAAAAUUGUUUUUCAAAACUUUCAAUUUAAUUGAAAAACCAAGAAAUUCGAGGUUGGUUUGAAUAUUGGAAGCUAAUGCAUACCCAACAAAGAGAGUGUUUGGCAAAUUGAUUUAAGGGUUAUUUGAUUAAAAGAUGAAACCUAAUUUUGGAAAUCUAACUUUUUAUCAUAUUUUGACAAAAAUGUCUUCAUUCUUUUUUUGUAAUUUUUUUUUAAAAAAAACCUAUAAGUAAAUAUUUAAAAUAAUUAAAAGCAUUUAUGUCAAAAAUGAAUUACCCUCCAAGCAAAAAUAUGGAAAAUGUUAAAUUUACAAAUAUGAGGAAUAUUUCAUCAUUCUUAACCCAUUAAUUCUUAAUUUAAAAACUUAAUAUGACUUAAUAACUUUAUUUAAAUUUUCAAAUAAAUUAAACAUAUUUUGGUAAAACAACUUAAUAUUACAACUUAAAAUUAUUUUUAACUUUAAGUAUUAAGUCAAAAUAAUUAACUUAUUCUUAAUCUCAAAGUAUUUCUCAUCUCAUUUGCUUGUAUUAAUAGAAGUAUAUUUUAUAAUUAUGAUUUCAUAUUCUUGAUUCAUUUUUUUAUAAUAAAUAUUUUAUGGUACUUAUGUAUCUACAAUACGUUAUAUAUAAAUGUUUUAUAAAUAAAUUUAUCCCUUAAAAUUAAUGAAAUAAAUAUGAAUUAAAAUCAAAUUAGUUAAAAUUAAUAUAGGUAAAUGCAUCAAUUUGAUGAUUUAGAAUAAAUUUUAAAUUAAUUUCAUCAAAUAAUUUUGAUACUUAAAGUAAUAAAAUAGUGACAAAUUUUAACAACUUCAAAAAAAUUAAUUUAAAGUCGAUUUAAGUCAUUAAAUAAUAAGUAUUAUGUUUUAUCAAACAUUUCUCAAUGCACAAAUUUUUCCCAUUUUCUACCAAAUGUUUUAGUUUAAAAAUAAAAUAAAAUUGACCAAAGAAAUAGAUAGCUGCUAAACAUUUCCACGCAAAAGGAAUUAAAUUUAAAUAGACUUAAAUUUGUUUAAGUAUAUAUAAUAAAACUUAAUCUUAUUAAGUAGUUUGAAAAUUAAUUAUUAAUAAACAUUUUAUAUAUUUUUAAUAUCCCAAAAUUAAAUAUAUAUAUAUAUAUAUAUAUAUAUAUAUAUAUAUAUAUUAUAUUAUUUUAUGUUAAAAUAAAAGAUUUGCAAAUUACUAAUUUCAAAAAGCUAGUAAUUUAAUAUAUUUCUAAAUGUCUCAAAGUACCAAAAAUGUAUUAUAAUAAUACAAAAUGAUGAAUUAUGUAAUUAGUUUAGGAAAACGGUAUCUAGGUAAUAAAUAGGGUUUCUAAUUAUGUUUGGUUGCUAAGAAAAUAUUGAAAGCUUAAUCAUUUAUUGAUUAACUAAGGAAUUGUUUGAAAAUAGUUUUUAAAAUGUAAAUUUUUAAGAAGAAUUUUCAAAACCUCUUUUUUAAAUUUUCAAAUAGUUCUUAAUAUAAUUGUUAUUUGUAAUGCUUUAUUUUUCAUCAUUCUCGGUAUUGAUAUAAUUAUUUUUUUAAACAUUUGAUAGAAAACAAGUGAAAACAAUUAAGAAACAUUCUCAAAAAACCUUGUUUUUGUAACAAUGCUCAAAAACUCUUUUCUAGAACAAUUGAUAACCAAACGUGAUUUUAUGUUUUUUUUUAAAUAAUAUAUAUAUAUAUAUAUAUAUAUAUAUAUAUAUAUAUAUAUAUAUAUAUAUAUAUAUUCUUGAGAACAAUUCCCAAACAUAACCUUACUCAUUUCUAUGUGAUCACAUAUUUAAUUAUUGAAGUAUGCAUCCAAGUGUUAAGAUUAAUUGGUUGGUUUUUGGAUCUUCAAUUUAGGAAAUUAUAACAUCAAAUCUUCUUCUUCUUUUUUUUUUUUUUCAAAAUUAAUUGAAAAUUUUAGUUUAAAUAUGUGUGAAUUGUGUUUUGGAGUUCUAAAGGAGAAAAUUUUAUUUGAAGAAUGGUAGUUGAUUUAUUUCCAUUUUCUUCUUUUGUAAGGAUUUGAACUUUGAAAAAAAAAAUAGUAAAUUAAUUUUGGAUUCAAUUUUUAUUAUUUUUAUUUUUGAGUGAUGAAUCUUUAGAUAAUCCACAUAAAUUUAAAAAGCUUAGAGUGCAUUUGACACUUAUUAUAAGAAGUGUUUCUAAUAUGUUUAAUACUUAAAGAAUAAAAAUUUUAAGUGUUAUAAAAGUUAAAAACAUUUCCUAAAAUAACUACCACAAACACUUUUAUUCUAGCUAAAAAUUAUAAGUUACAAGAUAAAAAUAGUUGCUAUGUAUAAUUGAAUAUCAAUUUUAAUUUUAGAACUUUGUGGAUUUAUUUUAAACUCAUUUCUUAUCCAAAAUAAUCGAGUCUUAAGUUGUAGGACUUUUUAGUAAGGGUUUUUGAAAAAAGUUUAGAUCUAAAUUUGCUUGCAAAAUAAAAUAGAAAAUGGUUAAAAUUAUUUAGCUGUAUUUGAUUUUUCUUUACAACACCUUUGCUAAUUUAUGAUAAAUUCAUUUUUCAGUCAAAUUAGAAUAAUUUGAUUUAUUUUUAAGUGAGAAAUAGACUUGGGUGAAAAAAUAAAAAUUUAUGUUAAACAAAAGUUAAGAAAGUUAGGGUAUGUUUGGUAAUUGUUUAAAGAAAAAUAGGAUAAUAUAUCUGUCAAUUAUUCUUAAAAACAAAAAACAUGGUAUUUUUAAAUAACACAUUUUAAUUAUUUUUUAAGCACUAUAAAAAAUAAUUAUAUAAAUAUAGAUAAUGAUUAAAAAUAAAGUAUUUUCAAAAUAUAUAAAACAUGUUAAAAAUAUUUGAAGUCCCAAAGAGACAUUUAUUCUACAAAACAUCAUAUAACAAUUUUAAAAAAUUGUUUUCAAAAACUAUUUUAAAAAACAAUUAUCCAACAAAGUCUUAACUUUUCCAUUCAAACAUAAUUAUCAUAAAGGGUACAUUACAAGAACCUUCCUUGAGGUUCAAUCAAAAUACAAAAGCAUUUCUCUAUUUUUAAAAAUUACUCUACACUCCUUGUGUUAUUAGCCAAACAACAAGACCACUCCUUAUGGUCUAUUUUCUUUUAAAUUUUAAUAAUUAAUGAGACAUUAUAACCUGCUUCUUCUUCACGAUGGAUUCAUGAAAAUGUUGAUAUAAUGUGGUGACAAUAUGGUUUUUUGUUUAAAAAAAUUUAAGGAUUAAAGAGAUGUUAUAAGGUGAUUUAAAAUGUUGAUGUAAUGUGGUGACAUUAUGGUCUUUUUUUUUUUUUUUCUAAGGUGACAUUAUGAUUUUUUUUAAUUUUAAAAUUUAAAGAGGAUAAGUCGUGUUUUUUCUUUUUUCUUUUUUUCUUUUUUUUUUUAAUUUUAAGAAUUAAAGAGGCAUUAUGAGGUACUUCUUAUUUUUCUUCUUCUUCCUCCCCUUUGUUGCAAAGUUGUAAGUUGAAACCUAAGGGUUCACCAAGCUAGUAAUUUGUUUUCUUCUUCUUUCCCUUUGCUACAAAGUUGAAACCCUAGAAUUUAGUUGAUUUGGUAAUUUGUAUUACAGUGUAAAAAUUGCAAGUGAAAAAAAUUAAAUUGGAGCUAUAGAGGAUAAUCUAUGAAUGAUUAAAGGUAAUUCAUGUAUAGUGUUUGUAAUUCAAAAUAUAAAGGAUGUCAAUGCUAAAAAUAAAUAAAAAACGUGGAUUUCAAAAAUUAAAAAAUGAAAGAUUUGUUAAUUUUUUGUAUAUAUGUUGUGUUUGGACCAUGAACCUCUUCAUCUAUUACUAACUAUUGUUAGGAUAGUGAAUUUUAAAACUUCAUAUGAUGAAAUAAAAUGAGAUUUUAUCAAUACAUUCAUAUCAUGAUUUCAGUUUCCACUUUUCUAUCCAUGAUUGCAUCAUUUCUUGUACUAUAUAUAACUUGAGUGCAUUAAGAAUUACAUGGAAUAUUCAAGUCAUAGUUUCCUUGCAAGUUGAUGAGUUGUUAAUAACCGAUUCAUAGACUUAGGCAAUCUAUCAAAUGUUGUAAUACACUACCUCCUAAUUGGAGAAAUGACUUCUUUUGGUUAUCGAGAUGAGUUUUUCAUGAUACAUAAGUGAACUACUAUGUAUGGUUACAUAUUAUAUAAGACCUAUGGUGAGUCAUGACAUUAGCUAUUUGGUAGUCAUGACUUACCAAACAACUAUAUUGCAUGAAUUCUCAAUCCUGAGAGAAUAUUGAGCUAUUGUUGAGGUCUUACAAUGACUUGGACAUAUGAGUAAGAUCUUAAAAUAGUCAUAUAUUCUCAAUGGAUUAUAUCACCGUUAAUUAAGACAAGUGACAACAGGUAUUCUCAAGAUAGACAUCAUGAUAUCUCAUGAGAUUAAGAUAGUUUGUCCCCUUUAAAUUAUUUUAGAGACUUGUGGCAAUAGUAAUUCCUUAAAUGGGAUUUGACAUUUUCUUUUUAUGAAUUAAAGUAGGUUAGUUAAUCAUAAAAUAAGAGAAUAUAAGACUCAAGAAUUAUAAAGGUAGUCUUCUAAAAGGUUAAUAGUUGUAGUUUCUUUAGAUUAUAGACAUCAAUUCAUGGAGAGUCUACAUAUAGUGGAUAGUUAGACACAAACUCAAGAAAUCAAUUAGAUUGGAUUCAAUCAAAUUUCAUCUUGAUUUAAUAUCAUGAGAUACUAGAGUGUAAUCGACUCUUUUAAGUAAAAUAUUUAGUCAACUUCAAAAUUAGAUUUUAAGAAAAUCAAUAUUUUCCUAUGUGUCUUAGUGGUCCCUAUUCAAGUUCAUAGUCUUUAUUGGCAUAAAAUUUGAGGAAAAUUAGAUUUUAUCAUGUGUGUGUGCAUAAUAUUUUGAUAAAAAUGUAAGGUUGUACAAGAACUUAUGAUUAUUUAUUUUUAAUUUUUUUAUUUGACUAAUUAAUUAAUUAAAAUUCAUUAGAACUAAUUGAUUAAUUAAGACCAAUGAUGAAAAUAUCGGUAAUCACGGAUAUAUCGGUACUUCGAUUUUAAGGAUGUAUCGGAGAUAUAUCGGAGGAAUAUUCUGGAAAAAAAAAUCGGUAGGCUUAAAAUUGUUAAAAAUUCAUGGAAAUGCAAGGAAAACCUCAUAAUAAUAUAAUUAGAAGUAUAAUAGACAUUUUAAAGUUGUUUUAUUGAAAAAUUUGAUAUACAUAUGAUAUAAUUUGCAAUAUUAGAUGUAAUUAUAUCAUGUCGAUCUAUAAUAAAUGUUAAUUUCGUAAUUGUUCUCAUUAUAAAGUCACAUAAAAUACUUCAUUUCAUUAAAUAUCAAUAAUUUGUACACAUUACAUUGCAAUGUCCCUUUAGUACCAAAAUGAGGAUCGAUGUGGUUCAAUGGGAUUGAUAGAUGAAGGAACCCCGGCUUGCUGUUGGAGACAAUAUUGGUACUAACUCAAUGAGCCUCGAUAAUAUUGGUUAUAAAUUCUAACAUGCCAUGCAUAUAUCUCUUGAGUCCUGCCUACUGCCUCUACAUGGAUAGGAUACUCAAAGUUCACCCAUGUGUUAACGCCAAAUCCUUCUUCCAUCUGAUAUGGAACUUGGUAUGGUAUUUGUCUGGAAAGGGAAUAACGCGACAUACCAUACUCUUCAUCUGUUGAACUUGAAGGUUGACCAUAACUCAUCACAUGAGGAGGGUAGACAUUAGCCUCAUUCGAGGAGUCACUAAAUUGAGUCCCUAUACUCAUAGAUUCAAAACUCCCUUAAAGUAACUCCUCGUUACAUGGUUCCAUCAUUCUUUCUCUUCCUUUAUAAGGCUUCCCAAUAGCUCUUAUGCCUGGACCAGCUCUUCUAGAGUCAUGGUCUUCAUCUUGUGUGCAGUGUGUAAAAUCAUUUUCACAAGUAAAUUGGCUGAUUGGAUAUUGACUAUGUCGACAUUCAUCAAUAUCUCCUCCCCAUUAUCAACUCUAUCAUCAGUUCCACCUCUUGAACCAUCGUAACCAGAAGCAGAAGUACCUGCAGCACUAGGUUUACUACUAUGGCCAGCACUUGUGGAGUCAAUCUCUUGGUGAGAAUUCAAUACCGCGUGAAGUGAAUCAUCAGUAUCUUUGCUAAAACUUUCAGAGUGAACUUAUUCGGAUUACACACGUUCAACAUUAACUCCAAAUUCUCAAGCAUGAGUGGCAAUUCGUGGAUCAGGAUUUCCAACUUCGUCAUCCAAGUGUAUAGGCCUAACCCACUGGAACAACUGAUCAUCUUCUUCCUCACCCACCUCGACUGAAAUGUCAAGAAGAUUAAGGUAAUCUUUUUCAGCAACUCGAUCAUUUUCUACCUCCAUAUCGCGUAACUUUAGCCUCAUAUUAUAGUAACAAAAAACUAAUUGCUCUAAUCAAGGGUAAGUCAAACGAUUUCGUUGCUUUGUGUGGAUGACAGCAAACGUGCUCCAAUUUCUCUCACAUGCAGAAGAUGACGCAGUUUGUGAGAGAACUUUGAUGUCUAACUUUCUCAAUGUAGGUGUUUGAUUCCCAUACAUAAACCACCAUUCAACUGCAAUGAAUUUGAUAAUCAUAUAAAUACUUAUGUGGUGAAUUUACAAUAAUGAUCAUCAAUUUUUUCCUAUAAAGACUCACUGGGCAUCAUGGUUGACCUUACUGCAAUUGUCACUCGAUCACCGAAUCCUCUUUUUGCAUCUUGAAAAAGUAUAAGCUAUGUAUUCAACAUUUAAUUUGUUAGUAAACGUUCAAAUAAAUUGAUGAAUGAAAUUAUUGUUUUAUUGACAACAAUAACAAUUUUUUAUUCACCUCAUUUCCAAAUUGACCAAGCGAUUCAGUAGUUGGAUCUAAUUUUGCAAAAACAUCAUGGACAGCUUGAAGUAGUUCCGGAUCACUACCAACUCCAUGCCUAUAUUGAAAUCUUGGAUUCAAGAAGUAUGCUACAAUAAAAUUUAGUAGAGUUAGUAUUUUUUUAAAAAGAAACUUAAAUACAAAGUAAAAACUUAUAAAGAUAUAUAGUACUUAAGUACCUACUGCAUGAAGUGGAUGUUUUAGUGUUUUCUCCCAACGAUCUUGUAUUAUUUUGAACAUCCAAUCUCCAACUCCUUGACGAAUAAGGUUCUCUUUCAUCAUGUGCAUAAGCUCGUACACAAAUGGCAUUGUGGGAACAACUUCAGAAUCCACAAGUCGAAGCACCACGUAUAAUGGCUCAUAUAAUGAAACUAUAUUUGUCAAUCUGUCCCAAUAUGUAUGGUCAAACAAUAACUGCUCCAAUUCUCAUCCAAGUUUUGUUCGAUUGAGUUUGUGUUGUGCCCAUUCAUCACUCAUAAACAAUUUUUUCAAAUCAACCCUUUGUUUUAAAAGACUGUCAAGAGCAAUAUAAUUGGUAGCAAACCUUGUAGCUCGUGGUCGAACAAUGUCUCCACCACAAUAAUUUCUCAUUUGUGCUAGUAACCAACCAUGAUUGUAAAUGAAGUUAGUUAUCUUGCGAGCAUUGUUUAUCACCUCGAUAACACUAGGUCUUUUAUCGAUGUCUUCAAAGAUUAAGUCGAUGCAGUGCGCCGCACACGGAGUCCAAUAUAAGUUAUACUUCUUCAUCAAUUGUUUCCCUGCUUUCAUGAAUGCCGACCCAUUAUCUGUGACAAUUUGGACCACAUUUUCCUUACUGACUUUUUUGAUAAUAGUCUUCAAAAGCUCACUUAUACUUGUGGUCUUUGAUAUAGUUCGAUGCAUCGACUGACUUAAGGAACACUGUGGUCCCUUUAGAAUAAACCAUGAAAUUAAUAAUACUUAAUUUCGUGGGCCCUGUCCAUCCAUCUGACAUUAUUGUGCACCCAUAUGUCUUCCAUUUUUCUCUUUGUUGGUUCACAUAAGCUUCCAUUUCUUUGUACUCCAUUUCCAAGUAUUUGUUCUUUAUUUCAUAUGGAGAUGGAGAUUCAAUUCCCAUUCCUGCACUUCAUAUGUAAAACAUGUCACAAAAUACUAUACUUACUAAAAGUAUAACACAAUAUAACAUUUGAUAAAUUAGUAAUUACCUGCUUGUUGUGCACCAAUAAUCAUAUUCUUGAAGUGAUGAGACUUUUCUUUUGCGGGUGCGACACUCUCAUAAAUGAAGAAUUUGCUGAUUAAGCGUCCCAUCGUUUCUUUAAUUGCACCAUCAUUGAAUAUAUCUUUGAUAUUUUUUUGUCUUGCUGCAGAAGACUUGUAAAGCAAAAGGGCAAUAGGGGGUGAAUGAUGCGAAUGUCGACGAUAUACCAGUAGAAGACUCUCCCGAUUUGCGUUUGCUUCCUACAAUAUUCUCAUGUUGUUCACGUUCCCAAUUAGAUGCUUUCAAGGCACGAACUGCAGAUUGAUAUGCAUCUCGCUCAUCUGGGUGCAUAUCUGUCGGAUACAUUUACACAUCUUCAUCCUCAGCAUCUUCAUCAUCAUCAUCUUCGUUUACCAAAUGUGUAUGAUGAGUCCCCAUUGUGCCACGUAAUUGACUACGAAUGUCUUCAAUAUCAGCAUUUUUCUUUGCUUUUGCUUUUUUUUUGUCAUGCACCAGCAAUCGUAUCUCUUCUUUCACGGGCGGCACUCUUGGACACUUUUUGGUGUUGUUAUGCGGGUCCUUAUGCGUUAAAUGAGACUUGAAUCGCGUGAUGCCUCCACUUUUCAUUACCAACCCAUAGAAAUUACAAAUUGUUCCAUUUCGGUUACCCUCAAUUGGUGAACAAUACUUCCAAGUCGGAUCUCGCCUUGGCAUGGCAGAACCACCUUCACUAGCCAUGCUAAAUCUAUUGCAAGAAAAAUACACUUAAAUUUAAAUCUAUGUUAAUUAAACUAAUUAAAUAAUUUAGCUAAGUUAAUGUUUUAAAUGUAAAUUUAAUUCUAUUCUAUGAUAAAUUUACUAAAUAUAGAAAUUAAUCAUAAUUGAAUAUGAAAAUAAAUCGCAAUAAUAAAAAAAUUGAGCAUAUUUACUAUUCCAUAUAUAGUAGUUCAUGUUAAUUAAACUAAUUAAAUAAUUUAGCUAAGUUAAUAUUUUAAAUCUAAAUGUAAAUCUAUGAUAAAUUUACUAAAUAUAGAAAUUAAUCAUAAUUGAAUAUGAAAAUAAAUCGCGAUGAUAAAAAAAAUUGAGCAUAUUUAAUAUUCCAUAUAUAGUAGUUCAUAUUAAUUAAACUAAUUAAAUAAUUUAGCUAAGUUAAUUUUUUAAAUCUAAAUGUAAUUCUAUGAUAAAUUUACUAAAUAUAGAAAUUAAUCAUAAUUGAAUAUGAAAAUAAAUCGCGAUAAUAAAAAAAAAUUGAGCAUAAUGAAUAUUCCAUAUAUAGUAGUUCAUAUUUAAUUAAACUCUAAUUAAAUAAUUUAACUAAGUUAAUUUUUUGAAUCUAAAUGUAAUUCUAUGAUAAAUUUACUAAAUAUAGAAAUUAAUCAUAAUUGAAUAUGAAAAUAAAUCCCAAUAAUCAUAAAAAUGAAUAUAUUUCAUAUUCAAAAUAUACUACUUCAUGUUAAUUAAAUUAAUUACAUAAUUUACCAUGUUAAUUAAAUUAAUUAAAUAAUUUAGCUAAGUUAACUAGUUUAAUGCAAUUCUAAAUCAUAAAUGAUCAUCUAAAAUAAAUAUAUCAAUUUAUAAUUAAAUAAUCAAAUUAAUCUAAAUUAAUUCAAUAAAAUUAUACAAAUUAUACAAAUUAAUUACAAUUGAAUUUAAAAAUAACAUUAAAUCAUCCUUGCAAACAUACUAAUUAAUUAAAAAUACAUGAAUUAAUUAUCAUUGCAAACAAAAUUAAUUACAAUUUAAAACAAACAUACCUUAAAAUGAUUGAAUAAUUAAGCAACCUUAGAAAAAAUUGGAGUAAUAAGAGAGAAAAUGAAGAAUCAAAGCAAAAAUGGAUGAAAUUGAUGCAAAAUGGGCUAUUUAUAAACGAAAUUUGGGCCAAAAUAGCAGUUGGAACCUUAAGUUACCGUUGAAAUUUAAUUUUGGCCGUUGGAUCACAAUUUGGGAGCAAUCUGGCCGUUGGGUCUCCUUAUUACCAUUGGGAUUCAAAUCUGGUCGUCGAAUCAACACGGGCGUGAUCUGGGCCGUCAGAUCACGCUGGAGAGAGAGAGGUGAUUUUUCGCUAAAAAUCGCCAAAAAAUCGAUGAUAAAAUGGAUUUCCAAGCAAUUUUUUGCAUAAAUCGAUGAUUUAUCGCUAAUUGCUGAUUUUUUGGUGAUUUUUUGCGAAAAAUCACCCCUCCGACAUAUCUCCUCGAAAUAUCAUGUCGCUUGCCUCCGAUACGCGAUAUAUCGACGAUAUAUCGCCGAUAUUUCGCGACAUUUUCUUCCUUGAUUAAGACCAUGUGGACUUGAUCAAGUGAUCCAAGCCCAUAAUUGGAUUAGACAAGAUGCAUUUAGUUUUUACACUAACUAAUAUGACAUGACAUUUUUAUACACUCAAUAUGCUUCUAUAAUACAAACAAUUUAGAAUUUGGGUUCUAAAUCCUAGCGAAAAACUUUGUUUUCUCUAUGGCUUCCUUUAAAAUCGCAUGCUUCAUGUCAAAGUAUGAGUUUUUAUUCUUGAAACAAUCAAUCAUUUUUUUUUUAAUAAAAAACAUUAAAAUAUAUGCAUAAAUGAACUUUAUAGUUUUUGCAACUUUAGCAUCUUUAACAUAACAUCCUUAGCUAGGGAAAUCCAACUAUAUGAACUUUUUGUCAUUUUAAAAAUCCUUUUAACUAUGAAUAACACUAAACAAAUUUAGUCUUCAUUUAGAAAGAUUCUUUAUUCAAUUUAUAAAAGAACAAAGUCACUUGGACGAUUUUAGGUCUUUAAGUAAUAAUAAAAUAUAUGAUCCUAGCGCAUCAACAACCUUAUAAAGAGAUAUUAGAGAAUAAGUUUUAAUUGAUCUUCUCUUUGACGUUUUCUUCUUCUUCUUGAUUUUCCUUUGACUUGAUUUAUCUUUGUAAUGUCCAGUUUGAAAAAGUUUGCAUCUAGAUAGACUACUGGGUAUAUAUAUUGCCUCUUGUGUCUUUCGUAGAUGAAAACAAUUUACAUUACAUCAAUUGGGAUGCCAAAGUGCAUGAUUUUAUAAAUCAGGAUACCAAUAAACGGAAUCUCUAAUCUAUUUCGGCAUUCCUUCCCUUAAACGUUUUGCCAAAUAUUAAAGAAAUUCCAAUCCUUUCCUUUCCCAUUAAGGAUAGGAUUUUUUGGGGUUUCUCUCAACAUGAUAAGUUUACCCUUGAGUCAACAACUUAGGCAAUGAGAAAACCUUCAACUCACCCUAGAUAAAAAAUGUUGCAUUGAAUUUGGAAGUUAAAUCUUUUACCAAAAAUAAAGUUUUUCUUAUGGCUGGUUAUUAGAGAUGUCCUCCCCACUUGUGAGUUUUUAAUUGCUAGAAGAUUGAAAAUUACAAACAUUUGUCAUCUUUACAAACAAAAUAUUGAGAAUAUUGACCAUAUUUUUAACUAUUGUCCUUUGGUUCAAGGAAUUUGGGUUCACUUUAAGUAUAAUUGUCUUACACCUCUCUUUUAUGAAGGUGAAUUCCUAUCUUGGCUUGAAACAGUGUAUAAAAAUUAUAAAAUUAACUGCAAAAUUUACAAGCAUCCUAUGGAAAAAAUUUCCAUUAUCUUGUGGAAUGCAUGGAUUCGUAGAAAUUAGGUUUUAUUUAAAAAGAUCCAACCCAACCCCUUUCUUGUCAUUGAGAAAGCUACUUUAAAUUUUCAAAAUCUUCAAGAUUAUAUGAUUGACACAAUGUCCCUCAAAUGGUUGAAAAAUGGGUUUGUUGGAUUCCUUCAAUUUAAUGGAAGAUUCAAAUUAAAUUUUGAUGGUUCAAGGAUGGAGAAUAAAAGUGCUUCAGGAUGGGUUAUUACAGACUUUAAUGGUACUAUAAAAAUGACUACUAGUAAAUAUAUAUGUAAUGUUUCAAUAAUUAUUGCAGAAUGUAUAACUUUAAGAGAUGACAUGUUAAAUGCCAAGAACAAUGGGUUCUUAAACUUAGAGAUUGAGGGUGACUUGAAAAUAGUUAUAGAUUGUUAUAAUAAAAAUAGUAAUAUGCCUAGUUUUAUUAUGUUAUUAGUGAAAUAUAUUUGGAAGUUAUCUCAAAAUCAAUAUAUUUAUGAUUAUCGUCAUAUUUAUAGGGAAACAAAUAGAACAAAAAAUUGCUUAGUUAAUAAAGAUAUUUGUAAUUUAGAAUCAAUCAUUCGUGGUCAAAUUUCUCUAAUGAUGUUAAAAAAAUUAGUUUUGAAUAUUAUUGUGACUCAUAUUUCAAUUAUAUUUAUAGGUAUUCUAUUUCAUAGUCUUCUUUCAUUAAAAAAAAAAUGGGAGGAGGAGGAGAGGACUAUUAGUUGAUGCAAAUCAGGAUAAGAAUAUCCCAUAGUUCUGUAAACCAUGGGAGCUAUUAUGUGAUGCAGAGAGCUUUUAGGAAUCUUACGCAUUUGUUGCAAUUCUGUUUUUUUUUUUUUUUUUGUAAUGUUAUUCUUUCCGAGUUCAUUGCUUUCCUAGUUUAUUUCUUCUGAGUUUAAUGAUUUCCUAGUUGGAGUUGGAGAUUUGAAUAUUGGUUUUUUAUUUAAGAAAUGAUGAAAAAAAUAAUGAAGGCAGUUUUUUUUGCCAUUCAAAAAUUUGAAUCAUUUCUUUCUUUGGAGUGAUUCCAAUGUUGCAGAGAGAUUUUGUGUUUGCUUAGCUCUUGGUUUUGACAUGAGAUUAGUCCAGGAUGUUUGGCAUCAAUUCUAGUAUCAGAGCGGUUCCAUGCUUGUAACUCGCAGUGGCAAUUCAUACACCAUGGCAAACACCCAAAAUACAAAUGACCAAAACCAAAAUAACUAAAACACAAACCAGCCCCAGUUGCAGCACCAAAUAGAUCAAAUCGCCACAAUGUUGGAGCAAUUCAAUCAUUGACUAGAUGUCAUGGAUGAGUGAUACGCUCGAGAAUAGUAUGGGCACUUCAAUCGAAGAGGGCACAAAGCAGUUCGUGAUGGGAGGAGGUUGGACGAAAGUGAUGAAGAUGUUGAUGAAAAUGAAGAAAAAUAAGAAAAUCAGGAGUUUGAGGAUCAUGAGCCUCAAAUCCGACGUCAUAGGCAAAAUUUUCACCGAGGUCAUGCUGGUCAUUGUGCAGCUUAUCAACCUCUUAAUGAACUAACCAAGAGAAUGACAGUUGAUGUACCAGACUUUUUUGGAAAUUUGGAACCCAAUGCUUUUGAGGAUUGGUUAACAACUAUCAAGGAUUAUUUCGAUUGGUUUGAUGUAUCGGAGAAUAAAAAGGUUCGUUAUGUCCGGAUGAAAUUGAAGGGGCAUGCACGAGCAUGGUGGGGAAGUGUGGAAGAACAAUUACGUCAUACACGACGACCAACAGUUUCUAACUAGGAAAAGAUGAAGAAACGACUAAAGGAAAAAUAUUUGCCCAUUGAUUAUGAGUAGAUGAUGUUCGAGAAGAUGUUGCAACUCAAGCAAGGGUCAUUGAGUGUUGAUCAAUCUACAGAUCGUUUCCAUGAGUUAACUGCCCAUAGCAAGAUCAUGGAGACUGAGCAACAAACUUUAGCUCGAUACAAUACUGAAUUACGCAAUGAACUACACAAAGAAAUGUGGAUUGCAUGUUUAAUCAUCGUCAAAGAGGUGUAUCAAAUAGCACUUCAUAUUAAGAAACAAAUGAGGCCUUCAUUUGGGAGGAAAAUGCCAUCAAUGGCUUCAAGACAAGAACGUGUUACCACGCCUUCAUUCCAAAAGCCUUCAUUCCAAAAGCCUUCAUUGCUGAAAGAUCAAUCUAAGAGCAUUGCAAGUGGAGACCAGAAGGGAAAAGCAAAAGUUACCAGUGAAAUGCCACAAUGUUAUAAAUGUAAAGGAUUCGGACACUAUGUUGUUGUUUAUCCUAUAAGAGAAAAAAAAACUAGUCUUUAUAUGUGAAAAAAAAUUAUUAAUGGUGGACGUUGUUGAAGACACGGAUGGAAAGGAAACCAAAGAGGGUAAUCAUAGUGAGGAAGAGCACUUGGGUGCGUCGGACCUACCUAUCUACGUGAUCUAGCGAGUUUUCAUGAGAACUAAGAGAGAGUUUCAGGUGAAUCCCGAGUAGCUGCACACCAAUGUUUUCCACACUCAUAUGGAGCAUAAUGGUCAGGCCUUGAAUGUUAUUAUUGAUAAUGGCAGUGGCAUGAAUGUGAUCUCCGAAAUGGCUAUUGAACGUUUGGGGUUGAAGAUUGAGAACCAUCCUACUUCUUAUAGGAUCAGCUGGGUUAAUAAUGUUAUUAUUGAUAAUGGCAGUGGCAUGAAUGUGAUCUACGAAAUGGUUAUUGAACGUUUGGGGUUGAAGAUUGAGAACCAUCCUACUUCUUAUAGGAUCAGCUGGGUUAAUGAAGCCAAUUCAGUCUUAGUGAAGCAAUGGUGCUUGGUUAAAUUUUCUUUGGGAAAAAAAAUAUAUGGAUGAAGCUUGGUGCGAUGUAAUCCCUAUGACAGUCUAUCACAUGUUAUUGGGACGCCUAUGGCUCUACGAUCGGAAAGUCCUCUACGAUGGGUGUAAUGCCCAAGUUUUCUUUUUAAAGGGUAAUUUAGGAAAUUUUAAUAAUGAUAUUAAAUUAAUUAAUUAAUUAAUUAAUUUAAUAAAAUGGAAGAGGGGUGAAAAGGUAAUUUUACGAAUAAUACCCUAGGUAUAAAUAGAAAAUUCUCUUCUUCCUGUUCUUUUUUUUAAUUGUAUCCCUGUUCGCAGAGAGUUUCUAGAGAACGUGAAGUUGAGGUCAGAUUUCAAGGUUUGAAGAACAAACCUCUAUAGAUAAGAUUCUAACCCCUAAAUUAUUAUUUUAGAUUCAUUAGUUAAUUUCAAGCACAUUAAAUUUUUUUUUUUUAGAAAACCCCAAAUCUAGAUUAGGUUUAGUUUAUUUUUUUUAAUUCAUUUUAAUAUCAAAUAGUGAAAAUUUAAGAUUUUGAUUUAUUAUUAGAAUUGGGGAGGUCUUAAGUUUUUUUUUAGAAAAAAAAAAAAAGAUUCCUUUGAAGAUUUCGAUUUAGAUUAGGUUAAUUUAUUAUUUUUUUAAUUCGUUUUAAUAUCAAAUAUUGAAAAUUUAAUAUUUUGAUUUAUUAUUGGAAAUUGGAAAUUCUUAAGUUUUUAGGAAAAAAAAACCUGAAAGACGCGUGUGCACACUGUGGAAUUGGAGAAUGGCUUAAGGAUAAAAUAAAAAAUAAAAAAAUGGAGGACGCGUGUGCACACUGGGAUUGGAGAAUGAAAAAAAAAAAAAAAAUAUAUAUAUAUAUAUAUAUAUAUGUAUGUAUAUAUGGGGUGUGGGUGUGUGUACGGAUGGAGAGUUUUGUUAGUAUAUAUAUAUAUAUAUAUGUCUAUUAUUUUGUUGGCAAUAAUGGAGUAUUGUUGGGAAUAAAGUUUAUGUUUAAAAAAUAUAUAUAUAUAUAUGAGAGAAUAGAAGUUUUAAAUAAAAAGGAAGUAAAGUUUUUUUUAUAUUGUAAUUAUGAGCGUAAGUUAAUAAAUAACAUAGAAAUUAAUUACUAAAAUAAAUUAUAAUUUAAUUAAGUUGCGUCCCAAGAAAUAAAUAAAUUUAGUUUUAUAUGAAUUAAAAAUUUAUUAAUUUUUAAAAUAUGAAUAGAUUAAAUUAUCUUUCAUAAAUAAAAUAAUAUAUAUAUAUAUAUAUAUAUUAAUUUGAAUACCUAAUAUUUUAGGAUUGUCAAACCUAUAAUUUUAGAUAAAUAGUAAUAGUUAUUCCUCUUAUAUUUUGUUAGGUGAAGAGUAGAUUUUUAGGAUUAUUUUUUCUCCAAAGUUUUUGAGGACUUCUUUUGAGGUAAGGGAAAUUAAUGCAGUUGUUAAAUUCUUUUUUAAACAAUUUAUAUAUAUAUAUAUAUAUAUAUAUAUAUAUAUAUAUAUAUAUACAUUAUUUGAAAACGUUUGAGUUAUAUUCCGUUUUAUGCAUGGAUCAAACCUGUUUUGCAUGAAAAGUAUGUUAAAAUUUUAUAUUAUGUUUUUGACAAACAAAUGUGGAGAUAUUAUAUGUUGUAAAUUUGAAUAAAUGAAGUAAACAUUUGACUCUGGUUUGUUUGGUGGCCCUUGUCAACGGGAUAUAAUAGUUGACUUUUAGCCCUUGUCAAUGGGAUAUAAUAGUUGACCUUUACAUUUCUUGGUGGGGAAUGUAAUUGAUUUGAACCCCAGCCUCCAGGGGUUUCGAUUAGAAGUUACUAGUACUAGUAGUGUUUGGUUCCGUCCACCUUAAAGGAACAAUUUGAGGCUAGCCACCCAUUUGAAAAGUCUCACCUAACUGAGCACCCUUUGAUGUUUGAUGACCAGAGUAAAUAAAUUAUUGGAAUGUUUUGACUGAAUUUGUUAUGAAAUUGUUUGAAUCAGAAAUAAAUGCAUACAAUUAGAAAUUUUGAAUGUAUUGACAAAAAAAAAAAAAAAAAAAUUUACUCACAGCUUUAUGAAAAUGAUUGAUUACAAUAUCUCCUAUUUUGUAAGUGAGUUUGAAUAUUUGAUCCAUGGACUGCAUUAAUGUUCCUUAUUGGGUUGUGAGCUCAUUCCCAUUUGUUGACUACUUUUCAAGUACCCCUAAUUCGGGUGAAGAGUGAUGGCUAGGCUGAGGAAUGGUCAUCAUUAGAAUUUGACUUAGGAUUUUAUAUUGGAUUUUGUUUAACUGUUAGUUGUGUUCAUUUGGAUAUUUUGGUAUUUGGAAGUUAUUUGGAUAUUGAUCCUUCAAAUUUUAUGUUAGAUCAAAGUUGAGUUUUGGAGAUUUUGAAAUUUGUUCUAGUACUUGAAUUGUUUAAGUUUGCAAAUAUUUGGACAAUGGAUUUUGGAUAGUGGAUGUUUUAGUUUUGAAAUUGAAUUUUGAGGAUUUUAGAUUUGUUCCACUAUUCUGAACAGGUAUUUGGUAAUUGGUAACUUCCGAUUACAAGAUAAUUGUUUGGGUUAGGUUACACUGUAAGCCUUCGGGUUUGAAGUGUGAAAUGACUGUCACGCCCUUGGAGUGGGUCUUGGGGUGUGACAGAGUGGUAUCAAAGCUUUAGGUUGUGAUCUUGAUGGGAACUUGUUUAGUUUACCUUUGGGAAUAGAUGACUGACGCAUUAGUUUAAGUUUCAACUUUAUCUAGUCUGAUUCCUUUUAUUCUUUACAAUUCUGAUUUGCUUAUUUGACUUCUUAGUGACUAAUUUAGUUAUACAUGUUGCUUUAUAGGACACCAUGCCACCAAGGAGGCCUGCAUCUUCCUAAAACAGUCAGGCUAAUGAUGAUAUACCUCCUCCACCUAAGGCUUUGCCCCCUAUGAGUAAUUAAGGGCUUUAUAGAUAUUUAGGGACUUUGGCUGGCUUAGUUGAGCGUCAGGCUAGAGCUACUGGAAGUAAUGGUCAAGGACAAUCCUCAUCUACUAGGGGUAGCGCCUUUGAGACUUUAAGAAGUUGGGUCCCCCUUACUUUUCUGGUACUUCAGAUCCAAUAGAGGCAGAGGCUUGGAUUAUGAAAAUAGAGAAAUUCUUUGAUGUCAUUGAUUGUUCUGAGGAGCAAAAAGUCUCAUAUGCAGCAUUUAUGCUAGACAAAGAGGCAGACCAUUGGUGGCGCAUGACUAAGAGGCUUUUAGAGGAUCAAGAGCCUAUUGUUUGGAGUCAGUUUAGGGAGGCUUUUUAUAAGAAGUACUUUCCUGACAGUAUUCGACAACAAAAGGUGGGAAAGUUUGUCCAUUUGGAACAGGGGGAUUUGACUGUGGCCCAAUAUGAGGCUAAGUUUACCGAACUAUCACGUUUUGCCCCAUAGUUGAUUGCUAUAGAGGAGAAAAAAGCAUUAAAGUUUCAGGAUGGACUAAAGCUUUAUCUGAAGAAUAAGAUAUCAAUUCUGAAGCUUAGUGUUUAUUCAGAAGCGGUAGACAGAGCCCUUAUUGCAGAGAAGGAUAAUGAAGAGCUUCACCAGUAUAGGGAACAACAAAAGAAGAGGAAUAGAAAUGAUGGUGCUCAUGGUAACCAAGCAUAGAAAAGGUCUGCUCUAAGUAGAAAUCAGAAUAAAGGAAAAGCAGCACAAAAUUUAGAUGAGAUUUGUCCUACUUGUGGCAAGAAGCAUGGGGGUAGGUCAUGCUAUAGAAAGAUAGGAGCUUGCUUUGGUUGUGGAAAACAAGGACAUAUGGUUCAGGAUUGUCCAGAGAGUAGGAAGUUUGUAUUUGGGAAGCCUAAAGAGGAGAAUAAAGAUGAUAGACAAAAGCCUAGGGCUCAAGGGCGGGUAUUUUCUAUGACUCAUAGAGAUGCUUAGGCUACGUCUGAUGUAGUGACAGGUACUCUUCAAAUUCACACUUUAUUUGCUAGAACCUUAAUUGAUCCUGGAUCAACACACUCUUUUGUUUCCGUAUAUUUUGCUGGUUUGUUGGGUAUGCCGAUUGAUAAUAUGGACUUUAAUUUAUUUGUUGCUACUCCUUUAGGAGAUUCUGUCGUGCUUAAUAAAAUAAUUAGAGAUUGUUGUGUGAUGAUUGGGUAUAAAGAGAUGACAGUUGACUUAGUACUUCUGGACCUUCAAGAUUUUGAUGUGAUUUUGGGGAUGGAUUGGUUAGCUUCUUAUCAUGCUUCUGUUGAUGAUUUUGGGAAAAUAGUGACUUUUAAAAUUCUUGGUCAGCCUAAUUUUAGUUUUGAGGGGAAGCAUGUGAACAAACCACUGCAUGUGAUCUCAGCCUUAUGAGCUAGUUCUUUGCUUAGGAAAUGCUGUCAAGGCUUUUUAGCUUAUGUUGUGAAUGAGGAAAAUGAUUUAAAGUUGGAAGACAUACCCAUUGUAAGGGACUAUCCUGAUGUCUUUCCAGAGGAUCAUCCUGGCUUGCCACUAGAGAGGGAGGUGGAGUUCACCAUUGAUUUGGCACCAGGGACAGCUCUUAUCUCUAAGGCCCCUUAUAGGAUGGCACCUAUGGAGCUUAAGGAGUUGAAGAUUCAAAUCCAGGAGUUGUUAGAUAAGGGCUUCAUUAGGCCUAGUGUUUCACCUUGGGGAGCUCCUGUUUUAUUUGUAAAGAAAAAUAAUGGAUCUAUGAGACUCUGCAUUGAUUAUAGAGAGUUGAAUAAGGUGAUAGUGAGGAACAAGUAUCCCCUUCCAUAGAUUGAUGAUUUGUAUUAUUAGCUUCAGGGUGCUUGUGUGUUCUCUAAGAUUGAUCUUCGGUCUGGUUAUCAUCAGUUAAGGGUUAGAGGUGAAGAUGUACCUAAGACUGCUUUUCGAACUAGAUAUGGGCAUUAUAAGUUUUUGAUUAUGUCUUUUGGUUUGACUAAUGCACCUGCUGCUUUUAUAGACUUAAUGAAUAGGGUAUUCAAGCCCUAUCUAGAUCAGUUUGUGGUAGUUUUUAUAGAUGAUAUUUUGGUGUACUCAAAAAGUAGGGAGGAGCAUGAACGUCAUUUGAGUAUUGUAUUACAGACUCUCAGAGAUAAGCGAUUGUAUGCUAAACUCAAGAAGUGUGAGUUCUGGUUAGACAGAGUUUCUUUCCUUGGGCAUGUGGUGACCAAUGAUGGCAUCUCAGUUGAUCCUGGAAAGGUGGAUGUUGUGUCAAAUUGGAGAAGACCUACUACUAUGACCGAGAUUCGAAGUUUAUUGGGACUAGCUGGUUAUUAUAGGCGGUUUAUUGAGGGGUUCUCUAAGAUUGCCUUACCUCUAACCAAUUUGACUCAGAAAGGGGUUAAGUUUGAGUGGUCUGAUGAUUGUGAACGUAGUUUCCAAGAGUUAAAGAACAGAUUGGUGACAACUCCUAUUUUGACUAUCCCUUCAGGUUCAGGAGGGUUUGUGGUGUAUAGUGAUGCCUCUCAUCAGGGUUUGGGUUGUGUUCUUAUGCAACAUGGGAAAGUUGUAGCUUAUGCUUCUAGGCAAUUAAAGCCUUAUGAACGAAAUUAUCCUACUCAUGAUUUGGAGUUAGCUGCAGUGGUUUUUGCACUUAAGAUCUGGAGAUAUUUUCUUUUUGGUGAAACUUGUGAGAUAUUCACAAAUCAUAAGAGCUUGAAGUAUUUAUUUUCCCAAAAGGAGUUGAACAUGAGACAGAGGAGGUGGAUUGAACUACUUAAAGACUAUGACUGCAUUAUUCAAUAUCACCCAGGGAAAGCGAAUGUUGUGGCUGACGCCUUAAGUAGGAAAUCCGUUGGUUCCUUAGCAGCUAUUAAAGGUUGUCAGAGGCAAUUAUUGGGAGAUUUGAAGAGUUUACAAGUUCAUAUCAGAGUUUUANNNNNNNNNNNNNNNNNNNNNNNNNNNNNNNNNNNNNNNNNNNNNNNNNNNNNNNNNNNNNNNNNNNNNNNNNNNNNNNNNNNNNNNNNNNNNNNNNNNNNNNNNNNNNNNNNNNNNNNNNNNNNNNNNNNNNNNNNNNNNNNNNNNNNNNNNNNNNNNNNNNNNNNNNNNNNNNNNNNNNNNNNNNNNNNNNNNNNNNNNNNNNNNNNNNNNNNNNNNNNNNNNNNNNNNNNNNNNNNNNNNNNNNNNNNNNNNNNNNNNNNNNNNNNNNNNNNNNNNNNNNNNNNNNNNNNNNNNNNNNNNNNNNNNNNNNNNNNNNNNNNNNNNNNNNNNNNNNNNNNNNNNNNNNNNNNNNNNNNNNNNNNNNNNNNNNNNNNNNNNNNNNNNNNNNNNNNNNNNNNNNNNNNNNNNNNNNNNNNNNNNNNNNNNNNNNNNNNNNNNNNNNNNNNNNNNNNNNNNNNNNNNNNNNNNNNNNNNNNNNNNNNNNNNNNNNNNNNNNNNNNNNNNNNNNNNNNNNNNNNNNNNNNNNNNNNNNNNNNNNNNNNNNNNNNNNNNNNNNNNNNNNNNNNNNNNNNNNNNNNNNNNNNNNNNNNNNNNNNNNNNNNNNNNNNNNNNNNNNNNNNNNNNNNNNNNNNNNNNNNNNNNNNNNNNNNNNNNNNNNNNNNNNNNNNNNNNNNNNNNNNNNNNNNNNNNNNNNNNNNNNNNNNNNNNNNNNNNNNNNNNNNNNNNNNNNNNNNNNNNNNNNNNNNNNNNNNNNNNNNNNNNNNNNNNNNNNNNNNNNNNNNNNNNNNNNNNNNNNNNNNNNNNNNNNNNNNNNNNNNNNNNNNNNNNNNNNNNNNNNNNNNNNNNNNNNNNNNNNNNNNNNNNNNNNNNNNNNNNNNNNNNNNNNNNNNNNNNNNNNNNNNNNNNNNNNNNNNNNNNNNNNNNNNNNNNNNNNNNNNNNNNNNNNNNNNNNNNNNNNNNNNNNNNNNNNNNNNNNNNNNNNNNNNNNNNNNNNNNNNNNNNNNNNNNNNNNNNNNNNNNNNNNNNNNNNNNNNNNNNNNNNNNNNNNNNNNNNNNNNNNNNNNNNNNNNNNNNNNNNNNNNNNNNNNNNNNNNNNNNNNNNNNNNNNNNNNNNNNNNNNNNNNNNNNNNNNNNNNNNNNNNNNNNNNNNNNNNNNNNNNNNNNNNNNNNNNNNNNNNNNNNNNNNNNNNNNNNNNNNNNNNNNNNNNNNNNNNNNNNNNNNNNNNNNNNNNNNNNNNNNNNNNNNNNNNNNNNNNNNNNNNNNNNNNNNNNNNNNNNNNNNNNNNNNNNNNNNNNNNNNNNNNNNNNNNNNNNNNNNNNNNNNNNNNNNNNNNNNNNNNNNNNNNNNNNNNNNNNNNNNNNNNNNNNNNNNNNNNNNNNNNNNNNNNNNNNNNNNNNNNNNNNNNNNNNNNNNNNNNNNNNNNNNNNNNNNNNNNNNNNNNNNNNNNNNNNNNNNNNNNNNNNNNNNNNNNNNNNNNNNNNNNNNNNNNNNNNNNNNNNNNNNNNNNNNNNNNNNNNNNNNNNNNNNNNNNNNNNNNNNNNNNNNNNNNNNNNNNNNNNNNNNNNNNNNNNNNNNNNNNNNNNNNNNNNNNNNNNNNNNNNNNNNNNNNNNNNNNNNNNNNNNNNNNNNNNNNNNNNNNNNNNNNNNNNNNNNNNNNNNNNNNNNNNNNNNNNNNNNNNNNNNNNNNNNNNNNNNNNNNNNNNNNNNNNNNNNNNNNNNNNNNNNNNNNNNNNNNNNNNNNNNNNNNNNNNNNNNNNNNNNNNNNNNNNNNNNNNNNNNNNNNNNNNNNNNNNNNNNNNNNNNNNNNNNNNNNNNNNNNNNNNNNNNNNNNNNNNNNNNNNNNNNNNNNNNNNNNNNNNNNNNNNNNNNNNNNNNNNNNNNNNNNNNNNNNNNNNNNNNNNNNNNNNNNNNNNNNNNNNNNNNNNNNNNNNNNNNNNNNNNNNNNNNNNNNNNNNNNNNNNNNNNNNNNNNNNNNNNNNNNNNNNNNNNNNNNNNNNNNNNNNNNNNNNNNNNNNNNNNNNNNNNNNNNNNNNNNNNNNNNNNNNNNNNNNNNNNNNNNNNNNNNNNNNNNNNNNNNNNNNNNNNNNNNNNNNNNNNNNNNNNNNNNNNNNNNNNNNNNNNNNNNNNNNNNNNNNNNNNNNNNNNNNNNNNNNNNNNNNNNNNNNNNNNNNNNNNNNNNNNNNNNNNNNNNNNNNNNNNNNNNNNNNNNNNNNNNNNNNNNNNNNNNNNNNNNNNNNNNNNNNNNNNNNNNNNNNNNNNNNNNNNNNNNNNNNNNNNNNNNNNNNNNNNNNNNNNNNNNNNNNNNNNNNNNNNNNNNNNNNNNNNNNNNNNNNNNNNNNNNNNNNNNNNNNNNNNNNNNNNNNNNNNNNNNNNNNNNNNNNNNNNNNNNNNNNNNNNNNNNNNNNNNNNNNNNNNNNNNNNNNNNNNNNNNNNNNNNNNNNNNNNNNNNNNNNNNNNNNNNNNNNNNNNNNNNNNNNNNNNNNNNNNNNNNNNNNNNNNNNNNNNNNNNNNNNNNNNNNNNNNNNNNNNNNNNNNNNNNNNNNNNNNNNNNNNNNNNNNNNNNNNNNNNNNNNNNNNNNNNNNNNNNNNNNNNNNNNNNNNNNNNNNNNNNNNNNNNNNNNNNNNNNNNNNNNNNNNNNNNNNNNNNNNNNNNNNNNNNNNNNNNNNNNNNNNNNNNNNNNNNNNNNNNNNNNNNNNNNNNNNNNNNNNNNNNNNNNNNNNNNNNNNNNNNNNNNNNNNNNNNNNNNNNNNNNNNNNNNNNNNNNNNNNNNNNNNNNNNNNNNNNNNNNNNNNNNNNNNNNNNNNNNNNNNNNNNNNNNNNNNNNNNNNNNNNNNNNNNNNNNNNNNNNNNNNNNNNNNNNNNNNNNNNNNNNNNNNNNNNNNNNNNNNNNNNNNNNNNNNNNNNNNNNNNNNNNNNNNNNNNNNNNNNNNNNNNNNNNNNNNNNNNNNNNNNNNNNNNNNNNNNNNNNNNNNNNNNNNNNNNNNNNNNNNNNNNNNNNNNNNNNNNNNNNNNNNNNNNNNNNNNNNNNNNNNNNNNNNNNNNNNNNNNNNNNNNNNNNNNNNNNNNNNNNNNNNNNNNNNNNNNNNNNNNNNNNNNNNNNNNNNNNNNNNNNNNNNNNNNNNNNNNNNNNNNNNNNNNNNNNNNNNNNNNNNNNNNNNNNNNNNNNNNNNNNNNNNNNNNNNNNNNNNNNNNNNNNNNNNNNNNNNNNNNNNNNNNNNNNNNNNNNNNNNNNNNNNNNNNNNNNNNNNNNNNNNNNNNNNNNNNNNNNNNNNNNNNNNNNNNNNNNNNNNNNNNNNNNNNNNNNNNNNNNNNNNNNNNNNNNNNNNNNNNNNNNNNNNNNNNNNNNNNNNNNNNNNNNNNNNNNNNNNNNNNNNNNNNNNNNNNNNNNNNNNNNNNNNNNNNNNNNNNNNNNNNNNNNNNNNNNNNNNNNNNNNNNNNNNNNNNNNNNNNNNNNNNNNNNNNNNNNNNNNNNNNNNNNNNNNNNNNNNNNNNNNNNNNNNNNNNNNNNNNNNNNNNNNNNNNNNNNNNNNNNNNNNNNNNNNNNNNNNNNNNNNNNNNNNNNNNNNNNNNNNNNNNNNNNNNNNNNNNNNNNNNNNNNNNNNNNNNNNNNNNNNNNNNNNNNNNNNNNNNNNNNNNNNNNNNNNNNNNNNNNNNNNNNNNNNNNNNNNNNNNNNNNNNNNNNNNNNNNNNNNNNNNNNNNNNNNNNNNNNNNNNNNNNNNNNNNNNNNNNNNNNNNNNNNNNNNNNNNNNNNNNNNNNNNNNNNNNNNNNNNNNNNNNNNNNNNNNNNNNNNNNNNNNNNNNNNNNNNNNNNNNNNNNNNNNNNNNNNNNNNNNNNNNNNNNNNNNNNNNNNNNNNNNNNNNNNNNNNNNNNNNNNNNNNNNNNNNNNNNNNNNNNNNNNNNNNNNNNNNNNNNNNNNNNNNNNNNNNNNNNNNNNNNNNNNNNNNNNNNNNNNNNNNNNNNNNNNNNNNNNNNNNNNNNNNNNNNNNNNNNNNNNNNNNNNNNNNNNNNNNNNNNNNNNNNNNNNNNNNNNNNNNNNNNNNNNNNNNNNNNNNNNNNNNNNNNNNNNNNNNNNNNNNNNNNNNNNNNNNNNNNNNNNNNNNNNNNNNNNNNNNNNNNNNNNNNNNNNNNNNNNNNNNNNNNNNNNNNNNNNNNNNNNNNNNNNNNNNNNNNNNNNNNNNNNNNNNNNNNNNNNNNNNNNNNNNNNNNNNNNNNNNNNNNNNNNNNNNNNNNNNNNNNNNNNNNNNNNNNNNNNNNNNNNNNNNNNNNNNNNNNNNNNNNNNNNNNNNNNNNNNNNNNNNNNNNNNNNNNNNNNNNNNNNNNNNNNNNNNNNNNNNNNNNNNNNNNNNNNNNNNNNNNNNNNNNNNNNNNNNNNNNNNNNNNNNNNNNNNNNNNNNNNNNNNNNNNNNNNNNNNNNNNNNNNNNNNNNNNNNNNNNNNNNNNNNNNNNNNNNNNNNNNNNNNNNNNNNNNNNNNNNNNNNNNNNNNNNNNNNNNNNNNNNNNNNNNNNNNNNNNNNNNNNNNNNNNNNNNNNNNNNNNNNNNNNNNNNNNAUGGAGACUUAAGGAGAGAGCUUUUGGAGAAAGCUCAUUGUUCUAGGCUUGUGAUCCACCCAGGAGGAACAAAGAUGUACAAAGAUUUGAGACAGAAUUAUUGGUGGUCAGGAAUGAAGCGAGAUAUUGCGCAAUUUGUGGCUCAGUGUUUGGUGUGUCAACAAGUGAAAGCUGAGCAUCAACAACCAGCAAGGUUUUUGCAACCACUUUCUAUUCCCGAGUGGAAAUUGGAACAUAUUACUAUGGAUUUUAUGACUGGGUUACCAAGGACCUUAGGGGGUAAUAAUGCAAUUUGGAUGAUUGUUGAUCGAUUGACAAAGUCUGCUCAUUUUCUACCUAUGAAAGUUAAUUUUUCUAUGGAUCGUUUGGCUUCUCUUUAUAUUAAAGAGAUUGUGAGAAUGCAUGGUGUACCUGUUUCUAUAGUAUCUGACAGAGAUUCUUGUUUCACUUCCAGAUUUUGCAUAGUUUACAAAAAGCAUUAGGUACUAAGUUGAGUUUUAGUACUGCUUUUCAUCGACAGACUGAUGGUCAAUCAAAGAGGGUAAUUCAAGUCUUAGAAGAUUUGUUGAGAGCUUGUGCUUUGGACCUAAAAGGUAAUUGGGAUGAUUAUUUGCCCCUAGUGGAGUUUGCCUAUGAUAAUAGCUUUCAAGCUAGCAUUGGGAUGGCACCUUUUGAGGCGUUGUAUGGUAGAAGAUGUCGAUCUCCUGUUUGUUGGGAUGAUGUUGGAGAGAAGAAACUUUUAAGGCCUGAACUUGUGCAGUUGACUGUUGAAAAGGUCUUUUUAAUUAAGGAAAGAUUGAAAGCAGCACAAAGUAGACAGAAGAGUUAUGUUGAUAAUCGCAGACGAGAUUUGGAGUUUGAGGUGGGUGAUCAUGUUUUCUUGAAAGUUUCACCUAUGAAGUUUAUAAUGAGAUUUGGAAGAAAAGGGAAACUCAGUCCUCGUUUUGUGGGACCAUUUGAGGUAUUAGAAAGAGUAGGCAUUUUGGCUUAUAAAGUGGCCUUGCCCCCAAGUCUAUCUAAGAUUCAUAAUGUAUUCCAUGUUUUGAACUUGAGGAAAUAUAUUUAUGAUCUCUCUCAUGUUGUGGAGUUGGAGCCUAUUCAAAUUUUUGAGGACUUGACCUAUGAAGAGGUACCCGUUCAAAUUGUGGAUGUGAUGGAUAAGGUACUACAACAUGCUGUUGUCAGGUUGGUAAAGGUCCAGUGGAGCAAUCAUAGUAUCCGAGAGGCCACUUGGGAGUUAGAAUAAGAGAUGAGAGAAAAACUUCCUCAAUUAUUUCAAGACUCAAGUAUGUCAAGUUUAGAGGACUAAACUUUUGUUAAGGAGGGGAGUAUGUAACGCCCAAGUUUGCUUUUUAAAGGGUAAUUUAGGAAAUUCUUAAUAAUGAUAUUAAAUUAAUUAAUUAAUUAAUUUAAUAAAAUGGAAGAGGGGUGAAAAGGUAAUUUUACGAAUAAUACCCUAGGUAUAAAUAGAAAAUUCUCUUCUUCCUGUUCUUUUUUUGAAUCGUAUUCCUAUUCGCAGAGAGUUUCCAGAGAAUGUGAAGUUGAGGUUAGAUUUCAAGGUUUGAAGAACAAAUCUCUAUAGGUAAGAUUCUAACCCCUAGAUUAUUAAUUUAGAUUCAUUAGCUAAUUUCAAGCACAUUAAAUAUAUUUUUUUUGGAAAACCCCAAUCUAGAUUAGGGUUAGUUUUUUUUUUUUUUAAUUCGUUUUAAUAUCAAAUAGUGAAAAUUUAAGAUUUUGAUUUAUUAUUGGAAUUGGGGAGAUCUUAAGUUUUUUUUUAGAAAAAAAAAAAAAGAUUCCUGUGAAGAUUUCGAUUUAGAUGAGGGUUAGUUUUUUUUUUUUUUAAUUCGUUUUAAUAUCAAAUAGUGAAAAUUUAAGAUUUUGAUUUAUUGUUGGAAAUUGGAAAUUCUUAAGUUUUUAGGAAAAAAAAAACCUGGAAGACGCGUGUGCACACUAUGGAAUUGGAGAAUGGCUUAAGGAUAAAAAAAAAAAAAUGGAGGACGCAUGUGCACACUGGGAUUGGAGAAUGAAAAAAAAUAUAAUAUGUCUACUAUUUUGUUGGCAAUAAUGGAGUAUUGUUGGGAAUAAAGUUUAUGUUUAAAAAAAAAAUAUGAGAGAAUAGAAGUUUUAAAUAAAAAGGAAGUAAAGUUUUUUUUUAUAUUGUAAUUAUGAGCGUAAGUUAAUAAAUAACAUAGAAAUUAAUUACUAAAAUAAAUUAUAAUUUAAUUAAGUUGCGUCCCAAGAAAUAAAUAAAUAAAUAAAUUUAGUUUUAUAUGAAUUAGAAAUUUAUUAAUUUUUAAAAUAUGAAUAGAUUAAAUUAUCUUUCAUAAAUUAAAAUAUAUAUAUAUAUAUAUAUAUAUAUAUAUAUAUAUAUAUAUUAAUUUGAAUACCUAAAAUUUUAGGAUUGUCAAACCUAUAAUUUUAGAUAAAUAGUAAUAGUUAUUCCUCUUAUAUUUUGUUAGGUGAAGAGUAGAUUUUCAGGAUUAUUUUUUCUCCAAAGUUUUUGAUGACUUCUUUUGAGGUAAGGGAAAUUAAUGCAGUUGUUAAAUUCUUUUUUAAACAAUUUAUAUAUAUAUAUAUACAUUAUUUGAAAACAUUUGAGUUAUAUUCCGUUUUAUGCAUGGAUCAAACCUGUUUUGCAUGAAAAGUAUGUUAGAAUUUUAUAUUAUGUUUUUGACAAAUUAAUGUGGAGAUAUUAUAUAUUGUAAAUUUGAAUAAAUGAAGUAAAUAUUUGACUCUGGUUUGUUUGGCGACCCUUGUCAACGGGAUAUAAUAGUUGACUUUUGGCCCUUGUCAAUAGGAUAUAAUAGUUGACCUUUACACUUCUUGGUAGGGAAUGUAAUUGAUUUGAACUCCAGCCUCUAGGGGUUUCAGUUAGGGGUUACUAGUACUAGUAGUGUUUGGUUCCGUCCACCUUAAAGGAACAAUUUGAGGCUAGCCACCCAUUUGAAAAGUCCCACAUAACUAGGCACCCUUUGAUGUUUGAUGACCAGAGUAAAUAAAUUAUUGGAAUGUUUUGACUGAAUUUGUUAUGAAAUUGUUUGAAUCAGAAAUAAAUGCAUACAGUUAGAAAUUUUGAAUGUAUUGGCAAAAAAAAAAAUUACUCACAGCUUUAUGAAAAUGAUUGAUUACAAUAUCUCCUAUUUUGCAAGUGAGUUUGAAAUAUUUGAUCCAUGAACUGCAUUAAUGUUCCUUAUUGGGUUGUGAGCUCAUUCCCAUUUGUUGACUACUUUUUAGGUACCCCUAAUUCGGGUGAAGAGUGAUGGCUAGGCUGAGGAAUGGUCAUCAUUAGAAUUUGACUUAGGAUUUUAUAUUGGAUUUUGUUUAACUGUUAGUUGUGUUCAUUUGGAUAUUUUGGUAUUUGGAAGUUAUUUGGAUAUUGAUCCUUCAAAUUUUAUGUUAGAUCAAAGUUGAGUUUUGGAGAUUUUGAAAUUUGUUCUAAUACUUAAAUUGUUUAAGUUUGCAAAUAUUUGGACAAUGGAUUUUGGAUAGUAGAUGUUUUAGUUUUGAAAUUGAAUUUUGAGGAUUUUAGAUUUGUUCUGCUACUCUGAACAGGUAUUUGGUAAUUGGUAACUUCCGAUUACAAGAUAAUUGUUUGAGUCAGGUUACACUGUAAGCCUUCGGGUUUGAAGUGUGAAAUGACCGUCACGCCCUUGGAAUGGGUCUUGGGGUGUGACAAUGGGUAUGCUAACACUUACUCUUUUACUUUCAAAGGUAAGAAAUUUGUUUUGGAUCCUUUACAGAUUUCAAAAUUUGAGACAAGAAAAGAAGCAGUCCCAGUUUUGACAAUGCAACAAUUCUCAUGAGUCUUGCAUGAGGCUGAUAUGUUGCUUAUGGUCAUAAAACGUGAAGUACAACAGGUAGACGAUAAUAUUCCAGCAGAAUUCACGGCAAUGUCGGAGGAAUUUCAGGAUAUCAUGCCGGGUGAAGUGUCGAAACAACUACCUCCAAUGAGGGAGGUGCAACAUGCUAUCGAUCUGAUCCCUAGCUUAACUUUGCCUAAUUUACCACACUACCGCAUGAGCCUAGUAGAGAAUGAAGAACUUAGCAGACAAAUUCAACAAUUACUAGACAAAGGUUUUAUUCAAGAAAGUCUCAAGCCUUGUGCUAUUCCGGUUUUACUCACACCAAAGAAGAAUGGUAGUUGGAGGAUGUGGGUCGAUAACCAAGAAAUUAAUAAAAUAAUUGUGAAGUACUAAUUUCCCAUUCCCCGUCUUGAUGAUAUGUUGGAUUUUCUAUGUGGCUCCUCUAUUUUCACUAAGAUCGACCUUCGAAGUGGUUACCACCAAAUAUGUAUUCAGUCAGGGGACGAGUGGAAGAUGGCCUUCAAAACAAAGGAUGGUUUGUUCAAAUGGCUAGUUAUGCCUUUCGGAUUAACUAAUGCGCCAAGCACUUUCAUGCGCAUGAUGACACAAAUUCUCAAACCAUAUUUGGGAAAAUUUAUCGUUGUUUAUUUUUAUGAUAUUUUGAUUUUUAGCCAAAAUUUUCAGGAUCAUUUAAGCCAUGUUGAGCAAGUAUUGAAGGUUUUGAGAGUCGAACAACUUUAUAUUAAUCGGGACAAAUGCUCGUUCAUAAAGAAAAUUGUCAAGUUUCUGGGUUUUAUAAUUUCUUAUCAAGGUGUUGAGGCUGAUCCCGCAAAGGUGCAAGCUAUCCAGAAUUGGCCAACGCCCCACAAUUUUUCCGAGGUCAGAAGCUUCCAUGGUUUGGCUACAUUUUACUGACGAUUUAUUCGCAGUUUCAGCACUAUAAUGGCCCCAAUCACCGAGUGCUUAAAAGAAAAAAAUAUUAUGUAGAGUGCUGCAGUUGCCAAGACAUUCUACGAAAUUAAAAAACGAAUAGGGCAAGCACCAAUACUUAAGUUACUAAACUUCUCUAAAAUUUUUGAAAUAGCUUGUGAUGCUUCACAUGUGGGCAUCGGAGGUGUGUUGAGUCAGGAAGGGCACCCUAUUGCUUUUUUCAGUGAGAAACUUAACAAUACUCGCCGACGAUACUCGGUAUAUAAUAUGGAAUUCUAUGCUUUAAUUCAAACUCUCAAGCAUUGGCGACCAUACUUGAUCCACAGAGAGUUUAUUCUUUAUACAGCCAUGACUCUUUGAAGCAUUUAACUUCCCAAAGUAAACUGAAUACACGACAUGCUCGUUGGAUGGAUUAUCUGCAGCAAUUCAAAUUCGUUAUUAGACAUAAGUCAGGGGCUAAAAAUAAGGUGGCUAACACCUUAAGCAGGAGACCACACUUGUUACAUGUGUUUUCAGCUAAUGUCACAGGAUUUGAUAAUCUAAAAAUAGAGUAUGCCAACGAUGAAGAUUUCAGCAAUAUAUGGAGUGAUCUCUCAACUCAUCAACGCACAUCUAGUAAUGAUUAUAUGUUGGACGGUGGUUUCUUAUUCUAAAAAUCACAACUAUGCGUUCCGUGUGGCUCUUUUUGGGAGUUUCUAAUUACGGAACUCUAUGACGGGGGUUUAGCUGGGCAUUUCGGUCAUGAUAAAACCUUUGCUAUUGUUGUUGAUCGGUUCUAUUAGCCUCAGAUACGAAGAGAUGUGCAUACAAUGGUUGAUCAAUGUCGGAUUUGCCAAUUAAACAAAGGCACCAAGCAGCAAGCAGGGCUCUAUUUGCCACUUCCCAUUCCCGAAAAACCAUGGCAACAUAUUAGUAUGGACUUUGUUCUUGGGUUGUCAAGAACUCUUCGACAACAUGAUUCAAUUAUGGUGGUGGUCGAUCGUUUUUCCAAGAUGUCCCAUUUUAUUCCAUGUCACAAAACUUAUGACACAUCAAAAGUUACUGCAAUAUUUCUAUAAGAAAUUGUCCGUUUGCAUGGUAUUCCAACUUCAAAUUUGUGAGUUAUUUCUAGAAAACAUUGUGGACGAAGAUGGGAACAAAGCUUAUGUUUUCUAGUGCAUUCCAUCCCCAAAUUGAUGGCCAAAUUGAGGUAACCAACAGGAGUUUGGGAAAUCUAUUACGUUGCCUUGUCACGGAUCAUGUGACCAAUUGGGAUAUGGUGCUUCCACAUGUCGAAUUUGCUUUCAAUAAUUCUAUUAACAGGACAAUAGGUUGCACUCCAUUUGAAGUGGUGUAUGGGCUCCGACCUAGCACUCCACUUGAUGUUAAUUCAUUGCCAUUGCCACCCAGACCAAGUGAGGUUGCACUAGAUUUUUCUAGCUAUAUGCGAGGUGUCCAUGAAGAAUGCAAACGGAGCCUUACCAUCCAUACGAAUUCUUAUGCAGCUUCAGCAAAUGCAAAACACAAAGAUCAACAAUUUAAUGAAGACAAUAUGGUCCUUGUUCGUUUAAGGCCGGAGUGAUUCCCUCCGAGGAGUUUUACCAAGCUGCAUGCAUGCCGAGCGGAUCCUUUUAGAGUAACUAAGAAGUUGGGAACCAAUGCAUAAGUUAUUGAAUUACCCUCUAAAUUCAGCACUAGCCCCGUUUUUAACAAAGAAGAUCUUUUUGAGUUCAAAGGUGAUGUCGAUGAAAAUAUCACAAUACCGUUACCAAAGGCAACACCAGUUCUACGAGUUCUAGAAAAUACAACACCAUGAGAUGAGAUUGUUGUCAUUCUUGACCAUUAAUUUGUUACAACUCAUUGAGGAGGAUAUUACAAGUUCUCAGUGCAGUGGACAAAUCAUCCAAAUUCGGACUCUAUCUGGUUGCAAGCUUCAGAAGUCAAGCGUUUACACCCACAUCUAUUUGAUGCUUACAUUCGUCAAAACUUACCAGAGUCAAGUUCUUCGAGAGAGCCGACAAUUUGAUGCAAAUCAAGAGAAGAAUAUCCCAUAAUUCUGUAAACCAUGGGAGCUAUUAUGUGAUGCAAAGGACUUUUAGGAAUCUUAUGCAUUUAUUACAAUUCUUUUUUUUUUUUUUGUUAUGUUAUUCUUUCCGAGUUCAUUGUUUUCCUAGUUUAUUUCUUUUGAGUUUAAUGCUUUCUUAGUUGGAGUUGGAGAUUUGAAUAUUGGUUUGUUAUUUAAGGAAUGAUGAAAAAAAUAAUGAAGGCAGUUUUUUUAGCCAUUCGAAAAUUCGAAUCCUUUCUUUCUUUAGAGUGAUUCCAAUGUUGUAGAGAGAUUCUAUGCUUGCUUAGCUCUUGGUUUUGACACGAGAUUAAUCCAGGACAUUUGGCGUCGUUAGUUAUAAACCUUAUUUUGUUAUCAUCAAAAUCAAUAUAUUAGUCAAACCUUUGUUUCACACAAAUAAACAAACCAUAAAGCCAAUCUUUGUUAUUAUGUUUCUCAAAAAAAUCUAAUAUUUACCAUUUUCAAGUGAACCCAUGCUCCCCAAAAAUAUAUAAAUAAAAAAUUUGAUUCAAUUUUUACUUAACGUAAUCAACCAAAUCAGAUCAAAUCAAACUUAUGCUAAAGUCCAUUCAAUUUAGGUCAAUAAGUAAAUUGGUUGUAAUCAAUUCUAAUUUAAUUAAAAUUAGUGUUAAUUAAGCAUUAAUUUGGACACUAAUUAAUUUAAAGAUUUAAAUUGAAGUGAAUAAACAAAUUAUUUGAAUAAAAUUCAAGGUAAUUUCCGAAUGUAAAAAAAUUAGAUUAAAAGAAAGUUAAUUUACGCAGCUCAAGCUGAAAGAAGUUGGUGUAAUUAUAAAAAUCUACAGAGAAACCAAUCUAUCCAUCAAAGGAAACAAAGUAUAGAAAAAUUGCAUGUAAUUCCUUUACAAGAAAGCCACAGUAAUUUAUCCUUAAUUACUAAAAUAUUCAUUAUUCUUCAAGGGGAUAUGAAAAUACCAAUUUGACGAGUGUUCACAAAGAAGAGGAGGAAUUGCCAGUCCAUUCACCGUUGACAUUACGCGCCAAAAGUAGUUAUUCAAAACCCAUUCUUUCAAUUUCUCCUCCCGUUUCCGUGGCAACCAACCAGAGUGAAAAAAGAAGAAGCAAUAAAUAACACUCCACCUAUUUAAUGAUUCGAUGGAGAACCGCAUCAACCCCAUACCCAGUGAUUCGUCGUUUCCUCUGUACGUUUCGCUGUAUCUCUACUCUCUCUCUGCCGAUCCAGGAGACCCCUCAAACCCAUCUUUUCCAAUGCAACACCAGGAUUCAGGAACUGGGUCGACUUGGGCGAGUCGAGGAAGCCCGCCGAGUGUUCAAUGAAAUGAUUCAACGAGAUGUUGUUUCAUGGAACUCGAUGAUUAAUGGGUAUUCCCAGAAUGGAAAAGUGGAUGAGGCUAGAUUGCUUUUUGACGCUUUUGUGGGUAAGAAUAUAAGGACUUGGACGAUUUUGUUAACCGGGUAUGCGAAGGAAGGGCGAAUAGAAGAAGCUCGGGAGGUGUUUGAAUCAAUGACGGAGCGUAACGUCGUUUCUUGGAAUGCUAUGAUUAGUGGAUAUGUUCAGAAUGGUGAUUUGAAGAAUGCACGGAAGUUGUUUGAUGAAAUGCCAGAGAAAAAUGUUGCAUCAUGGAAUUCGGUUGUCACUGGGUAUUGUCAUUGUUAUCGGAUGAGUGAAGCGCGUGAGCUUUUUGAUCAAAUGCCUGAGAGGAACUCGGUUUCUUGGAUGGUGAUGAUUUCUGGGUAUGUUCAUAUAAGUGAUUAUUGGGAAGCAUGGGACGUUUUUGUGAAGAUGUGCAGAACUGUGGCGAGACCUGACCAGUCAAUAUUUGUGGUUGUUCUCUCAGCAAUUACUGGUUUGGAUGAUUUGGAAUUGAUUGGGAGUUUGCGUCCAAUUGCAAUCAAGACAGGAUAUGAGGGGGAUGUGGUUGUGGGCUCAGCAAUAUUGAAUGCUUAUACAAGGAAUGGGAGUUUGGAUUUGGCAAUGCACUUUUUUGAAACAAUGCCAGAGCGAAAUGAAUACUCUUGGACCACAAUGAUAGCAGCUUUUGCACAGUGUGGUAGAUUGGAUGAUGCAAUUCAACUGUAUGAGCGAGUCCCUGAACAAACUGUUGCCACAAAAACAGCAAUGAUGACAGCAUAUGCCCAGGUUGGAAGAAUUCAGAAAGCCAGACUUAUAUUUGAUGAGAUCCUGAACCCGAAUGUGGUUGCAUGGAAUGCUAUUAUUGCUGGAUAUACACAGAAUGGAAUGCUUAAAGAAGCAAAAGAUUUGUUUCAGAAAAUGCCUGUAAAGAAUUCUGCUUCUUGGGCAGCCAUGAUUGCUGGGUUUGUGCAGAAUGAAGAAAGCAGAGAAGCUUUAGAGCUGUUAAUUGAGCUCCAUAGAUCAGGUUCUGUUCCAAGUGAUUCCAGUUUCACCAGUGCUCUCUCUGCAUGUGCCAACAUUGGAGAUGUUGAGAUAGGUAGAGUAAUACACUCACUUGCAAUUAAAACAGGGUGCCAAUUCAAUUCAUAUGUAAUGAAUGGGUUGAUCUCCAUGUAUGCUAAGUGUGGGAAUGUGGAAGAUGGUUCUCAUGUCUUCAGGACAAUAAGAGUGAAAGACACAGUGUCUUGGAAUUCUCUCAUCUCUGGACUUUCAGAGAAUUACAUGUUGGAUGAUGCCCGUGUUGUUUUUGAAAAGAUGCCCAAACGGGAUGUUGUGUCUUGGACUGCGAUUAUAUCAGCUUAUGUGCAAGCAGGGCAUGGAGAAGUUGCCUUGGACUUGUUCCUCGACAUGUUAGCCAGAGGAAUAAAACCAAACCAAUUAACAGUUACUAGCCUUUUGAGUGCUUGUGGGAACCUGGGUGCCAUCAAAUUGGGGGAACAGUUCCAUGCCUUGAUAUUUAAACUUGGAUUUGAUACAUUUUUAUUUGUUGGAAAUUCUCUAAUAACAAUGUAUUUCAAGUGUGGAUAUGAGGAUGGCUUUUGUGUGUUUGAGGAAAUGCCUGAGCAUGACUUGAUCACAUGGAAUGCAGUUUUAGUUGGCUGUGCACAAAAUGGAUUAGGUAAAGAAGCCAUCAAGAUUUUUGAACAAAUGGAGGUUGAAGGGAUUUUGCCUGAUCAAAUGAGCUUUCUUGGGGUUUUAUGUGCUUGCAGCCAUGCAGGGUUAGUGGAUGAGGGGUGGGCGCAUUUCAAUUCCAUGACCCAAAAGUAUGGGAUCAUGCCAUUGGUUUAUCACUAUACUUGUAUGGUUGAUCUUCUUGGGCGGGCUGGAUACCUCUCUGAAGCUGAGGCUCUAAUCGAGAACAUGCCUGUAAAGCCAGAUUCUGUAAUUUGGGAGGCUCUACUUGGGGCUUGUAGGAUCCAUCGUAAUGUUGAGCUUGGCCAGAGAGUUGCUGAAAGGCUUUUUCAGAUGACAAAACCAAAAUCUGCGACAUACGUCUUAUUAUCCAAUUUAUUUGCUUCUCAAGGUAUGUGGGACAAGGUAGCGGAAAUACGAAAAUUGAUGAAAGAUCAGGGAUUGACCAAAGAACCAGGAAUCAGUUGGAUACAGGUCAAGAACAAGUUGCAUUGUUUUGUUACAGGGGAUAGGACACAUGAUCAGAUUGAAGAGAUUUACUCAGCACUGAAGGAGUACUAUGGAUGCUUCAGAGCAACAGGUUACAUGCCAGACACGAACUUUGUUCUUCAUGAUGUGGAAGAAGAACAAAAGCAGAAUGAGCUUCUCUACCACAGUGAGAAACUUGCUGUUGUCUUUGGAAUCUUGAGCACGCCAAAUGGAUCACCCAUUCAGAUUAUAAAGAACCUGCGUAUUUGUGGUGACUGCCACACUUUCAUGAAAUUCAUGUCCAAGGUCACCCUGCGUAAGAUCAUUAUUCGAGAUGGAAAUAGAUUCCACCAUUUUCGCGAUGGUUCAUGUUCUUGUGGGGACUAUUGGUGAGUUUGUCAUGGGUGAGCAUUCUUGGAUGGCCAGGGACCCACCCCGGUUGUAGCUUAAUGGAUCAGGAGUCAAAAUGGCUCAAAUUCAAAGGUAAGAACAUGUAAUUUUUGUGUUGACCAUUCCCAUAGUUGUGAGUCUAAUACCCAAUCUCUGAUGGGCAAGAUGAGUAUUGAAAGAGUUGAAACCAGGAAUCAUUUCUUCUAUUUGGGCAGUGGGACUUUGUUUUGCAAAUUAAGAAUCCAGUGAAACAAAAUUAUAAUAUUGUAGAGUAAUAUUUAUAGACACUGCAGCAUAGGUGAAAUUUUAGCAGUUACUUUGCCCAUCAAAAAGACUUUUGGCAGUCACCUUUUUUUAAAGAUUUAAUAUUAAGAUACAUUUUAAAGUCUGGUAAAGCCAAUUCUUUGUUUGAUUAGAUUUAUCAUUUCCAUUUGCAUAACAGUAUGAUAGCUUAAGUAGUCUGAAAAAUAGCACUCUACUCCAACCUAUUAAACCAAAAAAUAAAAUCUAAAAUAAAAAAAUUAAAAAACCAAGCCCUAUCGUUUAAUCAGUGCCAAAAUCUUGGAUCAGAUAUAUCAGAGUCUUAACUUGAUUUAAUGAUUUUGGCUACUCAAAUUUAGUCACAUUGGUUAACUGCAUAGAAACCUUUUGAGAUUAUGUUAAAAUAAAGGAUGAAAUUAGAUGUUAUAUAUUUGUUUGAUGGAUGUGGCUUUCUGUAUGAUUAAUCUUCUAAACAGAAAGCCAUACAAUUUUAACACACAUGGGUGUAUCCUAUAAGUUCAUAACUUUGAUGGUGCUAAUAAUUGUAGGCUAUUUUCCAAUUACAAAGGUAAUGUAAUGGAUUAGCAAUGCUGUUCUUAUUUGCUUAAACACUUAAGGGCAAAGAUUGCAUCUGAAGGAGGCAAGUCAUGAAAUUUGGAUCCAUUGCUGUGCUUCUGAGCUUUCCAUCACCUACACUUGCUUUUUAACUUGAGUAUUUUUACUGCAGACUUGCUGGAUGAAAAGUUUUGGACCGCGACAAAGCUUCAAAGUUUAAAGAAAUAAACCAGUCUGCUUUUUGUGGGGAUGCCUUUGGAUACACUUGAUGAGGGGAUCAGGUUGCAGUGAAGAGAAAAUCAUUAUCCUAACAUUGAACUUCUACAAGAGCCGUAGGAGGAUGAAGGGGGUAAUCUUCCUAAGUCCAUUACUUUGGCAUGCAAGCAAAGGGGGGGUUUGUUACUUAGAACUAACCUUGGUAGCAAGAAGUGGCAGUGAAGACUUAGGGGGCUCAAUUUUUUAUUUGCUAAGGUAUAAAUUUAUGAUCACCUUUCACCACUCCUAUCCAAGUUACCAGAAUACAUGAUGUCCUUUAUAUGUCUUGCCUCCUUAUUUGACAAAAACACUGGUAUCUUAGCAAUUUGCAUUUUAGAUUGCAUCAUUUGGUAGUGCUAAGUUUUUACUCUUUAGCACUCUACAGAAUAUCUUUUUAUUUCUUUUAUUUUCCAUAAAGCAAUAUAUAUCAAAUAAGAAACUCAUGAAAGUAUAUGAAAUACUUUUAUUAAAGCUGAAUAGAACUGAAGGCUUCUGAAAAAUCAGCUGAAGUUAUGGCAGAAAAAGAGCCCAAUACAAUAUGAAAUACUUGGAUCUAUGAUCUUGCUUGGUUGGUUAUUGUUAGACAAGUUUCCUGAUCUGAAUUGAAACUUUUGAUUUUAAAUAUAAUGUUUUGUUAGACUUGUACUGUUAACAAAUCUUAAUGUUUACGUUUAUCAAGUUUCCUUUAAUGUAGGACAGUAGAGUUAAAAGAAUAAAAGGGGGAGAAAUAGAAGCGGAAAAGAGAAAUUCCAAAGAAUUAGAAAUAUUGUUGAUCAAAGUCAAAAAUGCUUAACAUCAAAAGGCCUAUACUUAUAUAGAUAGACAAUCCUUCCAAUCAAAAAAAAAUAUAGAUAGACAAUCCUAACUCUCUUGGGAAACUAAUUUAAAUAAUCCUAACUAUAAUAUAACUUUAUCACUAAAUAAUAAUAACCCUGAUAUAAAUAAAAUAAAAUAAAAUAUUAUGACUUCCUAUAGUUACACCUAAUAUAAGUGUGUAAUUUAACAUCUUUAUAUCCAUCACCUUCCCAUUUCAUUUUCCUCUUAUGCCCAAGUUAUUUUGUGCGUUUUACAAGAAGGCCAAGGAGUCACCACCUAAAACAUUAUGUACAUGUCUGGAUGUAUCACAAUGGCCAUGUUUAACACACUGCUUGGUUGCAUUAUAUUACAGAGUGACUUAUUUUUUGGGUCAUUGGUGUUAAAAAAAAAUUUACCAGCCAAAAUGAGCUAUCAGCAUCAAGUUAUCUGAUUGAUAUGCAGUUGUGAAAUUUUUCAUAUCAUUUUCUCUUUUUAGGUUCAUUUAUACUCUCCAUGAAUUCAAUUUUUAUUAAUUCCAAUUCAAGUUUUGAUGAACUUUGGCUUUAUUAAUUGGAGCUGCUUUUUGCACUUCAGGUCUCGGGGUGAUGAAGGUCGAAGCAAAUAUGGAACAAGUCUGGAAGAGUCGGACGCUAUUUUUGCGUUCCUGAGCUAUAUUGCUGAAAAUUGACAUUAGUAUCUUUUGUGAGGGACAGGUAUUGCGACCAUACUUCCCCCAAAAGAGAUGUUAGUUGGCAACCUGGCAUUGAUGCUUUGGUUUUUCAGAAAAACUGUUUCUCUUGCUUUGUGGAAAAUGCUGAUAAAAGAUAUAAAUACUUCUCUAGAAAUGUAGAUAAGAGCCUUGGCAGUUAGGAGAACUUUCAUUGCUUCAUAUUCUUUGGUGGUGUCACUUGCCAAGGAGGCCCAAAUUUGCUACAACUGAAUGAAAAACUGAGAAACAACCUUGAUAAAGCAUGAAGCGAUAUUACAUACAAAUAUUUAAAAGGGAAAUCCUAUCUAAGAGAAGAACUGCAAAAGCACGUAGAAGAGUAUGAAAAUUUGUGAUGUUUAAAUUUUAUUUGAAGUCACAGCAGUACAGAUUAGUGGCUUUAUUUGAAUCCCCAUAGAUUCGAAGCCCUCCCCACAUGAAUUCAGUGUCUUUUUUACUAGUCACACUUGCCAGACUUCCCAAUUUGAAACUGAGACCACAGAGCUCCACACCCAGUUCGAAGUUAAUAUUAGUCAAACUAAUGUCAACACUGUAUUAGGUUCAGUAAACUUCAUUUACAGCCCUAAAAGAGCCCCUAUUGUGUUAUUUAGUUUACCUAUGUUUCAUAUUCCUUGUGGCAUAUAUCCUGCUAAGUUUAGAAUAAAUCGAUUUAGUUUCAAAGAUUUUUUUCAGAAAUGGAUAUCAUUUUCAGACAAUAAAUAAUGAUAAUGCUACAUAUCUUCACAUUAUAUUUGUCAUUUCUUCCAAAAGUACAUAUUACUUUCUCCUUUGAGUUGUAUUAAACCUAUUAAAUCAUAUGUCAUCAUGAAUUAGAUGUUUCAUAACCCAAACAUAUUUUUUCUUUGUCAUGAGCAACUUGAUUACCUAGGAUCCUCAAUGAUGCAUCAUAUCAUAAACAAUUCUAAUGACCUUCCUUUACAAAACCAAAAGAUUUUUGUGCCUAAUGAUUUUGUGUUUGUUGGUAAGGCAAAUUAAUUAUUAAGCUUUACCAAAAUUGAAUCUGCAUCUCCCAUAUUUUAAGAAAGAAUUGAAGGGAACAUCUAUGGACUGACCUUCCAUCAAGUAGACAAUCUUUUUAUUUUAUGGUAUUAAUAGAUGUCUCAACUAGAUGAUCUCAUUUUUGUCUUCUUUUUACCUCCAUUAUUGCAUUUGUUAGGCUACUUGCUCAGAUUAUUUUACUAAAGGCUCAAUUUAUUAAUAAUCCUGCUAAAACAAUUCAUCUUAAUAACAUUGAUAAAUUCUUAUCCUAAACAUUCCUGGACUAUUGUCAGUUGGUAUGAGUGAUGCACAUUCUCUUGAUGUUGUUUAUCCAUAAAAUGGGUUGGCUAACUCUCUUAUCAAAUGUUUACAACUCAUUGUUAGAUCAUUGUCUUUCAGAACAUAGGUGCCUCCUGCUUUAAGAACAUGUUAUUAUCCCAUGUUGUGUAUUUAAUCUGCUUUCGACCAAUAACUACUCACAAAAUCUCCCAUUUACAACUUGUUCUAAAUCAUCACCAAAUGUUUCUCAUCUACAUGUUUUUGGUUGUUUAUAUCCCUAUUGAUCUUACAUAAUAUACUAGGUUCCUAUACAUAGACUUGGUAUUUAUAUUGGAUUCACUUCCUCCUUUGUUAUACAUUAUCUUGAACCUUGUGAUCCUUUUAUGACAUGCUUUGUGGAUUAUCAUUUUGAUGGGGCAAUUUUCCUAUCGUUAGGGGUGGGGGGAAGGAGGGAUAAGUCAAUUUUAGAAGGAUGAGAUAAAUUGCUUGAAAUACAUGAAAUUUUAGUCAUCUUGAUCCUCACUCAAAUCAAUGUAAACUAACGUUUGAAAGAUCAUUAUAUUACAAAGACUUGCACAUUCUUUACCAUAUGCAAUCAUUAACACAAAAAAAUAAAUAAAUAAAUAAAAUUGACAAUUGUAUGCUCCAUUUUCAAACAUUUCAGCAUGACUUAAUGUUCCUUUAAGACAAUCAACUAAUAUCAUAACAAAUGAAUUUAAGGCAUGCCUAAAGCUUGGUAAACCUAUAAGCUCAAAAAAAUAUAAUUCCUCAAAAGAGGAAGACACAAGGAAAAACAUAUAAAAAAAAUUGGCUCUAUAGAAGAAACUACUGUUACAAAAGUGUCUAUGGAAUUUAUUUGAGUCCCAAGUUGAUAAACUAAGAGCCCUUGAAGAGGAGUAGAUUAAAAAGAUACUCUCUUAAAAUAAAAUUGAAAUAUAAUAGAAAUACGAUUCUAUUCAAUGAAUCUUUUUAAGGAGAUACAUAGUCCCUAAAGAAGUGCAACUUAAACAAUUAGCCCUUGAAGAGGCAUAGGUACUCGGAGCUAAUGAAAUUUCAAUAAGUUAAGAACAUAUACGAGAGGCAUGAGAUGGAAGUAACAUUGUCAUUGACAAUAUAUUCUCAUUUCAAGUGGCCAUUGGCAUCUUAAAAGAGUAUGAGCACCUGAAAUCACAAUUUAUGAAUGAUCAUUGGCAUAGAAAUGAUUUGUCAAAAUAGAUAAGAGGAAAUCCAAAUAAAUCAAACUUCAUUAACAAAAUAAGAUUUUGAACUUGUAGCACUUGACGACAUAAAGCCUAUUGGUUAUAGAUGGAUUUUUUCCUACAAAACACGAUUGUGGCACAAGAUUUUUUUAUGAAAACUUGGCAUUGACCAUGUAGAAACUCUCUUAUUGUAGAUGCAAAAACAUUUCUUUAUUUGAUGAGUUUGACAAUCUUAGAAGGACAUAUAUAUCUAACCUAACACAUACAUUACAAUUGUCUUAAGAGUAUCUGAUAAAGGAAGGAUAAGUAAAUAAUAUUAUUCGCACAUGUAUUUUCAUUAAGAUAUCAAAAGUGAUAUUUAAAAUUAUUUCAAUAUAUGUGGAUGAUUUGAACCUUAUUAGAACUCUUAAGGAGUUCAUAAGAACAAUCAAUUAAAAGAAAGAAUUUGAAAUGAAGGAUCUCAAAAUGAUAGAGAUCAAGUAUUUUCCAAGGGCAAUGUUAGUACAUCAAUUGAUGUAUACAUAGAAAAAAUCUUAAACCACAUUUUUAUAGACAAAUCAUGUGCACUUAACUUCCUUAUCAUUAUUUAUUCACUUGAAGCGAACCAGCACUUAUUUUAUCCUAAAAAAGGAAAUUAAGAAAUAUUUGGUCCAAAUGUAAUAUACCUUAGCAGAAUUCAUAUAUUGAUGUAUCUUACAAGUUGUACAUGACUAAACAUAAUAUUCUUUGCCAAUUUGCUAAAAAGAUACAAUUUUGUAUCAAUUUGAUGACAAUAAAAUGGGUAAAAUAUAUAUUACAAUAUCUUUGUAGAACUAUUGACACGAGUAUAUUUUACUCAAAAAGAAUUAAACCUAUGCAAAUUUUGGUUAUCUUUCAAAUAUAUGUAAUAAUAUAUCUCAGUCAUGGUAUAUAUUUACCCAUAGUAGUCUAUGAUAUCAUAAAGAUCGAUUAAGCAAACAAUAGGUAGUCAACUCUUCAAAUAAUUUAGAGAUAUACUAGAUUAAAGUAAAUAGUAAAUACAUAUGGUGAAGAUAUGUGAUUCAAUAUAUUCAAAAACCAUGUGGUUUAUUCUUUGUUAAAGAUGAUUUGUUUAUAUUGUACAAAUCAAAUGACAACAUACAUAAGGUGAUAUCACCAAAUAUAUCUCCCUUGAGGUAAUUUGUGUUUAUUAUGAUUGAAACCCAAUUCACUGGAAUUACAACCCUACGGCCCGCUCAUUAUUCUUUUCCAUUAUUAUUAUUUUUAUUUAUUUUUACAAAAUGUAUAAAAAUGAAAAGGAAAAAGGAAAAUCCAGGGUUUUGGGAUGGGCAUUUGUGUCAUUUUACAAAAAUGAAAUACUCGUAGAAGGAAAGGGAGAGAAGCCAAGCCCUUCCUCUCCAUUGAAGCGGUGUGUGGAAGAAGAGAACAUGUUAGGGUUUACUACUGCCCUCUUCCACCCUCCAAUUCCAUUUUCAAUUCGAUCAGAUCCGCCAACCACACCAAUUUUAUCCUUUAAAGCAACAGCGAAUUCCAUUUACCCUUACUUUCAUGUCCCCAGAAAAUUGGUGGUGAAAGCAGAGAAGGGGAACGGAAAGGAGGGAGAAGAAGAGAAAAGGUCAAAAAAUGGGGGAGGGGAGGACUUGAAGAAGGAUAAAGGACCCAUACUGAAUGUGAAGUGGAGGGAUCUGCUAGACCCAAACCCAGAGAACAUAUUGGCCAUUGGAUUGAGUGGGGUGUUGACAUGGGCGAGUGUUCAGGUGCUGUGGCAGCUCUUCUUCAUCUCUCUCACCAUUCUCGUAGCUGCUCUCAAGUACUCCUUCAUUGCCGCUCUUCUUAUAUUCAUCCUCAUUACCCUUCUUUGAAUUCUUGUCGAUUUAUUUUGAAUUUAUUUCAAGAAAUUGUAUAUUGGCUCUGUUUCUCUGUAUCUAACAUUUGAAUUCAGUCUGUGACCGAGAGUUCUUCCCCCUCCUCGUCAACCCUAGAUCAGAUCAGGGGAUUUUUUAUAAAUGUACGGAUUUUUAGAAAUUAUUUUUUAAAAUACCUUAAAUUGGAAAAUAAAAUUUAUAUUUUAAUUUUUCUAAUGCAAACCCGUUUUUCAUGUCUCCUGAAUUUGAUUUUAUAUUGAAAGACGUCACUUUAUGGGAUGCCCUCUACCAUUCCAAAAAAAUUAGAUUAAUGUUAGAAAUGUCUUUUGAAGAGAUACAUUUGAAUAUAAAUUAAAAUUUAUACAAGUCUCUUGAAUUUGAUUUGAUAUUGAAGAUGUUUUUUGAAAAAAUAUUUUUUAUAAUUCCAAAAAAUUUGGAUUUAUAUUAAAGGUGUCUUAAAGUGACACUUCAAGAAACAUCUUCUAUGUAAAAUCAAAUUCAAAAAAUACUUAUGAUAUAAAUUAAAAUUUAUGAAAUCGUGGAAGGUGAAAAUUAAAAUUAAAAUUUAAGACAUUUUUAUUAUAUAUUGGAAUUUAUGGAAUUAUGAAAAAUGUAAAAUCAAAUUCAAGAGACACUUGUAUAAAUUAAAAUUUGUGAAAUUAUAAAAGACAUCUAUUCAAAACACCUUUAUUAUAUAUUGGAUUUUGUGAAAUUAUAGAAAGUGUCUUUUCAACAUGCACCUAUUAAAAAGACAUCUUCAAUAUAAAAUCAAAUUCAAGAGAUACUUAUAAUAUAAAUUAAAAUUUAUGAAAUUAUAGAGCAUACGUUGAAAAGACUUUUUUAGUAUAUAUUAGAUUUUAUGGAAUUAUAGAAAAUGUCUUUCCAAGAGACGCAUUUAGUAUAAAUCCAAUUUUUCUGAAAUUGUAGAAAGAGACAAUGUAUUUUCAAUAGACAUUUUUAGUUUAAAUUCAAUUUUUUUAAAUGUAUAUUAAGAAUUUGAAAAUUGUGAAAGUGUCUAAAUCCAUCAAUAUUUUUUCAACUAUCAUUUUUUAAGAAUUACUUUUUACGGUUGCAGACUUGCAGUAGGAAUUAAAAAACCCCUCAGAUCAGGCUGGCAUUUCCAUCCACAUUGCCCCUUUUUUUAGUAUCAAAUAAACCAUUUUUAAUUAAACAAACAUGUAUGGGUACAAAGGCAAUAUGAAAUUAUACUUGGCAGGGAUAACUUACGUUCUAAGAAGGCCAUGUUUGGUCACCCGAAAUUUUGACAAAAAUUUUGAGAAGACUAAAAAUUUGAGGGAAAGAAAAGGGAGAGUAAAAGUAAAGGAAAAUAAAAAAAUUAGAAUAAAAAAAAUGAUUUUUUAUACAUUAUUUUAAAAUUAUUUGAAAGUUAAAUAAUUAAUUUAUUGAUUUUUAUAUAAAAAUUAAAUAAUUAAAAAAAUAUAAAUGUUUAAAGAAUUUUAAUUAUAUUUGUAUUUUGAAAACAAACAUGAAACAUAAUUCUUUUUAUAGUAUUUUUUUUUGGUCCUCGGCUCUUUUGGACCAAAAAUAGCCAAGUUUAUUGGUUUUUUAGAUUUUCAUUUGUAAUUUUGUUCAUAUUUGUAAUCAAUUUAUUGAAGCUGUUCAUUUUUCUCAUAUUUCAUUUCUAGAAAUAUUUUAUUUUAAAUAUUAACAAAUUUUUAUUAUUUCAAAUUUAAAAAAUUUGUUAAGACACAAAUGAAACUAUUCUUCUUACAUUCUUAACUGAAAAUGUAUUCAAAGGAAGCCUAAAAUAUCAUUAUUUAAGAGAGAAGUGGAGAGCAUGAACAUGGAUACUACGAAUUUGCAUCACCAUUGUUAACUAUUUUAUUACAUGGAGUAAUAAUUACAGAAGACACCAUCUCCCCCUUCACUCAUACUCAAAAUGUUACAGAGGUCUGGUAUUCCCCACUGAUGUUUGCUUUGAUGACAGCAGUAUCUACCAAAGAAAAAACACUGAGACAGUAAAAGAUGAUUCAAGUCCCAUGUUAACAAAUAAAUGGUUGUCAGUCAGUUCUUCAACUCACAAAAGGAAGACGGCAUACAUGCAGCAACUGCCCUGCCAACAACAAAAUAGACACAAACAUUAAAGUCUACUUUCAAGUUUACUAUCACCUUUGAAAAUUUUUAGACCAAAGCAUAACACACACUAAUUCUCCUCCACAUGGGUCAGUACAUGCAUACCAAUCCACCAGGGAAGAAAGCAAAUCUCUAGGACAUCAAAUAACAGAAUUGUUCUCUGAAGAGCUUCCAAUAUAAGGCACAUGUCUUGUACCUGAUAUGAUGAGAGUAAGGGACCUCCUAACAGAAAUAGAACUCCAAAAACUUGACAUUGUAUUGGUGAUUGAUUGCUUAUUCUCAAUGUUUAACCACCCUUCGGGUAAUUUCUGGAAUGUGACCCUUGAAAUGGUUGAGGUGAGGAUGAGAUCAGUGGCUGCAAGUAUUCCUUGAUAAAGGAGAAAGGAGGACGCUUCGAGGGCUCACUGCAACAUUAAAUUAGCAUUUUGUUGUCAGGAGGUAAAAGUGCAUAUCAAACUCUAAAAUUCAAUAUAAGAAUUGUGAAUAUUCACUCACUUAGCCCAGCAGGCCUCAAUCAAGUAGGCGACUUGAUGAUUUACUUCAGCUGGAAUCUCAAGCCUUUUUCCCUUGAAAGCAACAGCUGCUACAACCUGCAAAAGCCGUCCUAUCAUAUGUAUUUGAGUCAUAUGUCAACACUAGAGUAAGCCACUUGCAGGAAUGCAUUCAUUAGAGUAUGCACAUUGCUUCCAUGCAUGCAUGGAUAUACAAACCCAUGUUUGUAAGAAUCAAAUGAUGGGCAAAUGGCAUUAAGAGUUGGGAUCUUGUCUAGUGGGACUCUUCACUGGUGUGAGGAGUGAGGACUCCAGUUUCUAGUAGCACCAUAUGAACAUUAGGCUGCACUUGACAUUUCAGUAAUGAAGCAAAGUCGAUGAGUCAACCAAGCUCCUUUUUUUCUUGCUGAAAUGGACUUAGAAGCCUCCAUGCUAUAUGCUGUAUCAGACCCUAUGUUGCUAGGACUCUGGUGUGGGUACAAGUGUAGGACUCAAAUUCUUUUUACUCCAGAAUUUAGUUACAGGGAUCUAGCUAAAAAGAAUCCCAAAUUUAGAUAUGAAUACAAGGAUACUGCAUAAUAAAAGAAAGGAAGAAAAACCAGUUAAAAAUCAAGAUAUCUUUGCUAAGAACUUCCCAUAUUUUUUCUUUUAUCCUUAUCUUUUCUUUUUUACCCUCAAGUAUUCUUAAAUUCUCUCUUUUUCCAAAAGAAUAAUCUGCCAAGAAAGUAGAAAAUAGAACAAAAAAAAGAACUCAAAAUCAAAGAGCCAUAUCUAAAGCAAAGUAGGAGUAUCCGACAAGGAUCUCGCACCCACACCCAUAUUGCAACGUGUCAAUGCAACUAUGCUGGGUGAAGUUGGAGAGUGCAGGUAUGAUUGAUUGAACAUUAAAGUCCUAGUAUCUGUGCACAAGAGUAUUUAUGUAACUCCACUAAUAGAACGUGGAUACUACAAAUCCAAUGAAAUUGACAGAAACCUCUCUUUGCUUACAUCUCUAGCUUCCAUUCCCUUCUUUUACUUCACCCUCUUUUCUUUUCUUCUCCUUAUUUCUAUGAUUUAAGGGAUUAUAACUUCCAAUUCAAUAUUUUUCAGCACUAAUAGUGCCAUACGACCAGGAAAAAAAGCAGGUGAUGCACUCAAAAAGCUUUUAGCAUCAGAUUUUAACUGUGUCAAUGACAAUGAAUCUCUUAAAGAGAAUGAUGGUCUUCUUUUUCAUCCUUCUGAGAUCCCUUAAAAGGUAAUUUGAACUUAUAGAAGAUGGCUUUGGUGGCUAGAUCAAUUUAGAUCAACCAUUACCACGUCUCAAAAGAACAAUAUUAGCAUAUUAUAUCUAACAUUAAGUUCUCACCAACUAACCCCUAAUCAAGUUAUAAAUUUCGCUUUGGCUACAACAAGUCCAAUUCCUAUCAGCAGAGUACUAGGAAUACUUCAUAUCCUUUCCUAAUUAUCUAUGCUUCUUCAUAGUUCUUAGUUAUUUUCUGUUUCUUUAGAAAACUUUAAUAUGUAACCUCCUCCUAGAAGUUAGUUUGUACCAAAUAGCAACUUAAUAUUACAAACAAGUUCUCUGAUAUCUUCCAAAUAUUUUUACUAACAAUUAUAGCUUGCUGCAAGGUAAUGACAAACUACCUGAGCUGGAUUUAAAUGUUUCCAAGGCCUUUGCAAGGUCACAAGUUCCCACAAGAUUACACCAAAGCUGUAAACAUCUGACUUUUCAUUUGAUGGCUCAUCACGGAGAACUUCUGGUGCCAUCCACUCAGGCUAACAAAAAAAAUCAAAGGUAAGUCUUAGCAAUUGAAGCCAUCCCUUGCUCGCUUUUAAUAGCAUGCCAACAGAUUAUAUACAUUAACUUUUCAGUUUUGAAUAGAACUUACUGUCCCUGCGGCCGUUUUAGAUGAAAGAAAUGUGUUUGCCUUUGAACGGGAAAGACCAAAAUCACAAACCUGCAAAAAAGAGAAAUUAAGAAAAAUUUUAACCACAGAUAAAUUAAGAAGACGAAGGCCUUCAAGCAAAGGAUUUUAAGACUACAAAUUCUCAAUUUGUAUAUUCACUAAAACCAGAAGAGAUUACUAUGACCUCUUCUCAAACCUGUAAUGCUAACUAUACCCAAUCCUAGCCUUUGAAUAGAAUUUCCAGCCAUUGAUUAAGACCUAAGUAAAAGGUUGAAAAACAAGAAAGCAACAUAUGAUGAUUCACUUACGUCAUUAUAGUCCUAUUUCUCUACAUAAACAACUAUGGGACCCACAACAAGAAACUAACAAAUUAUGACUCUGGGACACUUUCAUGUAACUAAGAAACGUUCACGUGGCCCCAUACUAUCUUGAUGGUGGCACAUACGUACUUAGAUCUUAGAAUCAAGCCUUUAAACCUUCACUGUUACACUUUUAGGAUGUUUCUGCUGAUCCACAAAUGGAAUCCUUGACCAGUUCAUGGUUCCAACAGUUUGAAUUUUGGAUGUUUGGUGUAGUCCAGGUUUCAGAACACUACUUGAUAAUAAGAUCCUUGACUAUUUCCAAGAUGAAUUCUACAUUCUCCAGAUUUCCUCACUUAUAGCUGUAUUGAUCAAAUCUGUGAAUAGGAAACAAGGUACUUUGAUUUUUUUUUUUUUCCUUUUUUGAUAGGCUAGCAAAAAUAAUAUUAACAGUGCCUGAUAAAAAAACACAUCCAAGCACACUGGGCAUAUACAAAGGACAACAAAAUGCAACAAUAAGAAGAGAGAAAUGAAAACAACACUCUUCCCUUAAACAAGAACCCAACCAAUCUACAAAGUCUAUCAUAGACAUUGACAUCUCAUCUACAAAUCUCCUAAUCCAUAUAAAAAAGGUGGAAAAAAACAAAGAUUUUGGCACUUGAUCUGUUACUCCACGUUUUCAAAAGCCCCUUGAUUUUCCCCCUUCCAAAUUGUUAAAUAUAAAUACACACACACACACACAAAAAUGAGCAUCCUUCCAAGCCUUCUUAUGCUUUUUCCAAAAAAACAAGAUCCCUUCCAACCAAGGAGGGCCUCACAAACUGAAGAAGCCAACAUCCAUGCAAUGCCAAACAAGGAUAAAACCAGCUUCCAUAAAACACCAACCUUUGCCUAGUGGAGAAGAAUGCAGUUCACUAAUUCUACUGCAUCUUUGCAUAAAUAGCAUCUAUUCACAAAAUCGCAUCCCCUCCUUUGUUAUUUAUCCAGAUCCAAUAUCCUCCACCAUGUUACCUUCCAAGCAAAGAAACCCAACCUUUGUUGGCACCCAAGGAUUCCAAACUAUGUCUGCUGGAGAAGAAUAGAAGGGUUUGACUGUAAACUUUUGACUCUUCUAUCCCAACCACGUCAUCCUCACUUCUGACCAUUGUUUCAGCUUGCAACCUUAAAAGAAACUUCUCAACUUUUUCUGAUUCUCAGCCAUGGAGUUGUCCAAAGCAGCGUGGAUUCCAAUGUCCACCUUUACCUAACUGCUCCUAAAUAUCCACCACCUAUGCAUUCUUUAAGGAUGCAGUGGCAUGCAACAAAGGGGCAGAAAUGCUCAAAGGAGAUUCACCACACAUCCAUCCUUCUAGAACUUCACCCUCCUUCCAUCUCCUUUUUAGGUUCUACUUUGAAGAUGUCCGACCGGCCCUCUUCUGAUUAUCUUCCAAACUCUCCACUCCCAAACCCAACCCCUCCACCCACCCCAAAACCUGUCCCUUGGUUCACAAGAACUCCAACCGUCCUCUUUCAUCCCAAGUUUCCCAAUAAUAACCUACUUUCAAAAAGACUACUUCUUUGACAAGAUUAUCCAAACUCCACUUGCCAAGCAACACUUUGUUGAUGAUAGAGACAUCUUUAAUGCCAAGACCUCCUUGUUGCUUUUUCAUGCAAGCAGACAACCAACUUGGUUCUCAAGAGCGCCCCCUCCCUAUAGAAAAUCUUUUUGAAUCUUUUCAAGACUUAAGUCCACGUUCCUUAGGAUGACAAAAAACAAUAUAAAAUAAAUCAAGUUGAAAAAAAGGUGCUUUUAAACCAAGUUAACCUCCCACCUUUUGAAAAAUAUUUUCUUCUCCACGUAGCAAGCCUUCUGUGAAAUCUUCUUCUACCGCAUCCAAACCAAUGCUAAUUUAGAAAGGGCACCACCCAAAGGUAGAUCCAGGUAGGUGGAAGGAAGCACCCCCACUCUAAAACCCAACAUAGUAGCUACUUCCUCCACAUAUGUCGAUGGGGAUCAAAACAACUCAUUUCAAGUUUUUUUCUAGAUGUAGACAUAGAGGAUGAAAAGGAUUUCUAUUUUCACUUAAAUUAGGAUCUUUUUUUGAUAGGUAAAAUAAGAUUGUAUUGAAUAAGUAGAAAAGGCACCCAAAAGGUGACCCGAAGCAUAUAGGAAGUAUACAACUAUCACCAAAAAGGAAGAGGCCCUUCAUCUAUACACAACUUAGUCCAAGCCCAAAGAGUGCAAACAAAGGAGUUUUCAGCCUUUGAACCGACAACUCAUUAUCAAAAGGCUUUCAAACUAACUAAAAAAAUACAAAUAAGGGUCGCCUUCAAAGCCUUUUUACGUUUUUUGCCCACAAAGGAUCCAUGUGAUCCGAGAAGAGUCUCUCUAACCAAUAAGGGCAGGACCUAGGACACUUCAAAGAGAGCAAAAAGUAACUGCCAUAACACCCUAGCCUUAGCACAGUGAAUUAGAAUGUGGUCAAUGGUCUCUUCUUCGACAUGGCAAAGGAAGCAUCCUUUGCUAAAGACCAUCCCCUCCUUUUCACCUGAUCCAAAGCUAGGGCUCUGUCCCACACUUCUUCCUAAAAGAAGAAACCCACCUUAGGAGGAACACACGGGCUCCAAAUGAUACUCCUUGGAAAAGGGACUACAUCACCUAGCUCCAAAGCAUCAUAGAGAGACUUAAUAGAAAACUUCCCGCACUUUUGUCACUAUAAAAAGCACCCUAUCUUCCAAGUCUUGGGAUACCCUCUUUUGUUGGAUUCUUGAGAUCCACAAUAUCCACCUUCCAAUCAUUAAAAGGCCUAGAGAACAUCGGAUUCCAACCGCCACCCUCAAUUGUGGAGCCCCAUAUGUCCACCACCUGCUCCUCUUUUGAAGAGGUAAGAGCAAAAGAGGGAGGGGAAAAAAACACAUAAGGCCUUAUCACCAUACCAAUUAUCCUUCCAAAAACUCACCCUUCUGGCAUUACCCACUUCAAAAUCAAUUUUGUCACUCAAGAGAUUCCAUUCUUAUAGCUUUCCAAAGACCCACCCAAUACCCCUCUUGCACUUCACGGGAGCACCGCCCCUCUUCUUCUACACUAUACUUUCUACUAAUAAUCUGCUUCCAAAGAAGAGCCUUGUUACAAAGCUCCAACACUAUUUACAAAGAAGAGCCUUGUUAAGCAAAGAUAGACAUCUAACACCCAAACCACCCUUCCUCUUAUCUAAGCAAACAAUCCCCUAGUUUACUAAGUGAGGCUUCCGUGCUAGAGCCACCCCACAUUAAAGGAAGUCCCUCUAAAUCUGCUCUAAUAUCUCAAUCUGACCGACCUGGGCAUAGUGAACAAGGACAUAAAAUAAAUAAGCAUACUAGCAAGAGUGCUCCGAAUUAGGAUUCCUAUUUUCCUUAAAAUUAGGAUUUCUAUUCUUAUUAAAAUUAACUUUUUUAAUUUAGUUCCAAUACUUAUCACUUUAAUAUUUCAACUAGACUAAAAUUGUAUUUCCUUUAGGAUUAGUAUAUUCAAUUGCUUAGAAAUAGGAUUGAUUACAAUAAUGGAAGGAUCAUUAUUAAUUUGAGAACCCCACACCCCCCCCUCUCUCUCUCUCUCUCUCUCCUUAUUCUCUCAUAAUUUCUCCUUUUAUCAUCUAAUUCCAUUCUUAUCUUAAUUUCUCUUCUAUACAAAGAAAAUGUUGUCAUUGUCCUACAUCAAUUUGGUAUCAGAGAAAAUUGAUCCAACAAAAAAAAAAAAAAAAAAACCAACUUCCAUCAUAAAAGGUUUUAGAAUAGCAAUUUCACACCUUACAAACUUUAAUUAUGAGAUGACAGUUACUCUAGAGACUAAUUAAAGAAUUGACAAGCUACGUAUCCUUUCAUUAAAGUUCAUAUUUUUUAUUAUUUGGAAAAAACAAUAAUUUGU